rnacentral:lncRNA from 1 species
AAAAAAAAAAAAUCUACACACCGGUGUGUUAAAUAUGAUUUUGUUUCUAAAAAUAUGAUUUUUUGUAAAAAUAAUAAUAAUAAUAAUCUUGUAUGAAAAUUUUCAAAUUACAUAAAAACUAAUCAUUACAUUCGAAGUUAUCUAGUUAAGAAUUGAAACAUCUAUAUUCAUCACAUUCUUGGAUAUGGAAAUUCACGUGCGAAUAUCAUCGCCAAGUUAGGAGCUAAUCAUAGAGAUCUCUUAUGAUGGUCAUGAACAGUUGUCAUUUGACCUAGUUGGCGGAUGUUGCAGGGACAUACUUCAUUAGGAUGUAGUGUUUUUCUUGCUUUCCUUUUUUUCAUUUUCUUUUUCUCUCAUGUAACCAAAAAAAGAAGUAAAAGUGUUAUUUAUAUAUGAGGUGACAAUUUUUGUGACAACUUUCUCUCUCAUAUUCAUAUUAUUUUUUACUUUAUCUCUUUAUUGCUUUGAUUUUCGUGCAAAUACCCAUUUUUUCUUUAUAAAUUAUGAUUGUCAUAUAAGUUGUCAGCUAAAUGAUUUUUCAAAUAACACUUCUCUUUAUACAGUUUACACAACAGUAGAUAUUUAUCAUAUAUUCAUAUGUCUCGGUUGUUCCGAUUUGCGAGGAAGCCUUAAAAUACAAGAGGAGAAUUAUUGGGUUGGUCCCUCGUGCGGGACUCGUCAAUCAAAAGAAUGACAAAAAAGAAGGGUUCAUGUAUGUGAGAGAGAUGUGAUAUUUUUGCAUAAGCAGAUGUGAAGAUAAAUUAAUUCCUAUUGUUCUUUCAAAAAAAAAAUUAAUUCCUAUUGUGAGAGUAAAAAAUUGUUACACUAUAUUUUGGUUACAUGAUAGCAAAAAAUUAUUACACUAUUAGAUUUUUUUUUGAAAGAAGGUUGUUACACUAUUAGAUGUGAAAACUUGCUUGUAAUUUUUGCAUAAUUUUAAUAUAUUAUGUUACACUAUUUUUUUGUUACACGGGAGAAAAAACAAAAAAGAAUAACAAAAACGAAAAACUAAGUUCUAAUAAAGGGCACCUCUUGGACUUCCGCUAGAAACGUCGAAGACAAACUGUAAAAAAAUUCAUUAACUAUAAUCAAAGGAUCUACACAAUUAGCUCUCAUCUUUGCAAGGAUAUAUCCGCACAAGCAUUCCAUUCACGAAGAGUAUGUUUCAAAACAAUAUUUCAGUCAUUCUUCAUGUAAUCUUUGAUAAUCACCAUGUUAGCAUAAUGGUGAUAUUGAUGUGUUCUCAUAGUUACCAACUUGAUCGGAUGAAGGGAAUCAGAGUAACAAAUUACCUUUUUAAAACUAAUUUGCCAACACAAUUUUAUACCAAUUAAGAGAGCUUGCAAUCUCUACAUAUAACACGUUCGACAAACCAAUACUCCAAUAAAAAUCAAAAUGGAAAUUUCUCUCAUGAUCUCUCAAUAAUCCCCCAAAUCCUGAUUGUCCUAGAUUAGUAACAACACUACCAUCCACAUGUAGAACCAUAACAUCUUGGUCAUCACUUUACCAACAUACUCAUUUAAAAAACUCAAAGUAGAUAAUUAGUGUUAUUUUAAUGUAGAGGAAUGCUAGGGUCACACUCUCUUGUGGGGUUCUAUCUUUAGUUUUACUUGAGUUUCAUUUUUGUUGCUUUUUUUUUUUUUUUUUUUUUUUGAGAUCUAAAUUGUUUUUCAAUAUUGAUUCUAAGCCUGGAUUUCUAUUGCACCUACAUGCUGCCAUCUACGAUUGAAUUUUCUUUUGCUAUGUAUUCAGAAAUUUGUAUAAACAUUCAUUUGGUAAUUCGUUUUUAUUUCAAUUGAAAUUUGGCAAUAUUAUCAAUGGCAUUAUUUGGGAGAAUACGAUUUAGAUAUAGAUGUCUUUUUUCCUCAGAAGUUUGUAAAUUGUGUUUGUCAAUUGGAGUUAAAUCUUCCAUCGUAAGAGUGGAGUUUUCCAAUACGUCAUAUUUAGGUUAAAUCUUCAGUAAAGAUGAAAAUUGAAAUCCAAAUAAUAAAAUAUAAUAUAAAAUGAAAGGUUCUUUAGGUUAGAGGUAAAUAACUUAAAAAAAGUGAAUGAUAUGGUAAGUUUUCAUUAGAGUGUGUUAAAGGGUGUGUCGGAGGGUGUGACCCUAGUAUUCUUCUUUAAUAUAUCCUUAGUUUUCCUUCAAUAAAAAUUAAAGAAAAAAAGUGAACUUCUACUUUCUUAUGCAAAAAUAAAAAUGGACAAUUCAGGUUUUUUUUUACUGCUGAAUCGUAUAACUUGUCUCAAAUUUAUUUUAUUUCUCUCUUUUUUUUUUUCUUAUUCUUUUUUCUCUUUUGCCAAAUUCUUUCACAAUCAAAACCAAUUGGGAAUCACCAUCAAUAAAAGAAAAACCCACUUGAGAAAAAACACACUUAAGAGAUAAAUAUCUAAGUGUCGAUGAAUGUUAUUUUGAUAUAUUUAUAAUGAACAGAAACAUAUUUAACUCUAAUAUUUGAUAGUCCUUUAUUGAUUCUUUCAGUUUCACGUUUUUACUUGUUUGUCCUUAAAGUUUUUUAAGUUUUAAAUUGGUCAUUUAAAUCAUAUAAAGUUUGCAUCCAAUUUUGUUAAAUGAGGCUUAUGUGAUUGUUAACUGCUGAUAUGGCAAGACCAAAUCAUUAAAAAAACAAUUUUUUUUAUGGGUUUUUUCAUAUUCUUCAUCUUUAUUCUCAUUAACCUUCAUCAUUUUCUCUCCCUUUAAAAAAAAAACGCAAACAAAUAAAAAAUCAUCAUCAAAUUCAUAUUUUCUUUUUCUCACUAACAUAAUUUUCAAAAUUAUAUAUGGUGUCUAAAUUAAACUUGUUUUCUAAUCACUAGAAACUCGAUCCACCACCGUAAAUAACAAAUUUUGUUGACAUUAUCGAGUCGAUUUGUAUCUCAUUAGAUCUCAAAGAAUUCAAAUCGAAAAUUGAAAUGGGGAAAGAGGGUGAGGAUGUGGAAGAUGGUGAGAUUUAUGAAAUUGAUGGAAGAGAUUAUAGAAGAGGAGUUUAAUAAGAUUAAUGAUGUUAAGGUGAAUAAUAGUGUUUGUUCAAAAAAAAAGGUGAAUAAUAGUGGGUGACAACAAGGGUACCCAUGGAAAAAUGGUGGGUAAUUUACCCCAACCAAUAAACAUUCACCUUUUUAGGUGGUAUCCAUAAAUUAUCUUGACCCCACCAAUAAAUUGCUCAUUAUGAUUGGUUGGUGGGUAAAUUACCCACCAUUUUUUAAAGAUAAUCUAGAAAAAACCAUAAUAAUGAUAAUGCUAUAAUUGGUGGUGGUGAUUUUAGGGUCUGUGGUGAAUAGUAAUUGAGAUUUGUGUUGAUAGAUAAUUAGAGUUUGAUAAAGAUGAUGUUUUUUUUUUUUUUUUUUUGGUUUUUUGUUUGAAAAGAGAGAAAAGAUGAUGAAGGUUUGUGAGGAAAAAGAUGAAGAUUAUGGAAAACUAAGAAAAAAAAUGUUUCUUAUAAUGAUUUAACAUUGUCCUAUCAUCGGUUAACAUCCACAUAAAUUUCAUUUAACAGAGUUGGAUGAAAAAAAAUGUAAUGUUGCAAACAUUAUGAUUAUAUGAUUUAAAUGACCAAUUUAAAACUUACAAAUUUAAAUAACUAAUCUGAUACAAACGUGAAAUUUAAAUAACAAAUAGAAGUAUUUGACCUAUUUAUUAAACGCUCAAAUCUCUCAACCUUAACAUCCUCAAAAAAAAUUACUAAAUGAAUUCGACUAAUAAUUAUAAAUCAUUAAAUUUAAACAAAAAAAUUUCUCUAGAGGGACUCAUAACAUAAAUAAGUAAAAUGAGAGAUGAUGUUUCCAUAAUCCCUUAACUGCAAACAUCCAAUUUAUUUAUCACAUAAUAAGAAUGCAUAUUUAACAUGAUGCUAAAUAAGUGAAGGACUAAAUAUUGAUGGUCCAAGAGAUUAAUUUCUAUGUGUUCAAGUGUAAUUUUUUUUAGUAACUAGCUUAAAUAAAACCUUUUUAAUUGUAGGGAUCAAACUGCAGUAUUUAAUUUUUUGUAGGAAAGACCAAACCGCAUGCGUCCGGAUCCUCUUCAUUUCAAUAGGAAAUGGGGAUCGGCAUUUCCCUUUUUAGUUGAGUUACAUGUGGCAUAAAAUGAAACAAACGGCUAAGAUCUAUUUUUGCUUUAAACCAAUUAAAACUAGGUUUAAAUAUGCCUUUAGUCCUUGUACUUUCAUCAGAUUUUAGCAUUGGUCCCUACACUUUUUUUUUGUUUGGAAUUGGUCCCUGCACUUUGUAAAAAUAUUGGUAUUGGUUCCUCUAUUAACUUUCUGUUAAAAAAAAAACACAAAACUAUUGGUAUUGGUCCCUGCACUUUGUAAAAAUAUUGGUAUUGGUCCCUGCACUUUGUAAAAAUAUUGAUAUUGGUGCCACGUGGCGUGAAAUGAUUGGGCCACGUGGCACUCCGUUGGUUUUGUGUUUUUUUUUUUUAACAGAAAGUUAACAGAGGGACCAAUACCAAUAUUUUUACAAAGUGCAGGGACCAAUGCCAAACAAAAAAAAGUGCAAGGACCAAUGCCAAAAUCUGAUGAAAGUGCAGGGACCAAUGACACAUUUAAACCUUAAAACUAAGGCAAAUUCUAUGGUACACCCACUAUAUUUGAGUGUACUAGUACACUAACUCUUUAAAUUCAUAGUUAAAUGAGUUGUUUUUUGAAAAUAAAGAUAUUAUUUUUUUAUCAUUUAUAAUUAUAGUCAGCGAAAUAAUUUUUCUUUUUUAAAUUUUUAUCACUCAUAAUUGAGAACAUUCAUUAUUUUUUACGAUAAUAUGUAAAAAAAAAGUUACUAUGAUUCUUAUAAACAAUUAAAUGAUAUUUUUUCUUAUGAAAUGUUGUUCUAUAAAAUAUAAAUAUUGACAAAUAGUUAUUUACUACAUAAAAAAUGAUCAUUCAUUUAUAAAAUUAAUAAGGAGGAGUACCGAUACACCUCAUUUUGUGAGUGUACCGUAGAAGUUGCCUAAAACUAAUAGUAAAUCAUAAAUAAAUGGUGACAACUAGGCUACCAUGAAAGAAUGAUGGGUAAUUUACUCCCAACCGAUAUACAUUAGCCACAUAAGCACAUAUUCAUAUUUAUGAACUAUCUUGAUGCCACAAAUAAAUUGUUCAUUUUUAUUGGUCGGUGGAUAAAUCUUUGAUGGUAAUUUAGAAAAAACCUAAAUAAAUUCAAUCUGUUUGCCAAACUUGCGAAAAAAUUGGUAACCACCAAAGUCUAAACCCACAACGACGACGUCAUCAUCAUGAAGCUUACAGUUUUAUUUUUUUAAGAUCAAGCUUACAGUUGAUCCAACCAAAUACGUGUAUUCCCCUUUUUCUUCUUGUUUUAUUUUAACAUAUGAUUCUACUUUACGAUUAAUUGAUUUGAACUAGUGGGCUUCAUCCUUAAUUGAGUGAGGUGUAUGCAUAAUUGAAAAGGAUGUAUUGUUAAUUAAUGGAAGCAUGUAAUUACAGAAAACCAAAUCAAUAUCUUUAUGUCAGUUACAGAUGAAACGACGGCGAAGAAGAGACGAUGGAGAAAGGGGAUGAACGAGUAGGUGAAUGGGAAGGCAGAUGUGAUCAAUGUCAAUGAUGGAGAAGUGGGUUUCUGCAUUGAGAUUUCUUUUUUCUUUUUCUUUUUUAAUUAAAACAUUUAUAAUAUUUGAAUAAAAAGAUCUUAGCCGUUUGUUUCAUUUUAUGCCACAUGUCACUCAACUAAUAAGGGAAAUGCCGAUCCCCAUUUCCUAUAGAAAUGGAGAGGAUCCGGACAUUCGUAAUUAUUUUUUGUUUACAAACAUUCUUAAUUACUCAUUCCAUCUCUUGUCGUACGGAAUUAAAUUAUUUGUGAUAAGCUAGUUUAAGGAAUAAGAAAUAUUCUUUACAUACAAGUUCAGAGGUUUUCAGUAUCUGCAAACAAUUUCCUUUAAUUAAUGUCAACUAGGAAGGAAGUUUGACCAGAGACAUAGCCAGAAAGCCAGAUACAGGAACCGUUUUGGUUCUGGAAACCCAAAUACUGUUAAAGCCUUCUUAGUUCUGACUAUUUGACAUUAGUUACUAUUAUUUUAGUAAACUUAGUUGAAUAUACGUGUAAUUAGUCAAAGGGUCAACACGAAAUAGCAAGGUCAAAAUAAAAAAAGAGUAACUAGCAAUAACUAAAAUACUAUAUAGUAAUUUAAUCAAUCAAGUAGGAGUAUUAUUUAACAAUUCUGCGUACCAAGUAUUCAGCUAUCUAUACUCGCAGCCCUUCACUUUAUCUUUUAGUUUUGACAAAUUCUCAGUUUUAAAGUGCAAUUCCUCCUAAAUCCAACGUCAACGCUGAACUCUCUCUAUCUAUAUAAUCACAUACUCUUACAUAUCCAUAACAAAAUUAUCUAAGAGUCUAAGAUAUAUAUUUUCAGAACCAUUUCUUACUCCAAAGCCAAAACAAAGUAUAACUGUGAGUGUAACAAACAUGGAUACUAAUUACAAAACCAAUAUGCAUGUAAUGAGGAGUUUUUCAGAUUGUGGUUCAUCAGUUACAGAUGUAAGUCAAGAAGAUACUAUGGUAAUAAAGAAAGGUCCAUGGACAGAAGAGGAGGAUACUAUUCUGAUGAACUAUGUGGCAGUCCAUGGAGAUGGUCAUUGGAACUCCGUGGCUCGCUGUUCGGGUCUAAAGAGAACCGGGAAAAGCUGCAGAUUAAGAUGGUUGAACUAUUUGCGUCCAAAUGUUCGACGUGGGAACAUCACUCUCCAAGAACAAGUCUUGAUCCUUGAUCUUCAUUCCCGUUGGGGAAAUCGGUACGUAUAUAUAUGCAUGUAAACGUAUUUAAUUUUUUUCAAACAACCUUGUUUAGUUUUAGAAUGAAAUAGAGUUGGUCAAAUUAACUAACAUGAUAUUGUGUUAUUUAAUGAAGGUGGUCUAAAAUAGCGGAACAAUUACCGGGAAGAACCGACAAUGAAAUAAAGAACUAUUGGAGAACAAGAGUGGUGAAGCAAGCUAGGCAACUAAAAUGUGAUGUAAACAGUCAACAGUUUAGGGACACAUUGCGUUACGUAUGGAUUCCACGUCUUAUCGAGAGAAUCCAAUCUUCUGGUGCAACUGCAGAUACUAAUUCCUAUAGCCACGGACAAAUCACCACUUGCAAAAAUACUAAAGCUCAUAGUGAAACUUGUGGGGCAAAUGCAAAUCCUCCAAUGUUGCAGUCUGAGGUUUCAUCGUACUCGUCAGGGGUUGAAGUUCAAGUAGAAUCAAACGUAUCUUACAAUUUAAUGGAUUGUGCAGAACUGGGAUCCACGUGGCAGGACUGGAACUGUUUAGACUCAAACAUCCAAGAAUUUGAACAGAGCAAUGUUUUUGGUGAUUCAGAAUUGUGGACAGAUGAAAACAUAUGUUUCUUGCAGCAACAAUUGGCUGAUGAUUUAUGAUCCAGUUUUUUACACUAGGCAUUAACAAGUUAUAUUUAAGUUAGUGACAUUGUUAAAUUUAAUGGCAUUGUUGAGUAACUGAUUGUUUGUAAUUGUCCUACUCUUACAUUGAGAAUUAUAAUUGUGUAAUUGUAGUGCAUAUCUCUAAUUACAAAAUUAAUAAAGAAAGAACUUUGAUUUUCUUCUUGGAAGGACUUGUGUGUGUAUUUGUGUUAUGAAUGAAUUGUUCAACGUUGGUCUUGUGUUUUACGUUAUAACCAAUCCUCUAGAAGCAUAGAAUUUUAGAAAACGUGAUAGGAAGUUUGACAUUAAUAAUAGUAAGUAGUAGUAUAGUAUAAUGUUUUAAAUUCAAUGGGUUUCUCAUUAGUAGAGCACUAAGUGCCGUUACUUUUGAAACCAGCACGUUUCAUUGAUCUUCGUAGGUUAUUUUAGUAUUGACUGACUCGUUCACACAUGAUUGGUCAGUCAACAUGUUUAUUUGGUUUCUUUCCUAUGCAUUUUGUAUGUCGCAUGUAUGGUCACAGCUGACCUCAUAUCCCAGUUUAAACACAACAUUCUACUCCAUUUGUUAAUUUUUCUAUUUUUAUUUUUGGUACUAGGCUUUACUUGACUUUAUUGGUUUCAUUUCACCAUUGUGGGGGCCUAAACCAAGGUCGGGUGGCAGAGGAAAUGGAAGGUGUUCACACAGUAAUAAUGUUUAGCACCAAUUGAUAUAUAUAUAUAUAUAUAUAUAUAUAUAUAUAUAUAUAUUAUUUAAAUAUAUCCAAAAAUCAACAACUUAUUUCAUAAGAGUAAAACAUUUAAAAUUGAUGAUGUGAUCGAAAAGAGAGAGAAAACAAUAAAAAACAAAUAAUAUUUAAUUCAUAUAAAUAUACCGCCUUGGACGAACUUUCAAUUAAAAAAAAGAUAAUUUGCAUCGAUAUCUGAUAUAUUCUUCUUUUAAAUUUUAUGUGUCAUCUUUGUUUUGGACUUAAUUAAUGCAUUCCAAAUUAUUAUUUUUUUCAUUAUUUAUUUCGGAGUAAAAUUUUUACUUUUUUUUGGGGUCUAGGACAACCGUCAUCUUUAUUUAGCUUAAGAUAUGAUCCGUAUAUGUAGUAGUCUGUGUUCGAACUUAAAAUUUACUUCUUCUCGACACUUAAAUUGUGUGAAUUUAAUAAUUAAAUUACUCGACAAAAAAAAUUAUUUUCAAAUUAUUUAUAAAUUAUUUAUUAAAGAUUUUAAAGAACAUUAGAAGUUGAUUUGUGUUUGUUUAUGCAAGUAAGUAGAACAUAAUAUACGUAAGGUUUAGGGUUCGAACCUCAGACACCACAAAAAAAAAAAAUACAAGUACGUGGAAGUGGUUUUUAAACUACAAAACUACCAUUUAAUUUAGGUCAUAAAAUUUGUAUCCGAUGAUAAAAACAAACUUGAAAGUUGAAACUUCAUUUCCAUUUACUCCUAAAAACGUGAAUCCAGAAAAGCAAAAAAUGGAGAAAUGACAAAAUGCAACACACAAUGCACUCCCUUCUAUUUACAUUUAUUGCACCAUGAAGAAACAACAGUUAGUUAGUGUUAUUUAUCGGGGUAACUUGCGUAACAAGUUAUCUAGUUAGUUAGCAAUAAAUAAUCUUGUUGUGCACUAAUAAGAUGUAACAUACACUCUAAUUCUAUCAAUGAAAUAAUUUAUUUCAUUCAAUUGCUAGUCACAUAAUAACAUUGCUUGAAAAUAGUAUAUAUGCAUAAACCCAAACACGAGAUCCAGGCUUCAAAAGAAAGAAGAAGAAAAAAAAAACUUGAAAAACAUGAUUAAAAAACUUGAUUUAUUGUGGCAAAGCUAGGCAAUGCUUGUCAUUUUUGUAAAAUUGUAAGGGUAAUUUCGUAAACUAAUCGAAGUAAACUUAAUUCCGUGUUUUUUCCCCCUGUUUUUGGCGUUUGUUUUGAGAAUUUUCAUUAGAAAAAAUUGCUUUUUAAGGUUAAAAAUAAUUUAUAACAGGUUUAAUAGCAUGUGUGUUGAUGAGGGUCCAACCUAAGCUAAUCUGACCAUUAUUUUCAUAUUAGUAUUUCACACCUAACUAGUAUUCAUCAUUGUGGCUGACAACGAGAUAGUGAACUAAAUUAGGAUUCAAGAUAGGUACCUUCACAAGAAAGUAAAUUAGCUUUUGCUAAACUCAGAGUUUAAAAACAAAAUAAAAUAUGAGUUGUAGGAACUUAAAUCAUUCCAUUUCAUACAUCUACAUUUUAUUCUUUUCAAACAAAAUAAUAAGUGGGAUACUGACAAUAUAUUAUUCAUUUUUAUUAAAAUAUGAGAAUCCAAUUGUGUGACCAACGUGUUUGAUAAGGCUGAUGCAAUAAUAAAUUGAAAAAAUUUAAAAUCCAGAUUUUGAAAAAUAGAAAUAAAAUUGUCCUACCCCACAACCUAUAUUUCUUGGUUUAGAAUUUAGAUAUAUAGAAUGUACUAUAUCCUAAAUAUAUAUCAUCACAGACCUGAGUGACCACUACACCAAAUUUGAGCAUUUUGAAAAUGGAUUACAGCUAUGAACUUAACCAAUUUUCUUCCUUCUGUGCCAAAAUCCAUCCCCAAUGUCAAUGGAUUAUCUUCAAUCUGAUAUGUACAUUAAUUGAUUACACCUUAUUUGAUCAUAGUUUGAAAUUGGGGUCCCAUAAUACAAUUACUCCAGUUCCUGAUAUAGUUCCACAAAAAAUUAGUGCCCACUUAUAUUUAAUUCUAUCUACUAAUUUUGUUCAAAGAGUAGAAAAAAUAAAAUGAGCAUACCCUUCAACACUGUCAUGCGUCAGAACAUAUACUAGUUUGUCUCUAUUUACUUAUAAAUGAGGGUUAGUUUGGUAAAUGGCAAUGAGCAUUAACAUUUAAUGUGUAUCUAUAUAUUUAUGUGUGUAUGACCUUAUAUUCUAGUGCACUGUCUUGAAACAAAUCGUAUAGUAAUAUUAUAUACUAAUAUUAGCAUUAUGGUUCCAAGAAGGUGUUUCCACCUUAUUUUGUUGGUUCUUUCAUGUUUAUGCUUCAGCUGCAGAUCAGAAAUGGAGUCUGAUUUUGACAAAUGGAUAUCAUGGAACGUCAAGAAUUACCAGAGAAAGACCAUUAUGGAAAAGAGAUAUAGGAAUGUUAGUGGCAAUGUGCAAGGUCUUGAUCCUAAGCUGAAGAAAGCUGAGAGUAAUAAAGUUAGAUUAAAAGUUAGUCAAGAUGGUUCAGCUCAAUUUAAGAGUAUUACAGAAGCUCUUAAUAGCAUUCAACCUUAUAACAUUAGAAGAGUGAUUAUCUCCAUUGCACCGGGUUACUAUAGGUACGAAUAUGCUGACUAUAACUCAAAACUGUUUUAUUUUUUUAUAACAAAAAUGUUACAAGUGGUGAUUAUCUCUUAUAACUUGUGAUGAUUAAUUGAUUUCAGGGAGAAAAUUGUAGUCCCAAAAACACUCCCUUUCAUAACAUUCCUAGGGGACGUAAGGGAUCCACCAACUAUAACUGGAAAUGAUACACAAUCUGUCACCGGAAGCGAUGGGGCUCAGUUGAGAACAUUCAAUAGUGCCACUGUUGCCGUGAAUGCUAGCUAUUUUAUGGCCAUCAACAUUAAUUUUGAGGUACUCAAAAUAUAAAUUAUUUUCUUUAUUUAAUUGGGCUAGAAUUUUGUUGAGAUAAAUAUUGGAGGGAAAGUAUAGAAUAGAAUAAGAUAAAAUUGAUCCUGUUGAAUUUUAUCUCAUUCCAUUAUUUCUUUUAUAAUAUAACAGAACACUGCUUCAUUUCCUAUUGGGUCGAAAGUAGAACAAGCUGUUGCGGUUCGCAUCACCGGGAAUAAAACUGCCUUUUACAAUUGCACAUUCUCUGGUGUUCAAGACACCCUAUACGAUCACAAAGGCCUUCAUUACUUCAACAAUUGCACUAUUAAAGGCUCAGUUGAUUUCAUUUGUGGUCAUGGGAAAUCCCUCUAUGAGGUAAUCUUUCCAUUCAUGAGUUCAAGUUCAAAUAUGCACAUUUGAAAAACUUAUGAAAUGGGCUUUUAUGGCCAAGUGGGUUGUUAAUGAGUUAUAAUAGAAAGAUUUUGAUAAUAUUAAUAAAAGUACAAUUUUCAUGUCUGCCACUAUAUACAAUAGCUUGUUGCCUAAUCAACCAUUGCCUAGUUUCUGAUUGAAUUGGUAUGCAGGGUUGCACUAUAAGGUCCAUAGCCAACAACAUGACCUCCAUUACAGCUCAAAGUGGUUCAAAUCCGUCAUAUGAUAGUGGAUUUUCCUUUAAAAAUAGUAUGGUAAUAGGUGAUGGACCAACUUAUCUUGGAAGACCAUGGGGAAAUUAUUCACAAGUUGUUUUCUCCUACACCUAUAUGGACAACAGUGUUCUGCCCAAAGGAUGGGAAGAUUGGAAUGACACAAAGCGCUACAUGUUAGUACUAAAAUUAAUACAACAAAGCAUACACUUAGAUUCUGUCUUAUUAUCAGAUAGCUAUUUUUUUCCCUAAUGUUUCCUUAAAAAUCACACCCUUUUCGAUUUCUCAAUCCGGACGGGAAAUACAAAAAUGGUGUGUUUUUCCUGUCACUAGACCGAUGUUUAAGGAUCAUUGAGGUAGAAAAAGAAGCUAAUUUUUAUCAUGUAAGUGCAAAUAAAAAGCUUAUUAGGUAUUUUUGUUUGUUUACAAAUGCAGGAAUGCAUAUUAUGGAGAAUAUAAGUGUAGUGGACCUGGAUCCAACACCGCCGGAAGAGUCCCAUGGGCACGGAUGCUAAAUGACAAAGAAGCUCAAGUCUUUAUUGGGACUCAAUACAUUGAUGGGAACACUUGGCUAAUCAGCCCUUAAUCCAAGACAGAUACCUUUGGAGUUUAAUUUACUACUAUAACAAAUACCUGCAUGCAUAUAUGCAGGACUUUAUUGUUAUUCAUCAACAAUAUAUAUUAAAUAUUAUGUUUUUAUUAGAAUGUGAAAUGAAAUGAAUAAAGGAAGAUAUUAUUUUGAUGUUGUUUGGAUUGGAUGGUAUGAGGCCCAUUGCGAGUACCGUAUAUUAACACAUUUUGUUGAGAAGUAUGGUUAAGUCAAAAUUGGUUUUAUAACAUUUAGUUUCUUAAACAAACAUGUCUUUAAUAAUCUUUUCCAAUUAGGGCUAAUAAUUAUGCUUGAAAGUAUAAACGCAAAAAUAAAUGAUGCUGCUUCUGAUUUCUGAAUACAUUGAACAUCAUUCAUGUCAAAAUUCCACUUGGAAGGUUACCUACAUAUAUUUUACAAUACCAACUAGGUAGACUAGAUCACUAAAUCGCUACGGCCAAAAAAUAAAUAUCAACACUAUUUAUAAAACAAGGACAAUAAUUGAAACAAAAAGAAAAAGGACUAUAAACAAUGAAAGUGAUUCAAGUGUCAUGGUGAUAAUGGGUAUUGUCUUCUUGUUUUUGGAGCUUGAAUUGAUCAAGACGUGAAUCUCCCAAUCGAAGAGCAUAUGCUGCUUGUUUAUAUUGGGCCCAUGUAAAGGGCUUAUACAGAGAUGGGUUAUGGGCUGUCACCAUCUUUGAUAAUGGACUGAUCCACCAAUUCAACGGUGGUGCUGCAAAGUACAUCAUUGACAUUCUGGGCUUUGUUGUGUUUGUCAAUACUCUAUGUCUCACACUCACAAACCUCCCAUUUGUCAAAACCUACACAAAAGAAAAAACACAAUUAUUAUGCAAAAUGAUUGUCGAAACUUUAAAGUGUAACGAAAUAUCUUAGUAGUACAAUGCAAUUAUAAACUGAUUUGAUCAUUAGGAAGCAAGUUACCUGAAGAGAAUCUCCAACCAUGACAUAGAAUUCAUUGGGGUCAGGAUGGACAGGGAUCCACAAUCCAUGUUGAGUUGAAAUCUGAAGGCCACCUACGUUGUUGGACCGUAAGAUGGUUAGGAUCUGAGGGUCAGAAUGCUCUCCAAAUCCAAUAGUAUUAUUAUUGUUUUGGAAUUUUGAUGGGUCCAAAUUAUCUUUGCUUAAUUUCUUCACUGGAGGGUAGUGAUUGAUCCUAAGGACUGAGUCACUAUGAACGUCUUUGAUAACUUUGCUUAGUGAGGACUUGUCAGGGACCCACAAUCCUUCUGCUGCUAGCUCAAGAAUCUCACAUGCUAAUUCUUUAACUGCUUCUAUAUAAUCAGUGACGAUGCAACUGCAAGAAAAUUGGAAGGCCAAAAACGUUACACAUAGUCACAACUAUUAACUAACACUACUAUUUUUGUAUAUUUUUUUUUUAAAACAAUGCGUCUUUUCUAUUAUCAACGUUGCCAAAUAUUAGCCGGCAAAGACACGUGGCGGGUCAAAUCAUUUAUCUCAUUUCACUUUUUAAUUAUUGAAAUGAAGAAAAUAAAGGUUUUUCCUAUAUUCUUGAUUUGAUUGUGCUAAUGAAUACUACUAGUUCACUAUUGAAUUGAUUGGAACACGAGCGAGACACGCAAUGAGUUAUUGAUUGGUUUAAUUUCUUUGUGGUCAAAGUGAAUGGAAGAUCUUUAUAAAAAUAAAUAUAAAUAAAUAAUAAUAACAAGCAAAAUCAAGAUCAUGUUGUCACAACAAAUAUCCAUAUGCGAGAUAUUAUGCCAAAAAUAACCUAGUUCGCUGUGGAUUACUUUGCCAUAUAUGUUUUUUCAGCUCACUCAUAACCAAUAAGAUAGUGUUGUAUCAUGUGAAUGCUUUUUUUGCCACCAUUAAAUACCAUCAUGUCUCAUUUGAUUCAAUAAUAAAGUUAUAUCUAAUUAUGUAUGGUGAACCAUUUUUCUUCGUGUUCUAUAUGACUAGUAGGUGUUAUUUCUGGAUGAGUCCAAAAGUAACGCUUAAUUAUGCAUGAUGAUUAUUCUUGAUGAAGAUAAGUUUCUCUAGCAAUGGCAUCACACAUAUUACAGCCUAAUGUCAUAAGAUAAUUUUGGGGGCUGAUGGAUGGUUGGUGGGUUCCAUAUUCAAUUUAAGAUUGAUUGCCACUCCCGUUUCCUCCUCCUGAUUUGAUUGAAUUGAAUUUAUUAUUAUUAUCAUCUUUAUCUUAAUCCUCAAUUAACAAAGAAAGGUAAGUUGACACAAAGGGGCAAAUCAAUAUUUGAAUCUUUUUAGAAGAGGUAUCUAUAUUCAUUGAUAUAUAUAACACCAUUCGUGGUAUACACCGUUUUAACCUCCACACACAAAUGUGACAAGUGUCCAUGUGACCCUUUAAUCUCUAACCUCUUACUUAGUACUCUUGUGAUGUUACAACAAAAACCAAUGUGAUUUUGGUACAAGUCAGGAAAAUGGUUAUGUAGUUUUGUACACACAAAGUCAGAGACAGGGCUCAUCAAGAUGAAUAGAAGCCCAAAUGAAUCCAUUCUGUUAACAUCAGAAUGGUCUCCAACUAAUUGAAAAGUGUAGUAGAAGUCAUAGUCACGUAGCCAAAUCAACCACGAGAAAACAACUACAUAUUACAUCAAGAAGGUGAGGCAAAAUGCAUUUGUUAGACUAUUAAUUAAAAUAAAUUUCAUUUCUGGUAUGAUUUGGAAUAUAAAGGAAAAAUGUCCCUAUCUAGGAUACAAAGCAUAAAGCAUUGAUAAUAUUAAAUACUUAUGUCCUUCCUUCACAGUUCUUUUUGUUAUAUCAACCUUUUGAAAUGUUACCGCAAUAUGGAAAUAAAAAAUGAUGCAUCAACCACCCAAAUAUAGAAUAUCAAUGUUUUGUCAAACUCGUCAGAGUCUGUACUCUGGCUAUCCCCCCACCAGCCUGCUUGACACUUAAGAAACACUAACUGAUAACACCUUGUUCCCUACCUUAUAUAUUACUUCAUAUAUUAUAAUCCUAAAGUCCCCUCAAUCUCCGUUAUUAUAGUAUUAAUUACAUUAUAUUAUACUUUUCCCCCACUUUUUAUCAUUAUGUUAUAAACCAAUAUCAAAUUAAUUGUUCAUGUUAAAGGUUGGAAUAUAUUAUUGACAAAUAUUUUAUCUAAUUAAGUUACAAUUAAUGAGUGACGGAAUCAAUACCUGAACUUGAUAGGGUGAUCUUUUGCAAUGGUUUUGGAUCUCUCAGAGAUUGAAUUAGGAUUGGUGUGAAGGAGAAGAUACUCAAGGUCACCUUUAUCACCAUUGGGACCAAUAUUUUUGCAGCCAUAACCAAAAGGAGUAGAAGUACCAGCUUGAAGUUUCUCUGUAGAGUUUUUUGAGAAAAACUCUGUUCCUUCAUUUUCCAACCUUGAAAUAACCUCCUUUGGUAUACCAUGAUUCACCACCUUAAAAAAACCAUAUUCUUCGCAAGCUUUCACAACUAAUUCCGACAACUCUGACCUUUCCAUGGAAAGGUCAAUUGUCGGAAUUCCCACGGCCUUUGUUUUCUUAGUUCUUAUCAUGGAAGUUGGAGAAGGUACUACCAUUGUUAUAAGCUAAGUAUUCUAAUAGAUAUAAGAAUGAUGAAGAUGCUGAAAUUUUUUGUAGUUCUAGAGAGAGUUUAGAUUUUUGGUUGGAGGAAAGUGGCAUGGUGUAUAAUCUAUUUAUAAGGAGAAGGAAAGAAGGUAGUGAAUAAAGUUUUUAUAUUUUUUUAAUGAAAUCAAUUAAUUUAUUAUGUGAACGACCAAGAUGGGGUAUGGUUAUUAAAUAACAACUAUAAAUAUAUAUAUGCUAGUAUAUUCUUAUGUUUAAUUUUAGAAGGCGUGGACUUUUUAGACAAGACAGCGGAAGAUGGGUGAAAAGGAAAUGGAAAUUUGAAAAAUUGAAAAACAUAGUGAAACAUUUGUGUGUGCAUGAAUUGAUUUGAAGAAAGGAAUCUCAAUUGGUCAAGUCUAAGGAAAUACAAAUGUAUUUUUAUAAUGUAACAUGGUAACUAUCUGAAAAGAAUUUAUGUUACAAUUGAUUUUAAUUGUUUAAGGAGUAAGUUUUUAAGGUAGGAGGUGGCUACAAUAUUAGGUUUAGGUCAGAAAAUUUGAGAGACUUGGGAACCAACUGGUCAUGGCUGUCUGCUCUUAAUUGGUGUACCAACUACCACCUAUUUUAAGAACCGUGUCACCGUGUGGUCUUUCUUUCUAAAUGAAAAAGUUGCUAUUUGCACCUCCAAAAUUGAUGAAUCUCAGUGUUAGUUACGCGUAUGGUAUAAGUUGACUGUUUGAAAUUAAAUGUUUGACUCAGUUUACUGAAUGCUUGUGUACUUUACAGCUCCGCGCGGUUUUUUUCUAUUAUAGAAAGUUUUUACGAUAUUUUUAGAUACAACGACUAACUUGUACCGACAUUACCAUUAUUGGAAUGUGACUAUAUUAGAAUCUUUGAACACUCAAUCUCACAUCUUUUAAAAACUACACCCUAUUCCUAUUGCUUUGAUAAAAUUACAUGGCUUGACAAGACUAUUGAUUAGUUCGGGAGCGUCAAGGGCAACAACAUAUCAAUACUUUAGGACUACAAGAGAGAUGGAGAUAUUAUACACUCAGAACCUUCGACUUAUUCACCUAAUCACUUACAUUUAAACUCAAUAAUCUUUUUUAUCAAAAGCGUGAGUUUCCACUUCUUAUACUUGAUCUCUCCCACCAACUUGAGAAAGAUCUCUGACACAAUUUGUUGAGGAGGAAUAUUGGGAGCAAAAAAGAUCAAUGUUUCGGGAUCAUAGAGAAUGACACUAAUCUCUGUCAAAAACCUUAAAAUAUUAGAUAUGCGAGUCUUCUAUCUCGUAUAUUAAACAUUUUACUCGUUUAUAAACGAUGUGAAACUAAUCACUCACACUUAAACUCAACCAAUCCUAUUAUGUUACCAUCAAGCGUUAAGUAUUGUCUUGUAUUCAUAUCUUGUAAAUAGAACAAAUAUGGUUGGAAUGAUAAACUCCACAAAUAUUUAUUGGUCAAGAUUAAAAAAAAUGGUCAUCAGCACAGUCACACCGAAUAUUUUAUGGAAAAUUUCUAUAAAAACUCAACUUGAAUUUUUUUUUUUUUAAAGAUGAAAUACUUUUUAAAAUAAGGAUUAUUACGGAAUAUAUUAAUAUAUAUUCAUUUUUAAAUGAAUUGUGUAAUGAUAUUCGCAAUGAAUUAUAGAUGUAUGGAACACAAUCAUGUAGCAAUCUAUGCCACUAAUAUUUUUUGGAUCGUAAAAUCAAUUCUUUUAAAGAAAACAUUCAUGGACUAGGGGACAUAACAUCAUGCAUAACCCUUUGAACUCAAUUUAAAAUGUCAACAACCUUUAGAACUACAAAGCCAAAAGUGUUAAUAGAAUGUUAAAACCUCCGGUCUUAUAGGUGCUAGGAAGACAAACGUGUCAAGUGCGUUGCCGCGUAUACGUGAUCAAGUAAUUGGUUGGUUCCACUAUAUUCCGAUCUAGAAUGGUCUUGAAUACGUCUACCGUACAUGAAAAAAACGUGAUGAAUUUUUUUAUCAAAAGUAGUCGACCAGCUUUGGCCAAAUUGCAUAUACUCAUUUUCUAACCACAAGAGUGCAUGAGCCCGAGUAUAUAUACGACAUGAUAAUAUUGUAACUCAUCAAACAAUAACAAUGUAACUCUGUUAAAAUGCGCAUGAUAAUGUAGGGUACUGUUGUAGCAAGUAGAAACAGAAAAUCUCUCUAGCAAAUCCAUACACGACAUGGUUGUGUAAUUUAUAUGUCCUCAGGCGGUUUUUGUUGAAUACUUGAAUGGUGAGACUGAGACAUGUUCUUCUGUAGCUGAAAAUGAUAUCAUCUUUAAAAAAUUGAAACUAGUUUAUUCAUUAAUAAUAUCUACAGGAAUAUCAUAUAUCGUAUCAUAAUAUCAAAUAUGAUAGAUACAGAGAACAUGAGUAACAUAUAGUGCAGGUGUUUCCUAGGAGCUGCUGGCCGUGGAAGGGUCAAGGUCGUGUUUGUGUUCUUUGUUUAUACUUUUGUUUACUAACUAAGUGGAAGCUUGUCAGGCUUGGAUCAUUAUGUUUUUCAAAAUUUUAUGGACGGCAAGUUCAUACCUUAAAAUAUAUUCCCUCCCUUUUAAAAUAAGUAACCUUGUGAGGCAUUUCAAAAUAAAUAGAUUCAAUUCAUUUUAUAUAUAUUAAGGAUUAAUUACACAUGAAUAGAAAGUAAGAGGGCAAUUUAUGUUAGAUGACAAAGUCAAAUCUCGUAAACACAAUAUUCAUGGACCUAGGAGUCAUGACAUUAUUGUGCAUGACCCUUUGAACUCUAUGUAGAAGGUUAACAACCUCUGGUGCUAAGAAGCCAAAAGUUUCAAAAGCAAAUUGUAUAAAAGUAUGUUGAUUGUCAGAACACGCUUUCUCAUAAGGUUGUCUGUCAUACCAUAAAAGACCCGACCCCUAAAUCAACGAGUGGUGAAACCCUAGUCAAAUCCACAUUUGCAUAUUUUCCUCCUACCCAUCCGCACACCAUAAUAUCUGCAAGUUUAACUAUCGAUCUUCUAUCUAGUGGGUCAGUAAGGAAGUUCAUAGGGACCUCCUUCUUCACUGAUACUCCCACCUGCCUAAAUAUAUAAAAAAAAAUGACAUCCCUAACAAAGUCAUAUUUGUACUUAAAGCCAAGAAGCUCCUUACAAUGAACUGUAUGCUUCACAAAAGUAUCCAGGCACACCUUACGAAAAACAAAACAUACAUCAUCAACAGGAAAUAGUGGAAUCAUAAGGCGAUAUCUAAGGAUAGUACGGUACUCCACUGAUGACAUAUGCUGACACAACCCAUCCAUCAGGAUAGCUACAAGAAAAUCAUGAGAAUUUGUUGCUUUCAAACAUCCUAAAAGUGACUUCUGUCUAGUGAUCAUGUCAAACUUAACUUCCAUAUCUUGAACACUUUUACUAAAAUGGACAAUCGUCAAAACUUGUUGUGCUUUAGGAAGGACGUUGUCCUUCUAAGUAAAACUGCUAGUAUCAAAAUAUGAAAGUAUAGGUUAUGUAGGACAUGAGACCAUCUCUUCAUAAACUACGAGUACAUAUUAUAUAUUUAUACAACUACAUUAAAAUUAAUUUAAGCAUUUUUUUUUAACCAAAACUUUGAGGCGUAGACUUCUUACUUGAGUUGCUUAGUCCUUUAACCGAUCUUGAGUAACAAUUGCUUUCUUCCAUAAGAAAUAGAUGAAAUAUUGUGUAUAUACACCAUUAAUCUACUUAUCAUAUAUUAGACCGAUAAGAACACUUAGUAAGUAGUACACUUGGUUUUUAAGACUGAAAAAUGUAGAGAAGAUUUUUUUUAGUUGAGGAAAAUGUAUAAUAGAUUGAAAUUCUAUAUACAUAUAUAGUAUUUUAUGUUUUAGGUUAUUUUGUGAAAAAUUGGCGAAACACAAUCAUGUUUUAAGGGGAAAAGUGAGCUGCAACAAAACAGGGUACAUGUGCAUCAUCUAUGCACUUGCAAUUUUAUAUUAUUAUGAAUUGCCAGUCUCAGGUGAGGUAGUGGAUCAGGAAUAGAGUGAUAUUUGUAUGCAACGUGGUACCUUUAGAGACAAAUGUUAUUAGGAGGCCUCAUUUCAAACACCUCCCAAUCAAUUUGUAACUUUUUCCUAUCAACUUUUAUGAUGCGUGUAAAUGUGCAACUUAGUCGCAUGUGUCAAUUUGCUCCAUCAUUUUCAUAAAAUGCUGAGUAGUAUGCUUUCAUUUUAAAAAACUUUAUCGAGUUAUAGUUCCUUCUUCGUUGAACAUUGAUUGAUGUAUGAAACACGGAUACAUACAUGAAUAUUAGGCAUGAAACAAAUGUUAAGAGUUCCACAUCGAAUAUGUGAUGGUCUGACAAUGUGUUUAUAAGUGGGACAAUUCUCAUCUCACAAGUCGGUUUUGUGAGAUUGUGUUAGGUUCAACCACGAUUUCUAAGAUGGUAUCAGAGUCUCUCCAAGAUCCAUUGGACCACCUGCUAUCAGGUUUCCGCUAUCCACCCACCAUUUAUAUCUACGAACUAAGCCCAAUAGUGCUGGUCGUGAAGAGGUGUGUUAAGAGUCCCACAUCGGAUAUGUGAUGGUCUGACAAUAUGUUUAUAAGUGAGGGCAAUCCUCACCUCAUAGGCCGGUUUUGUGAGGUUGUGUUAGGCCCAACAACGAUUUCUAAGAACAGACAUUAUCAUAUAAUUCAGAGUUUCAAGAAGUGUCGGUGUUUCAUAGAUAUUGAUAAUUCAGUAUGACAAUUCAGAGAUUCCAAUUUGACACGACAAACUUUUUGAUAUGUAUGGAAGGACUAACUUUGUGUGAAGUGAGGGACUAGUGUAACAUUUUAUAAAAGAGAGGGAUCAAAUUGAUGCAUUCUACAAAAGUGAAUGACUAAAUUGGACCUUUAAUCUAUAAUUUUACUAGACUAUUCAUAUUUAUCGGAGAUGAAAAAUUGAAUCGUAUUCUCGAUAUGUUCGAAUAUCCCUGUCACAUCUCCAUACAUAUGGUGAAUCUUUUUUUUAAUGAGUUUUUUCCCGGUCUUGAGCACAGUUUCGUAAUACAUUAUCCAACAAUAUAUUUACUUUAACAUUUCAUUGACCAGAUGAUAUGGUUGCUUCUUUAAAUAUCAAUGACAAUUUUUAUAACAUGACAAUUAUCAAACCAAAUAACAUAGCAUAUCAAAUAAAAUGAGUAAUAAAGAGGUAAUAAAGUAAUUUUGACAUUCGAGAAUAAGCUUGAGUAUAAGUUGGGGGUGGAUACUUAUAUUCCUUAUACUUUUUUUUUUUUUUUAGGGAUUAUAUCCUUGUUGCAUGUCUUGUACCUGUGUUUUGAAAUCAGAAAAGCUCAACACACACUCAAACUUAAUCAAAGUAGAGAAAACCUAUCAAAUCGGAGUGAGUUUGGACACAUGUUUGCGGAUACAAGUUUUGCUGUCAUUCCUAUUUAUGGCUGUUAUUUUUGAAAUUAAUACUGCCAAAGGAAUUAUCGGGUUGAGUCACGACCAGGUCGCUCUCUUUAAGACGUUUCGCGGCACUACCCUAGUUGUGCAAGGUAGACUAACAACCACGCCGUCUCCAGGAUAAAACAGUCCAGAUCACUGUUACGAUUAUAUACUGCACAGUACACAAUCGCUCGUAGAUUUACACCUCAAAUAUAGUUUAAUCGUUUGAUUAAAACUAUUCAAUACGGUACGUAGCCGCUCUAUUCGAAAUCGAAAGGGACAGAAGAAGAGAAGGAAAAGAAUGACUCGUUAACACAAGUCGAAGGGAGAAGAGAGGAAUCGCACAUGAAUCUUCAACUGCGAAAUUCGAUGUAAAGAAUGAUUAGAUUAAUUAAAUAAUUAAUUUAUCAUUUUCAAGUGACAAAAAAUAUAUAUUUUAUUUUUCACCCACGACCCAAGCCCGGCCCGGCCCGGUCAUCGUCGUGCGAUAUAUAUGUUUUUGUAAGCGUUCACCCGUUCACAAAAGUGGGUAUCCUAAGGGCACACCUUUGAAGGUCACUCUACCCUUAUAUAAACACUUUCUAGUUGGUGUGGCUCACCAAUAUGGGACAUUUUUAAGUCACACACUCACACUAGUUCUUAUAUUGUGUUUUUCUUAUCCAAUUUUCUCACUAGAUUUAACUAGUGUUCCAACAAUGGUUGCAUUCUGUAAUCCAUUAAUCAAUCUCGUUGAUCCCUUUAUCUUGUAAUACAGGAGAUAUAAACGUUGUUUCAUGUCAAGUGUUGUCCAUAUAUAAUAAUUGUUUUCCCUAUAUUCAGUGAAAUGAUAUGUACAUAUACAUGCAUCUUAACCGCAGCACGCAGACCACAUUUUUUUUUUUUUUUUAAAUAUGUGUCUUUGGCCACAAAAAGAAAGUUUGAUUAAUCUGUUUGAACAGUUACUCAUCAACAUUUUCCUACAAAGAACAUAUUAUAUAUAAAUAAAUGAAAUAGGGCAAUGAUUCAACACAAGUUACGGGAGAGAGUCUAUCAUAUAAAUUAUAUAAUAUUGAUAAAGUAUCUGUGUCCUAAUUUGUAACCAAGAUUGAUUAAUCUUGGGUCCCUUCCUUCCACCUCUAACCUUCCCCACACGAAAGAAAAUUUGUUAAUCACAAAAGGUAAUUAAUUAAAAAAAAUUAAGGAAUAAUAAUCAGCAGGUGUUGACAGUGGCAGGUAGAAUCUACUCAUAGUGGCCAUAAAGUGGACGGCAUUUUGAUGGUCAUGAAGAAGAUGACACAAUUAUAUUUUAUAGUUAAAUGCAAUUAUUAAUCAAAAUAGUUUAAAAAUAUAUUUUGAUAAAUAAUUAAUAUUUUACUACCUAAACGAUUAGGACAAAAACGCCUUUUUUGGUCUCCAAUUAUCUAAUAUGAUAUUUUAUGGAAUAACAUGUAAUACUGCAGUUGAAAAAGACUACUUCAAUUAAAUAGAGUAUGAAUGUUCAAGUUCAACGAACUUCUUUUUUUUCUCCUACUUAUUUAAUCAUUCAUUUCAUAGUAGUAUUUAAAUAGCAUAGUACUAACUUAAAUUGAUAGAAUUCUGUGCAUUUAAUCCACAACUGGAGAAAUCCAAAAAUCCUACUUUUAUUAUUCUGUACAGCAACCUGCCAAGUGCCACCCCUGCAGUUGAUUCAACCUCUACUCCACCCUUAUCUGAUAGCUGCCAUGUUUUUUAUUUUUUCCCUCUUUUAUUAUAUUUUCCGGCCAUGUCAUCAUGGAUCAUUGAAUUAUAUAUAAGGCUAUACUUAAUAUAUUUUUUAGUCAAAAAUAAUAAUAAUUUGUUAUAAAUAUUAAUAGUGGUUGUCCAAAUAGAAAAUAUGUUAUUGGGCCAUACUAUUAGGUUAUUGGGCUUAGUUCAUAAGCUACUCUAUUUUCUUAUAAAUAGAGUUCAUUUGUAACAUUCAGAUACAUACAUCAGUGAAUAAUAAUACUGCUCAUAUUCUCUCUUCUUCUCCUUCUCUCUGUUACUCUCUCUAUUUACUUAUUUUCAUAACAUAAUUACCCUUUUAAGUGAAAGGUAUCCGACCAUACUAAUAGUAGCAUUUGUUGGUAUGAAAUGAAUGAUGUGCUGUGGAGAAUGAUUCUUCGAGUCAUAUAAAAUCAUUUUAGAGACAAAAUUUUCCAUCAAAAAUUAUAAUUUUAUAGUAUCCUCAAAGUUAAAUUAAUACUUAAAACCACUAGUUAUGAACCAAAAGAAACCUAUACUAUACUUCCUUCGAAAUGAAAGCAAAAAAAGAGUUAAAAAGUUUAUGUAUGUGGACUAAAUCUUUAACCACAUACAUUGAUUUUUAACAAACAUUUUUACUUAUAUUUCAUUUUGAAUAGAGUAUAUAAUUCUAAUAACAUUUUAAUCUAUUGGACCUGAAUUCGUUGGGAUUUGCAUAGAAGGAGAGAAGAAGGAGUAAAGUGAGAAAUAGUGAGAAAGUAUGGAAUUUUGAUUAUGCAACAACUUGUUCUCAUUCAUUGCUUCAAUGCAUACUUAUACAACAUUCUAAAUGGGAUCGCAAGCACCUAAUAACUAGGAUCAAUAUUAUAUAAUACAUCAAUUAGUUAAUUUGCUUGUGCUUCAAGCAUCUUAACUAACUUGGUUGGUUAAUUACUUGCACUUCAAGUAACUUAACCAAACCUAAUUAACAAUAUGAGUUCUUAACAAACUCAGUAACUAUCCAACAAUCUUAGCCUCUAAUUUCAAUUAUAUCUCAAUAGAUUUUGCAUUAGUUUGAUUGUCAGUUCUGAUGUGGUCAAUUUUUUUUUUUUGAAGGGAAAUGUGGUCAAUUUAUAUUAACACAUAUGGUGUGUCAAUGUGUUUUCAAUUAUAUAAAUCAUAUCAACGGCAAGCUCUCGAGUUCGUCAUGAACUAGUACUUAAAAAUCGUCAUUCAUUUUCUCCUAUUUAUUUACUAACACCGAUUAUCAUAUCAAAGUCAAUUGUGUUUUUUAAAAAAAAAUUCAACGAUGACCAAUAUUGAAUGUAGAACUUUUCCGUAUUAAUAUUAGAGAAAUGUUAAAAAAUGUCUUGAUACAUUAUUUAAGCAACUGAAAGUAAUAACUUUUGUAUAAAAACAUGUGUAAUUACUACUUUUACAUGUGUUUGACUUAUGUUUUCAAGAUAAAUUUCUUACUCCCUCCGUCCCACAAUAGAUGAUCUAUUUGACAAUGUAUAAUAUUGACUUAACAUUCUUUGAUUGUAUUUUUCUACUAAUAUAUAAAGAUAAACAUUAUCAUGUAAGAUGUUGUUUGAUUCGUCUUGAUGAGUAUUUUUAAUAUAUUAAAUUUUCAUAAUUUUUUUUAAUAAAGAAUUAAAGAUAUUAAAUAUAAAAAAUAUGCAUUGAUAUAUGUGUCAGAGUCAAAUAUGUCAAGUAAUAUAGGACAUAUAAAGUAUAAUGGAUUCUAUAAACAAAGCCCUUACCACACUUGUUCGCAUAACUCUUAGUAUUAACUACUUGUCAAAUUAUAUUCCAAUCAUAAUUAAGGAUAACCGGGAAUGAAUUGGAAUUUCGAAUUGCUAAAUAGAUUUUUGUGAAAAGUGGAAUACGACAACAAGCCAUUGCAAAUAUCUAAUAUUAUGAUAUACUUCAUCCGUCCUUUAAUAGAUAAUUUAUUUGACAAUAUAUAUAUUAUUGAUUUAACAUACUUUAAUCAUAUUUUUCUACUAAUUCACAAAGAUAAAUAAUACUCUUCGAUCCUAUUUAUAAGAAACAUUUGACUUUUUUGAUUCAUUGCAUAAAGGAUGUAUUUGGUUUAUAUUCUAGACAAGAUACAUCAAUUACUCAAUGAAUCUAAAAAGUUAAAUUUUUCUUAUAAAUAGGACCGGGGAAGUAUCAUGUAAGAUGUUGUUGGAUUCGUCUCGAUGAAUAUUUUUAAAAUAUUAAAUUUUCAUAAUUUUUUUUACUUGAGAAUUGAACAUAUCAAAGAUAAAACAUAUGCAUUGGUACGUGUGUCGGAGUCAACUAGGUCAUCUAAUAUUAGACGGAGGAAGUAUAUAUAUAUAUAUAUAUAUAUAUAUAUAUAUAUAUAUAUAUAUAUAUAUAUAUUCAAUUUAAUGUAAAAAAAAUUAUGAAUCUCUGUAUAUGCAUACACGAAGUACAUGUAUAAAACAAUUUUAUAGAGAUUUGUUUCCUGAAAAUGUUAAUAUACAUGACAAAUCUAUCAAGAAUAAUCCAUUUUAUCAAUUAUUUGUUAAUUAAGUAUAUAUAUUUCUCGUGCCAUAUAAUUUCGUCACGCCGACAAGUUAAUUUAUCAGAAAAAUGAUACAAAAUUGUUGAUUGAUUAGUAAGUGGGCAAAAAAGUAGUUGAUGAUUACCUUGCCUUUUGUCUAAAGAAUAACGAUAUAUGGAAAACAACAACAAGUGUAGACAGUUGCUUAUCGACAACUAUAUGUAUUUAUACUAUAUAGUGUUUUUCUAUUAAUAAUAUAUAAUACUAAAAAAAAACUAUAUUAAAGUGGUUCAUAUUGAUGCCAAUGGUUGAGUAUUUUAGGUCCUCUUCCACGGUGCAACAACAUUUUUCGUUAAGAAAAUAUACCGAAUUAGUCCAAUCAAAAAUGCUAAAUGGUGCGAAAGGAUAUUCGCACAAAACACACGAAUGGAUGUAAAACCUUUGAAUUGUUACGUGUGUUUUUGUCAAAUUUAAUCUCAAUUGAAGACAUGCCUUUUAACUACACCUCUAAUAUAAUUUUAUAUUGAUGUAGCAUAAUCCUAGUCCUUCUUCUAUCUCUCGUUUGACACCAAUAGUGGCUUCUUGUAACAGUUCUAUCCAACUUCUACCUGUUUUAUUUUUCACUCUACUUUUUCAUUUUUAAUUUAACUUUUGAUUAUUCAUUCCAAAAAAAGAAGCUGGGUUGUUGUAGUUCUGAAGAACAUGCACGUGGAUGAAGUUUCAUAGGAGAAGAAAAGGAAUAGAAUGAAGGGUCCUUAUUAUGAUCAAUUAGAUGAAGAAAUUCCACCGUCAAAAAGAUAAGAAAAUUCCCAAGCGGUUAUAUUUAACUUUUCUGUUAUUUAAAAAAUUUACAAGUGGGAUGAGUAGGACAAAAAAAAUCACAAGAGUUUGUAGGAUAAAAAAUUUACAAGUAUUUUCGUUGAAUUUGCGCGAUAAGUUUAUCGUGCGAUAUAGCACUUCUCUAGUCCAAUAUUGUAGUAUACAUAUUUAGAUUGGUGUGAGAGCUGAAUAUAGUUACAAAAAAGGAAAGUUGAAUAUAAAGAGGCAAUACAUGACAAUAAGGAAUAGACAGCAAAAGAUCAAAUCGAGAGACAAAUGUGAUAUAUGAAAGGAUGGUUACUUUGGAGUAUAUAUUACAUGAGAAAAUAAAGAAAAUCCCUGUAUAAUAUUUUGCCAAUCGAAUGAAAAGAGAAGUAACUUUUUUGUUUCGGAAUGGAGGUGAAUGUUAGAAAUUGUCUCCACCUCACAAGCCGGUUUUGUGGUGUUGUGUUAGGCUCAACUACGAUUUCUAACAUAAUAUAAGAGUUUAUCCAAGAUCUACCGUUGUCGGGAUUCCGCAUUACGAUGCUUCAUGCCCAUUGGGUCUGAGCGUGAGGGGGUGUAUUGGAAAUCCCACCCCCCGAGCGUGAGGGGGUGUGUUGGUAAUCCCACCCUUAAUUGUGAUUUGGCCCUAGUUGCCUUAUGUUGGCUUGUCUUUGAGGGAGUGGAUUUAGUCUCACAUCAGUUAGAUAGGAAGAUUGAUCAGAGUUUAUGAAGAGGUGCACUCCUCACCUUACAAGCCAAUUUUGUAAGGGUGAAUUAGACCUCAAAUUUCAAUAGUGAAGACAGCGUUCAGAGUUAAUUGGAUGUGGUGAAGGAUCACAUUGCUACUUGGCGAAGGGUUAUGUUUUUAUAUUUUUGUAAGACUAAGAACUCUUAAGCUCAAGCCAACAAGAGUUUUAGUGUUUUAAAAGAGUUAGUGGUUUAGCCGAAGUUGAGAAUGUACCUUUCACUAAAGAUUAUAAGCCUUUUAAAAAUGACAUGUAAGGAACGAUUUGUUCACAUAUAUCUCGAUGUAAUUUAUUACCAAUCAGCGUAUAAUUGAUAUCAAAAGGUCGUGAUUUGUUCCCAGAAAUUUAUCUAAUACAUUGAUGGACAGGGUGUUACUAUGUUGGAUCAUGAAUCAUUCGUGGAUUGGAUCUUAACCAAGUCCAGAAUAGGUACAAAAGAUGACUCAAAUUUGUUGGAGGUUUUCUGUUGUGUCCUAUUGAGUGAACUCUAGUGCCACAUUUAUAUAGGUCAUGAGCAACGGACAGGGUAAUUUGUGACAUAUCAUCUCCGGCGCAGCACUUAAGCAUUUUAUUAUUGUGUAAAAUGAUUCUGGAAGCCUGCAAAUAUAUGAAGAUUUUAGAGAUACUAAAGGAAUUAAUUAAAAGUAUUACUUCAAGACAAUUUUUUUCUAUACAUCAAGACAUAUAUGUUACUCGUAAAAAAACACGUGUUAAAUGUGUCUUUGAAGGUAUAGUUUAAGAAAAAUCAAUCCAUUCCCUUAAAAAAAACAAAAAUAUCAAUCCAUUCAUCCCUAAAAAAAAAAACAAUCAAUUGAGGUUUGACUUAUGUUGUUGACUUGAAAUUUUGGAGUCUCUGAAGGUCUCAGUUUAAUCCUCCUUAAUGUUAAUUUUGAUCGGUUAGUUUAACUUUUCAAAAGAAUUUUUUUCUUCAAAAAACACUCAUACACCAUGCACACUUUGAGAGAGAAAGAAAUCGUGAGAGUGAUUGUGAUAAAGUAUGGGAGCGUGGACGGCAGCAGGGGCGGAUCCACACUGAAACAUGGUGUGGCAGUUGCCACACCAGAUUAUUCCCCUUUUUUUUCUUCAUAUACUUGACUUAAAUUAUUAUAUAUAUAAUAUAAGUCGCAAACAUAUUAGAACUUCUUUCUUGGCUCAGUGGUAUGUGCUGAUGGACGAAUUGAAUGUGCUGAGUUCAAUUCUUGGUGUGUUCCUAUUUUGAUAUAUUUUUUUAAAUUAUUUGUAUUAAAAAAAGGGUGUUGCUGGGAAUUGAACUAGUAACAAUAAGGUAAAACACAAUCACCCAAACCACUUAUCUAUAGCAUUUAAGGUAUCAAUGUUUUACUUUGUUAAUAUAUAUAGUUGCUUUGAAAGUUUUGCCACACCAAUAUCAAAUGUCUAGAUCCGCCCAUGGACGGCAGGGGUGGCGGCUCAAGGCACCAUUUUAUUUAUGGGAACCAACAUUAUUAUUUCACUUCGUAGAUAGUGUUAUAUAAAUAUAUUUUCUUUUAGGGUUAAUAAUGUUUUAACCCCUGUAAUAUAAGACACUUUUGGUUUUGCCCCCUGUAAAAUAUUUUUUUUAGAUUUCAUCCUUGUAAAAUAAAGAUUCUUCAGAAUUGCCCCCUAACCCCUAUGACUCAGCAAAAUCUCUUACGUGGCGCUGAUGUGGAUAUUUCCUUUUUUUUUCAUUAUUUUUUUGGAUUCCACGCGUAAAAAACAUAUUACACGUCAUUAAUAAUUAAAAAUCUGAAAAUUAGAAAAAAAAUUCAGAUUCUAUUUUCCAAUAUAAUAAAAAAAUCUGGAACUUAAUUUUCAAAAUAAAUAAAAAAAUUGGAAAAUAUAUUUCGAAAAUUAGAAAAAUAAAUCCGAAAUUAAAAUAAGUUCAAUUUUUUUUUAAAUAAAAAGUUUUGUUUACUUUUUCUAAAACAAUAAUAAUUCAGGAAAAUAGGAUAAGUUUCUUAUUUUUAUUUUUGUAAAAAAUUAAAUAUUCUGGAAAGUAAUAUAUAUUUUUCUAAAAAAAAAUAAUUUGAAAAAAGUUUUUUAGACUUUUUAUUCAAUAACUUUUAUAAUUUCAAAUAUAUUUUUCUAAUUUUUUUUAUUUUUUUGAGAAAAAAAUCUGAAAUUUUUAUUUAGAAAAUUAAUUUUUUCGAUUUUUUAAAAUUUUCGAAAAUUAACUUUCAGAUUUUUUUAAUUAUAUUUUAUUUGUUGUGUUUUUUAAUUAAAUAUGAUGUGUUAAAUGAAUUAUACAUGUGGCCAAUGAAAAAUAAAAAAAAUAUCCACAGCAGCGCCACCUAAGAGAUUCUGUUGAGUCAUAGGGGUCAAGGGGCAAUCAUGAAGAAUCGUUAUUUUACAGGGACGGAAUAAAAAAAAGGGCAAUCAUGAAGAAUCGUUAUUUUACAGGGACGGAAUAAAAAAAAAAUACAGGGGCAAAAUCAAAAGUACCCUAUAUUACAGGGGGUAAAGCUCUAUUAACCCUUUCUUUUAACUCACUUUGAUUAUAUCUAUUGAAAAUAUAUUUUUAGAGAACUUUGAUUAUGAAUUAAUCUUUUACAAAAAAAAAUGCAGGGAAAAAGACAUUCAAAUCAUUAAAAGGACACAACUUAUUGAUUCGCGCAUUACACAAAAAAUCUUAAGACCAGCCCUAGAUUUGAUAUAUGUGAUAUGUUGAUGAAUUUAAAGGAAGAGAUAUAGAGAGAAAAUAAAGUGUUGAAUGAGGGUAGAAAAAUAAAGGAUAUAUAAAUGUCAUUGUUUAUAAUUUAAUUUAAUACAAUCCUUAUACUUUGUUCCAUAUGCUCUUUCAACAUCUAAUUUUCUCUUUGCAUCUUUCUUCCUAUCACAUCACUAACUUAUCACAAUCAUAUGUAAAACUUUUUUAUUUAUUAAUAACUAUAAUAUUAGUCUCUUUUAUCUUCUUUUUCUCUAUGACUUUAUAAUGUUAACAUGACAUUAAAAAUUUGGUUGAUUUCAAUCUAUGAAGCACAAACACUCCACAAUUUAUGCGUGUUUUGGUGUCAGACACGUGUGUCGUGUCCAACACGGACACAUAUAAUUAAACUGAAUAAUGUGACUUUUUUAAAUUGUUAGCGGUAUCGACGUGUUAAUGUUUGUGUCGUGUUCGGUGUCCUUGUCAGCAUCCGUGCUACAUAGAUUUCAAUUCUCUCAUUGAGGCACUGGUUGCAAAGAUUUACAAAGUAUCUAUGUGGUUUGGUUGAUGGGUGUGAGAGCCACACAACAUUGUUUUGGAUUCUCUUAAUAGUUGGAUUGGAUGAGACAUUUAUGAGGAUUGUUGGUUCUUUGUGUAAGACCGACCAUGCAUCAGUAGUACCUUUUAAAAUUUAUACUUUAGCACAAAUUUGUUGGAAAACUGUAUUGGGAUUCCUGCUCCACUAGCUCUUUUGGUAUAACUCUCUGGAAGUUUAUAGUGUGUGGCAAACACACAAAUAUGAUAUCAACGUACAAUAAUGGCGAUUGGAAAAUAUGAUUCUCUCAAAUCUAUCAAGUGUAAUUGAAUGAACAAUAUUGUUUUUAUGGGGAGAUGGAUAUAAUGUAUUGAAGAUAGAUCUCUAUAUGACAAUGCAAACGUUUGAGUUUAUAGUAGUUUAUAGCUUAAGUUAAAACCCUACAAAUUCAAUUUUAUUAGGUUUUUCUACUAUCAGAUAGCUUAUCCACUAUCGACUAUAACCUUAGUCUUUUGUGGCUUUAGUAUUUGUACCUUACUACUACAUUGUAUUCUUAUGAUUUUUGUAUUAUAUUGGAACACUAGCUCUUUUUUUCUUGAAUUGGGUAGGUCUGGUGAUAGUUGCUUGAGAUUUUGGAGUGUGUGCUCCUCUGAAUAUUUCAAGUUCGAUUAUCUUCGGUAUCAAUUUUAUUCAAAAAACUUCUCUCUUCUUCUGUGUAAAUCCAUAUUAUUAACAUAAAGAAACUCAACACCGUUCUCUAUUUAUUUUAUAUAUUCUGAAUGCAUGUAAAAAUAUUUUUGCUAUAAAUUUUACUUCUAUGUAUGCAAACUUUACGUUGGAUUUUGUUGUACCUAGAAAAACAUUAGAUUGGAUUGUUUUUAUAAAAUUCAACAAUUUUACACAAGCAUAUCUGUGUUUGUGGCAUAUAUCUGUUUGUUUGAAAGCUGAAUAUAGUAACCUAAAAAGAAAAUUUUAAUAUAUAAAGAGGCAAUAGAGGACAAUAAGGAACUGACAGCAAAAGAUAAAAUUGAGAGACAAAUGUGACAUUUGAAUGAUGGUUUGGAGUAUACAUUACAAUGAGAAAAUGAAGAAAAUGAUCCCUGUAGAAUAUUCUGUCAUUCAAAUGAAAAGAGAAGUAGGGUACAAAAGAUGACUCAAGUGUGUUGGAGGUUUUCUGUUGUGUCUUAUUGAGUAAACUCUAGUGCCAUAUUUGUGUAGAGCAACAGCAACGGACAGGUGAAUUUGUGGCAUUAUCUAUAUGCCACUUGAACAUUUUAUUAUUGUAUAUAAUAAUUCUGGAAGCCUGCAGAUAUUAAAGGAAUUAAUUAAAAGUAUUAUUUUAACACAUGUUAUUUUAUUAAGAAAAAGGCAUAUAUGAUAGAGCAACUUGAGGGAUGUAAUUUGCGGCAGGAUGUGUCUGACAUGAUGAUUGUGUUCGGUAAAACAAAAGCGGCAAAUUGUGACAUUUCAUAUCAUUGCCAAUCACUUUUUUAGCGGUUGUUACACUCUUUUUGAAGGUUUAACCUUUUUCAUCAAAAAAAGAAAGGUGUAACCUAUUGAUAUGAGUUAGGAUGUUGAAAGUGUAUUACAAUAACAGGUUCAAAAUGGAACCAAAGUUUCAUCCUCUUAGUUUAGUGUGUGAUCUUUUUCCACUCUCGAGUAAGUUACAUGGUGUUUUGAGGUAUUGGAUGUUUUGGAUGUAAGUUUAUUACGGUUUUGUCUUUUACAAAAGGCGUUUCGUUUGAUUGAAGAGUGUGAGUGUUAUAUAUAAACUAUAAUUUGCCUCGAUUUCCAAGCAAUGUGAGACUUUAAGGUGUACCUCAGACAAGGCUAAGGGGGAGAUUUUGGGCCCGCUUCUUAGUGAAGUCACCAAUGAUCCUUUUGGACCAGAGUAACAUGGUCUUAGAACUGGUUGUGGUUGUGAUCGAGGGUGAGUUGUGUUGUAAGUCCGUUGUGUUCUUUCGCGAGUCCUCCACCGAAAAGGGUGGUGUACAUGCACAUACUUUGACGCUCAAGUCAGUGAGAGAUCAAGAGAGUGGGGUAACUUUAGGGUAAAAUGAGACAUACCUGACCCAACACAAUAUAGAGAGUAAAUAGGAUAUUUUGCCUUAGGCCCUUCACGUGAUAAGAAUUUGGAUGGAUUCACAUCAUUGAGUUCAUACUGAAUGGUCCCAAUUAACUAUUUAUAUCAUAAUUUAGGGGGUUUUAGGACGUGUCUAUAUGAUGGUACAACAAGCAAAUAGACCUGAGUCAUGACCCGAAAUAAACGUUAAUCUAAUCCAAAACGGAAAAUAAAUUAAUUAGUUUAGUGCGUGUAAAUUAGUAAGUUACACCUUAAAUUGCAUUUUAUAAAUUUUUAGUCAUAACUUGCAAAUUUAUAUCCCCUAAAAAAUGAGUGGUGUAAGUUAGCAAUCCAAAGAACUAUAAUUAUAUCAAUUAAAACAAGUUGAACCUAAUGAAUUUGAGUUGCCUGAUUUGAUGAGAUUUAUCAUAAGUUUGGAUUCUGCAGUCUUCCCAAAUUUCUUCUCAUCAUAACAUUAUACAAGAACAAUGUAUAAUUGAUGCUUUUUUUUUUUAACUAAAUUAAACAGCAUGUGAUUCUGCAGGGGUUGUUGAUUACUAUUGUGUUAUAUAAAAAGAAAAAGAGCAAUCUUUAAAAAGCGAAUACUGCAGCCUCUAAAAAAAAUUGAAUGCUAUAGCAAAAACAAGGUAUAAUUUGAAUGUCUUUUAGUUUCUGAAAAAUAUCUUGAAUAUGUUUCCUCUACUUAAGUUACUACUUCUCUCUAUAAGAAUUAAAACAGGAAGAACCGUAACCAGAGAAAUUUUAAUAUGGUCACACGGCCAAAGAAAAAGUGUUUUUUUUUUUUUGAGAGAGAAAUAUUUUUGAGGAAAUUGAAAACAAAGAUGAUUGAAUAUUUUGAGGAGAAUCUAUUUAUGGGUGUGUGUCCAAAAUUAUUGAUUUGGUCUUGUGACGAUGGAAGAAUGUCUCCUGUAACCAUAUGUCAUUUCAGUUGGGGAUUGCAAUUAAUUCAAUUAUUUACCAUCCAUGCGAUUACAAAUCCAUCUGAUUCAUCCGCUAUAAAAUAAACUAGUCCAUUGAUUGGAUUCUUCCAAAGAAGAAUUAAAAUCUUGUUGAUCAUUAUUUUUCUAUGAAAUUCAUUGACCGUUGUGACCGUCAGCCACUCCGCUGCCAUAAUUGUCACUACCGGUCGCUCUUGUUUAUUUGUUCAACAAUGAUAAAUAGACAUAUUUAUUUUCUUACACAUACUCAACACCUCAUUUAUUUUUCUUGAUUUAUCUCCUCCUAUCACAUCACCAAAUCAUCACAUCUAUCAAAUUACUCUUUAUUCUCUUUGUUUUAACUUAUAGUAUACAUCUCAAAUCUCAAUAGGUGAACACAAAAAUAUUUUCUUUAUUUAUUUGUGGCAAAAUUACUCUUUUGGUCUUUUAACCAAAAUAGUCACAAACAACAACAGAUCUAAACUAGCAAUCAACUGUAAAGCCAAAUCACAAUUGAAUCAAAGAACAACAAGAUAAAGAGAGUAUAGUAUAUAGAACAACACACCAAGGAUUUGUUCACCAAAUUCAGUCCAACAAUGACCUACAUCCGGAGGAGAGAGAUAUCUCUCCACUUCACAUCAAAGAGUUCUUUACAAAGAGAUAUACAAAAAAGUUACAAGAAAUUAGUUUCAAUAAACUCUCCAAAAGCGGUUUUAAUUUCUACCAUUUUUCCGAAGUUCUUCCCAUGAACAAGAGAUUCAAUGAUUUCAUUACCUAAUGUGUUUCCCAUCUGUUUCUAAACUCUAUGAUUCAACCCCAAAAGGAACCGCCCCUUAAUCAUUAAAUUCCUAAGGAUCCUCUUUUGAUCUCCCAAGAUUCAACCAAUUUGUCCACAAAUGACUCAACCUUUCAUGUGUUUUCCAACCCUAUGAACCUCUCUCCAAAAGGCACCAACCCUUUUUCAAGAGCCCCCGUUUUGGUUGUCUAAGAUUCAUAUCUUGACCCUUUGAGUCUCACUCAAAUGCCUUCAACAUUUAUCCUUUUAAGUUCCCUCGUUUGGUUACAUGAGAUUCUCCAUGAUGCUUCAUCAAAUGGGUCAAAGAGUGUUUUUAUAGUGUUUUAGAUUCAGGCAAAUCAAGCCACAAUUUGCACUUUUACACCACGAUUUUUCAAAUCGUUCCACAAUUUUUCAAGAACUAAAACCUCCAAAAUAUGAACCAAUCUUGACAAAAUUUUCAAAAUCAUGCCAAGAUUUUUGCAGAAACACAAACAUCAGAUUAAUUCAAAAUUCAACACAUGUGUUUUUACGAUCCCUUCCUCCAGCAAUUCACAUAUGAUUUUACAAACAAACAAAAAUUAUUUCGGACUAUAUUAUUCACAUCAUGCUUUCCCGUUUUCAUAUUAUAUUAUUAUUUGAAACACUCUUACAUAUAUGUUUCCUAAAAUAUGACAAUAUGUCACCACCUUCCAAUUCAAACCUCUAAAAAAAAUCUUUUGACGAAGAGUUAAUUUUCUAACACACUCCAAACAUGAAUGGACUUCAUACACGUAAUUUUUUUUCUGAAUGCAAAGGUCAUAUGACUCUAAAACUUUUCUCGCUCGUUUUCUAUGUGUUUUCCUUCUAAUCACGUCACUCAUUAGAUACUGACACAUUUCGGAUUAUAUAAUUAGAAAUUAUGAAUCAAAUUAUAUAAUAUAAACCCGAUAUGUAUAAAAACAUACAGUUUUUCUAAGAAUUUUUUGUGCUGUUUUUGAUAAGAAUUCUCCCAUUUGAUUUGACACCUCGCAUUACACCUCAAUUGUGGAACUUCCUGUCGGUACGAAGCCAAAGGUUUCACCUCAAAUUUCAGAUGAUUUCGACAAUAAGAAAGUUGCGGUUCCACCUCCAGUUGAUCAUCCUUUUCUAUCGCAAAUGGAUCAAAAGACUUAAAAUGACAUGAGAAGUUAGAAGGACAAAAACCGUUAUCCAAAAUUAACUUAAGCAACGACAGGUGUAAUUUUGCAUUUACUUAUCAAAAUUAUUAAAAUAUAAUAUUUCAAAUGUUUUAUUUUCUUAAUAUUAAUUUUAUGAAACAAAAAAAAAUAAACAUUUCUGGAUGAAUUGGAUAAUCACCCAUUAAAAACUGUGUAUAGAUUGAUCGAAUCGGAUUUUAUUCAAUGUAAAAUGGAUAGCUUGAAUUUUAUUCAUCUAUUUUUAGUAGACUACUUUUAUCCAUCCAUUACAAUCAAAUUCAAGUUUAUCUAAUCAAUCCAUUUUCAACCCUAAUAUCAACCACGAUUGAGCUACUUCCAGAGGUUUUUAUUCACUUAUUGGUACAAUUCUGUUAAUUUUGUUUAUUCACACAAAUAAUUUUGAAAAGGAAAGAAGGUUAUAAGUCACUAAAUCGCUAUUUAUGCUUUUCUAUUUAUUUUUUAAACUGCAGGUCUUACCUUAAUAUAAGAAAAUCCCAAAUGCAUAAUGUGUUUAGGUUAGACUAGAAUGAACGUCUUUGAAUAAUGAUGUGUGAUUAAUAUCUGCGACUUGGUUGGUAAUAAUAUAAUAAGGGAAAUGUUAACGAGUGCCCCCAGGCACUCUUUAAGCACUUUAAUUAGUAAGUUAUUUAUGAAAAGUUGUGUAUUGAGUGCAUUGAAAAUUAUAAUAGUUGACUUUUUAAAAGAAUAAUUUCUAAAUUUGGUAUGCUUAAAGAGUAGUGUUUUAUGCAUCAGACUCCUCUGUUUGAGCGACAUACACUGUUCUGAACCACCGUGACAAAUUAAUUAAGAACAGCGUGUACACAAAGUAGCAAGUGAGUGUCCAAGUAACUAGUCCCUACACACAGAAAAGAAUUCAUUACAAUUUGUGUUAGAAACUUGUAGCACCGACACUUCAUAUUGCUGUCGUGUUUGGUGUAGUGUCAGACACUAUACGAUACAGACACAAGUGAUUAUGUUCAAUUAAUUCAUUUUCUCUACUUUUUAAUGUGUCAAUGUGUGAGGAUGCGUCAGUGGUUCAUAGCUAAAAACUCUUGAUUGUAACUUAAAGAUAGUUGGAACAUGAAGUACCUGGCCAAAGAUUUCAAUGUUAGCUUGAGGAUAGUACCAAAGGUGAAGGAACCUGAAAGAAGAAAAGGAGAGGUACCAGUAGCCAUGAAUAGCCAAACAAAUUUAAACUGAGAGAGAAAAGAGUAAUGUUUUACUUCAUUAAGGGUAUCUCAGCUAGUGGACAAGCAAACCCAACAAUGCAUGAGAGGGUGAAGCCUGGCCAUGUUCCAUUCAACGAAAACCAUAGGAACUCUGCUGCUGCAAAUAAUAUGUAAGCCACGAUGUUGUCUGCUAUUCCGGCUUUGUAUAGUUCAGCACUCAACUCUAUGAACAACGCCACUAAUCUAAGACGAAAGAACCACAAAUUAUGUUUGAUUUCAUACAAUACAAUGUGUUUGGAUAUAAAACUUAAUUAAGAAGUGUUAAUUUAUAAGUUAUACCUAAAAAAUUUAAUCAAAUACCAAUUUGAUUAAAUUGUUUUGAUGUUUAUGUUGCAAGCUAUUAUUUAUGGAUGUUUUUGUAAGCUCUACUAUUACAACUUUAUAAGAUAAACUAAAAUAAGCUCUUUAAAACGUAUUCUAAAUUGCAGUGAGUACUUACAUCAGAGAGGAUAUUGUUUUUGUUAAACUUCCAUCUUGAACUUUGUUUAAGACCCUCUCAUCAAGGUAGAGUUGAAGCAAACCAACCGAGCAGUAAAACAACCCCAGCAAGGGAGGAACCUAUCAAUAUCAAUUUGGAGACGACGGAUAAAAUUGCAGCCAGUUAUACUAUUACAAGGUAAUAUGGGAAUGGUUCUUUCCUCCAUCGUCAUCGCUACUAAAAGUGCAUUCAGACGGCAUAAUUUAUCCGGAAGCACGCAUACAAACGCAUAAAAUUAUAUGGUUUUUUCGAAUGCAUACUUUCGGACCAAUGAUUUAGGCUGGAAGAAGUUCACAAAAAACUGAAAUUGAAACCUUACCCAGAUGUUUGUAUGGAGUGGACCGAUGUCAAUAGCCCCAGACUUGUAUGCCACGAGUUCGACUCUCGAAUGGAGUCCAUCAAGAAGUGGACCCAACACGAAUCCUGCGCCGAAAAGUGAAAGUGACACCCGAGGCCAUGAAGUUCUAACGCUAGUUUGGCUCUGCUGAUUGACAGCACGGUGAGGCUUAAGCAGACCCCGUUUGCGUACUGUGUGAGUUUGAGUAUGGAGUUUAUAAGCCUGAAGAGAUGAAGGGGAACCAGAUGAAAGAAGGUAUUGCAUAUUACACCUUUUGUGCAAGCAUCGAGUUAAACGAAGUAGAAAAUGAUUGGUUUUUGGGACAUGAAAAGAGAAUAGAUGAAUUCUUCUAAUAUUCAAUGAGGUUGAUUCAAUUUUAUCAAUUCCUGAUUCAGUUUAACUCCGUCCACAUAGUGUGUUGGAUGAUUUAGACUCUACAGUAUGAGAACACGACUAGUGGUCCAACACAAUGGAAGAUUCGAAUUGCCAUAGUUUGGUGACGUCCUUUUCAGGAUUUCCAAUAGAAAGUCCUCGAAAAAAAAUUCUGGGUGCAAAUCGACCUUGCAUUUUAAUCUUGGACUAAUGCUAAGUUAUUGAUUAAAAGGUUCUCUUUACACCUUUUUCUUCAAAAGAAAUGUUUUUUAAUUAAAAAAAAAUGAUAAAAUCCCAUAAUAUUUUUUGAAAAGUCAAAUAAUUUAAAAAACAAUUAACUAGUUAUUGAAUCGGGAUAUAUCCCCGUAAACUUUUUUAAUUCAACUUGCUGCAGUUCUUUGCUAUAUUUAUUCCAUUUUACAGGUUGCUUUGUUUCACUCUAAUAUUUGCCUGCAAGAAACUCACCUACAUGAAGUAUUGGACAUGUCAAAAUGACAUAUACCCUGUUACUGAGGCAGUAAUCCUUUAACUAAGGCUAUUAGGCUGCACAUCUACUAUUCAAUAUUAUUAAAAAUCACAAUCAACGUUUACCUCUGUUCAGCUAAUUCGGUUUUCUCUAUUUUCCCCGAAAAGGCAUUGUACAUAAUGAUGUCGCAUAAGCAUUGUGCUAAAAUGAUGUGACAAAGAAAGAAAUGAGCUCUCACAAGAAAAUAAAAAGUUAAAAAGAUCAUCAAUCAGCCAUUCAGAACUUCAUUUGCUGUUAUCUUAUUAAUUCAUCAUAGCUGCCAUUAAUGCCACGGCGUUUCAAAUUAAACAUCUUCAUUAAUCUUGGAUGAUUAAGAAAAAAAUUGAUUUUUUCAAUGAUUAUGAGGAAGAAAAUGAAUGUUGUUUUCCUUUUGAAGGUUCUAUUUUUCAUUCCCUUGUAAUAUUCCCAUAGGCUUGUCAUUUGUUUCAUUAGCUUCCUUAACAAACAAAUUUCUACAUCCUUAUAUAAUAGUUUCAGGCUUAAAGGUGUUUCGACAGAUAACAUAAGCAUCUGCAAAUUUCUGGAAUAUUCACAACUCCUAAUCCUAAUUAUAUACAAAUCCUAAUAAGCUUGGUUGGUCGCUAGCACCUGGUGGCUGGUAUCACUCUAAAGCUUAACCAGCACAAAAUAAAGUUCACUUUCUCUGUGGGGACGUAUUUGAUGAAGAUGUGAACCUCAUUGCUCCAUGCAGCACUGAAUAUAAAAAACUACCAACAAUUUUCUAAACUAAACUAACCACAAUCAGAAUUGCCAGUAGUUGAGUUCACUGCUGCUUAAUACAAGAUUCACUAUUCCUAUCAAAAGAGCACCACAAAUCGCAACACCAUUCCGGUUUCCACCUAACGAAAGCAUGCAAAACUUAUUUAGUGACUACAGUGGACUAACAAAGCAACAUAAGGACGUUAAAGCACAAAAGAUUAUACAGAAUCAAACAAAAGAUCGGUGGUGAAUUGAAGCUCUUACUAGGGGAGCUAAAGAUCUGAAGCCUUUAGUUUUUUUUGUCUUUUUGAAUGGGCUGGUGAUGAUGAAGUUUCUGAAUGUCGUCCAGACGCAUUUACAGGUAACGUUUCCACGAUAAAAUAAAUAAAUAAUGUGCUUUAGCAUUGGUCUAAAAGCAUGUAGAACAAGAAAGAAUACUUAAACAUAAUAAAAUAGAAAAAGCAGAUCCAUACCUUGCGCUUUUGAUCCCUUUUACCAAUUCUUUCCCCUGAAACCAGUUCAUUGCAUGCAUACAAUUAAAUGAUAUGUAGAUGAAAUUUAUGACGCUUAGAGAAAUUCAGAUAGCAGGUGAAAACAAAACUAAUCUGUUAUUACCCCCAGAACUUGUGUUAUCUGGAACAAAUGUCAGAUCCUGAUCUCCGCCUCGAUGCAAACGCUGUCGGCAGUUUAAAAAUCACAAGCUCGUGAUUUGAGAAAAAGAAUGGCAUAUGUUUAGACAAUCAUAAGUCUAAAACGUUGAAAACACUGAAAGAAAAUGUACCAAACUAAAUUUAAUUAAAAAGAAAAAAAAAAUCUAACCUUUGGUGUUCCCGUUGUUUCGCAGUGUGACCCGUCACGAAAAGAUGAACCUUCAACCUCCUUAUUUUGCAGCUGAAACAAAUUAAAGACACAAUCUAGAAGAGUUAGUAAACAAACCAAUGUUGGUGUUGGUAAUCCUAUAAAAAAAAUGACAUCAGUAUGACAUUUAUUAAGCUUUCUUUACAGUGUACCUGUUUCUGAAGAUUUAGCAAGGUUAGUAUUUCAUUUCUUAGUUCUAGAUGCUCUGCACAAACAGUUUUUGUUGGAACCCUUGGUUUCAAAUUGACCUGCAAUCAUAGUACAAAGAAAUUAAAACUGGCCUUAAAAUUACCAUCAGGAAGUGCAGGUAUUUUGCUAGGGUGAUUGGAAUUGGACUACAUUCAUUAAUGGAAAAAUCAGCUCAGCUUGGUAAUAAGCGUAUCGGCAACAUUAAUAUAUUUUGUAUUUCUAUUAGAAGCCUAAGGAGGCAUUUGGAAGAGCUUAAUUGAGCUUAUUUAUGAACAAACACAUACUGAGCCAGGUUCAAACUUAAAUGAGCUUGGCUUAUUUCAUGUUAAUAGUAUAUAUACUUACAUCACUACAAACCAAAUAUGUAGAAUACAAAGAAAUUUUUUAUUUGAGCAAGUCCCAUUAUACUAAAAGCUGAAACUGUUGAGUUGAAGUACACAAAUAGUUUUAUUAUUGUAUCUCUAACAUGCACUUCCACACAAGAGCCAUUUAUGUUUGAAAUGUGAACAAUGCAUAAGCCCACCUACCAUGAGCUUAAUGUUCUUUUCUUUAGAAAAAAAAAUGGAGACAACAAGCAUUAAAUUGUAGACACACUUGAUCAUAGAAACUUUAAAAGCUUAUGUCGUUUGUUUAAAGCAUUAAUAAUUUGAUUAUAUAUCUAAAAAGUUAUUCUCAACCGAACUAUUACGACACUACUUGAGCUAAGGAAAGCCAAGUCAAGCUCUAAAAGAGCUGAACCAAAAACGUUAUUUGAAAGUUUAGCUUAAUCAUAACCACAAUCUCAAAAUCAAACCCCAAAAGUAAACCAAGUGGUUGAGCUCAAGUGGUUAAUGAGUUUCAUUUAAGGACGAAACGUUCGGGAGAACCCGAGUUCGAUUCCUGACUGGAAAAAUCCUUGGCCGGACUUUACUUACCUCCCAGCUAAGUCCGGAUUACCAUUGCCCCUUUCCCCUAGGAACAGGAGGGUUAAAAUAAAAAACAAAUUAAUAGCUGAACAAAAACAUUAAAAAAAUCUUAAGCCAAUCCUGAAAUAGUGAAAUGUAGAAUGCAAGGGUAUCAUAUAAUGUUAUUAGUACUGAUCAGGAGCUGCUACAUGACUACAGCAGGGAGGAGAAAGGAAACAUCAGAAAUGCAUUAAAGAGGAGAACAAACAAACCCCAAGUUCCUGCAAAGUUUGAUCAACACGUUUGAUAGUCCGAAGUCCAGCUGAUGAGCUUGCAGAUUGCACCAUUUGUCCAAGUGCAUAGGUUCUUGAAUAGACAUAAAGCUGAAAUGCAUCUCACUAUCAGAUUAUGUUGUGACGUGUAGAUAAUUAGACAUCCAACAAAUGCUUGAAAAUUGUGUUUCACAAGGGAAAAGAAAAAGUUAUUUCAGUGAUUUCGUUCGAUGUAAGUCUCAAGUCCUCUACAGUCAAAUUUUCAUAAACUUGAUCAAGAAAAUCCUUGUUAUUCUAUAUUUCUUGAUUCUGUUCUUUCUCUUUUUGUGCUGGGGGAACAGGUGGAGAUGGGGAAGGUUUUAACAUUAAGUGUCAACAGAAAAGAGACAUCGGGUGAAUAAUUGGUAACCUUAUUUUUAACUUACCAUGCGAAGAGAGGCUAUGGUAGAUGCAUUAUCUGUCGAUGUCAUGGAAGAAACAACUAUUGGUGGAAGUUCUGUAUUUGAUGGAGAUACAGUUUCACCGGGGUUGGCCCUCUCUGUAACGUUUGCACAAGCCUUUGAAGCAACAUCCAACUCAGACUCUAGGUCAACCUAAAAGAAACAAAAUCAAAUACCAGAUAUCACUAAUCACUGACACAGGUUCAUCCAAAGUUUGGGUGUAAAUAUUUAUAUUCCACAAAUUUGGUUGCCUCAAUUGAUCCAAUGAAAAUUAACAAUGACCUAUUCUCAGUGAAAAUAUAGGCAUCAAGUUACAUGAGUAAACAGUUCUAAUUUCAUUCCCAGGCCCCUGAACAAAUAAAAAAAAUGUUUAAAUAAAAUGAAAUUGGUUUUAUGUAGAAAAACAUGUUACAUGAAACAUCUCUUAGUAUUUGAGGUUCACUAGCAGGAAUGUAUGAGAAAAACUAAGCAAAAAAGCAUAAUUAGAUAGUAUGGAAACAUUAUCAUUAUCUAAUAAGAAACUCUCCUCUUCCUCUCCACAUGUAAUUAUAAGUGUCAUACAAAUACAGCCAUUAAAAAUUACCUUGGUCAUUAUGCGUAAUUCAGCAAUUCUUUUUGCUUCGGCAAGCACCUGCAUAUAAUACAGUAGUUAAUACCUAUAUUUACUUCAUUUUCUCUGAAUGUAUAAUUAUAGCAUCCAUGUAAAUAAUACUUAUUAAAAGGGGAAGAAAAAAAACCUCUUCAUCUCUUCGCUCUUGUUGCUUUGUUUGAGAAAGGAUCAGAGACUGAGCUCGUUUCCGUUCCAUCUCCUGUGAAACGUUAUAUGGUUCCUGCAUUAAGGAGGGAGAAUAAAUAACUAAGAUCACAUUGCAACAUCCUAAUGCUGAAAAAGUUUAUUUUUACUAAGCAUAGUGUGCUCAAAAGAAUGAAAGAGAGUUUUUGCUUGAUAACAAUGCACAGAGUUCAAACAGUUGACCACACCUGAACAAGUGGAUCCAUUGCAACAUCCGUAGAAGAUGGAUUCCUGGCAAUUAACAUAGCCCGGGAUACUGUAUGGCAAGGACAAUAUAACAAAAAAUUAUUUUAAAUAUGUCAUUUUCUAAUAAGUCAAACUAAGAAUACAAGAAAAUGGAAACUGAAUGCAGCAUAUAUAGCUCGGUGAACAUAAUACACAUACCACUAUAAUAUCGAUCCUUCAAUUCUUCAACAGUUCGAGAUGAAGGGAACCUAUCAGCUAUAACAAUAAAUCGGAGAUUAAACCUCUCACACAAGUCAAACAGUUGAUCUGUUUCCUCCUUGGUCCAUUUCUACAUAAAUAUAAUUUCAUGGAAGAGAGUAACACAUUAAAUACUUCGUAGCAGAACAGAUGUAAAAAUACCCGUAGAAUGUCAAUGCAUAUCGAAAUCCAACUCUUAAAAUAACACAGAGUUACACAGCUGUGCUUGAGGGUAAGUGCAUUUAUAAAACGGAAAGUACAGUGAAGUGUACAGAAGAUGCAGAUGCAAAGUGACGGUUAGGUUCAGUAAUACAGAUCCUUUCAAAUAGAUCAUAAAAUCUAUCAUUUAUUCAUUGCUCGAUCGUUAGAGAAAUAUAAAAGAUUUACCAACUAGCAAAUAAACAACUUUUAAGUUAGGAAAAUGCUACUUCUUCAGAAGAAAAAAAAAGUUAGGAAAAUGCUAAUGAAUGCCCUGAGCCCUUAGGGCAUUGGUUAAAAAAACAAAUAUAGUAAUAUUGUCUGGAAAAAAUGUAUUCAACUUUUUAGAAGUUUAAAAAUUGUUAUUUUCAAUACAAAACUUCUAUUUGCUUCCUUAACUAGUACCUUUAGGGAACUUGUUAGCAUGACCCUUUAAGAUGUAUACACCGAAAAGGCCUUUCAUAUACAUUAUAACUAUACAGGUUAUUGAAGACACAGCAACAUCAACCUUAACAUGAUACAUCACCUAAAAUUCAGUUUUUUGUAGCAUUAAAAAUUGCAAAAACUGUUGUUUAAGCAAACUCAAAGGCAAAGUUCAAUGCAAUUUUAUACAUGCAAUCUAGACAUGAUACCUACAGGAUUUGCCAAAUAUUUCUCAUACUCCUCGUCCGUGUAUCUUGUUAUGUCAACAGACUGCAUCAAAGCAAGUAAACAAACAUUAAAUCAUGUAAGCAGAGCAGGCAUGAAGGUAAAGACUGAACCUGCAUUUACCUUGUUAUACUUGGCAAAAGAAUAGUCCCCUGUUGGUGGAACACCAUUUACAACUUGAAUCUGCUGCAAUAAAAUUUGCCGUGAUCAUCAAAUUGUGAAUCAAAUCAUAUGAAUAGGAAAACCCAUUUUCCAAUUAAUGAAUCAAAGCAUAUUGUGAACAUUGUUAAAAAAUCUAUUAUAUUUUCAACAAAGAAAAUGUCAAACAAAGUAAAGAAAAACAAACCCUAUAUUUUCAGCCGCCCAUUUAGUCUCUCUGCUCUCAGCAGUUUUUCAUACCAUAUCUAAAUAUCUUAGGUGUAUUUUACCUCCCUUUAAACACGCAACCCUCACUGCUGGAGCUUAAUUGUCCUGCCAAUGGAGGCUUGUCAUUUUAGGAGCAUUGACAAGCCCCAACACUAUUACCAAUCUUCUCCCAUGCAAGUCCAUGCUGAGAUACAUGUGACGACACACCUAAUAUUUUUUGUUCAUAACUUGUUUUCAGGCCCCGCAGCAAACAAGAUUCUUGCAAAACCCACUCAUUACCACAUCCAUUCCCCACCCCACAUUGAUUGUUUAGCUCUCUCCCAUUCCCCCGAUAUCUCCAUCGUUAUAAAUUUAACGGAGUUGGGGAUCUUGUGAAUCUGGCACAUUAUUCUGGCAACCAAGGAAACACUUCAUGCAAUCUGUUUGGGUGGUGUAAGGAUAUACAUCGGAAUGCGGUUGUUGACUACCAUGGAAUAGGCAAUAUUUCCAUGCUCCAAGAUAACAUAAAGGGCUAACAUAAAUUUCACAGAAACUAACAAAUGAAUUUACCCAAUGGUGAAGCUGAAGAUCAUCUUUACGAGCAGAAUUUUUGAAAGGAAGCCAUCGCCAAAUGACCUGAAUGAGGGAAAAAAUCAAAUGUGUGAUAACAAUGUCAUGAAUCAAUUAUUGUAAAAGCUUAAGGUAAUAUGUAAAAGCACUUAAUUGUUUUAUAUCUAACACACCUCAUACAAGAGCCAUGUGAAGCCUAAACAAUGUCCGGGCCCACACAACAUACUGUCGAAAUUCAACUUUUCUUAUUUAGAAUAAUGGGAUCAAUAAGGAUUGACCUCUAGAAAACUUGGUUAGGGAGAAUCUAAUACCAUAUCCAUAUCAUUGAUUGACCAUCUUAAAAGCUUAGGUUAUUAGGUGAGAGCAAUUUAAUGGUUCUAUAUAUAACAAAUAACAUCCUAAUUUCAGUCAAUAAUUUGUUUAGGUAAAACUUUUGAUAGCAUGUACUAUCCACCUAUUCGGUACUUUUCUUCUUCAAUAGAUUCUCAGGCAUUGGCUUAUAGGUUCAUAAACACACAUGAAUGGACCAUGCAUCAUGCAUGAACUCCUCAACCUACCCAAAAACAAGUGCCAAACAGACUAACCCAACAGGGAACUUUCAAGCGAGUGAAUGAGUAUUUCACAAAGAAACAUCACUCUAGUAUAGCUCUUUCUUCUUCAACAACAACAACAACCAAGCCUUAUCCCACUAAGUGGGGUCGGCUACAUGGAAACAUCAAUCUAAAUCUUUCUUCUUCAGUAAACAAAAAUUAUUUAAAUGGGUAACCAAGUACCAAAGAACAACUUAUUAAGUUAUUACACACUUUAAUUUUUGAUUUUUGAGAAUCCUUCUUUCUUCUUCCUAGUAAUGUAUCUUCUUAUGAGCCAGUUUGGAUUGAUUUAUUUUAGUUUAUUUACUUGCAUAAGUAAUUGUGCAACUGCUUGGGAGAGUUAAUGACAUGUACUUCCUCCGGUCACUAUUAAAAACCAAAAACCACUCUUAGGUUCAUUGAAUAAAAGGUAUCCGGUUUAUAUUAUAGAUCAGAUACAUCGGUUAUUCCAUGAACCUAAAAAGUGUUUUUUUGCUUAUAAUAGUGACCGGAGGGAGUACGCAAGUUAUUUUCAGUUUAUAUCAAUAUUCAAUAAGCUCCUCAUAAUAGCUCAAAAAAAAACAGCAUAUAGUUUAUAUGAAAACAACUUGAUUUUAUUUCAUCUUUUAUUAUUAGAAACAGCUUAUACAUAAACACUUAUGUGAUGAGCGCUUAUGUUAUAGGCUAUUAAUUAAGUUGUUUAUCCAAACAGAAUCUAUAUCCUAUGGGGAAGAAGAGUAAAGACAGAGUAACUGCAUAGAACUACGAUUUCACUCACAUGAUCAUUCAUUGCAUAAAGCAUUUCACAAUGUAAAAGAAAUAAACCAAACUUGACAUGUUGUAUAACUAAUCACUAGUAAACUAGUAGUGUACAAGCCAAGAAGAUUGUAAAUUUUUCCGGCCCUCGUUUUUUUUUUAUAUGAAAAUGUUAGUAUGUUAGUUGUUAUAAUACGUUAGUAUCUUUUUUUUCUCAUUCGCCAGGUUUUGAACCCAAUCCAUGAUCUCAAACCAGUUGUGCUACCCAACCCCGUUUCCGACUCUAAUUUUGUUCAAACACAGUAAAGAUACCAUACUGCAACACUAAUCACAACUCCAACAACCAACAAGAAAGAAAGAAAAAAUACCUUUUUGUCUGAAGGAGGCUUUUUUUUCAACAGAGACAAAUCAACUGCUGGCAUAAGAGGUGCAAAUCCACCAGUAAGUGCACACACCUAUAAAUUCAACAACACCAGAAAAAUUAUUAAAAUAAAAAACGUUAAAUUGGUUAAACCCUAAGUGCUUUGGUGAAAAAUGAAAAAGUACCUCGCUAGAAUUCUUCUCUUGAAGUGGGAAGGAAAAAUUGGGCAAUCCUCCGAGGAUAUUUUUCACAUCCAUGGAAAUAUCUAGGGUUUAUGAAAUUCAAAUUCAGAACUCACGACCACUCUUUCUAAUCACGAAUUCAAUGCUCUAUUGUUCCCUUUGAGUUGAUGAUUUUGAUUUGAAGAUCUUUUUCAAUCCGAAGCGCCAAAGUUUUGGGCUGCGAGAAAAUAACCAUUAUAGUGUUACAGCACAGUUUACUGUAUGUAUGUACUUUUUUUUUUCUUUUUUUUUUUUUAAAUACAAGGAAAAUUCUAUCGCGAAGAGAAUGACCUUUUUUUGUGAAGUUAACGUUUGCAUAAAAAAAUAUAGUGAGUAACACCUCGCUCUGUUUGUACAGUGACAUCAAAAGUUCAGCCAGUCUUCGUAAUAUCAUCAAUUCAUCAUAUUAAUAAAACUACAUUUAAUUUAAUUUUAUCAUAUCUUAUUUUAAGUGUAACACCCCACAAAGUGUAACACUUGAGACUAUCAGAUAAUAUCACCAACUAUGUUUGCAUGUUAAAGGUGUCAACUAUAAAAUAAUAUAUGUAACUCCAAGAUGUUGCAAGCAUUACUAGAUUAAUUAAACAUUAAGAUCAAAAUUAACUUUUUCAAAAAAGUCAGUUAAUUGACUGCACCAUAGAAGCUCCCUAAAUACAAUUAUACCACACAUUUAUUGAGAUGGACUAAUUUUCAUCUUUUUAAAAAAUAAAUUGACAUAAUUUUUAUAUUUGAUUCUUUAACAUGUGUUUUAACUUAAGAAAUUUUUCCUUUAAAAAAUAUAUAAAUAUAUAUGAAGUUUUGAUCUCUAUUUUAAACUUUGUUUUUUUUUUUUUUUGAACAAAAUAGAAAUUAUCACUAAUGAAUAAAAAUAUAUGUCCUCAUGAGUUUAUCUCGAUUAAUAAGGACAGUGCAAGGUUUGAGUUCGAACUCCAGAGACCACUAAAAAAUUUAUUUUCACUGUCUACUCGCAUGCCCUCUAUUUUGUUCAUUUUAUUCUGAUUGAACUUUAUUAUACGAUGUGUAUUUGAUAUUUUUUUAAUUAUAAAAGUUGAAAUAUAAAUUUCUUUCUUUUUAUCACCUCCUUUGGCAAUUCACAUAUUGUUGUGAAUUGGGACUCCAAAAUUCACACUAAUGAACUUAGAUCUCUCGAGCAAGUAUAAGUAAUAACUAAUAAUCAAAACAGUCAGAAACAACAAUAUUGAAUUUAGAUCUAAUCUAACAACUAAGUGUAAAACAGUAAUAUAAAGAGAGUAGUGGAACACCGAGAACAACACAUCAAAGAUUUGUUCACCAUGUUCGGUUCAACAAUAACUUACUUAUGUAAGAGAGAGAUCUCUUAGCUUCACUAUAAAAGAGUUUAUGAAUAAUAAAAUUUCAUUUUAACUUCUAAAAAAAACAACUAAAAAAAUAAACAUGCAAAGCAACAAAGUAACAACACACAUAAUUAUUGAGUAAGUUACGUUGAGUAAGAUGUUGCAAGCAUUCACGAAGAAACCUUGCUGGAAAUGAUUAAACGUAACUUACUCAACUUUUUCACAUAUUGAAUAUUGUAUUUUCUUAAAAAACAAUAUUAAUAUCAAAAGGAUUCAUGAAGCAACAAUUAAGGAGAUGAAGAAGCGUGACAGUGCAAUAAGGAUUUUUUUUUCAAAUAAGCACCGAGCAGAAGAAGAAAUGUGAGAGGAAGAGGUUUGAAAAGAAAAUGGUAUUAAGAUAAGGGUAAAAUAGUAGUAUAUUAAUUAUAAAGUUUUUUGUCAUUGGAUACACCUUAAAUUGGAGGGAAAAGAAUAUCGAAGGAUUUAAUGGAAUGGAAUAGAAUAAGUUCCAUUAUUUUCCAUUCCACUCCAUUCAUUUUUAACAAAUCCAAACAAUAGAAUAUAAUUAAUUACCACUUUAUUUCAUCCCACUCCAUCAAUUCAAACAUAGUCUUAAAACUCUUGCUAACAAUGUGUCGGGGGUUAAUAUGUAAUCGUCAAACUUGUUUAGCUAACAUGGCCUGAUUAAAAUCAUACAUGGAUUUAAAUUAAAUCCAUCAUAUUUGGCUCUCAUGAACUUUUCCUUUCUCACCCAAUGUAUCCUCCUUCUGUCUUCAUCACUCCCCCACCAAAAUCUGCGGAUAGCACUCUCUAUAUGGUCACAUAUGCUUCAGGGAUCUGGAAACAACUCAUGACAUAGACUCGGAGAGCCUGGACCACUGUUUUAAUCAAAACCCCUCUACCAGCAAAAACAACCUUUUUCCUUUCCAACCAUUCAACUUAUUCCAUACUUUAUCCAUAAUAAAACUAAAAGCUUGUUUCUUCGAUCUACCAAUUUGAUUUAUUUGAUUCAAUGUUAAAUUCAAAUUUGAUUUAUUUUUUUAAAAAUUUCUCCAUUUAUUAUAGUUUUUUAGAAUUUAUUUUGUUACAUUUUUUCAUAAUUUUAUUUAUUUAUUUGGUAUAUGUAUAUCUUUUUCUAUCACUAUCUCAUUGUUUUUAUUUUAGAGCAUGUUAUAAUAAAAUCUAUUAAAAAAAUUAUUAGAAAAUUAUUGUUAUUUUUUUUACAAAAGAAAAUUAUCAUUAUUGUUAUUACUUUUAUUCUUAUCAAAUAAAUAUUGUUUUUUGACAAAAAAUAAUUUUUUUUGUCACCCAUAUUUAUUGAUUUGACAAAUUUGACAUUUUUUAACUAGACAAAUUUGAUUCUCUCUCAACAAAAAAAAAAAAAAAAAAAAAAACUAGACAAAUUUGAUUUUAAAGUUUUUAAUAUUAUUGUAAUGCAUUUUAUUGUAACAGAAGAAACAAAGAUUUUUUUCACAACUUUGAAUGUAGCUCUUUAAUAUAUAAUGUUUAUUGUGAUCUAUUUUUUUUUUUUAAAUAGCCUAAUAGCUAGAAAUUCACCUGUAAAAAUGUGGGGAAGUAUGCUCACGACAAUGUGAUAUAAUUCAAAUGUCUUUCCAUAUUUUUUUUAGAGGAAUGAUAUUUUGACAACCAAUUUUAAACAACUUUUAGGGACAACCUUUUUUCUUCCUUCUUAUUGAACAAUAAUAAUAGAGAGAGAAAAAUGAAGAGAGAUAAUAAAAGUAUAAUGAGUGUAUGAGAGAAAGAGCUGUCACAAAAAUUGUAUAUAUAAAAAUGGUUGUUCAAAUAUCAUUUUUUUUUUAGAUAAUUAGGUAUUAGUUUUUUCUUUUUGAAAGCUUUAAAAUGGUGUCACAUCAGUAUAAACCUCUAAAUAGACUUGUAUGUACUCAUUUUGUUUAAAAUUAUAAGAUGUGUUGACUAUUUCUCACACUUUAAUAUAGAUAAUUAAUUUUGCAUGAAAAAGAGAAAUUAUGAGCUACACGAAAAAUUUUUGUGGAAAAGAUAAUUAAUAAAACAACUUUUUUUACUUAAUGGUGCUAGCUAGAAUCAUAUCAUAUUAUAAUAUAAAACUCAAACACAAAGCAUGAAAUUCGAACUUUAUCAAAGAAUGUGGUGAAUGAACAUCAUGAAAGAAAUAAGACACACACUCAAAAACUAGCUAAUUGCUCCAACGAGAGAGUGAAACUGUAGUUGGAAUUUGAGUUGUGAGACAUGCAAUGAGAUACUACUAAUGAUGAUUGAGACUUGAUACUGAACGAAGUUGAGAAUUUUCUUAUUAUACCAUAAAAAAGAGGUGCAAUAGUAAAUGUGGUGGUUAGAAAACAAAUAAAUAUCAAGUACUUACUAUAUUACAAGACUGUCUUUUAUUACUCAUAUAAAAAGAUAUAAACUAAAAAAUUAAAUAACGAAAGAAUAAUAAAAAUGCUAACAUGUAUUUAGCAACAUAUAUAAAAAUUAUGUACUAAAAAUUAUAUCAAAAUACUUUUACCUAAAGUGGUUUUAAAAAACAAAAUUGAUAGUUCUAAGUGAAGCUUUCAAUGGCCGGAAACCGAAAUGUACGAAUUAGUAGCAUGUGUAGUAUUUUUGUUGGCUGAACUUUUUUCCAUGACCUCAGUGUAUGUAUGUAUGUAUGGUCACGAAAUCCUACUAUUGAUUGUUUCUAAAUUUCGUACUCUUUUGUAAAAAUAUUGGUAACUUUGGUCUUAGCAAAAAUGGCACAACACUAUUCUGCUUUAAAGAAUGACCAAGAAUUACACUGUAGGAUUCUCCGAAUACAAUGUUAAGAGGUGGUGCUCAUUACUCAAUAUUUAUUUGCUUUCUAACAAUCUAACAACCACAUUUACAACUACACCUCUUUUUUAUACUAUAAAUAAAUGAAUACAUUUCUCAACUUCUUAGUUCACUCUCAAUUAUCAAUAGUAUCUCGUUGCAUGUCCAACUAAAAGUUUCAUUCACUCGUUGGAGCAAUUAGCUAUAUUCUGAGUAUGUGUCUUAUUUUUUUGAUGAUGUUCAUUCAUCACAUUCUGUGAUCUUUUCCAUUUUAUUUUAAAUAUAAUCUAAAGUUUGAAUUUCAUGCUUUAUGUUUGAGUUUGAUAUAUAAUAGUAUGAUUUUUUUAGUAAAAAAAAAAAAAAAAAAAUAUAGUACUAAUAUGAUUCUAGCAUCAUUAAGUUAAAAACCGUCUCUAAAAAAAAAGUCAAAACAAAGAUUGUGAUCAUUAUAGUAAUUUAAUAAGCAACAAUAAAUUGACUAGAGAAAUUAAUUAACUUUAGAAUGGACUUUUUUAAUUUUAAUUUCUUAUUUUCUUGUUCAGGUUUUUGUUACAAAGAAGAAUGAAGAGCUUUUCAGUUAAGGUUGAGGAAGGAAAGGAAGGAAAAAAUGGCAUGCUUUCUGUUGGUCCUGUUUACCGUAACCUUCUCUCCCAAAAUGAAUUCCCUCCAAUGGAUCCUGAUUUCACCUCUGCUUGGGAUAUUUUCAGGCAAUUUAUUUUACUGUUUAUAAGGUUUAGUGAUUUAUCAAUGAUUUCUUAUAAUGUUUUUGAAUGAUUUAUAUUCAAUAAUUGCAGUACAUCUGUCAAAAAACAUCCUCAAAACCGCAUGCUUGGAUGGCGUAAAAUUGUUGAUGGAAAGGUUCAUCUUAAUUUUUUUAUAUAUAUAUUUAGUGUCGUGUAACUUAGGGUAUGUAUUUGUUCAAGAGAUGAGGUAAUUGUUUUUGUUUAUGUUCAUAGAUCGGACCAUAUGUUUGGAAGACAUACAAGGAAGCUUAUGAUGAAGUCUUACAAAUUGCUUCUGCUUUGAAAGCAUGUGGUGCUAAAUCUGUAAGUGGUUGCAAAAGAGCUUCAAUCAUAAUGUUUGAUUUGAUGAGUUGUGUGCUUAGUGUCGUGACCACAUGCAUUCAACCACACUGAUAAUUGUUCAAUCAAGAUCAGACGGUCCAAAUUUCAUAUUUGUAUUUUAGAUUGUAAAUCUAGACCGGCCUUAUCUUAAUCAAACGGUCAUCAACGUGGUUGCCACACUAAAUUGUGACUCAUGCACUCCAAAUUCCUUAAUGUUUAUUUACAUUAUAGGGUUCAAAAAUUGGAAUUUAUGGAUCUAACUGCCCACAAUGGAUUAUCGCAAUGGAGGUUUGUCAAAUCAUUGUUUUCUUAAACUUUUCUCUAUUAAUUGUUUCUUUUAUAAAUGUCUUCAAAAUUCAUAAUCAUGUUGUUUAUAAUAUUGGCGUAGGCUUGUUCUGCACAAAACUUCAUUUGUGUACCUCUCUAUGACACACUUGGUAAGUUCUUACUACAAUUGAAAUUUCUUCUAUUUAACUUAUGUUUCACAUUUUUCCUGAUUAAGUGCUUUUGAUGCAGGGUCUGGUGCUAUAAAUUUUAUCAUAGAUCAUGCAGAAAUAGAUUAUGUUUUUGUUCAAGAUAAGAAGGUUAAAGAGGUAAUUAAGCAUAAAGAUUACUUUAUAUUUCUAAUUAAGUGUAUAUAGCAGAAAUUCAGAGCAGCAAUUAAUUUUUAGGACUGACCAAAAACAUAUAUUGUCUGCAGCUUUUGAAUGCUGACUGUAAAUCCUCUAAGAGAUUGAAAGGUAAUUUACUAAUUGAUAUGCUCCAGCUAACAAUUGAAGGCAUUUAUGUAUGUUAUCUAAGUUUGGUUGUUGUCUUGUGGUUACAUUACAUUACAGCCAUAGUGGGCUUCACUUCAUUAACUGAGGAAGAGAAAGAUGAGGCCACAAACGCUGGAAUUAAACCAUAUACAUGGAAUCAAUUCGUACAAAAGGUAGGUGUAUGUUAUUUCAGGAAUUUACUAUCAUUUAAUUUAUGGAACGAUUAAUGUUUCUAGCUAUUUGGAAAAAUUGAAAAAUAAAAUAAUCCAACCUGAAAGGAGUGGUAUAGGGGAAAAUGAAUUGUCCACAAUUGAGAUUUCUCUGGAUUAAAUUCACAAUAUAGUGCUUGAAAUUCAUGUGAUCAAUGAUGUCGACCUCGUGAUUUAAGAGAGUCUUGAUCCGCAAUAACGGAGCAUAACUAUAUAUUUGAAAUUAAAGUGACAUGUACGUUGAUAGAUUUUAUCAACCUACUUUUUAUUAAUUUGUAUAAGUCGUGUGAGUUUGAGAAAAUUAAAGUGAGACGUACUCCAUUAGUCUAGUCUAUUUGGAGUGAAGUAAACGGAAGCAUUAUGAAAAGGAGAAAAAAAUAUCCAAACAUGCAUUAUAAUGUUUCUUCUAUUUCUCUCUAUUAUGAUCAACACGAAACGUACCUUACAGGGAAAAGAAAACCCGUCAAGUAUUAAUCCUCCUUUGGCUCAUGACAUAUGCACAAUAAUGUAUACAAGUGGAACUAGUGGAGAUCCUAAAGGCGUUGUUUUAACACAUGAAAACGUACUAGCUUUAGUAAGAGGAAUGGAUCUUUUCAUGGAACAAUUUGAGGACAAGGUGGUAUCCUUAAUCUUCUUUAAUUAAUUCAUAAGCUGAAAUUAAUUAUAUGUAAUGUAACACAUAUUUUACUUCGUGUAGAUGACUGUGGAUGAUGUGUAUUUAUCCUUCCUCCCUUUAGCUCACAUCCUUGAUCGUUGUAUUGAAGAAUAUUUUUUUCGUAACGGUGCUUCUGUUGGUUACUAUCACGGGGUAUACUCGUCAUCUUAUCUCAUUAAUGUCAUGUCACAUUAGAUAGACGGCACGUUAGCACAUUUAUUGAUCAAAUAUGUUUUAAUUUACUUUAUUUGUUCGUUUCAAUUUAAAUUAUCUUUAUUAUCAAAAUUUCAGUUUUAGUAUUGAUAAUGUAUUUGAGUCAAAAUAAUGUUCAGCAUGUUUAUAGAUUUACGUUUAACGUUGGAAAAAAAAAUGUUUUUAAAAAAAAAAAUUGAAAAAGAAAUAUCUAAUGUGGUAAUUAUUUGUUGAGUUCCACUUAAAUACUCUGUGUGUAGAUUUUAAAUUAAAAAAAAAAAAAAAACUUUUAACACAAAUAUUGCAUCUGUGAUGUGUCAUUCUCCUUAAAAAGACAUUUUGUGAAGAAUCAUGAGAAGAUAGGGAGAUAAAUCAUACUCAUAAGAAUACUAAUGAGACAAAACUCAUAAGAAAUGAUAUUUGAUUGAUAAAAGAUAGAUAAAGUGUUUACGUAGCCUUAUUUAUACAACAUUUUAAUAUGACUCAUAUAUAGAUACAAAAGAGAGACAAAGGUGGAAGUUGAGCUAGCGGAGCGUUGUGAAGCUCAUUUUACUCCUUAUAUAUUGAUAAUUGCUCUUCUUCUAAUUUAAAUUGUUCAUGAACAAAAACAAAUGAAAGAAGAACAAUUACCUUACGUAUUUGGCCAAAACCUGCAUUAGGCCCACAUAUUAUUGAUGGGGGCGGUAGGCCCUGUUGGUGCGGUCCAGCGAUAUUAAUCUAUAUAUAUUAAUAAAACCAGAUACACCAACUAAUAGAGUAAAUAACUCCUAACUAAUUCUAACUAACUAAGAAACACUGUAAUAUUCGGUAAGUGAGUUAAAAACCUUGUAAUUUAUGGAAUGGUUUGCAUGAAGGAUCUGAAUGCGUUGCUGGAGGAUUUAAGUGAGUUGAAGCCAACACUGUUUGCUGGUGUACCACGGGUUUUUGAAAAAGUUUAUGAAGGUAUGGUCACGCUACAAUAUAAAAAAUUUAUUGUUUUUAAUAAUUGAUUUUAUUAGGAAAAUAACUUUACAAUUCAAUCAAUUUUUUUGUUUUAGGUAUCAAGAAAGCAGUGGCACAACUAAAUCCAGUGAGGAGAACAGUUUUUGGCAUGCUCUACAACUAGUAAGUGGCUAUUCUAUUACCUAUAUUUAUCUCUAACUUUAAAAAAAAAAAUGUAGAAUUAUUUUGAAUUAAAUAUAAUUUUCAUUUCAUUACAAUUAUUAAAUUUCUUAUUUCAGUUUCUAUGAGAAAAAAAAUUGUAACAAUUUUUUCCCCAUUAAUUAAUACAACAAAUAUAAACGAAUAGAAUUUAAAUAGAAAUAUAUUAAAAUUAUGGAUUUUUUUAGGAGGUUGUUUGGUGAUUAUCAUCUUUUUUUUUCCCCUAAAAAAUAAUAAUCUUAUUUUGUGUUUUAUACAGUAAAGCUUGGCUGGAUGAACAAAGGAUACACACAGAGAGAAGCAUCACGUCUUGCAGACCUUCUAGCCUUCAGAAAGGUUGUGUGUGUCUAUAUAUAUAUAUAUAUAUAUAUAUAUAUUCUCUUGCAUGUACUAGUAAUGUUAGGGACCAAUUUCUGAACCUUCUCCUUAACACACCAUUAGGUCAAAGCAAGGCUAGGUGGACGUGUUAGACUAAUAAUAUCUGGAGGUGCAGCCUUAAGCUCCGAGAUUGAAGAAUUCUUGCGUGUCACUACUUGUGCCUUUGUAUGCCAAGGCUAUGGUAAGGACCUUGGACCAAAUUGCUUAUAUAUAAGUUUGUAGGGAGCUAUACAAUAUAAUGAAUGAUACACUGAUAUUAAGGUUAAUCCAGGUUUGACAGAAACAUGUGGACCAACUACUCUUACAUUUCCAGAUGAAAUGUGCAUGCUAGGUAAUGUUGGUGUUGUAACUGUAUUCAAUGAAUUGCGGCUGGAGGAAGUUCCAGACAUGGGUUACAAUCCUCUUGGAACUCCGCCAUGUGGAGAGAUAUGUGUCAGAGGCAAAAGUGUUUUCACUGGUUACCAUAAGAAUCCUGAGUUAACAAAAGAAGCCAUAAUAGAUGGAUGGUUUCACACAGGUUGAAUUCUCUUCUUCUACCUCAAAAUAUUUCUAUUAUUUUAGCAAAUCUUGCCACGUUCUAAUGUGAUUUAUUUUUUUUAAUGACAAAUAUUAGCAUGUUAGUAUUUUCUCCCGUACGAGGAUUCAAACCCUUGACCUUUAACUCUUUUGCUACUACUUUCUUCUUGGUAUGAUUUAACGCGAUUGUGUUGUGUCAUUGUUUGGUAUAUAUCCUCAGGGGACAUAGGAGAAAUGCUUCCUAAUGGUAUUAUAAGGAUUAUUGACAGGAAGAAGAAUCUUGUUAAGCUUUCUCAAGGAGAGUAUAUAGCACUUGAGUAUCUUGAAAAUGUUUAUACAAUCACUCCUAUAGUUGAAGAUGUAAGUAUUUAUUUUCAAAUGAAGAUAAAUAUGUUUUUAGAAUUUUUGUCUUUGAAAGUUUUUAUUUAUUUCAUUUUCAUAUGUAUAGAUUUGGGUAUAUGGGAAUAGCUUCAAGUCAAUGCUGGUUGCAGUAGUAGUUCCAAAUGAAGAUGUUACUAACAAGUGGGCAUAUGCAAAUGGUCACAUAUCUUCCUUCUCCAAACUAUGUUCCCUUGACCAAUUGAAGAAAUAUGUGCUAUCUGAGCUCAAAUCUACAGCUGUGAGAAACAAGGUAACACAUAAAAACUAAUAAAAGUAGUGACUACAAUUCAAUAUAAUUUCUAUAAGGAUUAAACCAAAAAAAUGUUAUUUUAUAAGGAUAAUGAAAUAUAAAUUGAGUAGUGACUCUAUGUGAUUAUUUCUCUACCACUAUAUUGAGUAUAUUUCUAUAUCCAGUGUUAUGUGGUAAAUCCUGUUAAAUUAAAAUUUUCUCUAGGUAUGAACAAAGAAACUUUAAGUUGUUUUUUUUUUCAAAGAUUUUUAAACCAUGCACUAUUGAUGCAAAUGAUAGACAAAAAAGUUAAAAACUUUGAUUUUGUAAAUUUGUACUACGUACCAAGUUUGGUGUAUGAAUCUCUAACUGUUUUCUUUCCUUUUCAUUUUUUCUGCCUCAUGAAAUUAGUUGAAGGGAUUUGAACAUAUCAAAGGGGUAAUAUUAGACCCGCUUCCAUUUGAUAUGGAAAGAGACUUGGUAACUGCAACAUUGAAAAAGAAAAGGAACAACAUGCUCAAGUAUUAUAAGGUAUUUGGAUAUUCUCUUUCUUUUCCCUUACUAUAAUAUAUAUGUUCUCUUUUUAUAAUUAGAUUCUCACCUCAAACAAAUAGUAACAAAUUACUAACAAUUAAGCAUGCUACUAUAUAAAAAGAAAGAUAUAUGUUUAUAUGCUCACAAAUUUGUUGGCCAUUGUAACAGGUGGAUAUAGACGAGCUAUACAAAAGUUUGACCGGAGAUAAACCUAAAUUUUGAGGUUACUACCUUCUAGACUCGGAUAUGUCUAUUUAAUAGUCCUUUGCAAUAGUUUGUUGUGUGAUGUACCUAAAGUUGCUAAAGUGUUGUACUUAAUGUUGAAAGUGUACACGAGAACAAUCUAUUUCGUUUGAAGAAAACAAGUGUUUGAAUUUGAUGAGAAUUUUCACAUGCAUGAGAUGUGCUACAAGCAUACAAUUCGUGUUAUGUUUGGAUCCUACUAGUAUGGUGUUGUAAUGACUGAUAGACUUAAAAAGAGAAUAUGCAUUACUCUUUAGGCACUUAAAAAAACAUUCGAACGGUAAUUAAUUACCGUUCAUUACUUUUAAAUCGGUUUAACUUGUUUAAAAAGUAAUUAAACUGCUUUAAAAAGUGUUGCGAACGGUAAUUAAUUGCCGUUUUGGGUAACUUGAGGUGCAUGUAAACAAUUACUAUGUGCCUAAUGAGUAACCGACAAAGAGAAAAACAAAACCGUAGAAUUGUUUCUAUUAAAGUAGAUGACAUUCUCACAAAAGCUUUUCCAUAGUUUGUUUUCAACUGCUGAGAAGGGUGACCCUUAUCAGCAGUUUGUGUCCAAACUUGAAAUUUUGGAUAUCCAUAUGGUAUCAGAAUAGCUUACUUGUAUAUUGUGAAAUUCCAUGAUUUGCAGCGGCUGUAUUGUGCAGUCUUCUUCAAAACCAUUAUGACUUAUAGGAGAAAAUAUCCAAAUUAACGAUGUAGGAUCAUGCUAACAAAUGGACACUUGUUAAGGAAUCUAAAAAGGAAAAUUUUGUAUUAAAAAGAUUGUCUUAGAUUUUUAAAGAAUUGAACAAAUUCUAAUACGUUAUUACUAUAUUUGAUCCCUUAGUAAACUUCAUCAACUAUAUUUGAUCCCUUAGUAAGCUUCAUCAACUAAAUAGUGGAUUAUCAUAAUAUUCUAGAUGGUCAGAGCGCUAUCCUUCAUUCUGACAUUGCCACAUAUCAAGAAAUGUAAACAUCAAGCAAAUGUUAAAAGAGUGGUGAUAUGUGUACCACCCCAUGUGGCAUACCAUCCACUCUACACCCUUACAUGUCACUCAGAUUAAUCUAAAAUAAUCAACACUUGCCAACUCACAAAAAAAAAGGAAAAAAAUAAAAAUCUGCAGGUUUCUUUUUCUUUUGACUUUAUGAUUUGUAUGUACAGAUCCAAAACACCACCGUCGCCGCCCCAUAACGCUUCUGUUUCCGGCGAUGUUUCCGAUGACGACGUCGUUCCCCCGCCUCUUCCUAUUCCGUUUCCGACACCGUCUUCUGCCUCUUCCGUUAUCAGUGACGACAACGUCCUAUAACUCUUCCAUUUCCUGCGACUAUCCAGUCCUCCCUUUCUAGAUCUACCACUUCUUCUCCAAUUCAUUCUGGCCUCCCUCCUCGUCUCCUUUGUCCUCCCAAAACAUAAGCAGAUAACCAGCAACAUGAUUUUCAACAUCAAACCCAAAACAAAACAAUCUUUUUUCAUUUUUGUUCAACCACAUCUCAAUCAAGAGGGAAGGAUUGAAUGACUGAUCCACCAAGGUUUCAGGGACCGUGUCUUGAGCUUCGCCGCGGAUCCAGCCACCUUACCGGAAAAUGACAUCGGAGCUCCAUAACUGUCACUGAUGUCAAAAAAAGACGGCAAAGGAGAGUGUUUUCAAAGCCGAUAAAGACAAAAGCAAAGACAGCAAAGGAGAACAAAAACAAGUGACUGACGGUUGGACGGAGAGAAAACAAAGAUACCGUUGGAAAACGAACAGGACCGCCGGAGAUGGAAUUGCGGCAGAUGAUUAGAGAUGAACAGCAGUGAGGGAAAUUUGAGAGAGAGAAAGGAUGAUCUGGGAAUGAAUCAGAAAAACAAAAUAAAAAAUGGGUAAAUUUACAAAAAUAUCCCUGCCACAUAGGGUGGUACAAAAGUGGUACAAAAAAGAGGGAGUAUUGCUGUUCCCACAUGUUGUUUGGCUGUGCCACACGAGUAAAAUACCAAAAUACCCUUCGGCAGUUUGCUACCGAGGUUUUUAGGAAACCGGCGGCAGUUAACUGCCGAGGAAAACCUCGGGAGUUAACUGCCGAGGAAAUUUGAUUAUGCAGACAGCAGGUUCUGCAUAAUUCUAAGUAUUUCCAAGCCAUUUUUUCGGCCAGUUUUUACCUGUAAUUAAACCAGAGCAUUUCCAAAGGUAAUAUAAUUCAUAUGUAUGAUUGAAACUCGGACAUAAUGAAGAUAAAUACAAUAUCCUUUACAAUUGUUCAUAAUUAAAUUAAACCGACAUUUGGUUAAAAUUAAACAGACGUUUGAAAUUCAUCAAAACAUUACAAAGUGUCCAUAAUUAAACUACUCAUUACACAUCAUUAAAUUAAAUCCCUACUUACAUUCAAUGCAAUUACAUAUGGAACGAACAUACAUAUAUAAUAUAUUGUCUUCCACCAUAUUCCGAAACAUAAAUCCGACGUCACCGUCGUCGCGGAUAAGCAAAGGCAUAUAGCUUGCCGUUUUCCAUGCGUAUUCAUCUCUAUCUUCUCCUAGGUCUAUGCAUGGCAUUUGACCAAACAAGUGACGUGUAUAUUGAUUUUCACCAAGAUGCUCAAAAUAAGUGUUAAGUUGUGCUUUCAAAUUGUCAAGAGAGUCCGUCGGCGUUAUCAUAACCUUAACCGUCUUUUUAAACGCGGAGUACCUAACCCGCCCUUCAAUUUGUGCAACCUCAGACAUGUCUCACUUGAAAAAUUUUGUAACAAAAGAAUCAUAUAUUAGAACAAAAUUAAAUGGAAUGUAAUAACGAAUAAAUGAAAUGCGGAAAACAUUAAAAAACUAUAAAUUAGUAUUGCAUUAUUUUCUCCACAUAAAAAUCAUAUUAUCAUAUAUAUAUAUAUAUAUAUAUAUAUAUAUAUAUAUAUAUAUAUAUAUCAAUAUAAAUUACAUAAUGUUAGUUAUAUAUUGGCCACCAAAAAAUUGGCGUUACAAUUUCGACCCAAAAAAAUACAUCGGUGUAAUUUCUACCAAAAAAAAAGAACUAACACCGACAAAAAAAUCACUCAUUAAAGACCAAAUGAUUGGAGAAGAUCAAGUGACAUAGAAUCUUCCUCAUCUUCCGCAAUAACUUCAAAUUGUUGCUUUGGCUUUUCGGGAGUGUCCAACAAAAUAGGCGCCGCUUUGUUUGACUCCUUUUGUGGUUUGCACGGUUUGUUUCCACUUUCAAUAGCCAUGAGCUUUCGGAACAAGUCAUGUCGAUCCAAAUACUCAUCUUCCCAAGUCACCGCAUCUUCUUUCUUGUGAUUGUGCCACUCCGUAGAUGAUGGAGGUAGUGGACAACCAUUCUUCAAGGAAAUAAGCACAAAAUGAUUUGGAAUUGCCCCAAGGCACAAGAUGGGAGUUUUUUGAUUACCCGGCGGUGGUGGCCCUCUUAGUGGGAAAAACGAUUCCGAUUUUCCAACUUCAAGAUUUGUCAACACAACCACACACAUUUUGUAAUAAUUAGCAACAAUGUGUCCCAUGUCCGGAAAUGUCAACCACUUAUCAACAAGAUGUGCACAAGUUUUUGUAUUUGCGGGAGGAUGUAAUCCGUUUAAAAUGUAGUUAUAACGAUCCUCACCCGCAAAUACUUCAACAUAAUCAUCUCUAUGAUCCAUCAACUCUUGGAUAAGACGUGUACGAAUCAUGAGAUGAUUUUUUUCGGUCAAGCCCAUGAACUCCGCUAUAGCCCGGAAUCCGCAAUGUCCAUCGCCGAUAACAUCCACCACUUUUUCAAUAAAUGGAAGCAUGAAGCGUGGCAUAUAAUCAAUAGGACGCAUAACCGGGAUAGCUUUAGGCUUUGGAUACCGAGUAGGUGGUGGAAGUGGGGAAAGUGAUGUUUUACCAAGACGAGCACCUUUUUUCCUUUUAUAUGAUGAUGUAGUUGGUGAUGGUGACGGUUGGCUAUCCGGAUUUUGGGAAUCAACAACCUCCCAAGAAGAAGGGAUCCGACUAGUCGAUGUAAUUUUUCCUUUAGACCUCGCAAUGUCGACUUUUUUCUUUGCUCCCUUGGUUGGUACUUUUCGUGGUGGUGGAGACAUCAAGGUGGUUUCAGGAAAUGCCAAUUGCCGCAAACCCUCUUUGACCUCAAGCUUCAUUUGGAAAGGGAGUUUCUUUAGACGCUCUACAAUAGCCUUCAACUCAACCUCGACACAAAAAGCAUCUUCAUUACUUUGUUCACCCAUAGAUAACCGAAGCCAAUGGUGGUAUAUCUCAUCCAAUAAAAUUGGCUUCUCUUGAAGGAGUUUUGUAGCAAUUUCACAUGCACAUGGUAGUCCAUAAGAUGUCCUUUGAACACAACCACAAAUGUCAUUGUCCAUGCACAAUGUUUCCCUACAACGUUUUUCUUCCAAAGCAAUGUUGUCCAAAGCAUUUCUAGACACAUGACCACCUAACCCCGAGUACAAAGUGACAUCUUUGAAUCUAUGUUCCAACACGCAAACAUUUUGACCAAAGGAUGUUUGUAUAGCGGUCAACUGGAGCAACAACAUGUGAUGUAUUUUCUCCCAACAAGUACCCAAAUCACCCACACUAUUGUCCAAGUAUUUCUUCAACAAAGCAUGGGCCGAUUCGACCCUGUUUGUGGUCCUGCAACCAAGAUGCAACACAUGGUCUGUCCAUGCCCUCACAAUUUUGUCCUUCACUUCAUCCAAGGUGGUCAUGGCAUAAUCUACAAAAAUUGGGAAAUCACUACAUGAAUCUUUGAACUCCACUAAUGCAUUUGCAUAUAAUUGUUGAUUGGGAGAUUCAACCAUAGCUUUCCAUGCGUUCAUUAUCUUCUUCACCACAUCCCGAUUGCUCACCUCUUUCCCAUCCUUUUUAAAGCCCAAAGGAUAUUUACAAUUCAAGACACACCUUUGUUUAACAUUAGCUUGCACAUGAAAAAAAACAAUUCAAUGCAUAACUUUCCGGAAAAACAUGUGCAACCGCUUUCAUCAAAGACAUAUCCCUAUCGGUAACAAUCACCUUAGGCAUAUUCAUCUUUGACGAAAGAAGUUUACGCAACAUUGUUAAAACCCAAACAAAGUUUUCUUCUUUCUCAUGUGUCAUAAAUUCAAACCCAACCGAAUAUGUCAAAUCGGUUGAAGUCACCCCAACUACCUCAAACAUUGGCAUCCUAUACAUGUUGGUCUUGUACGUGGAGUCCAUAACCAAAACCGUUGGAAAAUUGUUAAACAAUUUAAUGGAUGUUGGAUGAGCCCAAAAAAUAUCUUCAAUAGUAUUACUUUCAAGUUGUGUUCUUGAGUAAUAAGUAUAGUUGUGCUCCUCCAACUUCGAGAUUAGAAAUUGCAACGGCUUCUUGUCACCCAUAUUUGCCUUCCAUAUUUGUUGACGUUCAUUGUACACUUGCUUCACAUUUGUCAUGCAAUGUGGUCUCUGGUUCUUCAAGUGUAUCAAAAUAUUUCUUGGAAGCAUCUUGCUCUUGGUCAAGUCACGUACGAUCUUCUUGUCGUCCUCCUUUAAUCUACCGGCAAGAAUGUGUCCUUCUAAAGCCGGCUCCAUGGGAUGGUUGUGAACUCCAUUAAGAAUGUUCAAUCCCCAUUCCUUUGUUUGCUUACUUUGAUAUCCACUAAUCAUGAAUAAGCAACCACAUUUUCUUGAGCCGUGUUCGCAUGCUUCGGUUUUUUUUUCGGAACUAUGUGACUUCCACUCCUUUCACACACUAGCCGGAACAUUGGAUUGAUCAAGCUUGAUCUUUGUGUGACAAUGGUAAAUCCCGCCUUAUUUGCUUGUCGGCGCACCCACUCAAGCAAUUCAUCUCUAUUUUUCGACUUAACGUCGUCUGAAAAAAACUUAGCCGUGUCGACCUCGUGGGGUUGAAGUGGGAGUACACCGGAGCCGCCAACAUACUUUGAAGCUUCAACAUGGACGGAAGCUUCAUCUAUGUUUGUUUUCGCUUCAAAAUUAGGCGGUUUGACAUCUCCGGAAUUUUCGACAAAAUUUUCUUUUGUCUCUCCCGGAACAUCUUUCGCAUUCUUUACCAUUACUAUAAUUAAACAACACAUAAAUAUGAAUAAACAACUAAGUAAUGCAUAAACAUCAAUGCCAUAAUGAAUCAAAACAAAAAAAAACAAAAAAAAAACAAAAGAAAUUUUUUUUUGAAAAUUUGGCAGUGGCUGCCAUUUUUUCGUGGUGAAAAUUUUCACCAAGAGUUCCUCGGUACCUAGCUACCGAGGUUUUCCUCGGCACUAAACAACCGAAGUUUUCCUCGGCAGUUAACUGCCGAGGAUUCCCAUGACAGGGUUCUACGUAACUGACGUAGAUACCCCUAAAACACCCAAAAAAUGACUCAAAUAAAACGCACAAUACCUGUUUUUUUACGUCAAUAGUGUGUUGAUACCUCCUAUGCUUGAUGCUUGAAUGAUUUUGGAUCAAAAAUUGAUUAUAGAAAAAAUGGAUUUUGGGAUUGAAAUGAGGUUGGAAAUGAAGGUGAUGAAAAAUAGUGUGUAGGGGGAGCAGGUAGCUGUUUCAUCGUAUGAAACAUUUCCCUCGGCAGUUAACUACCGAGGAAUUCCUCGGUAGUUAUCUGCCGCCGGUUUCCUAAAAACCUCGGCAGUUAACUGCCGAGAGGGUAUUUGCGUAAAUUACUGGUGUGGCACAGCCAUACUAUAUGUGGGAACAGCAAAACUCAAAAAGAGGUGUUUACCAAUAUUUACGCAUGUUAAAUCGCUUGUGAAUAAACAGACAAUAACAGAGGAAUGGCUUCUGAAAGUAUAAAUUCUGUUGCAUAAAACUUGAAGGUUUAGUGAUGCAUCCAAUCAACCACUGAAGAAUGUACCAUUUCAGUGUGGAACAAAAAGAUUAAUAUAGAUACCAUCAAUCUGGGAAUUUUGAAAACUGGUUCCAUCGGAUAAAGAAAACAAUUCCACUGAACUUAUAUGAAGGAGCGAGUGCACCAAGCCAAACAACAUUCAACUAAUAUAUCACACUCGCUUUCGACACAAUUUGAGUUCAGUAAAAUAUCAUAGGUUUUGCAUGUUUGGUGAUCAAAGAAAUAACGACAUCAACCCGCUUUGAGUACAAUGACUGGCAUAUAGAUGUGCGGGACCAACUGGUUACCAAACAUAGGCCUCAUCACUCAACAAGAUGGAUGGUUCCAUCAAAGAAAGAAUGAACACACAGUUAAACUGAACUUAUAUGACCAAUAGUGUGGAAAAGAAAGGUUUUAGCGAAUCUGGAAGAAGCCAAUGCAAAAGCAGAGCUUGACAUUACUUUAAAGCAAAAAUGCAUUAAUUCUAGAUGCUUAAUUAUCAAUGUUUACUAAAUAUACCAGUAUGCAAAAUGACAAGGCAUUUAGCCUUUGACGGACACUAGCAUCCCAAAAAAAAAAUUUGAAGCCAAUAAAUAAAUCUGUAAGGUACAACAGAACAAGGUCGAGGAAUAUAAAACAUGUCACUACUCUAAUAGUACAAGGAACUCUGCCAAUUCUUUCAUUAAAAUUACUGACAACCAGCAGUCCUUUAAAGGUACGAGGUAGUACUAAUGAACAUUCCCAUGACGAUAUUUUGAUGUCAACUUGCAGAAGAUGAAACAUCAAAAUCCGAAGCCGGAACAUGACGACAUUUUAAUGUCAACGUGCAGAAGAUGAAACAUCAAAAUCCCAAUCUUAAGGUAGAAAAGAUCAGGUAAGGCUUCAUUUACGAUUCCGGGCUUCAUCCUUUUCCUUCUCUCGUUUCUUGUAAAGCUUUUCAAGAACACGCUUUGCUUCACAUUGUGGAAAAUUAGACAAAUCAUAGUAAUGUGGUGCUAUAUCAACCAACCUGUCAGAUAAUAAAUUAUCAGAGUUAAGUACAUCUCAAUAACAUCAAUGAAAACAAGAACCACAAGGUCCAAAGUAUUAUUACUGGCUCUCUUGUCUUGCAACAUUAAGGUCCAUAGUAAUGAAUAGAAUUCAAAAUAACAAAUUGUGUCUACUCUGCACUUAAUAUACUCAAGUUAUUCGUUGAUGAGAGGAAUUUUCUUUCACAUGUGCCACCAGAUGUUUCAGUAAUUUCGGAUUAUAAACAAUGGGCCAGUUCAAUACUUGUAGCUUACCUUUCUAACUGAACGUCGUAUUCAUUUUCCAACUAAUUAAAAAUAUUGUAAAAUAUUUAGGUACUUGUGUCAAAGUUAGAUGAGGGACUUCGGAAAAAACUUGAGGUAUACAAACUGAUUUAAAGUUCUGCAAGAAGCUCCAACACUUAAAAAUGAAAUCAAUCUUUCUUUCCCCGUCAAGGCUUGUAAUUUUUUUUUAUCUAAACUAGGUCCAAAAUUCACUGAUUAGCUUCACCAUUUGUACUGAACACAAGUAUCCCAGUAAAUAUCAUAUUAAAAUAAUUUGCAUUUUGCCAGCUCAAGGUUCUAAAACUAAGUCUUUUUCUAGGACAACCAUAGGGUCGGGGUAUUACAAUUUACGACAAUAAAAUCUUACCAUUCACCACGAAUAUCUGUCACAGUACGUAUGAAAUUCCGACUCGUAAGAACAUAUUCAUUGUAGAUAACCCACUCGGGCUUGUGGUCCAGACAAUUUGAUGGAUGCAAGUGUACCACCUAUACCAGAGCAGAAUCAUUAAAUAUGAAAGCAAAUCUUCGGCUUAGACAAAUAGCUAUUUUGGCAAAUACAAAAUGAAAAACAGAGGAAUAUAAAUCAAUUUAGCAAACCUGGUUGUCUUUAACUGUCAAGUAGUGUCCUGUCCGCUCAAGAUGAGCCACCUGCAUGAAAUAUCCUGCUAACAUUGCCUUUCUUAUGUUGACGUAGUAGUCGCGACUAUUGAAGUCAGUGCUGCAUAACUUCAGGUUAAACCUAGCCAUGAUACGCACUAGCUGUUGUCGAACAUUAUCAGCUGAUUUAAGCGCCCUAUUAUUAACGAAGUUGUCGUAGCACCAAGAAGCAUCCUCGUCUGAAAAGCCAUUUGCAUACAUUUAAUAAACUUCCAAUCAGAAAAAAAUAAACAGCAAGAUUAUUGCGAAUAAAAUGAAAAAAAGUAGGAGGAAGUAUGCACUUACUGUUUUGCUUGUAGGCAUGGUAUACAUUCAAGAGUGUGAGAUGAUCUCCAUCAAUGUGUCCAAACCUAGCUUUGGCUUCAUCCGCAGCUUUUUGUGCCUCCCUAGGCCGGAUAAAGCAAUUGGGUACUAAAGAAAGAAAUUGAUUAUCACAGACGAGGUCCACGGAAGAAGGUCAGCAGAUGCAUAGAGUCGAGAGCACACCAUUUUCUUCAUGAGAGAAUACUGAGAAACUGCAACUAUCUGCAUCAGCACUUACUUAGAAUCCAAUGGUACAUGCCAACCGGGGGCAUGGAACCCAAAGAAGACAGCUGCUGAUGACUACCUAAUUGGACACACUCCACCAACUGCAUUCAUGUGCAACUAAACUGAGCACACAUGUAAGCAGUCAAACAUCUUGAUCAUAUGCACGGCAUUGCCCGCACACAUGAACAAAUGCUGGGCUUCCAUUUCAAAAGAAGCCCAACUCAACUAAGUUCCCUUAGCUUUAUGGUGGGACUCUGGACAGACACAAAGCAAUAAUAAUAGAAAUGAAUCAUACCUGACAACAUCGCAGAAAUUGAAAGAAUCUCAUUCGAACAGUUGAACUCAGGACUAACAACAAGCAUCUUUGACAUCUGAGGGUCCAAUGGAAACUCACUCAUAAUCUCACCAAGCUUUGUUAAGUUACCUUCAUCAUCCAGUGCACCCAAGUAAUUCAACACUUCCAAAGCACGCAUCAAGGUUUCAGGGGCAGGAGGGUCCAUGAAGUCAAAAUGAACUAAAUCAUCUAUACCCAGUUUCUUCAAUGUAAGAACUGUGUUGGCAAGAUUAGAUCUCAAAAUUUCAGGAUAGGUCUGCGGCUGAAGAUCAUUAUUGAAACUUCUUUCGGUAUAAAGUCUAAAGCAUUUCCCCGGCUGAGUUCUUCCAGCACGUCCAGACCUCUGGUGUGCACUAGCUUUUGAUAUUGGAGACACCAACAAAGACUCAACACGAACUCGAGGGUUAUAGACCUUCUGCUUAGCAAAUCCAGGAUCAAUAACAUAGACUAUACCAUCAAUUGUCAAGGAAGUUUCUGCUAUGUUUGUUGAUACCACAAUCUUCCUUCCAGGGGGGCCUCCCUCCUUAACUGGAGGUGGAGCUGGCUCAAAAAUCUUCUGUUGCAUAGCUGGGGGAAGAGUAGAAUAUAAUGGCACGGCUUUCACAGGGCCCACCUGGUCCCCCAUGUUUGCAACUUCUUUAGAUAUUUUGCGGCAUGCAUCUUCUAUCUCCUCCUCUCCGGUAAGAAAAACAAGUAUGUCUCCAGCAGGUUCACACAUGUGAAUCUGCACCACUGUCCUAAUAGCAGCCUCCAAGUAAUCUCUUUCUGGUUCCUGAGUAUAAAAAAUUUCCACUGGAUGCAGCCUGCCAGGAACUUUCAUAAGAGGGGCACCAAAAAAAUAGCCCUGAAACUUUUCAGCUUCAAGUGUUGCACUCAUAACCACCAACUUCAAGUCAGGUCUGUUUUUAAGAACUUCCUUGAGAAGACCAAAUAGCACAUCUGUAGCCAAAGUCCUUUCAUGUGCCUCAUCAAGAAUUAUUACUUUGUAUCGCUCCAAAAGUGGAUCUGUCAUUGCUUCUCUCAAAAGCAUACCAUCUGUUAGAUAUCUGGCGGUGGGGGAGCAAAAAAUAUUACAUUUCAGAAUAAAAGAGAUGGGGAAAACAAGUUAAUAUAAAAAUAGUAUAACAAUGAGCUUCAAAUCAAUUACACAACGUAAUUUCAAGGAAAAAUAAAACAUACUUCAAAACUGUCCUUGCACUACUACAAUCUUCAAAUCUGAUGCUAUAACCAACCUCUUCCCCAAUACUCACAUCCAUUUCUUCAGCCACACGGCGUGAAACAGACAUGGCAGCCACUCUACGAGGCUGAGUGCAUGCAAUCAUCAUCUUCUUGCGCUUAUCUGGAGCCUCUAAUUCAACAGCUUCUAAAACGAACUGAGGGAUCUGUCACCCAAAAUUAUACAACAAAGCAAUUAAAUUAGCAAACUACAGACUUAGAUAAUCAAUCUUCACCCAUAAAAGGACAACGGAUAGCUACAAAAUUCUACUCUUUUUUUUAUAUACAAUUCCACUCUAAUUUCUAGUGCCAAUUUCAGCUGAAUGUAUGAUCAAUAUUAGAAACCCGCACACUUAUAUAACCAAUCUUAUCCCCAUAAUCUAGUAUUCACUCCAAGUCCCAAUCCUACCAUUAUCUUUUUGCUUCAUUAACUUCAAUUUUAGUGCCAAAUUGAGCUAAAUAUAUCAUCACUUAUCAUGAAACGACUACAUAAUAAUGACUGCAUUUUAAACACGCUGCCAAUUAGUGUUCAUAUAAUUUUUAGUUAGUGUUUAUAUAUGACUUUAUCUCCUUUAAGAACAAAAUUAACGGAUUUCAUAUACUUUAGGAACUACUACUCAACAUAUCACACUAAGAGCCCAUUUUGAUUGGCUUAUUUUUGAGCUUAUGCAAAUAAAUAAGUUUUAUGUAUCAUUCAAAAGCUUGUCGAUGUAGAAGUAGUUUAUGAAAAAUCAGCUUAUGAAGCCACAAUUUUGGUUAGUGAGAACUUAUGAAUUAACAUAAAAGCAUAUUUAUUUGCAUAACUCAAAAAUAAGCCAAUCCAAACUAACCCAAAUUCAAAAACAUGUAAACCGUAAUGAGAGCCUUGUAAAAACUGCAGCCAUUAUUUAAGGGACUAAAUCUAUGGUUUAUUCAUUAAUCAAUUAUUUCCCACAUGAUCAAAACCUAAGAAACAAAUAUAAAAACAACAUACGACUCAAACAAACUAAAAUAUAGAAACAAACCUGAGUGGUUUUUCCACUACCAGUUUCACCAACAAGAAUCAAAGUCUGAUUAUCCUUCAAAACCUUCAAGAAAUCCUCUUUCUGAUGCCAAACAGGAAGGGUUUUCCUCUUUUCCAAAAUCUCAUGAUACCUUUGCGAGUAAGGUUUUCCAUUCCAACGGUUAAUGAGAUUGUUACCAAUUAAACCGCCAUUAGUUUUCACCAUCUUAGCUGCAGCGUCGUCGACGACGUCGAAUAAACUCACCUUCCUCUUUCUCUCUGUACCCAUCAAAACCCUAAUAAUAAUAUUCUUGAAUUUUUCGGCACCGUUUCAAUGAAACACGAAGAAUAUGCGUUUCACAGAUUCCACAAUAAUAUAUUGGGAAUUGUGAGUGAAAAUGAAGACCCUAGAAAAACACACGCAGGCCCUGGUUUAAGGUUAGGGCUAAGUUGUGUGUUGUGAAGACGAGGCAGUGGCUGCUCCGAAAUUUUAAUGUUUUUUUUAUGUUCUUUGUUCUUUUUUGGGCUUUUUAGUUUGGGCCAAAAUUUAUUAUUAGUACCUGGCUUAUGCUUUUGUCUGUCUUUGAUCAAGCAAAAGGAUUACUAUUAGCACCUUUUUUUAUGCACCACGGUUUAUUCUUCCUGCUUCAAAUUCUCGAGCUCAUUCUACCAUUUUGAUAUUUUUUCUAGUUGAGCUACGAUGCCGAAAUUCUAUAUUUCAACCAGCAGAAAGAUUAAAAUUGUUAGGUCGGAUGUUGCAACUGGGUUUGAGGUACUGCAUUCACUUUAUUUGUGUGGAAUUUUCUAUGGGGCGACUAUGAAGAAAAUACAUCUUGGAGUUUUGGGAGAAAAAUUGUUAUCCUAAACACUUGGAGGUUUCAGCUGUGCUCUACUAUUAGGCACGUACUUUUUCCAACUUUCUCUCUUCUCACAAACCUUUCAAUAUUCCGAAAAUAUUUAUUCGGAUAUUUAUGCAAUCUGAUACCUUUAAAAAUUUAGAAAAACACAUAAAUUUGCUUUGGUUUAUUCAAAAUUUAUAAUUAUAUGUUUUGAAAAAUACAACCCACAAACUAUAAUAUUUAUUUGACUUAUUAUAUGAUCUAAAAUGUGUCAAACCCCCUGGUAGAUCACUCCAAAGACAAAAUAUAGUGUUUAAGUUGACACAUUUCCGAUUAUAUAUAGGUGGAAUCUUGUUGAAUAUGUGAAACUUGACCCUUAGUGGGAGCAAACAACAUGACACGUGAGUGUCGAUCCUCCAUGUAAACAUUCUGAUAAUCUCUAUCCUCGACACACUUAAAGUGUUUAAAUAUCCAUGUCUGCAUCAACAUCAACUUAUAUCAAUCAUUAAACAACAUAUGAAAAAACAUGUUUAACAGAUAAUCACUCUUGAUUUUUCUGUUUGUUCCGCAUUGAUCAAACAACUUAAUACUUCUUAAGGAAUCAAAUAAAAUUUUAAUUAUUUUAUCAAUAAUAAACAUGAAGACGACCACUUUGAUCUAGUUACCAUAAAAAGGUUCGAACAUGAAAGAUAAAAUGUAAUAACUUGAAAUUAUAACACUUGGUGCAAAUGUUUCUUUCUCUGUCUCUCUUUUCUCUUUUCUCUUUUCUAAACCUUAACUGUCACAACCUUUCUUCUUAUUGAUCUACCAAAAAGGGGUGAUUUAAGGUUAAUUUUGAUCUGAAAUCAUUCAUUUGAAUUGUUUUUCUUUCUCUUUUAGUUAAAUAAGUGAUUUUAACAUAUUUUCAGUUUUCCUUCGUUCGUUUUUGUGAUUUCGUCGUCCAGCACAACUUUGUUUAUUUUGAUUUUCGCUUUUUGUGCAGUGUGUUUUUUAUUUCUCGUCUUAGUGUGAUGUUUAUUUGAUCCAGUUUGAAAGAUUAACUUUGAUCAAGUGCAGAUGCAAUCAAUGAUUUUUUAAUCAUAAAAGUUGCAGAUCCGGAAACAUGAGUAUUUCGAUGGCUUGAAUAUAGUCAUAUUUAUAGGCAUAUGUACUAUGUCAUUUUAUAUUAUUAACAUGGAUGUUUUGAGUUUGCUCGCAAAUUUAUCAUUUUUGUUUUUAGAGACUUUGAAUUUGUAUUGUUUACGUGUACUUUUUUAAUUUGAACGAGUAAAUUUUAUUUAUUUAUAUAAAAAAAAAAAAGUGGUACAAGUUAGUUGAGAUACUCCCCAAUUGAAAACAAAUAAUAAAAUGGAUGAAAAAGACUUCUACAAAAAAGAAGGAUGAAAAAGACAACAUUUAGGUAGUUAGUUUAUUAAUUUCAAAAUAAUUUUACAACGGACAAAUAUACAAAUAAUACGUAUGUUAUAAAAUCAAGUUACUACCCUUCAAAAAAGAAAAUCAAGUUACUAGACUCAAGUGGUUAAUACAUUCCACUAUAAAAAGAAUCGUUUGAGAGAAUUCGAGUUCAAUUUAUGAUUGAACAAUUAUUGAUCAUUAGAGUGCACUAACUUUAAAUCAAAUGGUUAGGAAAAAAGGAGUAAACCAUCAGUUUGAUCUUUAUCUUUGUAAGUCACUUUCAAAUUAGUCCAUGACUCUAUUAAUAUUUUAAAAUAGUCAUUGUCUUUGUCAAAAGUUUCUUAAUUAGAUCAUUGUCUCUGUAUUUUUGUCACACGACAAGACACUUCAAAUAUUAAUAGAGUCAAUGACUAAAUUUUUUUUGGUUACAUGAGAAAAAGUUAAAGCAAAAACAAAAAAAAGACUAAUGACCGCGAGAAUAAGCAACACAUAUAUUGUCUACCGUAAGCAAUAAAUGAAGCUCAGCUGGAGGAUUAAGCACGAUCAAUAGAUCACUCGUAGACCUUUGUUUCAAGUUUGAUUAAGAAGUCAGUGACUAAUUUAAAAAUGACUUAUAAAUAUAGGGAUAAAUUUGAUGGUUUACUCAGAAAAAAUAUGCAUGUUAUAAAUCGAAGCAAAAAGGUGUAAGACCUUUCAUAUUUUGUUUGUAAUACAGUUCCCAAAUUCGUAACGAGAUUUGUGGGGAUGCAUGUGUUUUACAAUCUUUGAAAACUAGAACAAGUUGGUGGUUGUUUGAAAACAAUGGAAAGAAUAUAGUUGGGAGUUGACGUAUAAACAAUUGCCUCCUGUUUGAUCAUUUCCAAAACUGAUUUUCCACUAUUGAUGAAUUCGUUAUUUCGUUUAUUACUACUCUUUUAUACAACAUCCGGUCACUAUUAUAAAAAAAAAACUAUAUUUUAGAUUUAUUCAUUAAAUAAUAUAUGUGGUCUUUAUUAUAAAUCACGUACAUUAUUUAAUGAAUUAAUCUAAAAUGUAGUUUUUUACUUAUAACACUGACCUAUGAAAUAUUGUCAUCUACAUAACUGAUAGUUCCAUUCCAUCACCCAACAACCAUAACGUACGUAUUUAGCCUCCAAGCCUGUAUGCCACAUGCACAUGCAUUUAUAUGUUUGUUAUAACAUUAACAUCACUUUCCUCUAAAAAAACAAAACACAUUAACAUCACUUGCAUCUUUUAUUUUCCUAAAAAACAAUUCACUUGCAUGUCUUUUUAUAGUUUAUAGGGAAUAUUGACACAACUAGUACUUAUGUUUUUAUUUGUUAUAAAAAAAUGUCAACCAGCAUCAUUACGACAUUGGUUAAAUUUCUAAAAUAAAUAAGUUUGGAUUAAAAUGUAAUGUAGUUAUUUCUAAGACAAAAGUAAAACUUUGAAUUUUCAAGACAAAGUUUUUAUUAAGGUGUAUUUAACUAAUGUUCUUAGGACACUCAUUAGCAAUACUAUAAAAAAAUUUAUCUUCAACUUUUAAUUUUUCAAAAAAAUUUCAUCACAACUUUUGAUCAUUGCUUUGAAGUCAAACUCAUGUCUACCAUUUAAAGAUGAAUUUCUUUUCAUAGUUAUGUAUAAUACAAUAUAAAAUUCUCUCUAACAAAAGUUUAACUUUUUUAACGAGUGAUGAAUUCAAUAUGAAUUUUUAUUAUUUUUUCUUAAAAAUUCAUAUUCAAUUCAUCUUGUAACAUUCUAAACAUUCAUAGGACCUGAUUUUAAAUGGAAGAGAUUCUUGUAACAUUCUAAACAUUCAUGCAAGAAAAAUCAUUUAAAAAAUCUGAAGGAUACAUAUGACCUGAUUUAAAAGUAGGGAACAAAAGUGUGGAGGGAUAAAUUUUGAGGACUAAAAGUCGAAGAUUUUUUUUAGGGGAAAUCAAAUGAAAAGUUAAAAUAUUUAUAGGACCAAAAACAUAUUUAACCCUAUUUUUAAUUCAAAAGUCUCAUAAAAUUAAUUUUACAAAAUAAUCUAUUAAAAUCUAUGGACUUUUAAAUAUUGGGAGAUUUUUUAUAAGUAGUGAAAAAACUCAAUUAAAUAUCAAUUUUUUUUUCAACAAAAAUCGUUUCAAAUAAUUUGAAAUCAUAAUCCAGUACACACCCUUCUUACGUUUAUUAGCUUAUAGCAUAAUUUGAUAAGCUAAUUCAAAUAGCUUAUAACUUAAAGUUUGUAAUUUAUCAUUUUGCCUCUCAAUUUUACUCGUUAUCUUACUUGAAAAGGUUAAAUAUUAGUUACAGUAUGUUUAAUUAAUAUUUUUUUAAUUAAGAUAAUAGAUGUAAAACUGCGAGAAAAAUAGCUUUAUUAUUUACGCUAACAAUUAGUAAAAUUUAUUUUGUCCAAACGCAUGUUUUUUUACAUAAUUGAAAUUUCGUAAUGAUAUUAACAUUAUUUUAAUUUUUAGAGUUUAAUUGUCAAACACUUUUGGUGUAAAAAUAUUUUUAUACCUACAUCUAAUGAGAAUUUAUCUUAUUACCACGUAAGCCUGUUUUAUACCCGCCGUAUUUAAAAAUAACGGUAAGUUAUUCAAUUAUUAUUAAACGUUGAUGUAAAACUAUUUUACAUUUUAACGGUACAUUUUUUUUUUUUUUAAAUGAACACAACUUUUAUGUGGACACUUGGAUGUAAUUGCCUCCCCAACAAAGAGAACAUGAAGACUUGAGGUGUUAACGUUGCACGCCCCUUGCCUAUAUACAUGUUUUGAAACUGAAAAUUCUUGGCACUUGUUCUUUGACCGUUCUAAGUGUUGGUAAAAUGUAUCUCUGUUGUCAACAAUGAAUGAUCUGAUACCCUACCCCAUUCGAGGGGUUUCUUGACUAUCAAAUGUCUAUGUUUGCUAUGAUUGCAUGAAAGUAUUUGGGAAAAACGGAUUACCAAGCUUUGAGAUGGUAAAACUAGCAAAACAAAGUUGGUGGAAGGUGUCAUUAUUCGUGUACAAGAUCUGCUCAACUCUUAACAACAUGUGCAUAAUAGGAUUCGAACUAAAUUCAAAUUGCAUGGAAUAUUACAACAGAGAUCGAUAAACCGAAUUUUAAAAUGAGUGAAAAAGCCACUAAUGACGAUUUUUAAAAUGUCGCCAAACUUGCUACUCCCUCCGUCCCAUAAUACAUGACACAAUUGACCCUAUUACGCAUAUCAAUACAUAAUUUUGAGUUUAAAUAUCUUUAAUAAUAUAUUAGAAAAAAUUAUGAAAAAUUGAUAUUUUAAAAAUACUCAUCGAACCGAAUCUAACAACAUCUUAUAUGAUAUUAUUUAUCUUUGUAUAUUAGUUGAAAAAUAUGAUCAAAGUAAGUUAUAUCAAAAUUGCAUAUUUUCAAAUGGAUCAUCUAUUACGGAACGAAUGGAAUAAUAUGAUCAAAUUAUUACAACAAUUGGGCUUUGCCCUCCUUUGUACCAAAAAAAAAAAAUAUAUGAUCAAAUUAUUGAACUUUAAAUCAACCACUAUAUGAUAGUUUUUUUUUUUCCAGUUUUACAUGGUGCUACAUUAGAUUAAUGUUUUUCUUACCAAAUUUCUCUAACAAUAAGCAUUUUUCUUUUACUACAAAGGGAGUAUUAUGUACCCCCUCCGUCUCACAAUAAUUGUCUCUUUACCAUUUUUUAUUUUUCUCAAAAUAAUUGUCACUUUAGAAAAGCAAUGCAAAAUUUAUUUUUUUUUUUUCCCAUUAUUAUACCCUUAUUUAUUGAAUUUCAUCCAAUUUAACUACUCCACUAACUAUAAUUAAUAAGGAUGUUUUGGCAAAUGAUACUAGUUUUACCAUCAAAAUCAACACAAUCAAUCAUUUCCUUAAUAAUCGUGCAUAAACCUUAAACGACUAUUAUUUAGAGACGGGGGGAGUAUUUAUGAAGGGUCUUGCUAACAAAUAUUGAGUAAAUAGGCAAUUACCCCCCUGAAAUUGUAAGUUUCAUCAAUUAUCCCCCUGAAAUUAACAAAACUUCAAUUAUCCCCCUGAAAUUUCACAACGUUAAUCAAUUUACCUCCUCCGUCAAAUUUUUCUGUUAGUGAACAUGACGUUUUGCAAACACCCCCCCUGAAGUUUUGCACUUAUGUGCAAAAUGCCCCCCAAACUUAAAAAUUUAUAUUAUUUUUUUCUUAAAGACAAACAAUUAACGAUUAAAUAUUAAAGAUAACUAUUAAUUUUGGAGUUUGGAAAAACUACAUGCAUGUAUACAUCAAAAUAGGGGAAAAUGUGUAUUUUUAAAGUGACAAUAAUGGUUAUUUCUAAUAGACAAAUUAUUAUUUUUAAGGGUUUAUAGACAAAUUAAUAAUCAGUUUUAAAUUUAUAUUUUCUACUUCACCAUCUUAGUCUUUUAACUCAUCCAACUCCUUCAACAAUUUGCUCAAACCAUUUAAACUAAACAACCCCCAAUAUUUUCAUAUGAUUUGUUCUUGUUUACACACUUUAUAGAAAACUUCAUUCUAACUUCUUGUUUGUGCUUCAGGCAGGGACAAUCAUUCAUCGUAUACAAUCUAGCUCACACAACAAUACUAUCAGACAGACAUAUCAUAUAUAGCAUAUUAAGUAAUAUUCAUGUAAGAAAGACACAAAUCAUCAGCAAAUAAAAUAUGUGAUCGGUAUGUAUAGAGGAACACUUAUUGAGAAAUGUCAAACACUUAGACAUAUAUUUCUUUACCUUUGAAAUUAAUCCACAAAUCAUUCCAUUAUUGUCACUUUAAAAAAUACACAUUUUUCCCCAUUUUGUAGCCUAUUUUGAUGUAUAUAUGCAUGUAAUUUUCCCAAAUUCCAAAAUUAAUAGUUAGUUUUAAUAUUUAACUAUUAAUUGUUUGUUUUUAAGAAAAAAAUAAUAUAAAUUUUUAAGUUUGGGGGGCAUUUUGCACAUAAGUGCAAAACUUCAGGGGGGGUAUUUGCAAAACGUCAUGUUCACUAACAGAAAAAUUUGACGGAAGGGGUAAAUUGAUUAACGUUGUGAAAUUUCAGGAGGGUAAUUGACGAAACUUACAAUUUCAUGGGGUAAUUGCCUGUUUACUCAACAAGUAUUUUAAAGACAUUGUUUAAAGAGCCCAUAAAAGGAAAUUUUGUCUUGUAAAUUCAAGUCAAACACUUGUGAAAGUCAUAACUAAACAAUUUUCCAUGUAAAAGUUGCUACUUUUGAAAACUUAAACAAUGCCCUAAAGAUACUUGUUAGCAUUUUUCGAAGGACAAAUAAAACAAAGGUUAUGUUAACUUGUGUCAUUAUGGCACAUGUUAAACAUUAAUUUCAUUCUAUUAAUAGUAAGAAUUUAAUGAAUUUUUUUUUAGUAUUAAACAACUUAAGUAAUAAAUUAACACAAUUUCCAAUACAUAAUUACUAUUAGUAAAAUUCUUAACAUAUACUUAAGGGCACAAGUUAACAUUUUCCAUAAAACAAAUAGCCAAGGAGUAUUGAGAGAGUUGAAACCUAAAGUUAUGGAUCUUUGUAUCCUUUGAAUGCAUGCAUAUUACAGACUUAUUGCAAAUGCAUGCCGUCACAUUCAAUACCAUCACUUCAGGUUAUUAAUACUAUAUGACUACCACUGGCACAGACUCGCUUACUAGAUCAAUAUUGAUGGAAAAGCUUUGAAGCCUUUUUUUUUAAUCAUCAUAUCAUAAAUUCAUAAUGUUGAAGAAUUAGUUACGUUACAACUUGGUCUCAAUAAUCUCUCUCCCUAGAUCUGCGGCAAAAGUAUAUCACAUUUCACGUUAUAAAAAUUCCUGUGCGGCUAUUACAGCCUUUGGAACAUGGUUUUGGUUUAUACUACUACACAAGAAAUACAUGCAUUCGUUGUUCAUAGACUCAAUGUUACGAGAUCGAUAUAUAGUAAUAUAAACAAACAUAAAUGCUCAGUCAUGUUAGUACCUAAUUAACUUCCCUGUUUAAAGCUUAUACUUUUUUUUUUGUUGAGAAUUUUUGCUUAUAUAUAUAUAAUAUAUAUACACACACACUUCAGCACAAGGUAGGUGUGGAUAUAAUAUUUUAUUUAUGAAAGAAAUCUGUAUAUCUCUUCUCAUUUGGCCAUUCCCAUCCUCUCCUUAUAUUGCUCUAUCUGUGUGCAGGUCCGCAUUUUAAUGGUGCAACAUUUAUGACAACAUUUAUUUUCAGGUCACAUAUAUUCUUCAAAUUGUUCUUGGCAGCAGGGUCAAUUGGCGUGUUUGAACUUUGAACUUGCAGUGCUAAAUUUUAAAUUAAUUAAUUUUUAAUUUUUUUUUUAUUAAUUAUUAUAUGGGUUAAUGAUCUAAUUUUUAUUUUUUUUUGUCACCUGUGAUAAUUUUUUAUCAUUAUUUCUUAACCAUAUAACAACACCAAACAGAAAUUUAACGAGAGCUAGUUGCGAAGAGCAUUUGUGAAUUGUGAUGAACUGGAUACAUGCAUAUGUAGCGACAAAACUGUAGUAUUGGACAUACUAACUGAAAGCAGUAUAGUAUGGAUAGUGAUAUUCAAUUGAGGAUAUGUGCAAUAUUGAAUAAAAGAUUGAUCAUAUUAUUUAUAAGGAUCGAGACAAGUCGGAUAGUAUUAUUUACCCAAAAAUGAAAGUUUUUGUAUAGUUAUUCUUAGGUGACAACUAGGGUACCCAUGGAAGAAUGGUGGGUAAUUUAUCCCAACCAAUACACAUUAGCCACAUAAGCAUAUUUUUAAGUGGUAUCCAUAAACUAUCUUGACCCCACCAACAAAUUGCUCAUUUUCAUUGGUUGGUGGGUAAAUUACCAACCAUUCUUCAAAGGUAAUCUAGAAAAAAACCUUAUUUUUAUCUUUUGGAAAAGAGGAUUGAAUUGGAUAAGAAUUAUAUACCGGGAGUAGCUAGUAACUAACGUUAAACAUUGUUUACUAAGAACGUCCAUAAUGAUGGUACACUAAUAAUGAUUCCUUUAAUCGUCUUCACAUAUACACCUCAUUUAUUUAUAUUUUUUUAAUAAAAGUUUAUAUUAAAGAUUCAAUAACUCCAAUGGAAAUACAGUACCAGAGACUCCAAUGAAAAAUGCUUAAAUAAGUCUCACUAACUUUACAUCAUUAUACAAAAGUAAUUUAUUAAAUUAUAAAUUACCUCAUAAAAUAUUAGUUCUUUCAAAAGUGAGACCAACUUGUAUAUAUUUUAUUACUUUUUUAAACAUGAGACCCAUUAGUUGCUCACGGGAGAGAUACCUUAUAUAAAUACUCUAUUUUUAUUCCUUUAUGGAUGUCCUUAAUAAAGAAUGAUCAUUGUUAAGUAAGGAACUUCAUUGAAGAUGCUCUAACUCACUUUCUAAAUCCGGUAGGCAAUACUUUUCUAACCGAAAUAAAUUAGUUACAUUAAUUAUCGUUUAGGCUAAUGUGUUUCAACUUUCAAGGACUCAAACUUUUGUUUUGCUUUACACUCUUUCCCUUCAUUAGAUUUUGUGUAAUCUUAUAAGACUUUUAAUGAGUCACGUGUUAUUUGUGCUCCGAAUGUGUUUUGGAUUUUUUUUUUCCAUCUAUUGAAUAAAAAAAUCACAUCAUAUUUAAAGUUUAAAACUCAAACUUUUUUUUAAAGGAAUAAUAUAAGCAAUUAUUCCGGGUCUUAUUUAUACAAAACUUUUAGAUCAAUAAAAAGUGAUAUAUUUAACUAAGAAUUUAGACAAAAUACAUUAAUUUUUGUUGACUAAAAAUCUCUUAUAAAUAGGAUCGGAGGAAUUAAUCAUUGUGUUAGUUAUUUUCUUCAUCAGAAACUCUUUUUGUACUUGGAUGAAGCGACAAUGGUAACUAAAUUAAGAGUUUGUUAGUUAUGAUUUAUUUAUGAAUAAUUAAGAGAAGGAGGAGGGUCCUUUUCCAUCGGUCAGAUAUUUUAUGAUUCACUUAUUCACUUAUUACAUUACGUUAAUUAAAUUUCUACUUUAUCGUACGUUUAGCCGUUUAAGCGGUGGCAAGCCCCAACCACAUUAACUGCACAAAUUAAACUACUUUAUAGAUUUUUAUUUGACGGAUCAAAUCAAAAUGUUUUUUUUCUUUUUUUUCUUUCGUAUCGGUUUUUGAUCCAUCAAAGAUGGACGACUAAUUCGGCUCAUGCGUAGAGGCAUGCGCACUUGCCAAUCGUUGUUUCCCCUAGAACUAUUAUAGCACUAUUUAGUAUUUAGAUAAGAAUCAACAUUGCUUUGCAUUAUGUAGCAGUAGUACAAAAUAUACAGCACAGAUUGAAAGAGAGAGAAAAAACCAACAAUCAAUUAAAUCAAAUAAAGAAAAGAUAGAAAGAAAGAAAAAAAAAGAUGAACAUUAUUUUCUCUAGGUCCACGAAAGUAACCCUUUCAUUUUCAUUUCGUCACAUCUAAUAAUAAGUUGGUUAUUGUUGACUGUUGCGUGGUAUGCUGUUCCUUCGGUUGAAAACUACCCCUUCAUUACCAGCUAGCAUCAAAUACUUAUCUUUUCUUGUAAGCUUUGUACACUCAAAUCCCAAAGUGUUACCGAUCUCCGCUUGAAUAUGGUUCGCCACUUCAAACCUACAUUCCUCAGCAUUCUCGCUAACUCGUGGAAAUUGUGAAGGACGAACUUGGGUCAGUAACUCAACCGUGUAAGCCGGGAAAGGAUCGGCGAGGAAAAAAACCGGGUCCAAAGCCUUUAGACCGCUAGCAGUUGUGCCAUAAAACAUGCUGACGUGUGUAUCAACAGCAACUGGUGUUAUCUCAUCACACAUUUCAGAAAACAAAGAGCUAAACCUUAAUAAAUAAGGUUCUCUACAAGUGGUCCCUUCUGGACACACAACUACAUCCCCUUGUUGUAACAACGUUUUCAUCAUUUUUGCAUCAAUAUCUCUAUUUCUUGACAAACGUACCGUUUUAAUUGGUGCUAUUAUCUCAGACAUUUUACUUAAGCUAUAAGUUACCGCAAUUAAUUUCUUGUGUAAUGAGAAUGAAAUGUAGAGUGGGUCUAAUAAGGUUCUAUGGUUACACACGUAAAGAUGACCGUGACCGUUGGAUUUAUGGGCAUUUUCGGGAAUUGAUGAUGUGAGACGGAGUCCACUAAAUGUUAAUAACGGAGUUGAGAUUUUGAAUGGAAGUGUGAAUGCAAGUGUGAUUCUAAUAACGGAAAGGAUUAUUCCGUAUGGAAGCCACAUUAACAUUGCUAAUGACUUUAAUGGAGUUGGUGUUAGGGCUAGUCUUCCAUCGUGGAAAAUAAGUGAUUUUGGGUAUUUUUUUGUUGCUAGCUUUUUCCAACUUCUUUUGUCACCUUGUGAGACAGCAUAGACUUCCUGAUAUAACAAAACAACUUAUUAGUUUAAUUCAAGGUCCAAUAUAUCACCGUUAACAAUGACACAAAUGAUUAAAAUAAGAUUAAAAUAAGUAGAAAAUAAGAAAAACAAACCUUGCAAGAAGAGAAAAUUUCAUCAUCAUGAAUGUUAUUGAAUCUUGUAAUACCAAUCAUAUCUAAAGAGCCUUUCCCUUCAUGAACUUGUUUCAAAGCAUGCAAAUUUUUUGUCUCAUCCAUCAACCCAACAUAGUAACCACAAACCAUUUUCAGCUCUCUACCAGCAACAAAAUCAAUUUUCAAAUACUCUUUCAAGAAACUCUCCACCAUUACACGAGGUAAAUUACUAACACCCACUUUCUUCCCACCUUGAUUGAUCACCUCAAAAAUUUCUGAACCAACAUCUUCCAAGAAGAAUUUUGGCAGAACUGAUCUUCCAAUUCUAAAGUCUUUUGCUUUGAGACCAAAAAAGCAUAUCAUCACCAUUAUAUUCAACCCCAUUUUUUCUCCUGAUAAAAAGAUUAAAGGGUACAAAAGCACUAGAACAAUGGCUCUAAAUAGUCCUCCAGCUUCAAAUGCUACAAGCAUGAAAUAUGGAAAUAGAGAAGUGGAUUUAAGCAAAGCAUUUUCGACGUCGAAGAUUAAUGUGUGAUCAUUGAGGUCUGAUCGGUUAAGAAGAGAUGAAAAUUUUUGGUAUUUGAUUUGUGAUUGUGUUGUAUUAGCAAAAGUGUUGCUAAUAGUUCUAUGGAAGACUAUUAGGUUUUUGAGUUGCCUAAGGAGAAAACGGUACCAAAAGAUGAAAAGAGAUUUGAGGAAAUAUGCUCUAAACACUUUAGCCAUAUUUUGAUAAGGGAAUGAAUUUUCAGUAGUAGUUAUUUUAGGUAUGGUUAUUUGUUGUAUGCUGCUAUUUUGUGAAGUGGGAAUACCAUGUAUUUAUAGAACUAAACUAUACGGAUACAUCUCAUUUAUUACAACGAGUAGCAACUUGAGUCUCAACAGCCAGCUUGACACGAUUUGGCCACUAUUGUGUAUACUUUUCUAUUUUUUAAUUUGUUGACCAAGUUCCUAAGUUCAUAUACUAGAUUAUUUUUUGGACUAGUUCAUAUGAUAUUAUAAGAGCAGCUUUUUCUUAAUGGUCUCAUUAGCUAGAUUUUAUUUUAUAAUAAUUAAAAAUAAGCCAUUGUUGACUAUAAUCACUGUCAUCACACUCCGGUUUCGUAGAGAAUGAAUAAUCCAUGCAAUUUGAUUUUUAUGUGAUAAUAAAGAGAAAUAAUAAUUAACUGUACAAAAAUAAAUAAAUUAAAUGACUAAGUCGGCAAGUGGCUUUUAUAGCAGGCAAUUAUGCUUUGUAAUAAUUCUUGAAGAAUGAUUGAUCAAGUUUCCAACAGUUAUUUUCUUUAUUAAAUUUUCAAGAGUGUUAAUCAUUGGAAAUUUUGUUAAAAAAAUAGUCAUUGGAAUUCAAACAUAAGUUUUGUUUUUAAUAUUUUGUUUUUAUUACAAGCUCAUUUUUAUUGUUAUGGGUUUUUCCAACAGAUGUCUUAAGGACACGUGUUAAAAAAUUAUAUUAAAUGUUUUGUGUUGAAAAAAGUACUAAUUUUUAAAUUUUUAAAGAGUUUGACAUGGUUCUCAAGAUCGGGAGUUAGAUCUCAAGAUCGUACGAUCUCGUGCUUCAACAUUGUUUCACCGAGUUGGAGCGGCUCGAAGAUCGGAGAAGACGGUGGAGCGGGAGGCACGCAGAGGAAGAGCGGAAAAUCGUGAGAUAUGUGCUUUGUUUUGCAUCAGGGAAGGCGUUCGAACCGAUUACGACUCAAAUUUACAGAUCUACACACCAUUUAGUAUAUAUACGCAAAAACACAAAUUUACAACGCACUAGUAAUAUAUAUGUCUGAAUUGCUCAAUGGCAACCAAAGGAAAAAGGUGAAAAUAGAAACAAAUUACAAAUGUUUCUGAAUUCACGGUACUUGGAUAUAUGCCAUGACCUUAUACCACAAGUUUUAUUUUUCCCUUAGGCUUUGUUUGGGAGUUUGGAGGCGAGGGGAGUGGAGGGUUUUGAAAAAAAGGAAGGAGCAAGUGGAAAAAAUAGAAGAUAUUGGGAGGAGAGGGCUUUGGAGGUUAAUUUUUUACUCAUAAUAAAAAAUCCCCCUCAUUUGGGGGAACUUCAAAAUUUUAUUGGGGGAGGGUUUUGGGAGGUUUUUGGAGGGUUUAUAUGAAUUUUUCAAUUUCAAUCUAUGUUGUUAUAAUAUUCUUAAAAUUAAAAGUAUAUUCAUCAUUAGUUUAUCAUUCUCUAAAAAACUGUUCUUUCAAAAAAUGUGAUUUUUUUGUCAAUUUUUCUAUAUAUUUCCAACCCACCAAAGUUCUCCCCUCCCUUCCCCUCCAAACUCCCAAACAAAGCCUUCGACUUUGUUUGCGAGUUUGGAGCGGAGGGGAAGUGAAAGCUUUGAAAGGUGGAAAAUAUGAGGGAAAAUGAAGAAAUCUUUCAAAUUUUUUAAAAGAACAGUUUUUGAUUUUUAUGAUAAAUUAAUGCAGCUAUAUUUUUAGUUUUAGAAAUAAAAUAACAACACAGAUUAAAUUUGAAGAAUUCAUAUAAACCUUCCAAAACCCCCCAAAACCCUCUUCACCCAUUGUCCUCUAUUUCUUCCACUUGCUCAUUCCUUUUUUCUCAAGUCUUCCCUUUCCUUCUCCUCUAAACUCGCAAACAAAGCCUUAGAAUUCAAGUCAGCGAGGUCUCGAAAUUAUUUAAGGUUUAUCUCCAUGUGUAAAUGCUUCUGCAGUGGGUUGUUCAAUGGCGUAAAUGUCGGGUGACCGUUUGAUUGUGUAGAGGGCUCAAAUUGGCUCAAAGUACCUUAUUGGGUGUUUCAGAGCUCUUUACCAGUACAUGUGAUAUGUGAGUGAGUUUAUACGCCUCAUUGGGUUUUAGCUUUGUGAGUGGACUAUAGAUCCGAGGAUUAGGUGUUGGCCUAAUUUGGAACAAGAGGGUUUGCAAUUUUAUCCUUGUAUAAAUUACAAUUGUAGUUGAGAGGUUUUGUAUUUUUUUAUGUGCAAAAUUCGUAUGAGAAGAUUUGCAAUUUUGUCUUUGUAAAGAUUGCAGAUUGAAUAAUAAAAUAUUUGUUGUGAGAUUGUUUGUUGUGAGAUUGUUGAUGUAGGUAUAAAGUGCCAGACCACAUUCAAGUUCUGAAUUGUAUCUUGUAUUUCUUUUUGGCUUUUGUGGGUGUGCUUCCUCUAAUGUAUUGUAUAUAUUGAUUUUGUUGCUUUCCCAACAACUAGUAUCAAAGUUGAGGUUUCAAGCUUCUUCAAAAAAAAAAGUUUAGGUUUCGAUCAAUGGAGAAAGAGAAGAAGUUUACUGUGUUGUGUUAUUCAUUUGAAGAGAGGUUAUAGUUCUAAUAUUAAUAUUUUUAAAUAUACUUGUUAUUAUGGCUACACAUUGAAGUUGGAUAUUCCUUUGUUUGAUGGAAGAAUGAAUUUCUCCUUAUGACAAUACACAAAUAUAAAAUUCAUGAAGGAUUUGCGAAACUUAAAAGAGAAGACAAAAAGUUGAACAAUACUCAUUCUUCAAACGUGAAGAAGAUAAAGUGAAGAAGACAUACAAGUCUUUGGAUGAAGGGAGGAUUGUGAGAUUAUGGACAUAGGUAUAAAGUGUCAAAACACAAUUUAUUUGUGAUUGUGUUUUUUAAUUUCUUUUUCUUUUAUGUUAGUGUGCUGCUAGUGUAGAUAUUCCUUUUGUUGCUUUCCCAACACCUAUAAAUUUCAAUUAGCAUUUAGCUUCCCAUGAUGCCUAGUUAUGAAAAUCGCUUACAACAUAUUGAAAUAUUUUAACCACAUUUCCUCUUUUGGUUACAAAUAACUCGUACAUAAUAUGAAAUUAUAGGGCGCAUAUGUUAUAGAUUCCUUUUGAAAAAAGAAAUCAAAUUCUUUAUCUAAAAAAUUAUUUGUUUGGAGUUUUCAUUAAAUUGUUAUAAUUUAUAUUUUAAAAAUUACAACAUCCCUUCAUUAUAUUCGAGGCUAAGGAGCUAAAGAGUAUGCAAGCUCUUGAGUUUGACAUAAGUUCAACCUCUACCUAAUGCACUAAUGUUACGAACCUCCAAUCUAUAACAUUGAGUUUUCGAAGUAUUAUCCGCUUUGGGUUUUAUGUGAACUCUUCACGGUUUUGUCUUUUGUAAAAGAGGAAUAACAAGUGUGUUGUUUAUAAACUACUCUUAAACUCGAUUUUCAAGCAAUGUAAGAUUUUUUGGUGUAUUAUACAUAUAUUGCAAACUGUAUUUAGGUAAAAGAAAAUCUGUAUUGUUCUACUUGAUCUCCUGUAGCUCAAUGUGUAUCAAAGCACAGGAGAUAAAGACAAAAUUUCUAUCUCCUGCUCGGAUAACAUCAAUGGAAGGUACAUGAGAAAUUGUGAAUGUCAACGCAAAAUAAUGAAAAAUGAGCGGUUACGUUUGUGCCGACCACGGUUUGAAGUAUCUGUCAAACAAUGCGCAUGGGUGAUGCUUGCUGCUGGAGCUGGCAAUUCGAUAUGGUCUUAUGAAUUUGGAUGGCUAAUUAAAGGAAAACACAAUACCUCUCAUGUGGGCAUAAUUGACUAGCCAAUGACCCCAUGCUUCUUUAAAUACAAACAUUGAAGGAAUAUUAAUGCUUCUUGAGUAAUCCUUGCUUUUCUCUUGAAAGGGAGUCAUCCUUGUUAAGAGUCUAUGAGACAUGUGCAAGGACUUAUGGAGGAGCCCACAACACUAAGCUCUGCAGCGAGAUAAUUGAUUUUGGUUAAAAAUAAAUUUGAUUAAAAGUGAUUUAUGUUUGCAUACAUUAUUUAAAAGUGAGUUGAACUAUAAAUUUGUGUGUGAAAAUCAAUUCUUGAUUUAGAAGUUACAAAUCAUAACUUCAAGUAUAAUCAAUUAAGGAGGCAUAACCAAUUCUACCUUUUAGAAAUAAUCUCAAAACUGUCAUAUAUUUAGGGAUGAGAUAAUAAAUGGUUAAGGUAAUAUAGGUAAAAUAUAAAUAAUAGUAUCAUAAGUAAUGAUAUUAUUAGUUGUUUUGAUACAUGUGAAAAACGACAAAAGGACACUUAAAAAUUAACAACUGGAAUAACAUACUAAUGUUGACCGUUUAGAAAAAAAAUCAUAUGACUAAGAGCAACCACAAAAGUUAGUUUGAACAUCAUAUCUUAACCUAAAAUCUAAGAUAUUAACUAUAUCAACCUUCUCACAUAUGUUGUUCAAUCUUACUCUUCCAUCCAAUAUGUUAUUUCCAACUCACACAUCAACAUUCUCUCUCAAGUAUUAGACUAUCCACAUGCAUUCAUGAUCCAUCGUCAAGAACUCCUCCCACACACCUUCACUAGACUAUCAUACUUCAGUUCGGACUUCUAGGGGAGUCAGAAAAAUAUUGAGGUAAAUAAUCACAUUAUACUAAGAGCAACUAGACAAGUGAGUGUGGACACCAUAAAUUCAUACAAAAUCAUAGGGUGUGUUCGGCAGUUUAAGAAAGGAAGGAAUGGAUUUGAAUAAAAAGGAACGAUGAAGUGGAAAGAAUUAAGUCUUUAAUAAGGGAGGGCUUUGAAGUGUUUAUUUUUCUUUAUAUUCUAGAAUUCUCCUACUUGGGAGGAAUUGAAAAAUUUCUUUAGAGGAGGAUUUUGGAGGGUUUUAGAGAUUUAGGAUAAAUUCUUGAAAUCCAAUUUAAUUUGUUAGAAUAUCCCCAAUAUUAAAAAUAUAUUAAUCACAAUUAUUCAUUUAUCAUUUUCUUAACUUAAUUUUUCCUUAUGUUCUUUGUUAGACUCUUGCUUUUCUCUCUUCUUUGAAUUGUAUCUUGGAUCUUUGAUAUAUUCCUAAACACUACUUAUGCUGAUUGACGUUUAUUGUGCUAAUAUAUUUCAUUUUAGCCUCUUAAAAAAAACUUCCCUAAUUAAUAAGUGUCCUAACAUGUCCCAAAAAUUAUAGGAAAAUCUAUGAGAAGAUAUGGUGUAUUUCAUUGACUUUUAUUAAAUUGUUAUUAUAUUUGUAUUGUAUUAAUGGUCAGAUGAGAAAAUGGUCCAACACGGGUAUAUAUGCCCAUGCUAAUAUAGACCAUGCACACCAUAACGUAAAGACCAUAACCCAUGAAAAUAGAUUGACGAAGGAUCGUGGAUUUUGCCUCCAGUUUUCCCAUUCCUCUUGGUGUUCCUGCUGCUUGAAUUUACAAGGGUUAUGUACCAUAAUUAAAUCACCUUAUGCAUCCAUCCCAUGAUCAAUUUAUCCUCAUAAUAAUAUAGUAGUAUAGUAGUAAUUAUGUUCAUCAUUUCUAUCUAGUUUCUUUGAUAUUCGUGCCACAAUGUAUCUAAUUAUGGGGCACGAAGUGUGAAUUAAUAUUCGUCCAUAUGCAUGAAGAAUGGAUGUUAUAGGCUUUAAGGUACCGUUUGACCCGGUUUUUUUUCAGUUUUUCUACGUUUUUAAGGAGAAAUUAGGCCAAACACAAUAUCAGUAAAUUACCUUCGAAAAAAAGUACCUUUUUUAGAUUGCAUAAAAUUGAAUGGAAUGAGCUUUAACCAAAAGUUGUUGAAUGCUACUUCAAAAAACUAUUUCUCCCCAAUUUAUUUCACAAACACCUCUCUUCAACUCCCGCCGGCAACCUUGUUUUAUUUUUUCAAUUAAUAUGCUUUUUUCUUCCAUUUUUUUUUUUUAACCGGUCAAUUUAAUUUUUUAAUGAGGUUCCAUUUAAGUUUAUUAUCUAUUUUUUUAAGGAAUUUUAUUAUCUUUUUAUCACUUAUAUAUUAAUUUCAAUAUCUUUUGAUCAUCACAACCUCGCAAAUAUUUGUAUUCACGCUGUCAAUGAAUGACACCGAAUAUUUUUAUUCCAUUUCUUCAACCACGGAAAUACACACGCACGUUAGCGUUUAGAGUAAUACUUUAUGUUUCUCUUUCUGUUUUUUUUGUUAUGCUAAUGCGUAUAAUUUUUGUUAGUGUUGUGUAAUUCGUAUAAUUAUUUUUAUAAAAUUUUGAUUUUAAUUAAAAGUACAAGUGUAGUUGCCUAAAAAAACUAUACUUAUAUAUAAUUUACACAUUUGUAUUGUAACAAACUAUGCAUAUCUUUUUCUUAUUAAAAAAAUUAAACAUAUCUUUUUCAAUGACACCAACAAUGUAACAAAUAUAAUAUUAUAUAAUAUAAAUUAUUAUUUUUUUGACAAACACUAAAAAUAUGGUAUUCUUAUAACAAAAUUUGUUAUAGAGUAUAAUUGGAAAAGAUAUUGUACAAAUUUGUAUUCAUGUUACACAAAAUAAACGUCAUUGAGUAAAUAUAGUAUUGGUAAAAAUAUAUCUUCUAUAUUUUAAACAUUUUUUACCUUCAAAAAAUAUUUUAGACAUUUUUUUAUUUAUAAUGUUAAUUCAUAAUGAAUUCAAAGUUUUUUUAUUUAUAGACAAUGCAUAAAUAUAUGCAAGGUUCCGGGUUCGAACCCCAGACACCACCUGUAACGCCCGUUUCGAAUUAUUUAAUUAUUUAAUUGAGUCUAGAGUUAUUUUAGAUGAUUUUUAUGAUUGAGGUGGUUUAUAUGAUUUUUAUGAGGAGUUGUGACUUAUUUUAUUGUUUAAUAAAAUAAGAUUUGAAAAUAAAAUAAAUAUUGAGUUUAGGGGCUGUUUUGAUAUUUUAGAGAGUUUUGGGAGAGAAAGAGAGAUAAGAUAAGAUAAUUGGAGGAGGUAUAAAAGGGAAACCUUGUUUUAGAAAAAACAUUGUACGUACGAUCAGUUUUUGGAAAAAGGGAGAAAAAGCCAAGAGAAGGGAGAAGACCUAGAGGGACUGCGAUUUUCAUCAUACAAGGUAAGGGUGAGACUAACUUUGCAAUUUUAUUGAGUCUAUGAAUCAAUGGUUACAUUUAACAUGAAUUAGGAUGAGUUUAAGAAGAAUCGAAAAUUAGGUCAAAUUGAGUGAAUUGAUGAUUAAACGGUGAAAAGUUGUUAGAUUGAUGUAGAAACUGUUUCUAGACCUUAGAUAAUGUAUAUGAUGAAUUCUGGAAUCAACGUUAGGCUUAAAACCAUGAGAAAAGAUGAAUUUUCGUAAAAAAUGCACUUCUGCCCGAGCCUACACUAAUCGCUCGCCCUCGCGAACGAUGAUCCUCGCCUCGCGAGUGAUGAAGUUCAUCGCUCGCCACACGAACCAUUUUCCCUCGCCUCACGAGUUGCACGUCGCAGCUCGCCACAGCGAACAGAUGAACUCACCUAGCGAGCUAGACCAGAGAGCAUGCAAGAUUUCAUAUUUUUGACUUUUGAGUUGAACUUUAGAUGUCUUUGAGUGCCUGAACAUGUCUAAUAAUGAUUAGGAAAGAAUGUAGGAUGUGAUUGAACCUGGAAUUGAACUUGUGGGAUUCUGACCUGAACUCGCCACGGCGAGUAGAGGCUCUCGCCUCGCGAGUGACCUAGAAACAGAGUGACUUGUUAGAUUUUGCGACCUUUGUUGUACGAGUUGUCGGAAGUUGAACCCUUGGGUAGGAUUAAGACUUAAUAAUGAGAUUAACUAUAAUUUGUGAAGCUGAAUAAGAUAUGUUGUUGUUGAUUACGAUGUGUUAUAAUGUUUAUGCAUUACUUGAAGAAUAAUUGUAUAUAUAAUAUGUUGAUGAAUUGAAUUUGAUAUAAUUAUGUCUUGCUGUUGCACACUGCCUAUGUUGCUGUUUGUUAUUUAACUAAGCUGCAUGAGUCGUCUAAGAUGUUGAAGAUGAUGAUGUUCCAAAUUAUUGGACUAAUAUAAGAGGUUGUCGAAUUAAGUUGUUUAAGAGGUCGAGUCCAUGCAUAAGCAUUCAUAGUUGGGGGCUUGAUGCCCUGGAGCUUUGUACUCACCACGUUGGAGCAUUAACUCAAAAUUAGCGAUGGGGGCUUGAUGCCCUGGAAGUAUAUUAAUACUCAAAUAGCGAUGGGGGCUUGAUGCCCUGUAUUGGUACCACAUGCAUAUAAGAGGUCUAAGUUGCAUAGUUGCAUUUGUCGAGUCGAUGAUGAUAAAAUGAUUAAGUUGAGAUUAUUAUGAAGUGAUUUGUGAUAUAUUAUUAUCAAUGCUGAUUAAUAAGAUGUUUUAUGUUGUUAAAUAUAAUUGUUGAAUUAUAUGCUUAAUAUUAUUGUUUUGUGAAAUCUCAUCCCUUCUGCUUGGAAAUGUUGCUCUUCGUAUGAGUAACUUUCAUGUAAUCCAGAGUAGGUUGUUGUUUGUGCUGUCGUGAGUGGCCUUGCCUCACUGAGUCUUAGGUUGCUCUGAUACGUAACGAGAGGGGAUCUUAGUGGAUAUUUCUCUUUCCUUUACGUACAUGAUAUGUCUUGAUGUUACUUAACUGAACUUAUGAUGUGUUUUGAUGAGGCAUGCAUGCCAAGACAAUUUAUGAAGUUGAAUUUAAUUCCGCUGCUUUAUGUUGAAGCUUAUGCUGCAGGAUAUUUAUCUAUUUUUGAGAUUCUAAGAAGUGUGAUAUCCCGUUAUAUGUUGUUUACUCUGAUUAUAUGUUUGAAAUUUUUAAGUUGGGGAAAACGGGGUCUUACACCACCAAAAAAUAAUAAAUUCAAAGUUUUGUAUAAUAUUUUGCCAAACAGCUUUUAACUCAAAAAUAACUUUAGAACUAAAAAAAAAUAAAGAAACCAAACAGCUUUAGCCUUUUUCUUAAAGAGCUUUAUUUUAACUUUGUUUUAAAGUAGCUUUUAGACCAAAAAAAAGUCUGGCCAAACGGUACCUAAGUAUAUAUGAGUAGAAGAACUUGUCCCAAGUUUUGAAGUAGAUAUACUGAAUCUAUUGUAAUUAAUGAAUGUUAUUGAGUUGAUUAGCAUAUAUGAAUUCUCCUAAGAUUUUAAACAAGUAUUAUACUGAAAAGUUCUAUUCAUAUAUAUACUUAAUAACGACUACUAGGUUGUUUCUUGGGUGAAAAGUCAUAUACCUACCUCUUGGGUGAAAUCUUUUUUUCAUAUACCUCUUGGGUGAAAACUAGGUUGUUUCUACUUAAUGAAUCGACUAUGAUUUAUUAAAUUUGAAAAGGUAAAUAAAAUCAAUCAAAGUGUUUUAAAUAACUGAAAAUAAAGUAGAUAAUUAACUAUUAACCCUUUUUGAAUUUUUAGAAGAAAUUACCUACAUGAGAAAAACAAAUAGGAAUCGAAUCCUUUCAUUGUCCCCGUUUUUUGACGCACUUGUUCUCCUAUGCAACUAGUUACACUCAAUCACGUCAUAAAAAAAUAUUACUAAUCAACGAAAACAGCGUGUGUUUUGAUUAGAGUCUUGUUAAUCCAUGCCCUCAGACAACAGUUAAAGAAACCAAUAAAAAAGUUUUUAAUUAAAAAGACAUUUUUUUUUUACUUUUAAAGGAUUGAUUGCACAACUUCUAAUAUAAUACUUACUGUAUUCGCUUCUUUAUUCAGUGCUCUCAAACAUUUCCCUUUUGAUUUUAUGGAAAUCAAAAUGUGGACUUUUUUUUAAGGGGAAAUCACAAUGUGGACUUGUGAAUGGGUUACAAACUCCAAUUAGUUGCUUCAUAAAGUCACGGUGAAAAUGUUAUUGGAACAUGAUAAUAACCAUGCCAACACGCUUCCAAACGAAGGCUGGGUUCAAUUCACUUACUCAUAAAUCCUUUGUUGAAAUAACGUUUGUCAUUGUCUUAGGUUAUUCAUGAUUUGAUUAAGCAUAAAAAAUAAUUUAUUAGUAGUCAAAUACACUUGCAAAAUUUUGUUCCUAUAAUUACCAUAGUCUAUAAUCAUCAUGUUAAUAAAUCUCAAAUCUAAUCCUACGCCCAACUAUCCAAUCGCAAGGUAGAUCCCACAAUUUUGUUUGGGUGUUUUUUUUUUGUUUGUUUUUGUUUUUUGAGGGAUUUGUUUGGGUGUUAGAGAGUGCUAGAUGCUUCUUAUUGGAAAAAAAACAGUUUCGAAAUUGAAAAUAAAUAAGGUUCGAAAAUAGUUUAUAAGUGAUGGGACUUCAACGGAAAAAUAUUAGGUUGGAUCAUCAUAUUGAGUUACAAGCAACCAAUUCAUCUUCAUUCAAAACUUUAAGUCAUUAUGUAUAUGAAUAUUCUCACUUAUAUGUUAUUCAAUGUCUCAUUUUUCAUUGAAUGUGAAACUUUUAACUCACAAUACAUCAACAUUCUCCAACUCAAGUGUGGCACGUUCUUGAUCUAACACUAGGAGCCACUUUUGCUCCAACAAGUCGAAUCGAAGAUACUAUUGAUGGUACUUUUAAGGGGACAAUAUUGUGUUGGAUUAUCACAUUGAGUUAAGAGCAACCACACAAGUGAGGUUGAACAUCACAUCUACAUCAAAAAUCUUAAUGCAUUAAGUAUAUGAAUCUUCUCGUUUACGUAUUCAACAUCUCUUCGUUCCUCCAACAUGAGACUUUUUAACUCACACUUGAUAGAUCAACGAUAAAAAAUGACAAACAUCACCUUAUAAUGCCUUAGACACUAAAAAUCUAUUACUAGAUCUCAUUUGGAUCUCUUCAGAUUUUUGGUGAUCUAUAUGUACAUUAAUCCAUAACAGUUUUUUUAGUCUUUGUAGUCUUUGAUAUGUAGAACAACUUCAACGGUGGUAGGUGAAGCUGUUGGGUUACUGGGGGAGCUCGGGGGACAUUAUAUACCGAGGCUAGAACAACCGCACAAGCAAGAGAGACACUACACUCUUACCCAAAACCUUAAGGUUAUGGGUUUAUGGAUCCUCUUACUUAUAAUGUGUUCAACCUUUACUCUUUUAUUCGAUGUGGGACGUAUAACUCACACUUGUAAACAACAAUAUAAACAAUUUAUUGGUGAAAAACCCCAUGCUUGUUGUAGUUUGGUCUCAACCUCAAAUGUUAGAUAUUUUGUGUGCGUGUAUUUAGAUAGUCAAUGGUAUAACGCAGAAUUUUGUAUAACCCAAUGUCUUCACAAUUAUUGUAAGAAAUUCCAAAAUAUCCUUUAUCCCUUUUAAAUAGUAUUAUUUUCUUCAAAAACUCAGAUUUUUCUUUUGUUUUCUAAAAUACCAAGUUUUGUUAAUUAGGUGUCUGAAGCAAAAAAUUAUCUCGGACAAUUUAAAAGUUGAGCUUUAACACCAAAAUUUCAAAAAGCUCAAUCUAAAUUGUUUGAAACGACAUUUUAUAGUAAAAAUAUUUAGCCACGGUUAUAACCUUGGUAAUUUGCAAAAAAAAAAAAAAGAAAACACAAUUUUUCUGAAAAACUUAUUUAAAUUCCUGAAUAUAAAUAUGUUACGAGAAACUCAAAUGUAUAGCUAUCCAAAAACAUAUAUUUACAGCAAAAAUGGAGAAAGGAGGUGACAAAUUGGAGGAGGAUAAAAUUUGAAUUUUUGAAAAAUACCGGGGUGGGAGAUAAGUUGUGGAGGCAUAAAAAAAUUCUAACAAAUACGCAUAAGUGUUGGAUUACCCUUGAAAAUGAACCAAGGGUUGAAUCUCGAAAAUUGCUGUUGACACAUCACUUCAUAGAUGAAAUUGAACUUCAGCAAUUAACUACCGCCAGUAAACUUCCACGGGCAUUUGAGUAAUUUACUGGUAUUUUUCAGUCAAAGGUGAUGUGUCAACAGCAAUUUUCUUGAAUCUCCACAUACGUGGGCUUUUCAACCAAAAAGAACAAAUGUGGGCUUUGCAUUUUUUGGUUGUAACUUCUGUUAGUAGUUUGAUUUGUCCACCCAUUGCUUAAUCGAGGUAGUCAACUAGGUAUAAUGUGAUAUUUGAACAAUUAAAAUUUGACGAUUAUUGGAACAUAGUAUAAAAGUACACCUAAAACAAGUGUUACUUUAAUUAAAGAAAAGAAAAAUUAUUAUUAAAAUGAUAACAGUAUAAAAAUACGGUGUCAAACAAUUUUUAGGUUGUCAAAAUAACUUUUCCUUAAAAGAAAAGCGUCAAAAUCCGUAUAAAAAUACGGUGUCGAACAACUUUUAGGUUUUUCCUUUAAAAAAAAGCGUUAAAAUAACUUUUCUCAUACUAAUUAUUCUCUGACAUGCACAUGGAAUAAUUUCUGAAGAAUUUUACACAGUAAAUUGAUGGAUUCAACAAAGCAUUUUCAAAUGCCAAAAACAAUCCAUCUAAAAAAUAAUGGCCGCAAAAAAGCAGAACUUCUGCAUUAUGGAUUUAUAUUUUAUGGUAUUCUACAAAUCAUAGUAUCCUAAUGUUGUUUGAACUAGCCUAUUUUGUAUUAAAAGUCUUAACUAAAUAAAUUUUUAGAAAAAUUACUUAGAACAUGCACACUCCUUGGGAAAAAAAAUGUCACUAAUUGAAAUUUAAAAAUAAAAAUAAACUACCUAAAAAUUAAUCAGAACUAUAAACAUGCAAUCCUUAAGAGAAAUCAGCAAUGUCAUCAUCAUCACCACCAAGGUGGAUCAAAAACAAAAAACUGACCUCAACAUGUUCAGUUGGAAAAGACAACAAUGAACAAUCUAAUCAGAAGUCCUUUUUUUAAAAACAUUGCCAAAAUUACCAAACAAGUCACUGUACAAGCAAACUAACUGAAAUUCCUAAUGGCUGUACAAAAGCACAUACAAAUCAAACUAAUGAAAAAUAUCCUAAACUCACACUGUGAACGAAGGAAAGAAUCUUCAAAAUUUCCAUAUCAUCCUUCCUGCAUACCUGCACCAAUAUAGACAAAUGGGAAAAAAAAUUAGUUACAGCAAUCUCUAUACAAUUACGUCACAACAUAUACAUAAAUUUUCCCAUUGCACAGCUUUGGAAAAGAAUUAUAUAAUAGAAUACACACUUGGAAAGCGAGAGCCAGGUUCAUCUCCAUUACUGGUGUUGAAGUUCGUAGGAUACUGAACUGAAAUUAAACCUUCGUCUGAUGCAACCGCUGACUCAGGGGAAGCUGUUAACCCAACAGACGCACUACUCGCAGAUUUGAUUCCUGAAAGGAAAGUCUUAGCUAAAUCAGUAUUUCAUUAAGAAAAAACUUUGAAAAGAGAUGCAUCUAAAACUUUAGAGUUUGAUGAUUAUUAGAAGACAGAUACCAAUUGAGUUCGAAUGAACUAAAGUUUGUUGUUAAAAGCAAGAUGCUUUUGUGAGAGCAAUGUCAGAUGAGUUUGAUAGGAAACUAUUUAACAAUACUGAUCCUAGACAUCCAAUUAUCCUCUAUGAAACACAGACAUAGACACCUGACACGACGACACGACGACACAUCGGCACCGAUAAUAAUUUGAAAAAACAAAAGUGAUUGAAUGUAACAUGUGUCGGUGUCGGACAUUUACACGUGUUAGGCACACCUUCAACCAAAAGUGUAGGUGCUACAUGGUUUAUCGUUCUAGUUGCACUUCAACAAAGCAGUACGAUCAUAGAUUAGUGUUCUUUAUGCCAUAACUUCAGGCCCUUUCAAAGCAGAAAGGCAGUAACCACAACGAAAAUUUAGAAAGGAAUGGGUCAUUUUCUAACACAUUGAAAGAAUAUCAACAAGUCCUUGGCCCUAUAGUAAGUUUCUGAUGUCUCAAGAUGUUCAAUCAAGAUUGAAGAAGGUACGAAAAUCAAAUUCGCAAUUACAGAAGUGGAAAUAAUGUAAUUUAUGUUUGGACAUAGUAGUUUCCUUAUGACAUAAUGUACAUUUGUUACCACAAAAUCCACUCUGUAUACUGUGAAAUGGUUAUUCAGUAUCAGGGUACACCCUCAUACCUGUAAAACAACUAAUAUAAAAUCCUUUGCAGAUUCAAGACGAAUGUGAGCAUGAAAUGAAUAUAUUGACUCAGAUAUGAGACUUCUUUGCAAAAUACAUACAUUAAACAAAAUAACAUUCAUAAGUUGUGUCAUCUUUGUAUGAAUCCUAUGCAAAUUUGAUUUCAAAAUAGAGCUUGUUAUUGUUACAAUGACCUUAUAAGAGUUGAAAAAGCAAAAAGUUAUAGGACAUCAAUAGAAGUAAUUCAAACCCCAGGUGAUAUCCCAUAUAUGAUCCAAGUGAUGACUAGGUUACACAACAACAACAACCAAGCCUUAUCCCACUAAGUGGGGUCGGCUACAUGGAACAAAUUACGCCAUAGUGUUCUAUCAUAAACCAUAUUUGGAUCCAACUCGUUGACCUCUAAAUCCUUUCUAAUGGUUUCUCUUAUAGUUUUCUUAGGUCUUCCCCUAGCUCUUUUGAUCUGACUCUCCUCCAUCUGGUCUACUCUUCUUACGACGGCAUCUAAGGGUCUUCUCUUUACAUGCCUAAACCAUCUAAGUCUAUUUUCUACCAACUUUUCUACUAUAGGUGCUACCCCCAUUCUCUCUCUCUCUAAUGGUGUCAUUUCUAAUUCUAUCCCGUCUGGUCUUACCACUAUCCAACACAACAUCCUCAUAUCCGCCACGCUUACUUAAUUCUCGUGCUCUUAACCUCCCAACACUCUGUACCGUACAACAUCGCCGGUCGGACUACUCUUUACACAGUACACAUAAUUUGAAAAUGUUUUAUCUCAAUUAAGAUAGAUAUUAGUUGUGGUAGUCAGAAAAACUGACCAUAUUUUGAGAUGUAGCAGAACUGAAGCAACUAAAACUAAUUACAAAUACAAUUGAAUUCUAGGACACCUUGCAACUUAACACAAGAAUCAAAUAUGAUAAAGAACACAAGAAUCAGGUGAGAAAUGCAUGCGUUAAACCAAAUGUUAGAAGAGCCGCAAGUGAAAUGCAUAUGAACCAAGCCAAUGUACUGAUGCAGGCAGCUCUAUGCUCAAUUGAUUUAUUUUUUUUAAAAAUUGACAAUUUAGAAUUUAUAGAGAGAUUAUUUAGCUGUUCUGAUCAUAUAUGGCACAACACCAAUUUGAGAUGUAAGCAUAUAUGUAACUAGAGAGAUGCUUGAAAGUAAAUAAUCUAAAAUUUAAUCGAAACCAAAUGAGCAUUGAUUACAGCAUAUGGAAAUAGACCCAGCAAAGGAACAUGUAAUUUACCGUGAAAUAUGAUGACGAGGAAGAAAAAAAUAGUGAUGACCAUAGCAGAAAGAUUUGUAUAUGUUGAAGACGACGGCAACUUGCUUGCUUUCAUCUUUUUAACUGCAUUCAUUUUCUUAAUCCUCGCACGCUUCCUCAACGCAAGCUCAGCUAAUUCCUUCACAAACUUAUGAUCACCAGCAUCCAAAGAUGGACCUCUAGGAGGCAAAGGUGGCUUUUGAGGCUUUCUUGGAUUAGUAAACUUAAUUUUCUGUUUUCCAUGAUUUCCAUUAACAUGUUCUAAACCUUUAUCCACCAACAAUUCUAAAUUACAUUCAUCUACACCAACAACAUCACAAAAAUUUGAAGAACUGCUACAUGAUGCUUCAAUUCCAUUUUUACCCUUUUCUGAUCCAUCUAAAUUCAUAACCCCAUUCCAUGACCAAGGAAAACCGUUUUUUGAAUUUGAAUCUCUCUCAUCAUUGCUUGUAUCCUCUUCGCUUGUGUUCUCACCACUUUCAAUGUCAAAUUCAACCUCUUUUUCCUUUUCUCUUUGAAUAGCACGACCCAUCUAAUUAAAUCAAUUUCAAUCAACAAUUAAAACAAAACCCAUCUAAUAAUCAUGCUAAAGAUAUGAUUUUUAAUAAUGAAAAGCUUGAACCAAUUACUCAAAAACAAAACCCAUUUCACAAUCAUGCCAAAGAUUCAAUUUUUAAUAAUGAAAAGCUUAAACAAAUAGCUCAAAAACAAUGCUUUCAAAAAUUAAGAACAUAAUCAAGAUAACAAAUAAAAAUUGAAAAGAAGAUGAAGAAAAAAAGGAGGGUCAAGGAGGUACCUUAAGUCAAAGGGUAGAACCCUAGAAACGAUGUUAUUGUUGAAACAUUCUUAACUAGGAAUGUAAUGAUGCACGCAGGCGCACUCAUACAAAGACAAAACAUUUUAAAAAACGAAAUAAUAAUAAAAAAAAGACAAGAAUUUAAGGUUUUUCGGUUUUAUUAAUGGCCAGUUGUUUUUCUCUCUUUUUGUCAUUAAUUUAUUUAAUUUAAAAGACAAGAAUAUAAGGUUUUUCUUUUGUCAAUGGUUGAAACUUGAAAAGUUGUUUUUAUUCGGAAAAGAGUCAACAAACACACACUACCCUCCCAAUUCUCCACAAGAAGACAACAACGGUUAUUUCCAUGAUAUAUCCAUAUCCAUUAUCUAUCGCUUUAUCAAUUGGGUCCUUUUCAAAAAAAAAUAUUGCUCUUCUCUCAUCAAGAUUUGUCCACUCUCAUACAAACCGACCAAAAUAUCUCCAACAUGACUUAGGUCAUAUUGAACUCAACGUGAGAGUUAAUUCACGUUCAUUGCAUGCCAGCGUGGAUUAAUUCACGCUGUGCACUGAUAUAGCAGCAGACAUCAUUGAAUGUCAUUAACAAAGUCGGUAAUGAUUUCUAAUCUUUACACACUUAUAAUUGAUUUGAAUUACACCAGUUUAACAACAUAAUCACACAUAAUCGAUCCAAAUUUCACAAAUUCGUCGUUAAUCACACAAUCACACAUAAACGAUCCAAAUUACACAAAUUUGUCGUUAAUGACGCAUAAUCACUUAAUCACACUUAAUGACACAUAAACGAUUCAAAUUACACAAAUUUAUCGUUAAAUUACACAUAACACAAAUUCAUUAAAAUUCAACAUUGCAGGCACAAAUUCGAACACAUUACACUAUUACAUGUUACUCAAUAUUACACUUCAAUGGAUCGGACAUAAAGUGUUAUUUUGAACCAUUAACCUAAACAUGUAAUCAAUGUUGCUAUCGUUUUUGAUACGUUAUGGAAAAUACACGGUCUUCUAAAAGUUAUAUUCCUUGUGCUCCCCAAAUCUACGCAUAUGAGAUGUUCUUUGAUUUUCACCAAUAUGGAUAAAGUAUAUGUUAAGUUGUGCUUUCAACUCGUCAACCUUGUCGGUGGGGGUUAAAAAGACCUUAAUAUUCUUUUUCACGGCGACGUAUCGGACAUGAGCUUCAAUUGGAACUUGUGCAUCUUCAGACAUGUUUCACUUCACACAAUAUAAUGAAAUAACAAGUAUGAGAAUAAAACCAAAUGAAAGAUAAAAUCAAUAGUUGAAUAAUUAUAGAUAAAAAAAUGCGAGCAAUAAUUGGCGUGACACAACCGACCACCAAAAAAAUAUUUCACUUUAUAUAUAUAUAAUGUUAGUUACAUGUUGGUCACAAAUAUCGGCGUUACAUAACCGACCACUAAAAAUAAGUCGGUGUUAUAUCGACAAAAAAUAAGACGAACAUCGACAAAAAAAAGUGUCAAUGCUAUCUAACUAACCUAUUAGAUAGGCUAGUUAGGAGAACAAUGUUAAGAGAUUGUUUCUUAGUGUAAUAUUUUCAAAAUAUUCAACAUUUGUUUCUUAACUAGUUUAGUGCGAUACCAACAGUAUUUUACAAAUGUAAGAAUCAACAUGAGCCUCAAAUAUUCAAUAUCAAACAAAAACAUAAACAUAAUGACAACAUUAAAGAAUGUUCAUAAAGAUAAUAAAUAUCGAGACACAAAAAACAUAAAAAUAAAUUUCAGAAAUCAAAUAAGUGCAGUAUUACCAUAUUGAUUAACGGUUUAUAUCGUUGUUGAUUUCAAAGUCAAUAAAUCAACAUUGACUUCAAAUUACCAAGACAAUUGUAAUGAUCCAGCAGCUCUGAUUAAUAAUAAUGGUGUAAAUUAGAGACUCCAAAUAAAGGAUGAGAUAAGAUUUUAUAUAUUAUAUUAAAUUGGAGAAAUAUUGAUGAAACAAUAAUGCUUUAGUAGUAAAAGGAGGGGCAAAAUAGUAAAAGAGGAAAGGGUUAAAUGUGAUUAAUAAGAGGAAUGAAAAUCAGAAUUUUUCAUCAUAUCUCUCUUAUUUUCUCAGACGCCCAUCCUCUCUUCUUCACCUUGGCCAUCACCUUCGAAAUUCCUUCCUCACCAAUCCCUCAAAAUCAAGCACGUGCAUGAAUGAAAAUCAUAAACCCAUCAUCAAAGAAACCUAUUUCCGGUAAUAUUUUGCUCAAAUUCUCCAUUUUCCCUCCUGUUUAGAAUCAACCCAAAAACCCCCACAUUUCUAUUCUUCAAACCCUCCUACUGCAUGUACGAAAUUCUCAUGAGAAUCAAGCUUUGGAUGUCUAGAAACUGAGGUAAGAUGAAUUAAACCUUCUCUCUUUAUUCUUUUCUUUCUCUUUCAUGCCAAACCCUGAGACCCUAAAAGAUGGAAAAUAAAGGGAUUUUAUAAGUUAAAUGGACUGGUUUUGGCUAUUAUUGGGUUGUAUAUGUUUGGUUUGCAAGUUCAUAUAAAAGAAGAGCUGUUUGUGUGAAAUUCCUGUAGACAUACCUGUGGUAAAAUUAGCAUAACUCUCUGAAUAUAGGUCAUAUGCUAAUGAUUGUUAAUCCACUGCAAAGAAGACAAAAUUUCCUACAGUUUAGACACAAGAGUUGUUAAAUUUCAUUAAGUAUAGUAGGAGAAAAGCUCCCUACAAGUUUGAGAAAGUUUCGGUCAUGUUUCUGUACAAAUACCCACUCUUUUGUUAAACUGAACCAAUUGAAUGGUUAACCCUCAAAACAAAAAUUAUAUUUGUAAUCCUGACACCCUACGCUUUCCAAUGAGUGGUCGUUUGCUCAAAACGGAUAUCAUUUGGUAUUUUAAUUAAAUUGUGAAAGUUAAGGUACUGAUGCUGGAAUUUGCAGGGUGGACCCUGCGGGUUUGACAUAUGUGAGCCAUACAAACCGGUAAGUGAGAUGUUCGGAACAUGAGGAUAGUCUUUUCAUGUCACUCUGAUUCCCUGGAGGCUUAGGAGCACUUAAAGAAACUGAUUUUAAACAUUUAGUUUGAAGUAGGAAAGCUUGGAAAGAAAUUGAAGAAUAAGCAUAAGCUGAAGCAAGAAUGUAGGAGCUUGAGACUUAAAGUUUGGAGAUAAGCUAAUGAAAGCAAGGUCUCUAUGAUGUUUAUGCAUAUUGGGCUGACAAGAACAAGUAGGAUUUUUGUUUAUAUUUAAAAACGGAGGGACAUUAAAAAAAAUAUUUGUGUUUUAUUAUAACUCACUACACACUAUCAGUACAUCAUUAAUGAUUUUUUAACAAGGAAUAAUUUUAUAAAAUUACUAUGUGAAAAUGUCGGAUCGACUUAUAAUAAAAGGGUUUGUUUAACAUGUGCAACAUUGUACAUGUUAAAACAACUAAUAGUAGUAACUUUUUCUUAGAAAACAACAAUUAUUUAUUCAAAAGUUUUAUAUUUAAUAUUAAAUGUACAAGUUUCAAUAUAAAAUUUCUAUUUUGAACUUCUUAACAUGUGCAAAUUUGCACAUGAUAGAAAAACCCAUAAUAAAAUACAUAGAAGUAUGAUUUUAAACUCAUAAGUCACUUUUAGUUAAUAAUUGUGUGCGCCAAAAAAACCACUGAUACUAGGCCUAUGUAAUAUUGUUUUUUUUUAUUACUCCGUUCAUUCCAAAUUAUAAGUCCUUUUUUUUCUAUUAGAUUAAUGGUUGGAACUCACACGUUUUAAAUGUGAAGAAGUGGGGUGUUCGGGGUUUGAAACCCGACCUCUACAUAUAUUAUGUAAUAUUCAUAUCUACCGAGUUAAGUUCACGUGGGCCUAAAUUAUAAGUCCUUCUAUAAUAUCAAUGAAACAUUAGUGUUUUUUUUUACCAUACAUUUAACUAAGAAAAUAUUUCCUUGGUUAGCAUUUUCCUUGAACUAUUUAUUACGCUUUCUUCUUUUAAUUAUCUAAUUUAAUGACAAUUUCAUAAUAUUUCGUUCACGUACAUACGUAUGGUCAAAACGACUUAUAAUUUAGGAUCAAGGAAGUAUCUCGGAGCUUCUCUUUAGUCGAGAAACUCAUUGUGUAAGACAUUAGUAAUGUGAGCUUCUCUAUUUUAUUUUGGAGGGACCAAGAUUUUUCUCAUAAACAAUGUAAAAGUUAUUUUUUUCUUCUCAACUAAAAAAAUAUAAAUCUCGGAUUUAGGAUGGUAGGGUAGCAUCUGAAAAUAUUGAUGGUAUUUAAUUUCACAUGUUACCAAUAUCUGUUCUCCUAUUUCCUUCCUAUGUUCUCAAGCUUACUGCAAUUAAACUUCACCAUGCCUUUCCAGAUUCUACUCUCGAUUACUAUGCCUUUUCAGCUUACCGCAAGUUAUAUGCCUAUAAAUAGUCCUUGUCUCUCUAUCACUUGCAAUGCUUUAUUGAAUUGCCACCUUACAAACUUCUUCAGCACACAUGGGUUAUGUGGGAUCGUUUGAGCUGAAUGGAGUACACAUCAAGACCAGAGCAACAUCCGAUGAGCAAAAGAUUGAGAAUCAUAUAAGAUCGUUCUUGCAUCGUUCUAACAAUCAUCGAACCAAAGUUAUCGGGCUUGAUGCUGAAUGGCUUCUGUUACAUGGCACGGAGCCAGGAACAGUUACCAAAUCCAAAUGUGCAACACUGCAGUUCUGUGAUGGACACUCGUGUCUUAUCAUUCACCUAAAUGGUUUCAAUUGCUUUGAGAGUUGGGCAUAUGAUUCUGUCCACAAAUCACUGCUUAAUUUUCUUCGUCUCCCAAAUGUUACAUUUGUUGGAGUUGGAAUCAAAGAGAAUUUGGCUAAGUUGGAGAAGCAGUAUGGAUUUGGAUGUAGAAAUGCUGUUGAACUUGGACCCUUUGCUGCAAGUGUUAUGAAGAGGCCUCAUUUGAGUUUUUGUGGUGUUGAUGAAUUAGCUUUUGUGGUAUGUAAACUUGAUUUACGGAAGUACAGGCCUUUAAAAACGGUGUAUGACUGGGGUUGCCUAAGCAAAGAACUUGCCAAACUUGCUACUGUUAAUGUUUAUUCUUAUUACAAGAUUGGGAGCAAAUUGCUUCAAUGUGAUGUUGCAGGUGGGCGUAAUGCUGCAAAUGGAUCCUCUCAAGCGGUUGCAAGAAAGAGAAACAAAAAUAAGAAGGUUGUUAAUGGUACCUCUCAAACAGGUGCAAGAAAGAAAAGCAAAGAUAAAGAGAAGAAAGAUGUAAGUGGCAACUCUCAAGCAGUCGCGAGAAAGAGAAAGAGAAAAGGUAAUGGAGAGAAGGAUUAAUGAGAAAGAUAAGAGCCUAAAGAGGAAGAAUUAGAGGCCCGGGUUGGAUAACGACAAAGAAUUAUUUGAGCCCCAAAUCAGUAAUCCUGUUAUGCUUCUCGUUUGUUUUUGUUUAAUAGUACUAAUUAACUCGAUGGUUUAGUUUAUCAGUAUUGUAUAUGCCGUAUUUUUACUGUAACUGCUGUACUCUGUUAACUUAAUUCAACAUAGCAGAGGCAAACUUUGUUUGGAUAUUAUUAAGGCUCUGUUUGGUAGCUGAAAAGCUAACUGAUAGCUUAUAAUUGAAAAGCUUGCUUAUUAAAAAUAAUGUAUUUGAUAAAUUAGUUGUUGAAGCAGCUGAUAAAUAUAAAAUGACAUAAAAGAACAUGUGUGUGUUUAUAUGUAUAUCAAAAUAUGUAUAUUAAACAAAAGAGUGGAUUUAAUAUACAUAUAUUUAACCCUAUAAAUAUUCAAACUUUUGGUCUUAGUCUCCAUAAAAAAAUUCUUCGACCUUUAAUCUUAAAAAAAUAUUCACCGAUAAUUUUGAUCUCUGCUUUAUGAAUUCCAAAAAUAAGAGAAAGGUGGAAAUAAAAUAUGAGUUAGAAUAUAUAAAAUUUUACAACGUACAAUAGACUAAUUAUUUUUUCCUUUAAAAAAAAUAGACUAGUUAUUUUUGUGUGGUGUACGGCAGGUUAGUUAUAGUAAAAUAUAAAACAUUUUCUUAAAAAAAAUACAUACAUAUAUAUAUAAAGUGCUCCUUAAAAAAAAAACAACGUGACAUUUUUUUUAAAAGGACAAAAUGGGGCGGUUAUAAAGAUGAACAUGAGUAGUUGUUUAAUUAAAAAAAUAAUUAAUUUAAAUUAAUAAGGUUAAAGUUGGAAGAAAAUAUAAAAAGCUACUUGAAAUAGCUUUUCAAAAAAACGCUAUAAGCUCAUGAAAAAAGCUUGUUACCAAACACGCCACAUUUUCAUCUAACGAGCUUAUAAGCUAAUCCAACAAGCUAUAAGCUAGCUUUUUUGUGUUACCAAAUACAGCCUAAGUUUAUUGUUCAGUUUAAAUCCUUGCAUUAUUAUAAUAAAGCGUAUGUCAUCUCAUUUAAAUGUGAAGUUGUGAACAAAGUUUACUCCAAAUAAAGCAGUUGUUGCUGUAGAAUGAAGCCCUUGAAGCUUCCAUGACAACGAUCCAACAACACGAACAAGAACAUGAUGACCGCCAUCAAGAUGUGGACAAACCCAAUCCCGAUCGUUUUUUGAGACAACCAGAAGGUUGUUAAGGUUUUAAAUGCAGUAUAGGUUAGUUUUGUUGAGGUCUCACGGUGGACAUCAAAUGUACUUGCAGUGAGUACAAUAUCGAUGACUAUGAUUUAGUAUAUGUUUAAGUCAUGCCUUGAUAAUGGUCUCAAGUGGGAUAUUUAUAGCCUUAUUAAGUCUCUUAGUUCGUGACUCAGGCCCUGAGUUACUUUUGGUUAGUAACUGAAGCCCUAAGUCACUUUUGAUAUAGAAAGUGUGCAUGCUUAGGUCAAUCUGGGUAUCUUGGCCGAAUAUUUAACCCCAAAAUAUAGGAAAUGCGGUUUCAGGGACAAUAACGAAGGGUACAUCUUUUUCUAGAGCUUUGGCGACGCUCUUGUAGAUGGUCAGUGAACUCUUGUAGAGGGCAGUGAGCCCUUUGUGGAAUAAUAGCGGUCCAAAAUCUAUUUUUUUCAAAGCUGAAACAAACGCACCCUACAUAUUAUAAUUUUUCGUCAAUUAAUUAAACAUAUAUUUUCUAUAUCAUUUUGUAUUUAUAGAUUAGUUUAACCGUUAAUUUUGUCAAACAUUAUAAAUUCAAUUAGUUAACUUAUUCAAUAUUAAUUAUUCGUUAACAUAUGUUUACCAGACCUAGUCUUAACAAUGUGUCCUUGAAGUACUUGUUAGUAGUCUCUUAGUCUAAAAAUACACUUCAUUCUAACAAAAAAAAAAAAUCUUAUUUUAUAUGUCAUUUUACUAUAUCUAUAAAAUAAUGCAAUUUUUAUUAUUUAUUAUUCUAUCUUUUUUAAUUCUUUCAAUUUAACUUUUUUUUUAUACCGCUAAUAAAAUUAAUUCUCUUAAAUAAUAGUAUAAUUUCUCUUUAGAAAAUGUUAACAUAGGUGCACAUGUUAAUGUACUAAAAUAGAAAUUUUAUAUUGGAAAUUGUGCUAAUUUAUUUCUCAACAAGUUAAAUAAUUCAUGUGAAUUAAUUCUUUUCAAUAUAUACUACUCCAUCCGUCUCAAAUUGUAUGUCACUUUAGAAAAAAUAUUUGUCCCAAAUUGUAUGUCGGUUUACAAUACCAAUGAAAAAUUAAUGUUACUUUUCCUAUUAUAUCCUUAACUAUUUAUUACUCUCUCUUCUUUCAAUUUCUUUAUUUAUCUUUCUCAUAUCAUUUAUUGAGGACAAUUUUGUAAAACAACUCAUAAUAUCUCUUUCCCACACAAUAUUAAUUACAUUUUUUAAUAUGUGUGAAAUGUCCAAAACGUCAUACAAUUUGGGACGGAGGGAGUACUUGCUACUUUUAAAAUCUUUAACUUGUGCCUUAAAAACACAAGUUUUUUUUUUUUUUUUUUUUUUGUCUUAGAUAAAAUGGUAAACAAUUAAAAUUAAAUUCACACACAAUUGUGAGGUCUCGGGUUCGAACUCGGAUCACGACGUCCGGUCUUUCAAUAUCGACAUUUGUCAGAUGAACUAUGUCUUCUAGAUGAAACACAAAUUAACAAGACUCUUUCUCUUCAUGGUGUACAUUUUUUAAUUUGGGUACAAUUGUUAAAGAGACCGUUUCUUAAAAAAAAAAAAAAUUGUUAAAAGACCAUGUUAUUAUGGAUUAAGAUAGUAGGAGAACAUAUUGAACUUUAGUAGCAAGAGGUAAAUCCGAGUUUUGGAAGUUGGAGAAAUUGUUUUUUUUUUUUGAAAGGUUUUUAAUUUCACAUAUUCCCGUAAUUAAGUUGGAGAAAUAUGUAAACAAAUUAAUUUAAAGCCAAUUUUUAUUUUUAUUUUAUAAAUAUGUAGAAUUUUUUAUUUUUAUUUUUUUUAUAAAUAUGUACUAAAACCCGAAUUUUGGAAGUAAGAGUAUAAGAAAUGAUUGAACGUCCCAAAUAUUCUACUAUGCAUAUCGAGAUUCCACCCAACAAAUUAAAUUCUAAGACGAUACUUCCCUCUGUCCCUCAAUACUUGAUCUAUUUGAAAAAAAUAUUUGUCCCAUAAUAUUUGACUUUCUCAAAUUUCUAAGCAAAAUUUGAUAAAUUUACCCCUUAUAAAUACUUUUUGUGGUCCCCAUGUAAAAGUUUGUAGUGAAACAAAGAAAGUAAUAAUUACUUAAAAUGAAGGUUUCAAAAUAAUAACAAGGACAAUUCAAUAAAAAUAUAAUAAUGUAUACUUUUACUAUAACAGCCUUAUUCAUUUAAUAUAUUAUUUCACAUAUUUCUCUCUCCGUAAUAAAUAACUAAGGGUAAUGUUGCUAAAACAACAUUUAUUGUUGCAUUGAAUUUUAAAAGUGACAGUUAAAUAGAAAUAAAAAAUUUCUCGAAACACUUAAAAACGAACGGAGUGAGUACCAUCUUGUUUCUACAAUUAUGGAUUACGAGGAGACGUCUGAGCUGAACCGAAAGCAUAUUAAGACCACAGUUACAUCCGAUGAGAAAGAGAUUGAGAAGCAUACAUCGUCUUUCUUACACCCUUCUAACAGAGACAAUAUUAGAACGAAAGUUAUCGGCUUUGAUGCAGAGUGGUAUAUGGUUACUGGUAGUUACAUUCAAUCUCAAGGAAUCUUUGCGUAGUCCAAAUGCGCAACUGUACUUCUCUGUGAUGAACAAUCUUGUCUUAUCAUUCAGCUUAAUCAUCUACGAUAUUUUAAGAGUUGGAAUUAUGAUUUGGCGUACAGUUCACUACUUAACUUUCUUCGUAUGCCAAAUGUUACCUUUGUUGGAGUUGGAAUCAAAGACAAUGUGGCCAAGUUGGAAACAUACUAUGGGAUUGGAUGUAGAAAUGCUGUGGAACUUGGCCCGUUAGCUGCUACUGUCAUGAGGAAGCCUCGUUUGAGUUUUUGUGGUGUUGAUGAAUUGGUUAUUUUGGUCUUUGGACUUGAUCUUCGAGAGCAUAGGCCUGUAUCAUCUGCUUAUGACUAUGUUUGCAUUCCUCUUAGCAAAGAACUUGCUAAACUUGCUACUGUUAAUGUUUACUCUUAUUACAUGAUCGGAAACUCACUGAUUAGGAAAAUGUGAUACGUGCUGGCCUUGUUCGUCUUUGGUUGCUGGAUUUAUUUUAGUGAUUUAAAUGUUUGUCUUGAUUCUGUCCGUUUUCUUCAAUCUUUUGGUAGUAAAUGUUGGCCUAUCUCCCAGUAAGAUGUGAUUUUUGUAGCAACAAUGGUUGUUAUCAGAUAACAUUCCUCUUUUGUUUCACUUGUACUUGAUUCUCACGAGUCCCAUUAUUCUUGAGAUUGUUAUUUUGCUGUUGCUUUCUUUUUUUUCUAGCAAAAUGGUAGACUAAAUUUUACAAAUAAGUAACUUAUGGUAGACUAAAUUUUAAACCGCAUGCAUCAACUUUUUGAACGACCUUUUUGCUUGUACAUUUUAGAGUAGUAUUGUAUUUGGAAAGAAAAAAAAAUGUAGAGGAGCACAAACAUGAGAGAGAGACUCCUUAAGUCCUUAUGGAUUAAUUCAUCAAAAUUUAAAUGUUUGUACAUCCAUUUUCAAAAAUCUUGAUUAUCCCUAUUUUAUUUAUGAAAAUCUUCAUUGUUCCUAUUGAAUAUUCGCAAAAUUUUACAGGCUUACUCCAAUUGAAUACAAAAAAAUAAGAACAAUCCUAAGUUUUAGCAUUGACAAUGAGUCGAGCUAAGGCAAAUUUGGUCCAACUCGACUCAAUAAAAUUGAAUCCGUUUGAAAUUAGACUCGAGUUCAUGACAACUUUUGUUAGUUAGAAUUUAAGUUCAGUUUGACUCGAUAUGUUUAACUUAAUAGCUCAAAUCAAAUGAACCAAAGACAAAAAUAAUGUUUGCCUACAACGGUAAUCUCAAAAAUCAAUCAUAAAAUUACUAAGGGCCAAAUAAUUCAAACCAGACAAAAAUUAUCAAUUUCUUAGAUCCUAAUUUUUUUCAAUAUAAGGGACAAGAGGUUAUUUUAGAAGGAAAAAAAGCCUAGAAAAGAGAAGUAGAGUGAGUCACGUGAGUUUCAAACAUCAAAUUAAAUCUAAAUAUUGAUAUUUUAUCUUUUAAUUCAUUUGAAAUCAUGGUCUUACAAGAUAUAUCCAGUUUAAUACGUAGAGUUUGCUCAUUAAUCAAACGAGUUGAACUAUAUAUAGUUUAAAUUCAUCUCGAUUAUUUAACGGGCUUAAUUUUUAAAUCAAGUUCAACUCAUUUACUUGACGAAUCAAGUUCGAAGAACAAAUUACCAAAUCAAGUUUUUAACUAUUUUUGAGUUGAUUUUGUUUAUUUUUUUUUUUUUUGAAGGAGAGUUGAUUUUGUUUAUUGUUAACCAUACAUUUUCCAAUUAGAUGCAGUGUUGUAUAAAAAAAAAUUAAAAUGACGCUUAAGACUUUCGAAAUGGCAAGUUUCUUGGGCAGCCUUUUGACUACCAAAAAUAAAUCCAAAUUCAGCUUCAAUUUUAGAAUUAAUUGACGUAUUUUGCUUCACCUAUUUUCGAAACUUGAAAGAAUGCAAUUUAUUUUUAUCAAAAAGAAUAAAAUGCAAUUUUCUAGAUGAAACCCUCCAGUUUUGUAACUGAAACCCUUCGGGACUUUUCAGAUUCUAUUUAAAGGUCACAAAUUCACAAGACUACUCCACACACGCUCAAAGCCUCCUCCUCCUACUCAUAUUCUAUCAUCUAAAACUAACACUCAUGGGUUUCGUGGAGAAGUUUCAGCUGAACGGAGUCCUUAUAGAGACCACUGUAACAAAUAAACAGAAAGUGAUCGACGACAUUCUAUGGUCUUUCUUACAUCCUGAAAAUUAUAAAGGACCUAAGGUUAUCGGGUUUGAUAUCGAGUUGUCGAUGUGUGAAAAUAAAGUAUCAGAAGAAGAAACCAAUUUUGAGACCGAAUGUGCAAUCUUGAAUCUAUGCAAUGGUCAUUCGUGUCUUAUUAUUCAGCUAUGUCAUUUAGAUUCAUUUCCCACAUCAUUGCUUAAUUUUCUUCGUCUUCCAGAUUAUACCUUUGUUGGUGUUGGUAUCAAUCAUAAUUUGGCUAAACUUGAGAAGGAAUAUGGGGUUAGAUGCAGAAAUGCUGUGGAACUUGGACCCUUGGCUGCUAGUGUUAGGAAGAUGCCUAGUUUGAGUUUUUGCGGCGUUGAUGAACUUGCUGUUGCUGUCAAUAAGCUUGAUCUUCGAAAUCAGAGACCUUUAACCACGCUGUUUAAGGAUUGGGGUCAAAGUAAUCUUGGCAAAAAACUUGCUAAACUUGCCACUGUUAACGUUUACUCUUAUUAUAUGAUUGUGAACACAUUGCUUAAUGGUAAUUGUUAGUUAAUCAAGUUCCCCACUACUUUCCGUUGGUUUGUUUCUGUAGUUGGAUUUGAUUUUGGUUGUGGAUUCUAAUAUUAAUUAAUCCAUGGUGAUUAAGCUUGUUUCUAGGUUCACUCGGCCAUCUUUAUUGUAUUUUAAAAUCAAUUAGAAUUGGAUUUGCAACUUAUCAGAUUAUAUUUUUUGCAAAAAAAAUAAUUAAACACUUUAGUUGGAUUACUGAAAUUAAAUCUCUUGAUCAAAUAUUGAACAGAUAUUGCAACAUCUUCUCUUGGUUACCGGGUGGUUAUUAGGUAUUAGUAUGAUGGUGUUCACUAUCCAGCAGUCGACCAUGGCUCCACAAAUCUCUGUUCUAAGUUCUGAUUUGGAACCUCCCAAUUGGUUUUAUUUUUUUCUUUUCAAAGUUACCGUGUUAGAAUAGUAGUGUUUGAACAUAAAAUAUUUACACCUUAUAGAACCACUAGAAAUGUACCUAAGACAGCGUUAUUUGAUUUAAUGUAAGAUAAGUUAUUAUUACUAUUUUAUUGCACUAAUGACUAUAAAUUACAAACAAUAAUUUUAUUUAUUCUUAUUUGCUAUGAUUGGAACCUGCGUCAAGUAGAGUAUGCCUUAAGACAAUUAACAAGAUGAUAAGUUAACCUAGCACAAACGAUAGUUUUAUGAAAUUUUGAUUAAAAUUAUAGGUAUAAAUAAUGAAUAUUUUUCACUUUCAAAUUGUAACAAAUUAUACUUCUAUUUUUCAAUGAUACCAACAGUAUAACAAAUAUAAUAUCUUUCAAAAAACAUAAUAAAUAUAAUAUAAAUUCUUAUAUUUUUAUGGUAUAGAUGGCAACAAUAGAAAAAUAUUGUGUCUAACAUCUUUUUGGAUAUUAAAGUAAUUUCUUUUACCAUGGUUUGAAGUUCCACCGCCGAUUAGGGUGACUAAUCUCCAUCGAGAAAUCUAUUGGGCACACAAAGUGCGUUCUCUCAUCUCAACCAAAUUUUCUUCGUGCACGAAAAUGUAUGAGAUCAAAUACUUGAUAACCUGUUUAACAAGUUCCAAUCUCGUACCACAUAUAUUAAUCUAUUACUCCCACCAUUCUUAAUUAUAACAAACUUUUUAUAUUUUAGGUUUAUUGAAUAAAUGAUGUUGUGGUCCACCACAUCUAUCAUUUAUUAAAUGAAAAUGAUCACAUGAUCACUCAAAAGACUUACAUGAUCACUCUUGUAUGUGUUAUGUAGGGUGUAAAUAGGUUAUACCGACUAGGUUAGAUUUUUUUUAACUAGACUUGGCAGAAAUUUUCUUAAAAGUCUAAUUAGCUAAAAUAACCAUACUUUAGACCCUAAUCAAAACUUUAUAGGUUUAUUUAAAUGAAUAUGAAAAGACUUUUUAUUUUUUAUGGAAAUUAUUUUCAUUAAUUGAAGCAUAUUAACUUACAUAAAUUUUUGACAUCCAAUUUUCUGUGUCGGAUGACUUGCAAAAUGAAUGUCAUUUUCGGUUCAGAUGCGCCAAUCUGAACUUUUGUGUUGGACAUUCGUGUCUUAUUAUUCUGCUAAUUGGUAAUUGUUUUCAUAGAUUUUUACCUCUUCCAUUGAUGCAUAAUUUUCUCUCUAUGCCAGAUUAUACCUUUGUAGGCGUUGGUAUCAAAGAUAAAUUGGUUAAGUUAGAGAAGCAGUGUGGGAUUGGAUACAUAAUAAAUGCAUUUGAACUUGGACCACUUGCUGCUACUGUUAUGGAUAUGCCUCGCUUGAGUUUUUGUGGUCUUGAUGAAUUAGCUUUUGUUGUGAAUGGGAUUGAUUUAAGGGAGCACAGACCUCUGAGCCUGGACUUUAAUUGGGGUAGUAAAUCCCUUAGCAUAUAACUUCUUAAACUUGCUACUGUUAAUGUUUACUCUUACUACAAGAUUGGGAGUACAUUGCUUGGAAGGUAUGCAUUAAUCCCACCACAACCGCCAUUCGAAAAGAAAAUCAAACCUGAACCCCUCUUUGAUGAUUAAGUUGGCAAGUUGAGUUUUUGCUGCUUAUAUUAUAAUGAGCUAAGGAAGACUUGCUUUAAUGUGCCUAAGUUUAUUAAAUUUUUCUAAAAUAGAUAUUUUAAUGUUAUUAUUGUAAUUUUGUCGCUUGAGUUUACUCGUUAUUAGACUUGAAUAUUUUUCUGGAAAAUUCUAUGGUGAAGUCAUGAGAAUGACUUUUCUGGUUAAGUUAACACUAUAGCAUCAAAAUUGUUGCGAGUAACACCCCACUAUUUGUACAGUGUCAUCAAAAGUUCAAUCCCCAUAGUAUCAUCAAUUCAUCAGAUUAACAAGAAUACACUUAAUCUAAUUUUAUCCUACUUUAUUUUAAGUGUAACACCCAACAAAGUGUAACACUUAAGACUAUCACAUGAUAUCAGCAACUCUGUUUGCAUGUUAGAGAUGCCAACGAUAAAAUAAUACCUGUAAGUCUAAAAUGUUGCAAGCAUUACUAGAUGAAUUACUAUUGAUCAUUAAUCAGUAAUCAACAAUUUAAAAAUGAAACAAAUAUUAAGAUUAAAAUUAACUUUUUUAAAAAAGUCAGUUUCAUGACUGCACCGUAGAAACUUUCUUUCUUUUCUAGUGAUAGAAUUUGUCUCCAGCACCAAAUUUACAUUUUCCAAUUUUUAUGAGCUGCAUGGACCUAUCUGAAACCUUAGAAACUUAAAGGACCUAUCCGAAACAAACUCUAAACUUAAAGGACCUAUCUGAAACUUUGGAAACUUAAAGGAUCUAUCUGAAACAAACAUAAAACUUAAAGGACCCGGGGAGGUAUUUGACCUAAAAUAAAAGAAGCAACCCGCCAUAAGUUUGCUUGGACACACAUUUUAAAAUGCAAUAUCCAUUGAGCUAAGCUCACGGUGAUUAAUUAAAUAUGUUUGGUUUAGUUGUUGGCUAUAAUGCACACUUUUGCCCUUAAGAACAUAAAACAAGUACAAGUUCAUAAUCCAUGUGAUUUCCCUAACAUCCUCACAACCCCCUCCCCCACCCAAAACAUAUCAUUUAUUUAUUAAUAAAUUUAAUAGAUGGGAUGAUAUUUGAGGGCGUUUUGAAAAAGGAAAGUAAGUAGACCAAAAGUGAUGACAUGAUAUAUCUAAGAAGAACCAAACGACACCCAAACACAAGUCUCUGCUCUUCCACCACGAUAAUCUCUUUUUAAUAUGGCCAACCAAUGGCUGUGAUACAUAAUUAACGAUGGCCGGACGAAUUUGAAAGAAGCAAUUACUCCAUCCGUUUUUAAAUAUAAGCAAAUUUUAUUUUUUAUGUUCAUUCAAUUAAUGAUGUAUGUGGUUCAUAAUAUAGACCACAUACAUCAUUAAUUGAAUGAAUCUAAAACGUAAAAUUUGUUUAUAUUUAGAAACGGAGGGAGUACAAGGGAAAGAACUAGAGUUACAACAUAAACCAAUAAACUUUAGAGAUAAUUGAGAAGAGAUGAGUUAUUUUGAUAGAAAAAAAAAGUCUUAAAUUUUAUUAUCAUAAUCCAAUGCAUCAUACAUCUCAUUCUCCAAUUAGUGGAAAAAAAAAAUAUGACACCUAGAGUAUGGAUGAAGAAUUUUGGAAGGAAGGAGAGUAUUAUUAUUUUUUAAUCACGAACACUUAAAAAUAUUUUUGUUAAGGAGAAAAUGUUUUUUAAAAAUGAAUCAAAUGUAAUUGAUAUAUUAUCUGAUUAUAUAUCUUACAAGAGAUUAAUCAAAUGCUCUAGCAGGAUACCCCUGCAUAGAACGGGUGAGCGUGCUGUACUAUUGUUUGGAAGUAAGUCGCAGUUGCGUAGAAAUUAAAAUCUUGGUAUUAAUAUAUGAAUAAAAAUAUAAACAUAUGUACAAGUAAAAAUAUAUAGUGAACUGAUAAAAAAAAUUGGACCUAGGCUGGUGUGGCAUUUGCCACACCCGGCCUUGGUCAGAUCCGUCCCAGAUUGACAAACUAAAAUUGAGGUAUUUGGUUCAUAAUGUAAAGCAAAGUUGAUCAAAUAUAUUUUAAAAAAAUAAACCUAACAUUCUAAAAUCCUCCAAAAGCCUUCGUUAUUCAGAUUUCCAAAAUGCAAGUUGCUCGGACAACCUUUUAACUAGGCAUGACAACAAAAUCUAUAACAACAAUUACCCGCCUAAACACACCAUGAUUGGACAGGUUUUUUCAGCUUUGAAUGAGUUUGUGUAUGAGUUUCUGUUUUCAACGAUUUUAAAACAUGUGUACUGGAUGAGUAACAUGCAUAUAAUACCACCCUGUGUAGUAAAUUAGUCAAGAUAAUUUUCUCUAAAUAAUAAUCAACAUAUAUAAAUAUAAGCAUCAAUAAAACAUAGGUAAAAGAGAGAACAAUAAAUUUAUCUGUUCUUAAAAUUGCGGUGAUUUGCAGACGGCAGAAUUAACGUAAACAAAUAAGAAAUCAUGACUGCAAAAUAGUAAGCCAUUACAUAGCUUGAGGUGUGACGAAGUCACUGUCCUUAAGGAUUUUAUCCUCCUCAUAAACGCAUAUCCUCCCAGGAUACAACAAGUUCUUCUCUGCUAUGAAUCAUAUCAAAGGUGGCAGAACAACUUGAAUUUAUCUCAAAGAUAACAGAAGAUGUAACCCGAAAAUUCAAUAUUUAGGAGGAGAGAAAACUAUAUUUAGGAGGUGAGUAGAGCUGUUGAUGUUGUUGCUACUGAUCAAAGGCUAGAAAAAAAGAAAAACCUUAACUCCAUUUAUUUCACGUAAAAUAAUAUUUUCCAAGUAAGUUAAAAUUAGCUUUGUAAUCCAAAAAUAAAGCCUUAAUAAAAGCUACUAAAUUGUGAACGUUGGAAAAGAAAUGUAACUGCGCCUUUGACUCUGUAAACAACUAAAUGUGCUUAAAUGAUAAUAGUUAAUUGCAUUAACUUUUGAAAUAAAAUAAAACUUUAAAAUUACAACAAUCCCCCACAUAUUUCAAAAGUUAAAAUAAGAGGUUAUAAAGAGUUUUCUUGGGUAAACAUCGUAGAUGUAAUGCAUCGAAACGAUGUAGCAAGCUAUGGAACCCGUCCUAGAUAAAUGAGACUUAACACACAUUGAAUUGGUUUAGCAAGCUAUGGAACCCAAGACACUUGUUGUAUGCAAGAGGUCUCACAAUCACAUUACACCCCCACAAUUCUUGUUACGCGGUUGUGUGCUAAUAGACCGUGCGCGUACUUGGUAUUCAUGAGUGCUCUAGAGACCAGCCACAAUCUCAUGCAAGCGGCCCCACUUGACACUCACAUAAGUGAUUUUAUCUAGCGUAUGCUACGACCAUACACCACCCAUAAGGGCUUAUGGUAAUCAUUAAAGUCUUUAAAACUUAUCCCUCAAUUUUAUAUUAUUUAGCACAUCUCAUCCAUUAUCAUACACUAUAGGAAACAUACAACAUUAUUUUAGUGCUAAUAGAACUAACAAGUAACUUGUUUUUACCCAUUGAACGUUCUUCAUGGGAUCUCCAAUUACAAAGGUUGGGUUCCCAUUACUUGUCGUUUUCGAAUGGCGUAGUCUCAUUUCCCAAAUUUCUUCCCAAUAGGUUGUAUAUAUACGGAUCCACUUAAUUCACAAAUAUUGACCAAGACGUCUCUAAGUCAAUUAACCUCAUAUUUCAUCAAGUUUAUAAAAAUAAACUCGAAUUACACAAUAAACUAAUACAAGUCAUUGUCUACUAAAUGACAAUAUGUUCAUCAAUAAGAUAAAUCUACCUAUAGAUUUAUUCUCAUUGGAUUCAUAUCUAUUUGACAUCUUUGUAUUAUUUUAAUACAAAGGUUUAUCCAUUCUGUCAACAAUAUCUCAUAUAUUAUCAAACUAAUUUCCAUAAUAUAUUUCAACAGGUAUACUUAGAUAAAUACUAUGCGACAACAUCUUCACAAAGGGGAAAAAUAAAUUUAUGAUUAAUUUUAUUAUAUUUGUCUACUUGAAAAACUUUCAGACGACAAUACCCCCACAUUGUAUAAAAUAAAUAUAUUUUUAUUCAGGUCUACUUGAAUGAUUUUCAAGUGACAACAUCUCUAUUGCGCUUAUUUUACUCAUGUAUAUCAUAAAUGUUCUCCACAAAUUUCUCAAUAUCAUAUACUUGUCAAAAACAUUAUACUACCACAUUUCCUUAUGAACUUACAUCUAGUAUGAUGCAGACAAGAACAAUUCCGAUAAACAAUUUUGAUUAAUACAAACAUAAUUAGAUCAUACAGCCAAGCUCAAAGUAAAAAAAUCACAUAAGCCCAUAAACUAGAAAAGUAAGCCUCAUAAAACCAAUAAUUGUCUAACUACGUCACGGUUAACAUCAAGAAAUAUUGUGGUAAUGGAGUGGGAUAAAGAAAUAUAAGGAUAAAAGCCAUGGUAUCUCUACCAAGAAAUAAGAUGAACCAGUACUCACAACAAAUCCAAAGAUUACUCCCAAUUUUUCUUUUAAAAGAAACUAUUAAAAACUGACUUGAAAAUUCGAUAAAAUAUAAACAUGACAUAUUCACAAAGUUUCACCAAUUUAGUCAUUGAUGUCUUUGUCAUAUAUACAAUUUUCUUGAUCAAUUAGCUCAUCAUAUCAAACAUUGAUCUUAAAAAAAUAGAAAUAAAUUAGGCCACAUGAACUAUCAAUUACACAUUCUCAGAAACAUUUUGCAUUUAUAAAAGUCAUAUACGCAAUACAAAUACAUACACAAUCAUUACAAAGUUCACACAAUGCAUGCUUAUGACAUCCCACCAUUAAGGUUCAUAUAUAUGACAUUUUAUGUACAUCAAAUUAAUAAAUCCUAAACCCAUAUAUAUGACAUGCACACAUAGAUGAAUUGAUUUACAUUAUAGAGAAAUUGGAUUUCGUUCUUAAAAUCAAUUUCACAAAUAUGUUUUAAAAAGACAAAUAGUAACAUAAACAUAUAGCACGUGACAAAGUUCAUUUUGUAACCGAUAGAUUAACCCGGCUAACAUAACAGCUCAAACAACAUACUAGAUUAUCUGAGUGGAGACGAUUUAAUAACCAAAUAACUAAUAAGAAAAUCUUAACGUAAAAGUAAUAGAAAAUUCUAUUAAUCACAAUAAUAAUAUUAUUAUCCAAAAAACCCCGUAGAAAAUACUUUUCAAAGAGUACUAUGCAUAUAAUAAUAUUUGAUUCCUCGAUAAAAACAUGAAUUUUAGGAUUGCAACCAUGUUAGCAAUUUAAAAGAAUAUCAUCAGAGCACUUAAAAUAGAAAAAACAAAGAAUAUGAACAAAAGGAACCUGUUUGGUGGAAUCGUUGAUUUAAGGACCAAUACCAUAGUCCAUUGAUGAUAAUCCAAACAAGUAGCAACCACCGCCGUACUUCUUAACAGGAGUGACAUCAAGACUCUCUCUUUGUUGGAUCAGUUUCGUCAUUCGCAAUUUUUAGCUUUCGUUUCUCAAAAUUGACAGUCCAUUCCUUAGACAUAACAAUACCCGCAUAAAUAAAUAAAAUAUAAUUAGGGAUUAGUUUUAUGAUAUCAAAAAGUAAAAUCCUUAAGAUUGUAGUAAAAUUAGUCAAGAUAAUUUUCACUGAAUAAUAAUCAACUUAUAUAAAUAUAAGCAUCAAUAAAAUAUAGGUAAAAGAGAACAAUAAACUUAUCUGUUCUUAAAAUUGCGGUGAUUUGCAGAAGGCAGAAUUGACGUAAACAAACAAGAAAUCAUGAUUGCAAAAUAGUAAGCCGUUACAUAACUUGAGGCGUGACGAAGUCACUAUCCUUAAGGAUUUUAUCCGCCUUAUAAGCUCAUAUCUUCCCAGGAUAAAACAAGUUCUUCCCUACUAUGAAUCAUAUCAGAGUUGGCAGAACAACUUGAAUUUAUCUAAAAGAUAAGAGAAGAUGUAACCCAAAAAUUCAAUAUUUAAGAGGAAAGAAAACUAUAUUUAGGAGGUGAGUAGAGUUGUUGAUGUUGUUGCCACUAAUCAAAGGCUAGAAAAAAGAAAAAGCUUAACUCCUUUUGUUUCACGUAAAAUAAUAUUUUCCAAGCAAGUAAAAAUUAGCUUUGUAAUCCAAAAAUAAAGCCUUAAUAAUAGCUACUAAAUUGCAACCGCCUUUGACUCAGUAAACAAUUAAGGCUCUGUUUGGAUUGGCUUAUUUUGAGCUUAUGUCGGCUUAUCUACUUCCAUAAGCCUUUUUAAAGGUGUUUGGGUAAAUAAAUAAAAAUAGCUUAUCAUAGUUUCAUAAGCUGCUUGUGCCAUAUUUUAAUAAGCCUAAAUUUUCAGCUUACCCUCCGGCUUAACAAGGAGCUUAUGAAUUUAUGUAACCUCCAUCGAUUCUCUCUGGAUCCACUUUUUCAAAACAUAUAUUUUUUUUGUUAGUUAUCUUUGCGUAGUAACAAAAUUGUUAUACUUAUCUUACUAAAGUAUAACAUGUAACUAAGAUUUUUAUUAUUUUUUUUAAGGAAGAAUUUUAUUAUUUUUUUGUUACGUAAUAAAUUGAACUAAAUAAAAAAAACAAACUUAACUUGUCUUUUUUUGGUAACAAACUGUACACUGAUAUCUAUUUUAUUUUAUUUUUGUUUUUAACUAUUAUUUAUAAAGAUUUUUUCAACAAUGGUGUAAGACUAUUAAAAUUUUACAUACGUGAUUAUUUCUUACUAUUAUAUUUAUAUUAUUAUUAUUUUUUUUUAAAAAAGAAAGCUUAUCAUAUAUUAUUAUAUUCGUGUAUGAUGAUGUUUAGACUAUAUGAAUAUUGAUAUUUUUUAAGGACGAAUAUGGAUUAUACCAUAUAUAUAAUUAUAAUUAAUAUAUUAUAAUAUUUUUUUUACAUCUUGAUUAAUUUUAUCAAAAAAAAAUUGAUAAUUGUGGUUCAAUUGUUUGAUUUUUUUGUUAAAUUAAAAAUAUUUAAAAUUUCGAGAAUGGCUUAUGUAAUGUCACAUCCAAACACUUCAAUUUAUUUAAGUACUUUUCAGUGUACAUAUCUAAACAUAAAUAGCUUAUCAAGUAUAAGAGCUUAUGAUGUAAACUCUAAUGGUAUAAGCUCUAAUGCUAUAAGCAUCUAUAUAAGUUGUUUAUCCAAACGGGGCCUAAAUGUGCUUAAAUGAUAAUAGUUAAUUGCAUUAACUUUUUGAAAUAAAAUAAAACCUUAAAAUUACAACACCCUGAACUCAUACUCAAAUUCAUCUCUAUUUAUCAUGUUAUAAAAAAUGUCAUUGAUAUGUAAAUGAGUAACCAAAUCAUUCGGUAAAGAAAAUGUUAAAAAGGGAGCAUAUUACUAGAUACAUCACAACAUUGUCCUCGAGCUUGAAAAAAAAAAAAGUAUUUUUUUUUAAAAUGAUUCAUUUUGGGGACGAGGUUGCAGCGGGAUACUAAAACCAAUUGGAGAUGGCGAAAUGAUUUAAUUCCUCAUCCUCAUUAGAUAUGAGUAUGAUAACAUGUAGUCGAGGAUAGGGACAUAAAAAGUUAAAUUUGUCCUUACUCCGUCCCAUUGUUAAGCCUACUAUUUUUUUUUUUUUUUUGAUAUAAGCCAUGCGUGCUUACCAAAAGUAAAUACUACCUCCGGUCCUAUUUACAAGAGACAAUUUACUUUUUAGAUACAUUGAAUAAUUUAUGUAUUUGGUUUAGGUUCUUGACUAGAUACAUAUAUUAUUCAAUGUAUUUAAAAAGUCAACUGUCUCUUGUAAAUAGGACCGGAGGGAGUAGUAUAAAUUUAAGUUCACAUAUUUUCGAAACAUUGAAAGAAUGAAAUUAUAGAGGUCAGAGGAGAUAAACCUUCCAGCUUUCUACAUCAAAUCCUUCAUGACUUCCGAGAUUCUAUUCAAACGUCACAGCAGAUUCACAACGCCACUCUACAAAUACCCGUCCUCUUGUUACAUAAAUUUUUCAUAACUCAUUCUUCUAUUAUUAUACAGUACUAAUUAUGGGUUUUCUUGAGUCGUUUCUGCUGAACGGAGUUCAUAUCAAGACCACCGUAACAAACAAGCAGCAAGAGGUUGACAACCUACUAUGGUCCUUCUUACGUCCUGCAAAUUAUAAUGGACCAAAGGUAAUCGGGUUCGAUGUCGAGUUGUCAAUGUUUGAAAAUAAGGUAUCAGAGGAAGAAAUCUACGACAAUUCCGAAUGUGCAACUCUGCACCUAUGUAAUGGCCAGUUGUGUCUUAUUAUUCAGCUAUGUCAUUUAGAUUCAGUUCCCACAUCAUUGCUUAACUUUCUUCGACUGCCAGAUUAUACCUUUGUCAGUGUUGGUAUUAAAGAUGAUUUGGCUAAGCUUAAGAAGGAAUAUGGGAUUAGAUGCAGAAAUGCUGUGGAACUUGGACCUCUUGCUGCUAGUGUCUUGAAAGUGCCUCGUUUGGCUUUCUGUGGUGUUGAUGAACUAACUGUUGCUGUCAAUAAGCUUGAUCUUGGAAAGCAUAGGCCUUUAAAUACGCUGUAUAAGGAUUGGGGUCAAUCUAACCUUUGAAAAAAACUUGCUAAACUUGCUACUAUUAAUGUUUACUCUUACUACAUGAUCGGGAGCACAUUGCUUAAUUAGUUGUUAAAUCAAGAUAAUUACUUGUACUUUGCAUUGUUUUGCUUCUUAAGUUGGAAUUUAGUUCUACUAUUUACUAAUCAAGUAUGUUUGUUUGUUUCUAUAUCCUACUUAGCCCUGUUUAUUUAAUUUAAUUUUUGUUUAAUGGUAUUCUCUACUCAUCGGUUGACUGUUCUAAGUUAAGAAGUGAGCUUCUGAUAAUUGAAUUGACCAGCUGCUAAGGGGUAAGGCAGAACCGCACGAUUGAAAUUUUUUCAUUUCUGAGUCAAUUCUGUCGUUAGUCUCUAAUAUACCGAGUUCAGAACUUCAGAUAAGCCACCUAGAAGAAAAAUGAUCCAUUUUUAGUUGAUUAUUAAAAUAAAGAUAUUGCUAACGAGUGUCACAUGAGCAUUGUAUAAAAAUUCCUGUAAAAUAAAUUUUCUCUUAAAAAUACAAAUUGUUACUUUUAUCUAAGUAAUAAUUACACAAUUUUUUAACAUAAAUUUACUACUUUUAGUUUACUCUAACCAAUGUCACCAGGGCACUCGUUAAAUAUUGUUCUUGAAAUAAACCAUCUAUGUCCGAUCAUAUCAUGGUAAAAUACAAUAUAACGAGAACGAUAACUAGAAUAUUUUAAAAGUAUAUUAUAAAAAUGAGCGGUGCUAUUUCUCUAAACAAGGUUUAUCCCGAGCCAAUCACGAAAUGCUUGUUGGCCAAUUAAAAUUGCUUUUUGCCGGAAAUCAGGGAGGGAGAGUUGUUAAGUUAGGAAAGGUACAGAGAAAAUACACGCUCGUGAAAUUCUCCUAUAAAAAUGCACCAGGCCAAUAUCAUCAUCGAAUUAAUGUCUUUGAUUGUAUUGUUGGUCUCUCAAACGAUAACGAGAAUGGUUAGCUUAUUGAUAUGGCAUUAAAAUGUGCCCUAACAAAAUACUUUCAUUGAUCUUGUAUAUAUAUAUAAGCAAAAAGUUAGUGCUUUUAUUUAAAUUUGGAUUAAAUACAUAUAAACAUGAGAGAAGUAUAAGCAUGGUUUUAAAAAUUGAAUCAGACCGGUCGGCUGGACUAGUCCAACCAGGAAUCAUUUGGGUGAUCGGUUCGAUUUGAUAGUCAGAUCGGCCAUGUUUUUAAAUUGGCGCGAACCGGUAUGACUCAAUCUAAACCGAUGAACCAACAGUUGUAACAAACCGGAUCGGCUUAAGUUAACCAUAACAUCAAAGAAUAACUAUACAAUACAAUUGAUAUAGAUAUUUUACUUGGUCACAACUAUUUUUUAGCACAUUUAUUUUUAUUAAUUUAAACAUGUACCUAGUAAGAAUAUAUAUCUCAUGUACUAUUAAUUUGAUCCAAGCCCGGUGGGACAGACGGCGUCGUCGUGGUGCAUGAAAUAUAUAUAUAUAUAUAUAUAUGGGCUGCUAACUUACUCCCACCUAAAAACAUGAAGGAGUAAGUUAGCAAGCCUACUCCCACUUACUUUUUAUCAAAAACUACCUUGCAUCUUUAAUAAACAACAUUUUCAUAGAUGGGCAUUAUUGUAAUUUGCUUUUUGUAACUUUUUUUUGAAACAUUGUUUACUUUUUUUUUUUUUUUGAUGAAAGGGAGGGCCGAAGCUCGGAAGAAAUUACAUCUUAAUCAAGCGCGGAAAAGUAACCCCCGCUUGAUCAGCAGCUAACAAAUGGUUAAUUUGAGUCGGACACGACUCAUAAAACAUCAUCUCAUUCCCCAUGAUACAUCCAAUAUUAGCUAACGCAUCAGCGCACCUAGUUGCUUCACGAUACGAAUGUUUAACCUUCACUUCCCAUUCCAUUUGAAGAAGUUUUCUAAUUUUUUGAACAAAACUCCUACCACUCGCAUUGCUUUCCUUCCCACUCGUAAUAAUAUUCACAACCACCAAAGAAUCCACAUUUAAUUCUACUGCAGUGAACCCCAUACGUUUUGCACACCGGAGACCUUCCAAAACUCCCCAUAGCUCUGCAAUAAAAGCAUCACACUUCCCUAAAAAUUUGGAGAACCCCGCUAACCACUCGCCUUCCGAACCUCUAAUAAGAGCAUGUUUGACCCUACUUAUUUUCCACUUCUCUUCUACUUCUAAGAAGAAGUGGGGCCAAACACAUAAAGCUCUUAAUAAAAUAACAAAACUUCAAUUACCCCCCUGAAAUUUCAAAACGUUAGUCAAUUUACCCCCUCCGUCAAAUUUUUCUGUUAGUGAACAUGACGUUUUGCAAAUACCCCCCCUGAAGAUUUGCACUUAUGUGUAAAAUGCCCCCUAAACUUUAAAAUUUAUAUUAUUUUUUUCUUAAAAACAAACAAUUAAUAGUUAAAUAUUAAAACUAACUAUUAAUUUUGGAAUUUGGGAAAACUACGUGCAUAUAUAUACAUCAAAAUAGGCUCCAAAAUGGGAAAAAUAUGUAUUUUUUAAAGUGACAAUAAUGGGAUGAUUUGUGGAUUAAUAUUGGGGGUUGUGUAGUUUAAAUUGUUUGAGCAAAUUGUUGAAGGAGUUGGAGGAGCUAAAAGACUAAGAUGGUGAAGGAGAAAAUAUAAAUUUAAAUCUGAUUAUUAAUUUGUUUAUAAACCUCUAAAAAUAAUAAUUUGUCUAUUAGAAAUAACCAUUAUUGCCACUUUAAAAAUAACAAUUUUUCCCUAUUUUGAUGUAUAUAUGUAUGUAGUUUUUCCAAACUCCAAAAUUAAUAGUUAGCUUUAAUAUUUAACUAUUAAUUGUUUGUUUUUAAGAAAAAAAUAAUAUAAAUUUUUAAGUUUCGGGGCAUUUUGCACAUAUGUGCAAAACUUCAGUGGGGUAUUUGCAAAACGUCAUGUUCACUAACAGAAAAAUUUGACGGAGGGGGUAAAUUGACUAACGUUGUGAAAUUUCAGGGGGUAAUUGAAGUUUUGUUAAUUUCAAAGGAUAAUUGAUGAAUCUUACAAUUUCAUGGGGGAAAUUGACUAUUUACUCAUAAAAUAAAUGUCUUUUUUACAAAGAAGGAAAUCCAAUAAAAGUCAGUUUGAAAAUAAGUUGUGAAAGGGAACUUUAGGACAACUUUUCGGAGGUAAAAUUUACUUCUGCACAUUCAACACAGGCCAACAUAUUCCUAUUUUUUAUUAAUUUUUGGUAAAAUCCCGCCAAUCCUUUUUUUCCCUUUUCAAGAAACCGCCAAAAGUGCAUAAAACCUAGUCAUAUACUCCCUCCGGUCACUAUUAUAAGCAAAAAUUUAUUUUUUAGAUUCAUUAAAUAAAUGAUGUAUAUAGUCUAUAUAAAUGACCAUAUACAUCAUUUAUUGAAUGAAUCUAAAAAGUAAACUUUUGGAGUAUAUCUCUUCCAUUUCAGUGCUUUCUGCCACACCUAUGCUUGCUGCCGCCGCUGACCAUUGGUGCAGGUACAUUUUUAUAUUUUAUUCUUUUGAUUUAAAUAUAUCUUGUUUAAUUUUUGUCCUUUUGUUGCUUAUCUUUCCUUAUGCCUUUUAUAUGAUAUAUUACUGUACAUAGUUAUUAUAUUUUGGUUGCUUUCUCCUGUCAUCAACAUAUUCAAAAUAUGUAAUUUUAUUCUUUAGUGAUAAUCUUGUUAAAAAGCCCAUAUUAAAUUCAGUUAUGUGUUUUGUCUAUCAGUACUAGCUUGCUUUUUGUUUAUUAUAUUGUUUGAUUACCUUUGAUCUUAUAUGGAUCUUUAUCUCGGUAAGUCUAUUCAGUUUCUUACCUAUUAGUUUUCUUAGAUCUCUUUUUCAUCCAUUUAGAAUAAAUGAAUUGCAACUAUGGCUACUAAUGUCAUUUUUUUGAAAUUGUUUAUAGAUUUCUUCUAAUCAGAUCAAUGAGCAUUCAAGAAAAGUUAAAAAAAGAAAAUGCAUGUUUUAUAAAAUAUGUUAUGGGGCAGCGAUGAUUGCAUAUGAAUAUCAUAUAAAGUACUUACUAAAGCAAGGUAAUAGAUUUCUUUAUUCUCAUGGAUGGACUUGGAUUCGAGAAACUCUUAACACCGAGAUGAAAGUUAUAAUAUGUUUAGAAUGGAAACUCAUGCUGUAUAAUGGAAGCUACAUGGACAGAGCUAGAAAUCAAAUAGCCACUAAGUUGUUGGAAAACAAAAAUCGUUCAAGUUUAUGAUGUGUUAUGUUUCUAAUAUUGGAUUACCAAACGCUUUCAAUUUAAUUUAUGAUAAUGUUUUAUAUAAUAAUUUAUACAUUUUCAUUUGGUCUAAAAAAAAUCAGGCCUUUACAAAAUUUAAUUUUUUAUAAAAGAAAAAAAAAAUCUUUUAUUUUAUUUAUGAUAAUUUGUAAUAAAAUCUCAAAGCUCUUUUAAAAAUAUUUUGCCAAACAAAUUUGAACUUAAAAGUACUAAUUAAGUUGAAAAAAACAACAAAUACCAAACAACUUUAACUUCAACUUCAAAGUUUUAAUUUUCAACUUUAUUCUAAAAGUGACCUUUAGACCUAAAAAAAAGUAGGGUCAAACGAACCCUAAGUCCUCCACACCCCGCGAUACUACCAUCCUUACAAGCUUCGUUAGUAUUGAUCUUGACCCACGCAAUCAGUGGUUCCUUCCAUCCCACUUCCUCCAAAUGUCUCGGCUGAGAUAUCACAAUAACAGACUUUGCUAAUACAUUGUGAUAAUAAUUAACAUAACUCAUAAUAAUAUUUUUAGCAUGUAAAGGUCUUUGGUAGUUGUCAUUAUGAGUUUCCUUGUUUCUCCAAUUCCAUAUAGCGUGACAAGCGGUGGCCCAAAAGUCUCUCCACUCCACAUUAUGAUUCCAAUAGACAUUAGUAAACAAAUUAAAUAUAAUCCAACUAGAUAAAUCACCUUCAAAGAAACUUGUUCUUGCAGCAUUGUCCACUGCACACAAUCAAAGUGCCGUGGCUUUUGGACAGUCCCUCAAAACAUGAAUUUCAGACUCAAUCUCAUCAUGACAGAACCUACACAUAGGAUUACCAAUCCCCAUCUUAUGCUUCCUCAAAUUUGUUAACAAUCUUCCAUGGUAGAGCAUUCACAUAAAAUGUUUUAUACGUAUUCUUCCACAACUUUAAUCAAAUCUCAUCUUGUGCAGCAUUGUCAAAAUUUGACAGUAUAUGAUAAGCUGAUGCAAUUGUUUACUUUUAUUUGUUAACAUCAACGUUGUUUUUUAACGUAAUAAUGGCGACAACCUUUUUUUUUUACGUAACGGCAACAACUUGUUUUUUUUUUUUUUUUUACAUUGUGAUUUUUGUAUAAACAUUUUUGUAUUGACGUGGCUUCAUAGGAAUUUUAGUUUUUUUAAACUGAUGCUAUUGCCAUGAUGUGAUCAAACAUAGAACAACGUUGCAAUUCAUUCAAAUAAAAGAUGAAUCGAAGAAGAAGUACUUUGCAAUUUUCUGUCAAAAAAAAAAGAAGAACAUAAGCUUAUUGAAAAUACUGAUGAAUAUCCUGAAUUUUCAUCACAAAUAAAUCGUGGUGGAAUGACAAGAGUUAAUGAAGUCAAUCCAAUUCCAGAGGAUACAACUCCUAAGAGCAAGAAAAACCAACAACCAUCGUGGAACACUGAACAAAAUUUAGUAUUAAUUAGUGGGUGGAUAAAAUAUGGAAUAUGCAGUGUUGUCGGGAGAAACCAGACAAGUGAACCAUAUUGGUGUAAAAUUGCUGAGUAUUGUAAUGAGCAUUGCUCAUUCAAUUCUCCGCGCGAUGCAGCUGCAUGCCAAAACCGUUUUAAUUAUAUGAGCAAAUUAAUAAAUAAAUGGGUUGGUGCUUAUGAUGGCGCUAAGCGUUUGCAAGGAAGCGGUUCGUCAGAAGAUGAUGUUUUGGCAAAAGCCCAGGAAUUAUAUGCAUGUGGGAAGAAUGUUCAAUUUACUUUAAAGGAAGAAUGCCGCGCUCUCCGUGAUCAACCACGUCAUGGUAGUCAAAUGGGAGGAAAUGUUGGGUCAGGAAAUAGUGGAUCUAAGAGAUCUCACGGGGACUCAGUAGGAUCUAGUGCUCGUCCAAUGGGUAGGGAGGCAGCUAAAAAAAAAGGUAAAAAGAAAAGCAAGGACGCUGCUUCCUUGGAGGAAGUGAAAAAGGAGUGGGUUGAAUUCAAAGAAAUCAAAGUACAAGAGAUUGAACAAUUGAAAUAGUUCACCUUGGUGCAACAGGAGAAAAACAGAUUGAAGAAAAUGAAACUGUAUGUAAAGUUAAAUUCCGAAGAGCAUCUCGAUGACCGGAAAAAAGAGUUGUUGGAAAAGUUGGAGCGUGAGCUGUUUUGAAAAUUGCAAUCCAAUAUUUGUUUGUAUUCGGUCAAAAUUGUCGGUGUUGUCAAGACCUCAGUGUUUGCUUUAAUAAUUGUCAGUGUUGUCAAGUUCUCAGUGAUAGUCCCUAGUGUUGUCUAGUCCCUCGUGACUUAUUUCACCUACUAUUUGCUUUAAUAAUUAUGGCAACUGUGUGCCCAUUAUUUCACCUACUAUUUGCUUUAAUAAUUAUGCUCACUGUAUGCCCAUUAUUUCACCUACUAUUUGCUUUAAUAAUUAUGCCCACUGUGUACCCAUUAUUUCACCUACAAUAACUUAUUUCAAAUCUGUCACUGUCCACCACACAAUGUACUUAUAUAUAGGGACUCAUAUCUAUCAAAACCAUUACUACAGAUAAGCAGAAUGUGGUGGAUGACCAUAUUUUUUCUUUUGGUUCAACAAGUAAUUCCAAUCAUAAGACAAAGGUUAUUGGGUUUGACACCGAGUGGCUUGCACCUAAUCCUGUUAAAAUGAAAUUAAAAUACCCCCCUCUGAUCUGUUUGACAUUGGCUAAGUAGCGAUAGCGAGCAUGCCAAGAACAGGUGAGAAAUCAAACUAUCACCAUCAGCCUUAAUCCAUUCAUGCAUAUCAGAAGUAGACAAAAAAUAAGUAUGCUGCCAACAAAUUGUUUUGCCAUUAUGAGGCAGAAUAGCAACAAUCCCUUCUAAAUUAUUUAAGCAAAAUUAUUUAACAGUUGUGAAUUAUUUGCGAAAGUCAAAAGUAUUGAACUGUUAUUUGAUAUUGCUGCUAUCACAUGUCUUAUACUGAAAACAACCUUGAUCCAAUUUUAUCUUCUUCGAGUUAUAUUUACUACAUUUAAAGUAAUUGCUUGUAAAAAGGUGUCUCUGACAGUGAACCUUGAUCCAAACUUUAAAAUAUAACUUCUUCGAGUUAAUAUUGUAAAAAGUUGAAGUUUGGAUCAAGGUUCAAAUUAUUUGAAGUUAUACUGAAAUUUGAGGUUUUAUCUUCUUCGAGUUAUAUUUAAUUACUACAGAAAUUUCGAGCAAAUAUUUUGAACCAAAGUGAGAUUGAGUUAUUUAGUUUCAAAUUUCUCCCUUUACCAAAGGUUCUAUUUGGAGUAGGUAAACUAGUGACUGCCCCAGAAUGGUUCGCACCCAUUUAAAUUGGACUUGCUUGGUGAAGAACCAAAAAAAAAAAAAAAAAAACACAAGUUGUAGUUAAUUUUCUUUUGAAUAUGGAUAUGUGCAGAGUAUCCUGAGGCAGCUAGUUAUACAAAGACCCACAUUUGAUGUCCAGAGAUGAUGUAGACCUAGCGUAUUCUUAGUAUCUAGAUCAAUCAUGUGUUAGGAGAGGAGGAUUGAGGCGUUUGUGUCGUCAACCUAUGGGAUACUGCACUUAGAUAUAUGCCUUGGUAUUUCAAAUACAUUAUUUCACUUAUUUAUUGGAGGGCCUGGGUUACACAUGAGAGAAAAAAACUGGAGACAAUCUCCUCCCUUACCUAUUAUCCAUACUUGAAGGAGGGCAAAUGAAGCCAUCUGAAGAAGGUUGCAGUGGCAGCACCACAUGAGCAUAGAGGUACUCCCGCAGACUUGAUCCCAAGAUAUAGAUGUAUGAUACACUUAGCCUUUAUGAUGCUUUUGCUGGGAGUGGGGGGUGAGGGGAACAAGAGGUCACUCCUGCUUGGGAUUCUAUGCAUUAUAUUCUCAUGGAAGCAAGUGAUGUCUUCCACUACCAAGGAAGCAUGAGGAGAGGUGUGCAUAAGUCAAAGUAGAAUACAUUAUGGGUGUAUUUUUAUUUUUUUUUGACAUAUUUGGUCAUGAGAUACAUGUAUUUUGUAACUUCUGACUUCUAUGAUUUUGGUAAAGAUAUUUGGUUGGUCGUAUUUUAAAUCUCAUUUAAUUUAAAAUAAACGAGAUGGAGAAGUUUGAUGAUCCUUGAGAUUAAAAUGCUAAGUGACUGUAAAAAAAUCUUUUUGGUGAGACCUACAUUACCCCUUGAUGAACUGACGGUAAUUAACUCCUAAUGAAAAGUAGGAUUCGAUUGUGGAACGAAGAAGAUCAAGAUCACAUGUCGAAUGAAGAAGAUGAAGAGGUUUGAUGUUCUUGAGAUGAAAAUUAACUAAUUGUAAGAAUAAAGAUGAAAAAAAUUAGAUUUUUCUUUGAUAGAAAUAAAUUAUCCCCAAUUAAACAAAGGAUAAUGUAUAAAAAACCUAAUGUUACACUCUCUAAAUUGAAGAGCCAACUUAAUGGUCAUCUCAAAUUUGGUGAUACUAGAUUGGCAUGUGUUGAGUAUUGUUCCCCAUCAAUUGGUUCAUAUGGAUGUGUUCUGUUCAAAGAAAAUAACAUUUCAAAAAGACAACAAUGUGAGAAUCAUGUUCUCUAUACGCGCACAAUAUCAUUCAAAGACAUCAACCAAAUUAUACAUUACAUUGGUUAUAUUUGUUUCAUGCUUUUGAAUCUUCCUCGGUUCGACCUAGGACAAUCGAAGAAAUCAUUCCAUGCGUUAUUUAACCCGAUUGAAAAACCACAUCAUCUUGCAAGAGGAGUGCUACAAACUUAACUCAUGUAUGAUCUUUUUGUGUCUAAUUCAUGUCUUAAAUUUGGUAAGGAACAAAAAAAAUCCAAGAGCCUAUAUAAGAGGAGAAAUUCACUUGAUUUAAUAUUUUAUUAUGGCCCAAGCCCAUAAUAAAACACACGCUUAACCCUAAAUCAACUAUUUAUCAUUAUAGAAGCUGCGCCGUAUCUUUCUUCCAAGUUCCAUCUGCUUCAUUUUCCCAUUCUUCUUCUUCCAUCAUGACAUGGAAAACAUGAAUUAUGUUAGUGUUGAGUCGUUCAAUCUGAACGGUGUUUCCAUCAAUACCACUGUUGUAUAUGAUCAUGAUGUAUAUGGGGAUGAGCCGCAUGAGGUUGAUGACUAUAUCUCGCGUUUCUUGAGCCCAGCUUAUGACACGACAAAGGUUUUUUGGGUCUGGUGCCGAGUGGCAUGUGCCUCCUUAUUCACCAUCGUCUAAAUGCAGCUCUGUGCACCUCUGCGAUGGAGUUUCGUAUCUCAUUAUUAUGUUUAGUGGUGCUUAUGAAAGGGUUCCCCAAUCACCGGUUAGUUUUCUUAAUCUUCCAAAUUACACCUUCGUUGGUUUUGGUAUCAAAGAUAAUGUGGCUAAGUUGGAGUCAAAUUAUGGUUGUGGAAUCAUAAAUGCUGUUGAACUUGGACCCUUGGCUGCUACUGCCAUGAAGAAACCUCGUUUGGCUUAUAUCGGUGUUGAUGAGCUGCUUUCUGUGGUCACUGGGCUUUCUCUUCGAAACCAAAGGCCUGUACGCAUCUUCUAUGAUUGGGAAAACCGUAAACAUUUCACAGAACUUGUUAAAACCGCUACUAUUAAUGUUUACUCUUAUCAAAAGAUUGGGAGAAAAUUGCUUGCUUAUGAUUGGGAGUAGUAGUGGUUUUCUAGAGGAGCUUAUGAUUGUUUUUUUGUUUGUAAAGCUCAUGGUAUUUUUUCUCUUUGUUUGCUGGUUUACUUGCACAUCAAGGUAUUAUUAGGGUAUUCAUAAUUCACCAAUAAAUCAUUGCUCCACAACUAUGUUUUAGGUUAUUUAUUAAUCAAAUUUCUUUUAAUGGAAUUUCUAUAGCUGCUGAUAGAUCUUCUUUUAUUCUAGUAAUCGUUUCAUUACUGUUUCAAGAAGUUGAAAACCUUUUUACCUUUCUAGAUCUUUUCUUUUAUUCUAAUUGGUUCAUAAUUGUUUUGAAAAUUGUUCUGUAGCCCCGUUGAAUUUACCAAGCCCAAAUUCUGAUUCAUUAAUGAAAAUCUAAGUUAUCUUACUUGUAGUGAAGUCUAGACAUGGCUAUAAACAAAAAGUAGAGGAAACUACUUGCUUAAGGCUUUACCAUAAUAAAAAUAAAAAUAUAUGAAUGUAAUUUAAGGGUUUGUUUGAGGAUUUCUAAUUUAAGAGAGAUAAUAAUGGAAUUUUGAUACAAGCAAGGCGGGAUCGGAGAUAGGUAUUAGUGUCCCUAGUUUCCCCCAACUCCCGUCUUUUGAAAUCGGGGAAAACCCAAAUCCAAUCAAUUUGUGUUUUGCCCGUCAAAGACAGGGUGGAUUCGGGAGGGUACCUGCGAGUAGCCGUGUACAAGUUCCGAUGUCAUGUCUGAUGAGGUCCCACAUAUUACAUAUGGUCACGAUCUGAUGGCAUGUUCCAGUUUUCUGUACUAAUUACACUUUAGUAAACUUAUGUCAGAAUGUGCAAGUAAAAUUAAUUAAAAGACGAUUUAUUAUGUUAACUAUUUGUACUGGUUUUGUUCCCUUCGAUGUUUAGUAUAUCAAUUAAAAACCAUUAGUAAUUUCCCUCAUUUUUUUCCCAUAGUGAACAAUUAGAAACUUCUAUGUUUAAGAGAAAUGAGUAAAUGUCCAACUCAUCCCCUCAUUUUAUAGGGUGUAUCAAUUUCAGAAUCAUAUUGGUGUCUUAGAAACGUUGUCAUGACAUAUUGGUCCCUUAAAUUGGUGUCUGAAAUUACAUGGUAUCAAUGAGGUACCAUGAUUAACAAAUACAUGAUGAAAGGACUAACUUGACAAGCUUUAUGCAAAAUGAGGUACUAACUUAACAUUUUUUAAUUGAAGGGGGACCAAUGUGAGGGUUGGGUAUUUACUUUUAAAGAAACAGAUUUAAGUUUUCACAUCGAAAAUGUUGAAACUAUAAAACAAUUAGAAUAAUUGGACUUUUUGUAAUUAUUAUAGUAAGUUUGUGCAUUGAGGAUGUUUAUGUUUUGCCACUUCUUGCAAAUGAUCAGUUUUUGCUUCUUGAGCCUUGCUUAAAGUAUGACUCUAUCACACUCUAUCACUUUUUUUAUAAACAAAAUGUAAAAUCUAAUUUAAUUUUAUAUAUGGUUUAUCCAAUGUAAAAGUAUUUAUAUAUCAAUGAUUAAUUACACAUGAAUAGAAAGCAAGUGGGCAACAAACUACUACGUCGUUAGGCCUUUUUAGGUAGCAAAAUCAAUCCUCGUAACCACAACAUUCAUUGACUUAUGAGCUUAACAUGAUGCAACUAUACAGGAAAUGAGGAAACAAAUCUUGUUCAUGGCCACGGGCUGUCAAAAACAAAUCAUGUUGUUUUGACAAAAGACAAGUUUAGUUUUGACAAAACAAAUCUGUUGGUCUUAUGAAAUUCCAAAUUGUUUACAAUUACUAUCAUUGAAGUUAAGACCUUCUAAAUUGCUACUGAAUUAGUCUGAUAAUAGUUUAUUAUGUUUAUUGCAUUGCUUUACUUCCUUUCAGAAGACUACUCUGCCACCAACUGAGUGAGAAAAAAACUCAAAUUUGAUUUUUGUGGUGAUAAUUUAUUUUUAAAUGGUAAUGUUAAUAGUUUUUUUUUAAAAGACAAACUAAUCCAUUAAAAAUGGUAUCGGCGAGAAUCACUUAGACCUUCUCCAAAGUUUUAAACCAACAUCAUCAGACCAACCCAAAUAAGCUGAUAAAUAUUAAUAGUUAACUAUAUUUUUACUCCAUCAUCCAGGUUUAAACUCAAAAUCUCUAAAUUCUUUUUAAUUAGUUCAAACAAGUUGAGCCUCUGUUUGGUUUGGCUUUUGCAAAGCCAGAAUCAAUUCUGGAGCAUUUCAAAAGCAAUUCUGCAAUAUUUAACAUGUUUGGUUUGGCUUUUCAAAAUAGCUUUUAUCCUCCAAAAGCAAUUCUAGUUGAAGCUACAAUUCCUAGCUUCUUACUUUCCUAGAAUCAAUUCUACACCCUCAAUUCUAUUAAUUCCAUCCCUGCCCUCAUUAAUUUUUCUAACCCUUCUCCAACCGAAUUUUUUCUUUCUGCAGUCUUAUUAAAAUAAAUGUUGGUGAAGAGAAUAACAUUUAUUUUCUGCAGUCUUAACUCUCAAUUCUAUUAAUUCCAUUCCCCCUUCACAGUCCACUUUUCUCAACCAUAAUUCAACCACCCUUCCCAAAUUUAAUCCAAAAAUUUAUUACCAUCAGCUUAUAUAACAACAUCAUCUCCUACAAGGAAAAAUUGUGGUGAAGAGAACAACAAGAAGAAAAAAUUCUGCAAUGAAAUUAUUGAGCACAGGCAAAAUAAUUAGUAUUGUACUUUAAAUUAUUAUAUCAAUAUUUUAGUACUAUAAUACACAUUAUGUUAGUUUUGUAAUAAUAUUUUAAUACUCUAUUGCACUUUAAAUUCUAUUAUCUAUUUGUAAUUUUUAUUUUCAUGAUGUUAGUAUUGUAAUACCUUAUAUUUUAGGACUAUAUUGCACUUAAUUAUCUUAAUUUAGUAAUUUCUAUUUAUUUGUAUUUAACUAUGUCUAUUUUGGUAAUUAUACAUUCAAAAGUAAUUUUGAUCAAAACUAUCCGAACAACAAUCAUUCUGUUUAAUCAAUUCUGCAUUAUUGCAUCCAAACAUAAAUCAAUUCUGUCAGAAUCAAUUCUACACACCUCAGAACCAAACACACACUGAAUUACUCGACCCUUUUAUGGUAAUAUUUAGAUAACCAGGUUUUUGUUUUUGGUGCAGGGUUCUGCUCUAUUGAGGAUUCACCCUUUUAGUCAUGACGUGUGUAACGUAAAUCACUCCUUACUUUUCAAUUUGGCGUUUAGUGUGUGGAAUUUUCUUAGGAAUCAUGGCUUGUGAGAAUCAUGGUUCAAUGUAUCUUUGAUUUUCACCCUUUUGUGGAUAUUUUUGCUAGAAAAUCCAAUCAUAAAAUUCUUGUAAAAUGUUACCUUUUUAGGAUUUUUAAAAAUUCAUAUCAAACAUCAAACAUACUUAAAAUUUCUAAAUCAAGAUUUCUGUGAAACUUAAAAUAUACUACAAGACAUGAUAAAAAAAACUAUAUGGAAUUUUUUAGGCACUAUACAACUUUUUCACAUAUUUUUGUCUAUUAAUUUUUUAAAUGAACUAGUUACAAACCCGUGUUUCGUACGGGUUCAAUAACGUAUUCGAUAAAAAAAUUCUUCGAAAGAAGAGAUGUUAAAAUGAUGGAACAUUGUGAUUCAUCAUAAAAUAUGUAUGGGCUGAUUAAGAGAGCAUAUAAUCAGUUUAUGAGAUUAGGAAUUGACAUAAUAUUUAGGAUGAAAACAAUUGGAACCAAUAAAGGAACCAAUGAUCUGUGAAUUUACGUAUUAUCCAAAAUUAUAAAAAAAAAAAAAAAAAGUGUUGUUGUUAUAGAGUUACCAAAAAAAUGAUUGAUACCCAUAUUUACAUCAAAUGAAAUCAAGCAAAGAAGUAGAAUCGGUGACUGAAGAUAAUCUAGUCUAGGAUUAGAGUUAAGGUGAUCUGUUGAAAGUGCGGAUCAUGAACACCAAAUCUUUAUUUGAAAACGACUUGAACGUGCAUAUUUUUAGGUGGCUUCUCUAGAUCAAAAAUUAAAUUAUCACCUACCUCAAACAUAUGUUCUCGGAAAAAUUUGAACCAUUGGCCGCCUAAGUAUUUUUUGUAACUUGCUCUCUGUGCCGUUAUCAAGCGACACUUAUACCUUUUUUGAGCUUGUUUGUCGAUGAGUGUGAUCGUUUUCCGUGUUCCUUUUAGAAAUGUCAUUGAUAUCUCAUUUGAGAAGUGCUAGGUAUAAAACAAAUUGCAUUGUUAAUUAGAAGUUAUAUAUAUAUAUAUAUAUAUAUAUAUAUAUAUAUAUAUAUAUAUAUAUAUACAUUUUUAAAAUAUUUACCAAAGCAUUAUAAAGAUUUACUGUAGGAAAAGAGCAUGUUUUAUUUUGUUCAAGAUAUUAGGAAAACAAUAGUACAAUUAACAUGAUACUAAUUGGAACUAACAAUCAGAUUAACGUUACAUAAUAGUUAGGUUUAUAAAAGAGAUUGCAAGCUUCAUAGACUAACCAAAAAGGGAUUUUUGCCAAUAUUUACACCUGACAAAAUGAAAAGAACAAAUGACAUCCCAAAAUCAAGAUGGUUUGUCCAAAGCGAUACGUCAAAAUAGUAGAAGUUCAAAUAGUUCAACAACAAAGAUCUACUUUGGAAUAACUCGAAUUUGCAAGUUCUUCUGUGACUUUUCGAGAUCAGAGAUGAGCUUACCACCUUCUUCCAUCACUCGCUAUCUGCAGAAAUUGAACCACUUCCCACCCAAGUAAUUUUUAUAGCUUGCUCUAUCGGCGGUAAUGAGGUGACAGUUAUACAGUCUCUGUGUCUGGUCAUCAAUGAGAGUGAUUGUUUUGCGCUUUCCUUUCAGAAUUAUUCUUGACACCUCGUUUGGGAAAUGCUAAACAGGAAAAUAACUGCAAUAUUAGUCUAAUGCAUAUUUACAUGGAUAAGAUGUAUUUGAAUAUAUUUACAUAUAAUUUAUAAAAUAAAGGUAGCAUGACUGAUUUUAAGCUAAAGAAAAUGUAGCAUGACUUCUAAUUUAUCUUCCUAUUAUCUUCCUAUAAAGUCUAGAUAAACGCAUGCAUGUACAUUAUAUGUACCCCGUUGACCAAUUAACAUUGUUGAAACAAAUGAAAAUUAAGCAUCACUUCCGCACGUGCAUAUAUAGCUAGCACCAUUUGACAUUGAUGUCUUCGAACAUUUGGUGCAACUCUCAUAAUACAAUCCAAACUGGUUAGGGUUGAAUUUAGUUGUUUUCCAAAUAGUGAUGCAGUAUGUUUCCUAACACAAAUUAUGCACAUGAAAUAAAGAAUAAUGCAAUAUGUAUUUUUAAUUUGUGCGUAAAAAAACUCAAAGCAUGUUUGUGCAUAAAAAAAGCAGACAUUGACUAAGUUUAUAAAUUCAGCAAUUGGCCUAACCUGAGACAGUUUGAAAAAUCGUUGUACGAAGUACGUUGAGAAGAAGUCAAACUCUGACUUAAGUUCUAACUGAAGCUUUGACUCUGAGCUUAAGAAGUGUUAAGGUCACAACAACAAUUCAAGAAACAUGGUCAAAAAACAAUCAAAUCGGAUUGUGAAAUAAUAAGUUACUCUAACACUGUAUUGUGAAAUCAUAAUGCAAACUUACUAAGUCUUAAACUUCUCAACAACCGGAUGAUGUAGGUUGAUGAGAAGCCUCGAACCUGACCAAUUGUUACAUAUAUUUGGAUUGCCGUUGACUACAAAAUGGAAGCAAAGAACUCAAGGUAUCUAGAUGGUAAAUGAUAAAGCUACAUAGUAUUUUUCCCAUAGUGUUACAUCAACUAUAUUCCCACUACAUAAAGAAAGACAUCUUUCGGGUCAUUAUCAAACUUAUACAAAAUUCUAUCGUCUAAUGCUGACAAAAUAGAAAAUAAUACAUUUUAUAUUUAGCAAUGUUUAGUUUUUUUGAAUAAGAAAAAGAUAUGCAUAAUUUAUAUGCCUUUUUUUUGAAGAAAAGACAUCUACAAUUUUACUUUUAAUUAAAAUCAAAAUUUUAUAAAAAUUAUAUGCAUUAACAAAAAAACAGACAUACAUGAAGUAUUACUCUAAAUGCUAAUAUGUGUGACUGUAUAUUUGCGAGGUUGAAGAAAGAAAAUAAAAAUAUUUUGUAUCAUUAAAUGAUAGCGUGAAUAAAAAUAUAUGUGAGGUUGUUAUGAUUAAACGAUAUUUAAAUUAAAUAUAUAAGUGAUAAAAAGAUAAUCAAAUUUCUUUGAAAAAAAUGUAUUAAAAUUAAAUGGAACCUCCUUAAAAAAUUUAAAUGAAACGGCUAAAAAAAAAUUAAAUGGAAGAAAAAAACAUAUUGAAAUAUAAUAUUAUAAAAUAAAAUAAAAGGUUCCCAACGUGAUCAUAGAUGCUUGUGAAAUAAAUUGUCGAGAAGUAGUUUUUUGAAGUACUCCCUCCGUUUUUAAAUAUAAGCAAAAAUAAUUUUUUAAGUUCAUUCAUUUAAUGAUGUAUGUGGUCUAUAUUAUAAACCACAUACAUCAUUAAAUGAAUGAACCUAAAAAGUCAAUUUUGCUUAUAUUUAAAAACGGAGAGAGUAGCAUUCAACAAUGUUUGGCCAAAGCUCAUUCCAUUCAAUUUUAUGCAUUAAAAAAAGUACAUUUUUUAGUAAGUACUUAAUUGAUAUUGUACUUGGUUUAACUUCUCCUUAAAAAUGUAGAAAAGUUGAAAAAGAACCGGGUCAAACGGUAUCUUAAUCUCCCACAACGGCAGUGUAGAAGCAACUGAAUUUGGGAGGAAAAAUUAGAAUAUAGUUAAAAAUAAAAAAAUUGGAAAAUAGUCAAAAGUUAUAUGCAUUAGCGUAACAAAAACACAGACAAAUGGACAUAAAAUAUUACUCUAAACGUUAAUGUGUAUGUGUAAAUAUUUGCGAGGUUGAAGAAAGGAAAUAAAAGUAUUUGGUAUCAUUAAAUGACAUUGUGAAUAAAAAUAUUUAUGAGGUUAUGAUGAUUAAACAAUAUUGAAAUUAAAAUAAUUGAUAGUGUGUUUGACCUAACUUCUCCUUAAAAAUGUAGAGAAGUUGGAAAAAAGUCGGGUCAAAUGAUACCUUAAUCUCCCACAACGGCAAUGUAGAAGCAACUGAAUUUGGGUGAAAAAAUUGAAAAAUAGUUAAAAGUUAUUAAAAAUAUAAAAAUUAUAAAAGUUAUUAAAAAUAUUAAAAUUAUAAAAUAAUUAAAAAAAAUGGCGAGGGGCAAAAUGAGAAAUGCACCCUAAAAAUGAUGAGGUGGCACUAAGCACACCUCAUCAAUAGGAAAUUAUUAAAAUGCCCCUUCUAAAGAUAAAAUGGUAAAAUCAUAGGCAUUUAUCUUUAUAAUAUAGUAAGAAGAUGCACUUAAUUUCAAGUUUGAUACAUUGGUGUAUUAAAAAAAUAAGUUUGAUAUAUAUUGCUUAGUUAGUACUUGAUCAAGUGAGCAGGUUUGUAACAGGGGCAGCAUUUACUUGCCACUGACCACGUACAGAGGAAUAGAAGAAUAUUGACAAAUUUUAAAACACAAUUUUGGCAUUGGAACAAAAACAACUAGGUUACUGAUUGUUCUCUGCUUUAUGCUAAACAAGUGAAUGAUUUUUAUUCGAUACAAUGUAUCUGCCAUUUACCAUUUAAGAGAAAUAAAACCAAAGCGUAUAAUAAAAGAAUGAAAGAGACCAAGCCAAAGUGGUCCUUCUUAACGGUGGCGUGUCGUAUAUAAUAUAACCUCUACCAAUGUGUUAACUUAGCAUAUACCUAUCCGUGAACGACCAUAUAAUUUGAAUUAUUUCAAUUAUAUUCUUUCACAAAGAUAUACUCUCACACACAUGUUCAAAUAAAACCAAAAUUAUAAACAAGCACGGGUUGUCUUUAUUCCUUCAUAAAGAAAGAUACAUGUGUCCUUUAUCAGAUCUAUUACAUCAUAUAUAUGACCAUAUCACACAUAUCCUUAUAGCUUGUAUAGCUUUUUCUCCUUUUGUUUAUGUUCUUCUUUUAUCAAUGGAUUGCAAUUGCAUAGCGUGCAGGAUAUAAAGAAGCAUUUAAACUUCUAACUCAAAAUAGAUAGGAGUGGUUGAAUUGUUCUUCCCUAUUUAUAACCUUGCUUCCAUAUUACAAAACUUUCACCAAAAAUUCUUCUAAUUGAAACUAUAAUUUGUUUUACAAGAACAAAAUUGAAACUAUAAUUUGUUUUACAAGAACAAAACAUAGUAAGACUUCUACACCAGUGGUUCCCUUUUUAAAAACCUUAACCUAACAACUAUACAUCAGUGAAAUCAAUGCACAUUCCUUCAUCAAAAAGAAACAAAAAUACAAGACAAAUGAGAAGUCAAAAUCAUAUGGUUAAAAAUAGAUAUAGAAGAAAACUCUUCACUAUUUUUUUACCAUUUCAAUUUCCCUCACGGCACAACCCCACCAAUGACAUAACUUUGUUCCUUUUUUCUUUCAAUUCUAUACUAAGAUACUAAUAUUAAAGUAGAACAACAACCAGACCCUGCAUUGGAUCAUGAUCCAUCAUGGUACAGUACAAUAAUCAUGAUUAUGUGGGCUACAUGGAAAAAGAUAAAGUGGACUUUACAAGUAUGAUCAUCACCAAUAUCACCACCUAUCAGUCAUAUUAGGAAGAAAAAUUACAUAGUUGUUACCUAAGUCUUAUAGAAAAAGUCAGCAACAAAAUAUACUACUAAAAAAAGAAAUAAAUAACAUAGAAAGCAAUAAUGAAGUUAUUUAUCAAAUCAUAUAUAGUUAUCUACUUUUCUUUCAACAUAUGUGAAGGAACAACAUCUUGAAGUAACCCAUUAUCCCUAAGAAAUGCAGUUGUUCCUGGAUUACAAAGCUGUACUCUCUCUUGAGUAGUAAAAGGUGAAUUCUUGAAUGAUGAAGAAUUGUUAUAAGGGUGACUCAAAGAGGACAAUGUAUUAACAAGUAGUUGUUGAUGUUGAUAGGGUUGUUGAUGAUAUUGUGAUAAGUAGUUCCCUUGCAAAACUGAACCAAAGUUAGUGGUUGAAAAUCCACCCGAGACUACACCGGCGGGUUGUGGUAUUUGAACUCCGGCAAAGGCGGAACGGGACAUAGUUGGACUUGGAUGUGUAUGUUGGCCUUCAUAAGUUGUGACUACAAUGCUUGGAUCAGUAUAAGAACGUUCCACACGUUUCUUGACAUUACAUGAAGCAGUGGUGCAACGAUAGUAGCUCCUACACAAACAUAAACACAUAGCAUAUUCCAAAUGUUACUAGUUUACUAAAUGUUUUUGGGUCUAAAAUCUAAAUUAAUUAAACCAAAAAGAGUGUGAACUCAAAGAAUUUUUAUGAGUGGUACCUUGGAAAAGGGCUAUUUUUGACAGCUUUUUGACCGUACUUUCUCCAUCGGUAUCCAUCUUCCAGAUGAUCAACCUCGCUUUUCGUCAUGAAAGCAAAUCUUGGUUCUCUCUGUCUCUUUAGAUUUGUCUUCUUCGUUUUCAACCUAAUCACAUAUAUACAACCAGAUCCCAUAAUCCAUCAAAUCUUGAUUAGAACCAUCCUAAUUUAAUUAAUCAAUCUGAUCAAAACAAAAUCAAAAAGCAAGUCCGCACCAACAUAUUCAUUUGCUAAUUAAUCUAAUCUAAUUAGAUUAUAUAAAAGCACAUACGUACUUUAUACCAUACCACCUCAAAUUAUAAAUGUUUGAAGUGAGAUUCCAACAACCAUUCACUUUUUUUGAAGUUAUUUGUACUAACAAAAAAAACACUAGAGAGAAAUGAAAUGAAACUCAAGAAAACCAUAACCCCACCAAAAAAAAAAAAUGUUUAAAUAUUUGUCUUCUUCAACACAGCUGAAAUAAAAAUGUUCACGAGUAAACACCAAAAAAAAGAGAAAAUUAGAAGAAGAAAAAAACCCACUGUUUAUUUGUCUUUUGCUUUUCUUCUUCUUCAUCUUCUUCUGCUUGGUCAACAAGAGUUUUAUUAUCAUUGACUGCUUCACUAGAUGCUGAUGAAAUCGAACAAGAAUUAGGAGUUGCAGGUUGUUGCUGGUUCAAAACCUCAGAACACUCUUUUCCAGUGGUGUCAGAUGAAGCCUUAACAGUAGACAUGGUUGAUAGUUGUGGUACAUCAAGGAGAGGACUAUAGUCAUGACCACCAAGUAACUCCAUAAACCCUAAAGAAGAACUCCUUUCAACCUCACAGAAAUCAAACACGCUUGAAAAUUGAUAACCAUUAUUUAGCAAAGAUGAGGAGGAAUCAACAACAUCCUCACUCUUCACACUUAGACCCAUGUCUUUCUUCUCCAUAUGAUAUCUCAAAUGCACAAAUCCAAAUCCUUCAUUUGUAGACAACACGCUCUUGUGGUAAUAGUAAGUAGUAAAAGUUGAAGAGAGAGAAAAAAGAGAGUUUUGGGUUUGCAAGAAAAAAGAGUGAGAGAGGUGUGUGAAAGGAACAAAGGUAUAGAAAAUGAAAGGGGAUAGUUGACCGGCAAUUGUAGGUCACCAAAUUGUACUCCCUCCUCUCAAUUUAAUUGUCACAUUUGGAUUGUUGGCAGCUCUAGAAGAAAGAAAUUGUUAGUUUAGUUGAUUUUAAUGUGAAAUGAAAUUUGAUAAAUAAAAAUAUACUAUGAAUAGAAAAAUAUAAUAAUUGUUUCAUUAGUAUUUUAAAGAUACAUUUAUUUUGAGAAAGAGAAAAAAUACAAAAUAACAAAAAAGGAUUUGUUAACUCUCUUGUUAACAUGAAAAAUAGGUAAUCUGAAGUUCCACAAGUACCAAGUAACUACGUACCAUUCAUCUACUUGCGCCGUGAGAAUAGCUCAGUUGGUAGGACAAUGCAUUAUUAUAUGUAGGUGUCGGGGUUCAAAUCCCAGACACCUCACUUGUUCACCUUAUAAAGUCAAUUCUAACCACUAAGCUACCUGAUAAAAACAAAAUUGUUCCAUCCAAAGAUUAAACUCUUGUUAUUCUAAUCAAUUUUUCUCUUUCAUAAAGCUUCUCAAUCAUUUAAGUUCAAUUAGUUGGUUUAAAAGUGACAAUUAUUAUGAGAGGAAUGAAGUAUAUACUCUCUAUCCUAAAUUAUAAGUCAUGAUUUUUUUUCCCCCAAAUUAUAAGUCAUUGUAUAGUACUAAUGAGACAUUAAUGCUUUUUUUUGUCAAGUAGCCUAGUGGCUAGAACUCACACAAUUAAAUGUGGAGAAGUGAGUGUUUGGGGUUCGAAUAUCGGCUCCUGCAUAAAAUAUCCAUUGUCUCUACCAAUAAUGAAGCUAAAUUUAUGGGGACUUAAUGUUGUUUUUUCUAAUAUAUCAUUAACUAUUUAUUAAUUUUUUUUAUUAUCUUGAAUGGAGAAUAAUUUUGUAAUACAACUCCUAUUUUUUUUUCAUACAAAAUUUAUUGUACCUUUUUAAUUUGUGUGAUAUAAUUUGUCAAUAAAAUUUUGUGUGAUAUAAUAUGGGACUAAUGAAAUAAAAGGUUAUCAUGUACUCGAAUCGGCAUCUAAUAUCGCAUUUCCUGAUCUUUCAAAACAAAAACAAAAAACAUAGUAUUUCUUGUAUUUUAAAGUGCAUUUUUAUUGAAAUAAAAUUAUAUUUUUGCUUCUUAAAGAAAAAUGAAAUAAAAGAAAAGGUUGAGCCGGUGGCAUUCAUUGAAUGCAUAAGGAGGGAGAGAGUUGAGUCGAUGCAUUCAUACGUGAUGUUUGACUGCUUAACAGGUUUUGUGUGUGAACGGGGUUCCGCAUACACUGCCACGUUCUGGAUUCUAACGCCGUUUAAUCAAUUUUUCUUAUUCAAAUCAAUAUUUUAAUUUAUUUUAUAUUCUCAAAAUGGCUUAUUGAAAUAGUUUUCGGUCGUGUGCAUGUGAACCACAAAAUCUGAUCAAUCCUUGGUCCACUUUCUUUUGUUUUCUUUCAUUUUUUUGUUUUGUUUUUGUACUCGAAACUUUUGCAGCACGUAUCAAUUCGGUAUUUCACCAUGUUUUUUAAAUAGAGAAAUGCUGAUAAGAAGUUUUUAAAAAAAAUAAAAAAUUAGAAAAUGGUGCAUUUGUUAUCUUUAAAUUUUAGAAAGUGAUUUUUUUUUUACGUUGAUUUUAUCAUUUAUUUUCAUUUUUAGUUUCUUUUUUGACAAGUGACAUUAGGGCACUUGUCAAUAAGAUUUUUUUUGUUCUACGCGUGGCAAAAUGGGUUACGUUGGUCGGAUUGAUCCGUUUAAUGCAUACCGGUUAAAUUGAAAUUUUAAAUUCAGCCUUGUAAGUUAAUGUCUCUUUUAAUCCGUCGAAGAAAUGGGAUCACGGGGCAGUUCUCAAGUUGGUUUUAAAAAUAAAUUGUCGUUUUUAUUGAGAAAUUAUGUGAAUUCACAUAAUUUCUCUAAUGAGAUCUCACCACUCAAAAUGUUGUUUCUCAACUCAAGAAUCUCACUCAAAGAAGUUUCCAAUUUUCAUAAUAGUUUCCUCAUUUGGUUUUCAAGAUUACCCAAAGAAAUGAUGAAUGAAAAGCUUAUAUGGUACACAAAUGCCGAAGAAAACGUGUUGUGUUUGCCCUGAAUUGUAUCGCGAUUUGCAGUAAGUACACAAUAUGGUUGUUGCCGACUUGCUCAAUCGCACCGCCUUAUCCAAUCGUGUCGCAAUUUUUAUGAAUCAAAACAUCAUCCAGGCACCACCAAUCUUGUCGCAAUUCAGAACCUUCAUAGCAAAGUAAUUUUGGGAUGAUGGUUUGAGGUUCUCAUGUAUACGGUAGUGAUUUUCACCUUUGGAUAUACAACAUAUAUACGACACCUUGUAUUUAUCAUUUAAAAAAUUUAAAUAGAACACUGUUCUUUUAAAAAAAAAAUACAUUUUUAUUUUAUUAUGUGCCUCAUUUCACUUAUAGAGCCGAGUCUCUGAUUUCGUAGAAACGACCCUGCAUAAAUGUAUUAAAAAAUAAAUCAUUUUACGAUUAACUCACUUUUCACAAUCGAACCAAACAUACACAAUAUUAUUUCAUUAAUAUUUUCAAAACUACUUGGUGCAGAAGUUAUUGGUGUACGUCCUUUUUAUGUGUCACCUAUAUAUACGUACUAGGUCGAUUAUUUCCCAGAGCAUUUUUUGUAAUGAUACAAAGCUUCUAGAGUUUCUUAUUUACAAGAUAAGAUGAAAGACAAUGCUCUGCAACCGCAUUCACAGCCAAGAAGAAGCUUUUAAAAUGUUUUGGCACUUGUACAUCACAAGUCACAACCAAUAUUUGGCCUGGCAUCGACUUUAUUCGGACAUUUUUUUUUCGAAAAAAUGUAGCAGAAAAUCUCACAUACAAGUAGGUAUUAAAAAAUUCGUGAAUUAUGAGUUAGAAAUGUUCAUAUCGUUAACAUCUUAGUUGUACUUACAAAUUCUUCAUACAUGCGUUUCUACAUUUUUGAAGAAACUUAAAGGAAAAUAUAUAGUGAUACUGAAACAACCAAAAGAAAAUCCAAAGUUUUGAAAUAAAAUUGUAUGACGUACCAUAACUGUUCUUAUAAGAAAUCUACAUUUUAGAUUCACGAAAAGUUAAGUUGUCGGUAAAACAAAAGGCAAGUUAAUCUGCAUGUGUGUUUGUUCACAUUAUAAAUCACAAAAGGAGAAAAAGUGAUGGGAUUCAUUCAACAAAAGCAAAGGAUGUUCACAACACAAGCAUGCAAAAGAAUUUGGGAAUCCUUUUACGUUCGUGCGUUUCUAUUUGCAAAGAACUGAUCCAAUUUUAGAUUGCCGCAAAAGGAUUGAUGUACACUUUUUAUUGGUGAGUGAGUGUGUUGAAGUUUUUUUUUUUUAACCGUAUCCUUUACAUGCGCAAUUACGGAAACUAAUCAGUCAAGCCUGAGAUUCAAAUGGAUUACAAACACACGCUUAAGAGUUUUAAAGUUGCUGCAUCUUAAAGUUGAAUUUAAACUGAGUACAGUUAGAAGAAAUUUGUGUCAUCUUAUCUAAAUGUUUUUGUUACGUUGAAAUGAAGUCUGAUCCAAACAUUUAGGAUUUUAUUUAUUUUUUGACCAAGCAUUUACGGAAUAAAAGGUCCUCUACAAAUUUUUUAUUUUAAAAUUAAGAUGAAAAAUGAACAAUUUUGACCUGACACGUUUUUUUUUUUGGUAGUGUACUUGACACGUUUGCUUUUGUGGUCUAUUUUAAAAUUUUCAGUUUUACGGGAUUUAGGGAUGUUUUACAUAAAAUACUUAAUAGAUUAUUGCUAAUAUGUACAUAGGGAUAUAAAAGUAUCAAUUUGUUGCUGUGAUUGGGGGUUGCUUAACUUGCUUGUCAGAUACGUUUGGGGAGCUCAAUAAAUAGACAAAAUAAAAUAACUCAUCAAACAAAUAAAAUAAGAUAAAGUUAUUAAUAAUACAAAUAAUAUUUUAUCUUGUCGUCUACAUAAAAUAGUUUUCAACUAAUUACUGCAUCACUAAAUUUGUAAAUAUGUACACCUCAUAUUUUUCUAACUUAUUCAAUAUUUCAUUCUAUAUUACUUUGUAAAAAAUAUAUUAAUUUGGAUUUGUGUAUACGGUAACAAAGUAACCGCGUACGCAUGUAUUAUUGCCGGCCUAUAAAAUGAAAAUGAAUGGUUUAAUUGGCAGCAUUAGAUGUUUUCCAUUGCCUCAUGAAUCAUGAUUUCAUGUAUAUUUGAUCCUAGAUUUCUUACCCCACCUAACCGUUACUUUUGAUCACUAAUGACCCACUUGGUGUGUUGAGCUUUAUCCUUUUCACGAUCAACUUAAAUAAUCAUAUCUUCUCUCUCAAUCUGUGGGAAGACCUUCUAGAAGAUUGACAUAAUUUAAGGCAUCAUUUAGCUAAAUCCAAUUUGUGAUGGUGUUGUGAAGCUUCUCGUUGUAGAUUUUUUUUAAAAGUUCACUGUAGUAAUCAACAGUGGUAUAUCAUUAUUUUAAAUUAAGAAUCUAUUCAGCGUUUGAAUGAGUUUGCGUGCGUAAUAUAAGGUCAAUGUCUCCGGUCUUCAGCGCACAGAGAUGGAUUGGUACAAAAAUAUUGGUUGAGUUUCAUACUAAGACAAUUCUCAUAAUUAAUUCUUUUUGAAUAAAAAUACUCUAUAAAAGUUCUGUCCUUGCAAGCACACUUUAAUUUGUAUGAACAAUGCAUAUAUACUCCCUCGGUUUUAUAUAUAAUGUUGCUUGUUGGUUUUGCAUAUUAUAUAUUGCACAAAUUUAAUCUACAUUAUUUCUUACUUUAUAUGUUUCAAAAAUAAUUGAUUAUUUUCAUAUUGUAAUUUUAAUUUUUUUAAUAUAUUUUACAUGAAACCUAUUAUUUUACUGUGUUUGCGUAAUAUUAAUAUUAAUAAAAAUAUUAUAUUCUUAAAAAAGUAAUUAAAAAAUAUAUAUUUUACAUUUUGGUAUCCAAAAACCGAUCAAAAUUAAACCGUAUAUAAUUGAAUCGGAUCAGUUUAAAAUUUUUAAUAUAGUCAUCCAAAUCGAAUUGAACCACAUGUGAUUAUCCAAUCAAACCGCACCGCGAGCACCCCUAUUUACUUAGUACUAUGUAUUCUCUUUAAUCUCAAAUAUAAGCAACAUAGGUGUGUUUGUUGAUAUUAAAUAUAAACAAAAAACAUUAUUCUUUAAAAAUGCAUUACUUUUUUUUUUAUCAAUUAUAAAACAUUAAAUGAUAUAUAUAUUUCUCACUCAUAUUCCCCCCCUCUCUCUAUCAUAUUUCCCCUCGCUCCAUCAUUUCCCUCUCUCUUCUCUUUUCGCCCUGCCUUCUAUAUAUUUUGGAGUUUCGGAGAAUUGGAUGCGACAAUAUGUCAAUGUUCUACGGCCGUAAAAGAGGACGACACAACAUCUCCAUCUAAAAAUUUAAGACGUUAAGAUACAAAUCGACUCUUUUAUAUUUACCUUUUUACAAACCAAAUGAAAGCUAAGACAUAUUUAUACCAUAAAUUUUGCUUCUACAUAUAUUUAUCAAAGAAAACUAAUAAUAGGAUAUAUGUGGAGUCAGUGUACACUUUUUCGAUUUUUCAAUCAUCAUUAAACAACACCAACAUAUAUAUAUACAUAAAAUAAUAUUUUCCUGAAUAAAUUAUUGUUAUUUUCUCUUUCAAAAAAUAUUAUUUUUUUCAUCCCCGAAUUUUAUAUAUUCAUGUAACUAUUUAGUAUGUGGAAUCCAACCAACAUAGCCCCACCGUUAACUGUCUCCUUCCAACAAGGGUGGGGGGAAAGUUUUUGUGUGCACGCAAAAUUUCUGACAAAUUUCAUAAUUUUUAAAAAACGUUACAUGAAAUAAUUGAUUGAGUAAUUAUUUCGGUGGUACCCUUGUCAUACAUAUACCUUUCAAGCAUUCAGAUUUUGCUACAAGAAGCUGCAAACAUGGAAAAAAUAGUACAUAGCAUAAAUGGUGAAAGAGGAGGAGCAACGCCAACCCAUGACUUGGUGUUGGUGUAGUACUAUAUGAUUGAUGAUCGACUAGAAACUUUUUCUCUCUGUUUAUCCCAUCCUGUACUUUGUGAUAAUGCUGACAUUUGUCCACAACUUUGUUGAUUAUGAUUAGUAUAUUCGCCGAUUAAGAUAGAGAAAUUAAUAUAUGUGUACGUACUACUCCAUCAUCACCCACAUCAAUUAAUGAACUACUAUGACAUUUCAUUGAGAAAAUGCUCUAGGUGGUGUGAUUUUACAGAUCUAUAACUCACAAAUAUUGAUAAAUCAUUUUCAUUGACUACGUACAUGUUAUUUUUAUUUUUUUUACUAAUUUACUUGUUAUCAUUUCAUGCGAUUCUCAUCAAAACAAUUAAACUUAAGUGGUUGAUGAGUUUUAUCAAUAAAGAAUUAUUCAAGAGAAAUUUAACUUUGAUUUUUGGAUGGAGUAGAUUCUGGCUAUAUUUAACCUAUCUUCGAGCUGAUUCUCCUGACUAUCGGAGAAUUAACAUAAAAAAAUAAAUGUGAUUUCCUCAAAAUACAUAUAGAAAUUAAAACCGUCUUUUUUUUGUUUUCCUAAACAAAAAUCAUAUAGAAAUCCUUUUUUUUUCCUACAAGGAAGACAAGUAUUGGCCUAAUUUGUAGAAGAUUACUGUUUCGUUUUUCUAAGGCUUGGUUUAGAUGGAGGGGAAAAGAUAGUUUUGUUGGGUGGAAAAUAUCGAGAGAAAUUGAGAAAUCAUUCAUAUUUUUUGAAAGAAUGUUUUUUUUAGAGAAUGAUAAACUAAUGAUAAUGAUUCAUAUAUUUUUAAUAUUAAGAAUAUUAUAACAAUAUGAAUUAAAUUUAAAAAAUUCACAUAAACCCUCCAAAAAUCUCAUUCAAUACAACUUUUAGUUCCACAAAUGAGGAGAGUUUUGUACUUAUAUAUGAAGAAAAAUUAACCCCCCAAAGCUCUCCUCUCUCAAUGUCCUCUUUUCUUCCACUUGCUUAUUCCUGUUUUUCAAAACAUUCAUUCCAUUCCGUUUUAAACUCGCAAACAAAGCCUAAUGGUUUUAUAGUAUUUUUUCUCUCUCUAAAUAAAAGUAGGGUAAUGCUAUCUAGGUGCCCCCGGGGCACUGGUUAAGAAGCAAUAAAUUCAUAGAUUCUACUUAUCUACCUUAAUAAAUUGAGAAAUAAUAAGUAACUAAUUAAAAUUAAUAAAAGUUGUGAUCAAUAUUCUCUAAAGGAUGCAGUUUUGUUUUGAAGAGGAUUUAAUUACACAUUUAAUGAAUUUGUAUUUGAUAUCUUAUUUGAAUGUGUUUUAUCUUUGGAAUUGCUAAUUUAUUUUGGACUUUAAAAUAUCUUGUCUUUGUUUAAUUAUUUCAACAACUUUUAAUUAAAAAAAUGAAAGAAGACAAUAUGCUGAGUAAAAUUCAAAGGAUGAAAAAAAAUGGUGCAAAAAAAAAUUCACAGGAAAAAACAAUACUGUUGUGAGGAUGAGGAAAAUUUAUAAGAAGAAUUAAAAUAAUAUUAUGUUUCUAUUUUACAGGAUAUAAAUUGGUCAACUCUCAAAAUUAUAUAAUAGUUGUGCAACAUGAAGAAUGACAGACAUAGGAAUAUUGAUAGAGGUAAAAAUCAUGUGGUGAUUAAAUGAGCUAGUGCUAUUUAAUUGUUUGACCAACUAUUUUUUUAUUUUAUUUUUUUGGUAAAUAACCUAUUAGUAGUAUUUUUGUUAGGCGUUAUAUUAUACUCCAUUCGGUCCUUUUUAUAAGAAACAAAAUAAUCAAAUUUUUUAAUCCUUUUUAUAAGAAACUUUGACCAAUUUUCAAAUGUAUUAGAAGUUAAAUGUCAUGUGUGUCCUUAUUUAAGAGAAUAUUAAAAGUAAGUAAAUUGUUGUAAUCAAAAUAAUUAAUAUAGGGGCAUUCAUGCAACGGUACUCGUUUGUGAAAAUAAUGAUUUUUUUUUUUGUUUUUGCACCGGUUUUCGACCCAUCAAAGGUGGGCGAUUAAUCUGACUCGUGCGUAGAGGCAUGUGCAUUGACCAAACAUUGUUACCCCUGGGAAUCGAACCCGAACUCGAUGAUGAUUGAUAAUAGUGACACUAAUUUUAAUACUAUUUCCAGUUGCUAUUAUAAAUUAUUAUUUUUUUAGAUUUAUUCAAUAAUGUAUUUAAUUUAUAUUAUAGUUUAAAUGUAUUAGUAAUUCAAUAAACCUAAAAAAAACUAUUCUUUUUUGUUUAUAAUAAUGCUUAGAAGAAGAGGAAAUCCCUAUUUUAAAUAUCCGUUUUAGAGGAAUCACUUUUAGUGGUGUGACCCUACCAAUUCUUACAUGUUUUGAAAAUUCAAAUAUUAAGAAAUUAAUUAAUCUAAUCUCAAACAAAAUUCACAACCUUAUUAUUAGGAUAUGCAAUGAAAAUUACUCUUCUGUUCUCUAAAUAAGGCAUUUGAAUGUUACGUAGCGAUUAGUUCAGGAGAUAACUCAUAUCUAAGAGGUAAUUUAUGAAUAAAUAGUAUGUGAAUAGGAGCCCGGUCCCUAACAUUUAUUUUCCUUUAUAUAAUUAUAUCAUAUAUUUUUUAUAAAUGAUGGAUAACACAUGCAUUAAUUAUGACGAUUGACAUCUCAGCUAUCGCCGCCUCAGUCACCAUAAUAUUAUAAUCAGUGGCGGAGUCAGGAUUAUUGUAAAGCCCGGGCAAAAAAAAAAUCAACACAUUUAUAGGGGUUUACAUAAGAAAUUGCAAGCAAAUAAUAAAAAAAUCUAAAAAAAUUGCCCAAUUUAUAGGGGUUUAUAUAAGAAAUUCAUAGGAAUUUACAUAAGAAAUUGAAAAAAAUUUGGGCCGGAGCCCGGGCGAGUGCCCGGGGUCGCCGGGCCAUAGAACCGCCCAUGAUCAUAAUAGUAUAAAAUACACUUCCCUCAAUAGAAUGAUAUGUUACUUAUAAAAAAUCACACAAGAUCAAAUUUGAUGUCGCAAGUAUGAAACUUUCAUGAUGACAAUCAUAUUAUAUUAUGAAAUCUAAAUACAAAUUAAGAUUAGCUUUAAUUUAAAACACCAAAAAGCAUCCUAAAAAAAAAUAAUAAUAAAUAGUCUCUUGCAAAGGAGUAGAGAUUUUGUUUUUUACGUGUUGCUUCUCUGAUUUACAUUUUAAUUAUAAGUUUAGCAUUUUGGCCAAUGUUGGGGGUGGGAAAAUGAAAGCACUUGGCUAUGAAAAAGAAAUGUUGUUGAGUUAUAAAAUAAAGAGAGUUACUUUUCCCACCCUAUUUCCUUCUCGCACGCCCUGCAAAAUUUCCAAAAAUACCCCUUGUUCGGAUUAUAUAAUCCGGACCCGAUUGUUAGUGUUUCCGGAAAACGAAAUCCGGACCAGAUGUUAUGUGAUUUUUUGUGUCUUUCUUAGAUGUCAAGGGUCUCUGUUGACCGUUAUAUGAACCUCACACAAGCUGCAAUGCAAUUGCAGGAUUCAUAUGAACGGUCAACAAUGACGAUGACACCACCGACACCUCUAAAAAACUAAAAACAUUUGAAGAAAACGGAAGAAAAGAGGUGAAGUGAAGAAUGAAGGUAUUUGUUGAAGAUGAAAGCCUAUUUAUAGCCUAAAACAAGUCAUAGAUCAUUAAUACAUUCAAUGAAAACGUGUUAGUGGUAGUAACCGUCCAAACCCACAUUAAUGGCUCUCUUUCAAAAGAAUCCAAUGUUGAAGCUUUCCGGAUUUUACAUUCUGGAACGUCCUUAGCCCUACAAGAAGUACCAACUUUUCCCUCGUUCACUAUUAUCGCAUUAAUCCGGAAAAUAUACUCCGGAAAACAGAUGUGCAUUCCGGAUUUUAUAUUCCGGAAUGCAUCAGUCAUGGCCGGAAUGCACCACACGUUUUUGUCGGUGGUCAAGUCAAAAAAACGCGUUUUACCACGUUUUUUGACUGCAUUUAUGAUCUCCUAACCGUUUUUGACUCACCCCUCCCUAUAAAUAGCCUUCCAAACCCCACCAUUUCUCACACCAUCCCCUCCCACCCUCUCCUCCUAUUCUUCCUUCUACAACGAUGGUUUUCCAUCGUUGGCCUUUCAUAGAUAAGGGCCUCGUGGAAAACUUUCAGGGUUUGUAUGAACGGUCAAUGAGGAUGGAACUGCGCUGCAAUGAAGUGCGGCUCAUAUGAGGGUCAUGCGGGUUAGUGUGGUUCUUAGCUUGGCCUGUCUGGGCGUAAGUUUGAGCACCCCUACCUCCUUCAGGGGCAUUGUUCUCUUCUUCCCGCCCUCCUCUUCCCUCCUCCUCCGGUUGACCUCCAAUAGGGAAACUACUGAUAUGUCCUAUCACAUAGCAGUGGUUAGACUCUUAGGAGAUUAGAAUUAGGCUCUUAGGAGAUUAGAAAUAGAUUUAGGAUCUUAUGUAAUAAGCUUAAAAAGCUUGAAAAUUAUUGUAAUGUAUUUUUCAUAUAUUAAUAAAAUGAGUUGUUUUAUGUUUGUGUCUUUUUAUUUCUGUUUUUUAUUUUAUUUGCAUUUUAUUUUACGAUUUGUAAAGCUUAAAAUUGUAAAAGUUAUGGAAAAACACUAUUUCAGAUACAUCUACAAAAUUCUAACAAUGCAAUCCGGAAAGCAAAAUCCGGACCAGGGAUAAAAUUGGAAAAACAAUAGGGCGCGCGAGGAAAGAUAUAGGGUGGAAAAAGUAAAUCUCUAAAAUAAAAAGGAUGAAAGGCUGAUGGGCUGAAGUCUUACAAAUAGUUGAGCCCUCUUUGCGAUUUGUACUAUAUAUACUUUCUAGAAAACAAAGGUUUCUAUAUACACCUCCACAUAUAAAACAAAAUUUUGGACUCCCUACGAACAUGGGCUCUAGGCCGCCGCAUCCCAACCUAUGCCUUGGGACAUCCCUGGUGAAUAGCCUCAUGAACAAUAACACUUCAAAUUGACAAACACAAACAGUUUUUUUUUUUUUUUUUUUUAACAUUAAAGAUAGAACAUAAUUCAACAAUUAUAGUAUGUAGUCAAAUCCCUAUGGACAAUGCAUAAAAUAUGCAAGGUCUGGGGUUCGAACUCUGACUACCACAAAAAAUGCAAAUUCUAUGGUACACCUAAAAAUUUGAGUGUACCAGUACACUAAUUGGCUAAAUUAAUAAUUAAAUAAGUUGUUUUUUUUUAAGAAAAAUAAUUACUGUUUAUCAUUGACAAUUAUAAUAAUUAAAUCUUAUUUAUCAAAAGCUUCAACGAAAUAAAAUUUAUUUUUUUUUUAAUUUUUAUUACUCAUAAUAAAGAAUAUUGAUUAUUUUUUAUGAGAAAAUGUUUAAAAUUCAAUAUGAUUCUUAUAAACAAUGAAAUGAUGUUUUCUAAAAUAUAAAUAUUGACAAAUAACUUUUUAUUUCAUAAAAUGAUCGUUAAUUUAUAAAUUUAUUGAACGAGAGCACCUUUAUGAGGUGUACUGUAAAAGUUUAAAAAAAAAAAAUCCCUUCAACCUCAAAGAUUUGCUUAAAACAAUCGCACAUACUUAAAACAAUUAAACUAUAGUUUGUUAAACACUUCUGGCCUAGUAUGGUCAACCCUUUUGAGAACUCACGCCACUACCGGGCAGAUUACAGUUUUUACAAAGUUCUUUAAAAUAGUGUUUACUUGGUCUUUCUAAAACAAUUCUUCUAACAAUGGUCAUUCAAAUGUUUUUUAUUAGAUUUUUUUCUUUGUUUUUAAAUCAACUCAUGCGUACAUUUUAAAUUUUUAAAUGACUUUUCGCAAGCAUGUUUAUAACAUAUAAAGUAUCUCUUCCACGAAAAUUAAGAAUUUUUUUUAUUAUCACAAGAUGAAUUAAAUAUGAAUUUUUAAGAACCAAAAUCAUAAAAGUUCAUAUCUAAUUCACCUCUUGUUAAAAAAAAAAUUAUGGGAGAAAUUUUUAUAAUGUACUAAACAUAAUUCCAAAAAAAAGUUCAGAAUUUUGAAGGAUACCCAUGUCGUAAAAGCAAGGACACAAAAUGUUGGUCGAAAACAUUUGAAUGACCAUUAUUUGAAGAACUUUUUUAAAGGAACUAAAAAACAAAAUAUGUAUAUUUAUUGGGAUAAACAUUUUGAUUAACCCUUUAAAAUACAAAGGUUUACUCUCAAAGAGAGGAUAUAAAAAUAAUUUCAAAUACAAUUGGAAAUAACUUUCAAACGAAAGGAUUUAGGUAUUCACUUUCGUUCAAUGUUUCCUAGACUUCUCUCUUUUUUAUAUCUUGCAUUUAAGAUAUUUGAACUUGAAAUACAAUAGUGCCUAAAAUGGUGAUGAGAUUUCUCUAUAUUUUUUAGUCUUCUUGUGUGAUAGAGUGACUUCUUCGAUGGUGAAGUAUAAAAUGAACCUAUAAAAAUAUUGGUCUAUGAUGGACCAAUUUUUUGUACCAUUAGAUCAUAUGAAUCCACCAAAUUUUAUCAUGGUCUAUAAACACCAAAUCUCACCCAUCUUCUCCAUAACUCUCAUUUAAUCUCUCUACUUUUUUUUUUGUCACAUAUUUUUUUUUCAUUUAGCAAUACAAGUAGUCUUUUUCUUCCCUAAAAAAAAAAGUAGUCUUUUUUUUACGGCACUUUGUAUUAAUCGAGUUUUUAAGUAAUACAUGAAUUAAUUUAUUUUGUUUUGAAGGGAUAUGAAUUAAAUUUCUUAAAAAAAUAAGUAACAUGAAUUAAAUAAGUAUUCAAUUGGUUUUUUUUUUUACGAAAAAAAAGUCUAGUUGUUGUUGCUUAUGUUAUUAAAUAACUUCUUUUUGAAUUGUUGUUGUUGUUGUUCUUCUUCUUUCUUUAAUAUUUUUGUUUUAAUCUUAUGGGUUUCUUAUUUUUUGUUUUGUUUUUAAAAUAAAAUUGUAUACUUAAAUAUUAAUGAAAAAAAUCUGAUACACGUAAAAUAAAUCUUAAAACUGAAAUAUUAUAAAAAAAAACUGAUAAUGAUUUAUUUAAUUGAAAUGAAAUAUAAAAAUUGAAAUGAAUUAAAUUAAAAAUAUAAUUUAAUCAAAAGAAAUUAAUUAAGUAUUUUGACCAAAAAAUUUAAAAAUUAAUUUAUUAAUAUGUAAAAUAUAUAUUAAAUUGAUUAAUUUAAAUUAUUAAAUAUCUUAAAUAUUAAUUGAUUUAUAUUUUAUUAUGAAUUACGAAUGUUCUUUUAUGUUAUUUACAUUUCAUUAUGUAUUGAUGGAUUGUAUUUGGUGUGGAUGGACCAUGAUAAGAAUUGAUUGUUGAUUCAAUCUAAAGGUUAAAAAAAUUGGUCCAUCUUAGACCAAAACUUCAUGGGUCCAAGUUAAAUGGCACCUUCUUCGAUAUAUAAACUUCCUUUUUUACUAUAUAAAAUGGAGAUAGUUAAUAACCAUUGGUAGAAGCUUCCUUAAAAAAAAAAACCAUUGGUAGAAGCUGAUUGUUGAUGAACAUCGGGAAUCCUUAAUGUCUCGAAUAUAUUUUUGCUGCACUACUACAUACUCCAUUGAAGUUACUUAAAGAUAGGUGGUGUAUGGUUGAUUUAUGUCACUCCACACCUUAUCAUUUCACAUCCUUGUCCUUUUAAUUCUGUUCUUUAAGCCCAUUUGAUGUGUAGUCCUUAAAUGAAUCAAGAUUGGACUUAGGGAGUUGAGAUGAAGAUGCUCACAUUAGACACAAAGUUUUGAAUUAUGGUAAGUGAAAACAGAUGAUUUAAAUGCGUGAAACUCCACUAAAUUAUGUAUAUGCUUUAUAAUAUGUCUUUAUUUUUAAAGUAAACAUAUACAUCAGAACGUGUUUCUCCAUCAGAGCGCUUUCAGACAAUCUUCAGGAUGUUAGUUAAAUUACUUUACAAGAGUGUGCUAUUAGAGGAUCACUUUAAUUCUCAUAAUUUUUUAGGUAGAUUUUGACAUGCACACUUAACACACAUUUUUAAAAUAUGAAAUAUUCAAAUUAUAUACAAUUUUUACCAUUACCAAUUUUUUUUUUUAAUAUUUAUAUAUACGAUUACUAUUUUUAUCCCUAAGUAUAAAACCUCUUAAGUUUUUUGUCCUUUUUUAUAUAUAAGAUCUCCUUUAAAUUUUCAACUUUAUUAAUAUACCACAAAUUAAUUUACAAUUUAUCCGAUUGGUGGAUUUAACUACGAGUAUUCCACCAAAGUAUGGAUUUAACUCACACUAUCGAUAUGCAUAUUUUGUUGAUGAAUAAUCUAUAAACAGAUGUGUCGUGUUCGACACUAUCAAUAUUAAAAUUUUCUCUUAGAGCAUCUACAAUUGAGACCCUUAACUUUAAGGUCAUAAAUGGGUCCACAUGGACACAUUAUUUUUUAAUAAUUCUUUAAUAAUAGUACUUAAUAGGUACUUAACCACUCCAAUUGAGAUCCUCUAACAAAAGGUCUAAUAGGGUCCCACAAAUAUUAUUUAAUAGCCAUGAAAAUUAUUAUUUUAAUAAAAAGUGAUGUGGGUCCACUUAAAAUGAGGUUUUAAGUUAGACCUUAGAUGGUGAAGACCUCACCAUUGUAGAUGUUCUUAGGAGUCAAAUAUCCAAACCCUCUAAACAUUUUUUUAAUACAAAAAAACUGAGAUUUGAACCAAAAUCUUAUCAAAGUGUUGAACAACUAUUAUUAUUUCUUUAUGAUGAUGAUUAUGAUACAUGAAGUGGCAAGGUAGAUCACAAAUGGAAUUUGUCGGGUCUAUUAUAAACCUUAGUUGGCAACAAGACACAGAAGAGUAAAGAGAAUGUAAAAGGAAAAUGCAACAAGUACUGGUGAAAAAAGGUGAAAUUAAAAAAAAAAACAUCAUGUGUCAUGUCACAUGUGUGUUUUGUUGAUUGAUGUACUCUAAAUUUUCCAAGCUCAGAAAAGUCAAGCACACCACAAAUCGCGAUCUAUCAAAUUCAAAUCCACUUAGAUGAACAUAAACUCGUUUUUAUUUAUUUUUCAAUAAUCUUAAAAACAUCUACAAGAAACACAGUUUCCAACAAAUAAACACAUACAAUGUUUCGUUACAUCUUAGUUUUGUUAUUGUUAUUGUUAGUAUCAUCCUACGAUGUUUAUUCACAUGAGGAGUCGGGUCCAUGGAGCUGUGAAACCGGGUCAGAGAUUCACGUUGAGUCCGAAUUUCAACCCGGUGUUAUUACACUUGAUGGUCAUGCCGAUGAUUGGAAGGACAUUGAUGGGUCCCACUUUUCUCUUCUUCUUGCUCUCGACCCUGAUGCUGAAAAUGAAUUUAAUGGCGGAAAAAUGACCGUGAAGGUAGUAUUCACUUUUUUUUUUCCUUUUGUUAUUCACAUUUGAGUAUUUAUCUGUUUAUCUUCUUACCAUGGUGUUUGUUGUUUUGUUGCAGAGUGUGCAUGAUGGCCGUGAUAUUUUCUUUUUGUUGCAAGUUGAUGGUGAUUAUGCCUACUCUAAUGGGUAAGAUGUGUGUGUCAUGCAGAGAAAACUGAAUCUAGUUCUAAUCCAUGAGUUUGAUUUAUUGAGCUUAGUUAGUGAUAGUUUAGUUUAAGUUUGAUUUUUCGGUAAUCAUGUUAUCCGUGUGAAGUAUACACCGAUUUGAUGACUAAUCUUUGUCGGGAAACUCCUUACUGGCCACCUUUCGUGGGGUCUUCCCGCUUAACCACGUUUUUUCUAUCCACAAGUUUCGAACUUGUGACCUUGCUUUAGGGAUCCGAGUCCAGUAUUGGGUUCAAGAGUGAUUAGUCUCACAUCGAUUAUGAGUGAUAAAAAUGUUGGAUAUAUAAAGAGGUGACCGGUAUAUUUAGUGUCUUAAGAUUUUGGGAAGAGAUGUUGCGUCUUUCUUGUGGUCUUGGAGCAUUAACCCGUUGCUACCGACUCCCAAUAAUAUUCGUUGUUGAUAAGCGUCUCAAUGAUUGAUAUUGUUUGGUUAUUCAUAACAAAUCACGAGUGGUUAAAAUAUCAACUCUUGAUUUUCUCACUUUGCUAAUUAAUCAUUACUCAUUUUAGCAUAAUCAAUUUUGUUUCGUUCUACUCGGAUCAAUAUAAUAGUGGUUUGAACUUUAAGUUGUUUGAUUACUGAAUUAGCUUGAUUUAUUUAUGUUGACAACGUUAUAAGUAAUGAUAUUUUUGUUGAGGGUCCAACAUGAUGGGAUAUAAGAUUAGAUAUAUAGACAAAAAAACAAAAUAUAACUUUCUCAUAUUACUAUAUGAUACACUUUUAAUAAGUUGGUGCAUUUUUUGUUUUUGUGAUGAUGCAGUGAAAGCAAGAAAUGUCCCUCUGUUGCACUCAUGUUUCAAAUUGGGGAUGGUGCCUCUUAUCAUAAUGUAAGUUGGUGUACUCAACAACGUAUUCUCUAAGGGUCUAUUUGGGAGUUUGGAUGGUAGGGGACGAGAGGGUUUUGGGGGGAGGGGUGUAGAGAGAUAAAUCUUUCACCUUUUUAGAGAGUGUUUUUGUAGAUUAAUAUAUUUUUAAUUUUGUGAUUAAAAUAACAACAUAGAUUGGAUUUGAAGAAUUUACCUAAGUCCUCCAAAACCUUCAAAUAUCCUCCUUCAAUACAUUUUGAGUUCCCUCAAAUUAGGGGGAUUUUGUAUUAUGAAGAAUAAAACUCCCUAAAGCUCCCCCCUCCCAAAUCCCUUCAUACCUUACACUUUCUCCUUCCUUUUUCUCAAAUCCCCCCCUCCUCUCCCCCUCCUAAACUUCAUCGCUUCAUGUUUUUCAAAUCCUAAGGGGCAUUUGGAUAAACAACUUAGGGCCUGUUUGGAUGGACGUAUUUGAGUCUAUCUAAUGACAUAAACACUUGUGACUGUUUGAGAGAGCUUAUGGAAAUAACUUAUGAUAUGUCCAUCAGUUGUUUUUAGCUUAUUUUCAUAAGUUCUUCAAGAUAACUUAUGAAAACAGUUUAAAGCUUAUAUAUGAAAACAUUUUGACUUUAUUUAAUCUUUUGGUAUAGAAAUAGCUUAUAUGAUAAAAGAUUAUGAUAUAACUACUUAAUUAAGUUGUUUACCUAAAAAGAAACUUAACUAAAUACUUCCAAAAAGUGCUUAUGGUAAUCAUAUUUUUGUAUAAUCUGUUUUAGGAAUGUAAGAAAACUUCGUAAAAGCUUUAUAUAAAGUGUUUUUAUAUGUUAUUAUGAGGAGCUUAUGAGAAUAAUUUGAAACAAUUUAUUGACAUAUCACAAGUUCUUUUGAACACUUAUUAUGUAAGUGUUUUUGUAAUAUGAUUGACCUAAAUAAGUUAUUGUAAAGUCAUCACUAAUCCUGAUUUUUAUGUAAGAUCUCUAUGAAUCGUGAUUGAUAAAAAAUUCUGUUAAUUGUUGUAAGAUGGGUGGCUGUGAGGAACAUUCAACCUCGUGCACAAAUAAGACCUGCAAAGGUCAUGAAGUUGACAUUAUGCACUUUUCAAUUGGAAAUGCUAUUCCGGGACGGCUUUAUGGCGGGAAUCCCAUUGACAAUAGGGAUGGGAAUGGCGGUGACAGGUGAUUAAUAUAAAAGCUCCUUAACUUUAACCACAUCGGCCGACAAUUUAUGAUGACUAUAGUGGAGCUAUUUUUCAUGAGAUGUGUUCAUUCAGUUUCCUAUAAUCGUCCAUACAGGUUUGGCCAUUUGGUUGAUCUUUAUGCCUGGAAUCCACACUGCAGAUACUUGGAUGGAACUGGUCCUUCAGGUUCUGGUAUGCACAAAUGUAACAUCUUUAGUUGGAAUUGUAUGUUUAUAUGAUUAAAAUAAAAAAGGAGAAUGAAUGAGAUUAAAACAGCUAGUGGAAGUAUCUGCGGGUUCAAUCCAUGAAAAGUUGCUCAACUUUUCCAUCAAGUAGUUUGCUUCAUGGUUUGAAAGUUCAUGCUCCUUUUUAACCCUCUCUUUAAUGACAACAUUAAAGAGAGGGUUGGAGUAGCACCUAUCAUAGAAAAGAUGGUGGAAACUCGGCUUAGGUGGUUUGGGCAUGUAGAGAGAACACUAGUAGAUUCUCUAGCGAGGAGAGUAGAUUAGAUGGAGGGUAGUCAAAUCAUUAGAGGCAGAAGAAGACCUAGAAAAACUAUAAGAGAAAUUAUUAAGAAAGAUCUAGCGAUUAAUGGGUUGGAUAGAUAUAUGGUAUAUGAUAGAACAUUAUGGCGUCGUUUGAUCCAUGUAGCCGACCCCACUUAGUGGGAAAAUGCUUGGUUGCUGUUGUUGAUAUCUUUUACAUGCUUCAGCCAUAUAAGAAGCAAUGACAUAUUGUUUUAAACCUUGCAUGCGGAUGUCAAUUAUUUUAUUCCUUUAGCUUAGCCAUGUCAAAUCAAGGUUUGCGUUUGAUAUAAAUCUUUUCUAAGUUUACAUUAUAAUAAAGUUCAUUUACAAAAAAGUUGAAUAAAUUAUGUUUGCCCUACACACCCAAUUUAAAAUUUGUGCCACUUCACAAGAUGAGAGUGGAUCCCAAAAUGAUUAUGCAGUGAUUGGAUUUGAGCAUGAGCAUGAUGUAUUAAGUUACUUUAAGAUUGCUUCUUCCACAUUGGAGGAAAGGAAGAAUUAAUUAAGGCAUCGGUAUAGAAAGGGACAAAUAGAUGGAGGGAUUAUGCAUAUUCUAUGCUAAGAUUACACAGACAAUUUAUUAGUGCCUAACUUGGAUAAAUAAGAUAAGCCGAUAAUUAUGUUAGAAAAUGACAUACAGAAGAUCGACAAACACAUUUGUUGGGACCACAAACCAGGAUUCUCAACAUAAGAAGUAUUUCAUCAUCAUAAUUGCUUUUUUCAUCAAUUCCUUUAUUUGUCUCAAUGGGAUUUUUGCAAUCACUUCGUUCUGUUUGUGGUCAAAAUGUGGCGUUUCUGCACAAAAUUGGAAGCCUCGUUAUGCCCAACCAGAUUGUGUCCUUUUCUUUAUCUUUGCAAAACAUCAUUUCAUUGGGCAACUUUUAAGUUUGAUCCCAAUGUGAAUAAUGAAUUUACAUAUGUAGAUUUUGUGCAUAAAGUUGUUGGACAUGUUGUAGCGCUAUUAAUGUUUAUGAAUUGGGAAUUCUACAAAUAUCCCAUUGUUUCAUACUUUCAUAUGAUUUGAAGUGGGGUGAUGAUAAUGUCUCUUUUCAAAGAUUUAGAGACUUUCUAAAGAAGAUAUGUCUCACAUUGUGACCAUACAAUUGGAUAUAUAAGCUAUAACCUAUAACCCUACAAUGUGGGUUAAACAUCUAAUAUUUUCUCCAAUUCCCUUCAUUUGUUGAUAACUUCCUAGGCUGUUGUCUAAUUUUUAUUUUAGGGAUAUACAUUAAGCAUUGGACCUCUUUCUGUUUUCAGUUAAUGAUUCUAGUGCACAGAAUGACUGGAAAGGUGCUUGGUGGCAUAGCAGCUUUACAGUUCACUCAGGUAAUCCUUUUACUGUUCAAAAAGAAAAGUAAAAUGUCCUAUCAAUUAACUAUCGUCCGAAGCUGAUUUUAGACUGAAAUAUUGGUUGGUAGUGGAAUGAAUCCCGAAAUCUCUCCAUAUAAUUAGCUAAACAAUCAUGUAAUCAUUUAUUUAUCUCAAAUAUGAUUUCACAUCCGAUUCUUAACGAUAUUCAUACCAAAGAAAUAUCUUCCAACGUAAUGUAGUUGCUACUAAUAGCGUCAAAGAUAAUUUGAAAAGUAAAUAUACCAAUAUAUGUACAAUAUGUUUUCUGGUAUUCACCAACUUUUUAAAUACCACUUUGCUGGGGUGGAGGAUGUUUGUUUUUUUGGGGUGAGUUCAUAACAUUAUUUUUUUAAUUUUUUUAUGGAAAUAGAUGUUUUCAAACUUUCUUCUUAUAAAUAUAAUAAUUAAUACAUAAUGUUAUUUUAGAAAGAAAUAAAUGCAUAAUAUGUAUAUAUAUUAUUAAGUAAAAAACUGAAAAUAUAAACCAUGAAUUGAAUGUUAUGCAUAUAGUAUGACAUAGAGCAUGUCCAUAAUACAUCAUUUAUGUCCUCGGGAAAUAUAUCGGCGGCAAUUUUUCAUGUGUAAUUGUUGAAAUUUGAGGCCUAACUCAUCCUUACAAAACCGGUUCUUAAGGUGAGGAGUGCCUCCACUUUAUAAACUUUUAUCAAGAGUCUUAUCGAUCUGAUGUGGGACUUGGGGUUUUUCCCAAUACACCCCCCUCACGUCCAGCACUCUUUGGGCUUGGUGCGUGGAUAGGUAGGUGGCCCUUGAAUUCGACAAGCUCUGAUACCAUGUUGAAAUUUGAGGCCUAACGCAUCCUUACAAAACCGGUUCUUAAGGUGAGGAGUGCCUCCUCUUUAUAAACUUUUAUCAAGAGUCUUAUCUAUCUGAUGUGGGACUUGGGUUUUUCCCAAUAGUAAUUACCUGCUGCUUUCAAUAAUUUAUAAUAUAAUUAGUGCUGUUCCAACUAGGUAGGUUAAUGUAAUUCCCACUAAGGGCCAAAAGUUUAGUGAUCCAUAAAAGAAGGAUGACGACUGGUUUGUUUCUUAUGGAUUCAUUUAUCCACAAUAUUUUCCUUUUAUAAUUAAUUUAGAAAAACCCAUUUUUUCAUCCUUGAUGGAUAUUGAGUCUCUCAAUGCUUCAAAGUAUCAUAAAUUAAAACAGUCUUUGUUGGAUUGAAGGAGAAUCUAAUACUGGGCUAACUUUCACUCCACUCCAAUAGAAUGGGGAAAUGAGCUGAAGUAGAUAGUGUAAGGGAGCUCUAAUUUUGCAUUAUUUAGAGACUAUAACGAUGAUGUUUUACAUUAUUUAAAGACUAAAUUGAUGUGAAAAAUACUUGGUGAGCCAAAAUGAAUGAACUCUGUAUUAUUAAGGGAGUAAAUUGAUGACCAAAUCCUUGUUAUUACUAAAUUGACGAUACAUGUAUGUGGAGGACAAAAGUAAGGGUUUUUUCUAUUUUUUAUGUUAAAGCAUAUUAUGGAUUCUGUUGCAAGUUGCAACCCGAUAUAUGAUAUUAAAAUUGGCCUUAGUCGGAGCACCUUAAAUAUGAGCUUUCUGCAUUGUUCUACCCUAUCAUUUAGUUAUUCUGGAUCAUUUUGCUGUAAACUACUACUCACAUGUUUCUCUAAUAACAGGUUUUGUAAAGGAUGAGAACCCUUAUGCAGAAAAUGGAAAAAAGGGCACAUAUUUUUUUGAAUUCUCUAGGCCUUUGAGGACUAUGGAUCAUCUGCAACAGGUUAGAAGUUAGAAACCUUUAUGAUGCAUUUUGAAGAGUUUUAUUUGUUUAGAGAUUACGUUGAUCUUUCCUCUUAUGUUUGAAUCCCUAUUUUGAAUUAACUGAGUUCUUGGUCUGUCAAAUUCUUCUAUAUAACACGUGGACUACAUAUGAACUUCAUUAUUUAUUAAUCAUAAUGAAUUCUGGCAUAGAGUGCCCCAAGUCACAUAAUAAACUACAAUUUUGUAUUUCUGAUAUUAUGGAUCUAUGCUAUUUUGUCGAACAGUUUUGGGCUUUUGGCUUUGGAUAAGAUAUCUUCUACCGGUUUGUUUUGCAAUACCUUCUUUACAAAGGAAACUUGCCUUCAUAAGAAAUAUUUCUCCGCCAUGCCCAAUAGCUAAAACUAACAAACUUUAAAGUGCCGUCUUUUUUAGUUUUAGUUUAGGUUUAAAUAUGACUUUAGUCCUUGCACUUUCAUCAGAUUUUGGCAUUGGUCCCUACACUUUUUUUUGUUUGGAAUUGGUCCCUGCACUUUGUAAAAAUAUUGGUAUUGGUCCCUCUAUUAACUUUCUGUUAAAAAAAAAACACAAAACUAUUGGUAUCGGUCCCUGCACUUUGUAAAAAUAUUGGUAUUGGUCCCUGCACUUUGUAAAAAUAUUGAUAUUGGUGUCACGUGGCGUGAAAUGAUUGGGCCACGUGGCACUCCGUUGGUUUUGUGUUUUUUUUUUUAACAGAAAGUUAACGGACCAAUACCAAUAUUUUUACGAAGUGCAGGGACCAAUGCCAAACAAAAAAAAAGUGCAGGGACCAAUGUCAAAAUCUGAUGAAAGUGCAGGGACCAAUGACACAUUUAAAACUAGUUUUUAUUUUUGUGAUAGUUGAAGUGGAGGGAAUAAAUCAUAAAGUUCUUCUCAAAUAUAAUGUUUAUGUUUCAACCUAAUUCUUCAUAUGCAAAGAUUCAUUUUAUAGCUUUGUGAGAACUCAAAACCAACACAUGAUGCAAACACGCAUGAAUGUCAUUUAUGCGAUAACAAACAAUUAAAAUCAUGCAAAUUUAUACCUUACAGGAUGUGCAAUUCACCAUUGGCGGAACAAGCAAGAUGUCUGUCGGAUUCUGGUAUCCAGUAGACGGUAAGCCAUGGCGCGGUUCCGGACACUACUCUGUCAACUGUGAUUGGGUUCCAAUUGAUAUAUCUCAGAGCAGUUCAUUGAGUGGCAAGUCAGUGGAGACAGCAUCAAGUAGCUCAUGGAAUUUUGCAAGUGCAUUUUCGCUUAUACUUUCAGUAGCAGCACUUUGUGUGUCUGUGUUUGUGAGCUAUCGGGUUUUACACCCCAAGAGUGUAGCCUUUACUCCUAUGGAGAACCUUUAAAUAGUGUAUCAAACAGCUUGAGUUUGGGAUUGUACUAUUCAUUUACGAUUGUACUAUAUAGGUUUGUAGUUUGUACUGUUUAGUGCUUUCUCUUGCCCUAUUUUUUAAUUCUAUUUGAAGUAUUACUUUAGUUAUUUUAGUUAGUGUCAGAAAAGUGUUGGUUCAAUAGUCCAAGUAUAAUGGAGUUCCAUCUUGUGCUUAGUUGUUGCAACGUGCAAUUUCCUUUCACAGGGGGCUAUUUUUCUUUUCUAAAAAACUGGAGUAUACUAAUAUGACAUUGUCAACUCAUAAGUGUUUCAAUAAUUGAACAUUUCACAUUUUGCAAAUUAGAGAAGAAAAUGAUACAUUGGAUGAAAUGAAACUAAUUAUCUCAUUCUAUUUAUUCUUGCUUGAAGCAAUCAAUAAAUAGUUUUCAAUUUCUUCUUAUUCUAUUCGAUUCCUUUUCAACUAUACUUUUAUCGUUUUGUUUUAAUCUUUCAAAUUAAGGGAGGGGCGCCCUAGUAAUAUUCAGCUUUUUUUAUUGACACUAAAAUAACAUAAAAACAACUGAUAUAAAUAUAUAAAUUAAUUAGGGGUGGUUGCCUCUGUAAUUGGCUAAUUGAUAUAUUUGAUAUUUUUGUUAAGUCUCUGGUAAUCUGGAGUUCGACCGUGUGAUAAGGAUAGACCGAUCAAAAAUUGUUCCAUUCAAGAAUUGAAUUCGGUGAUUUAUCAUUUGGUGGAACUUGCUAACCACUUAUGUUCAAUCGUUUGGUUUGUUUUAUUUAUAUUUUAGCAAUGAAUAAUUUAUACUUCAUGCAUAAAUAAUGGUUCUUAAAAGUUAAAAGCAAAAGGAAAAAGUUUCCAUCAAACGAACAUGUGGAGAGAAUCAAUCAAAGAAAAUGUUAAGGGUUGAUGUUAUGAUAUUGUCUUUGUGAGUAAAUUGUGAAACCUUCUCCAAAGGUAACGUUAAUGUCAAUUCAAAUCACUUUCUCCCUUUCAAAAUGAUGAAUCAAACACGACGAUUGAUAAAAUCUGUCUCACUCAUAUUUUUUUGGUUUCUCAACAUAUCUGCUACCGACUAAUCUCUUUAAAAUCUAGAGUACAUUUACAGAUUGUCUCCUUUUUGGUUUAGUAACAAAAAAAUCGCUUGAUACAAAAGACUUGUGGAAAUUGUGACAGUUAGAGUGCGAGUUUUCAAUGCCAUUUGUGAAGUAUAGAGUUGAGCCAAACAUUAUAGGAAAAUAAGUAGGGCAUACUAAAUAAAUUUUGUUAAGUACUCCUAACCCUGUUGAGUUGUUAUAAUCUUCAUAAAUUAAAAGGAUUUGGGACUUGCUAACAAAUGACCAGAAGAUAUUGUUUAAGGAUUCCAUACGAAACAUGUAUUUGUUAAAUAGUUAAGUAUGUACAUUAUCUCCUUUCAAUCUAUUAAAUAUACAUGUAAUCGGAGUUGAGUAGCAAAACUUGUUUGAGUUAAGAGUUAAAGGAGUUGGAGAACUUGAGUUCAAACUCGUGAAGUAGAAAGUAACAACUAACAUUUGUAUAUCCAAAAAAAAAUUACACAUUCCAUGUAAACAAAAAAUACCAAUGUAAUUCACCAAAAAAUAACAAUAUAAACCAAGUUUACAUCGACAUCCAAUAAAAAUCCAUUAUUUUGCUUCAUCGUAAAUUUUUGACAAAUGUUUCUGAAAUUUGUAAUAUGAAAUGGAAAAAUAGAUGUUUCUAAUUGGAUGUAAGUUAGUUCACGGUAAAGAAAGAGAGAAAAGGAAUGUAAAUUGUAUUCAAAUGCAAUGAAAAGGAGAGAAAAACUCAAUGCAAGAUUACCAAAGCUAAGGCUCAUCAGAAUGGAGAAAACAAUUCUGUCUCUGCCUACAACUAAGGGUCCUAACAGAAUAAUGAUGACAUGAGUGUUCCAAUAUUCAACCUACACCAUUCUUAUUGGAAAAUCAUAACUAAUUGGCCAGAUGCCCACCUUAACACUAUCUCACCUUUUCUUUUCUUCCUCCUCUCAUAGACUAUCCAUAUUUUGCGCCUAUCCUGCCUUAAGCCCACAAGAACAUUCCCUCCUAUUGGACUGAGCUCAUGCAGCACUCUAACAAUGCAAGUGUAAAACUAGUUUCCAUCGACAGUUUGUCUUUUUUAAAAUUCAACUUAUAAUCAUCAUAGCAAACAAAACAACUAGACUAACCUUUCAAUUCUGAAAGAAUUUGUAAAACCAGUACUUAUCUUAAGGAAGAAAAAAAAAAAAAUCAAUCCUGAUUGUCAAACCAUCACUAGCUCGGAAUUAACAGUACCUACAUAUGAUACACUCGUGAUUGUUUUUUUAAUGAUGGGUGUGGUGUAUUCAUGGUGAACAUCAGCUCCCAAGUUACAAGUUCUCGUGCGCUUGGUUGACAUAAGAAUCUUCCUUCAAUACUGUCUGAAUAAUGAAUACCAGGAGAUGAUUCGGAUGCAGUAAUGCAAGUUUUAAUAUAGGAUUCAUCAAAACAACUAGACUAACCUUUCAAUUCUGAAAGAAUUUGAAAAACCAGUACUUAUCUCAAGGAAAAAAAAUCAAUCCUGAUUGUCAAAUCAUCACUAGCUCGGAAUUAACAGUACCUACAUAUGAUACACACGUGAUUGUUUUUUCAAUGAUGGGUGUGGUGUAUUCAUGGUGAACAUCAGCUCCCAAGUUACAAGUUCUCGUGCGCUUGGUUGACAUAAGAAUCUUCCUUCAAUACUGUAUGAAUACCAGGAGAUGAUUCGGAUGCAGUAAUGCAAGUUUUAAUAUAGGAUUCAUCAAAAUUGUGACUCCUAAGAAUCUUGCUUAACUCAUCAACACCAUCAAGAUCUGUUUCUUCUUCAUAAUACUUCAGAAAAGCACUCACAACUUGUGGUGAAGGUUGGUAUUUAUAAUCGCUGGCUUCUGAAAGUGCGGCCUCUAAGUGGCUCAUAGCACCAUCCAAUUGACCUUUCUCCAAUAAAGAUGCCAUGAACAUUUCCCGAAUCCUAAAGAAAGGUCCUCUGCAGCUCUUGAGAGCUUCCUCAAAGACCAACACAGCUUCCUUGUCCAUGUUUUGACUCAAGUAAGCCUGCACUGCAACACCAACCAACCUAGAAUCAUAACUAACAUGCCUAGAUUCCCACUCCUUAAACAAUUUUAUUAUGCCCUCCAUAUCAUUAAGCCUUCUAAGGUUAGAAAGCAUAAUAAGAUAGCUCCGAUUGGUCACCGGGGUGAUCUUCUUGAGGGUCCCCCACACUCUAUAAACCUCUUUAACAUUACCAGUCCCAGCAUAAAGGCUCAGCAAGAAAUGGUAAGUUUCGCGUUGGCGCGGCUUCAUUACUCCUUCCACCUUCUUAAGCAUCAACUCGGCUUUCUCAAAAAAUCCAGCUUUUAUAUAGAUAGCAGCAAGGUUGCUAUAAGUCUUCCAGUCAAUUUUGUCUUCAUCUUCUCUUUUCAUCUCCUCAUAAACACGUUCAACCUCACCAAGGUCAUUCAAAGCAGCACAACUAUUCAUCCACAAAAUGUAUGUAAAUUCAGUCAUGCGAAUUUUCCUCUCCUUCAUAACAUUAACCAACUGAGGAACUUUCGACGGUUGACUUAGCCUCAUAUACAUAGACAUCAAAUUGGUGAAAGACAAACUAGUCAAAUAACCAAAUUCAUCCAUCUUAUCAAAAUGAGACAAUGCCUUGUCUAGCAUUAGUUCCUUGCAGUAACAGUUUAGAAGAGAACCGUAUGUGUACUUGUUCUUAGCAGGAGGAGGAAAACUGUUGAAGUGAUUCUCGGCUUCAACCACUCCUUUCACUUUGGACACAAGAUCUAAAUACACUGCAUAGUUAUCCCAUGAAAAAUUAAUUUGCCUCAUCAUCAUCCAUUCCAUUAUCUGCAACCAUUCAAAACAUCAUUAUAAAAAUUUAAAACAUCACAAACAAAUUAAAAAUAUCUCUAAUUACAACCACAACCAAGCCUUAUCCCACUAAGUGGGUUCGGCUACAUGGAUCAAAUGACGCCAUAAUGUUCUAUCGUAUACUAUAUCCCUAUCCAACUCGUUAAUCUUUAGAUCUUACUUGAUACUUUCCCUUGUAGUUUUCCUAGGUCUUCCUCUGCCUAUAGUGAUUUGACUACACUCCAUCUAGUCUACCCUCCUUGCUGCAAAAUCUACAGGUCAUCUCUCUACAUGCUUAAACCACCUAAGCCGAAUUUUUACAAUCUUUUCUAUGAUAGAUGCUAACCCAACUCUCUCUAAUGUUGUCAUUUCUAAUUCUAUCAUUGUCUACUUAUACCACGCAACAUCCUCAUCUCUGCUACACUUAUUUUAUUCUCGUGUUAGUUAUUUACCACUCAAGUCUAUGUCCCAUACAACAUCGCCAAUCUUAAGACUGUACUAUAUAAUUGUCCCUUCAGCUUGAGCGGUACUUAAGUAAAACGACUAAGCAAGUUGAUUCACUUGUUAACAAAAAAAAAAAAAAAAAAACUUUCAUUACACAUAAAUUAGUUUUGCUUAUGUGGAUUGUGACGAUAAAUUAUGAAGCAAGGACACCCACAAUAAUUUGAGAAAAUGACAACUCAAUUUAAUCACAUAUGUUAGUGUCCUAUAGGUGUUAGACAUCAACAAGUGUUAGACACCGGACACACCUUCAAUAGUGUCGGUGCUAAAGAUAUAUGAUAAAACAUGAAUCAAAAUUUAGGGUGGGAAAAUUGCGAUACCUCGAAUGCGUGAUGGAAUCUACGAUACUUUCGAAGCUCCUGGACGCAUCUCUCGAGUUCAUCUUUUCCUAAGGCUUUGCCUUCGAUUAUAUACUGGUUCAACGUCUGCGACACGGUUCCUCCGGUCUUUUCUAGGUCCGCUAGUCUUCGGUAAAGGUUUGCCUUCUUAUUCGGAAGCUCAGCCGCCGUCGCAGCCGUGCAUAGUCGUCGGAGAAGCCUUCCUCCGCCGGAAAUCAAACGGCUGUAAUUCAUCUCAGAGUCUCUAUGAUCGAACCUCCGCCAGGGAUUUUGUCUACUUGUUGUUUCUUGAAGGGUUUUAUUAGGGUUUAUCAAAACGCGAAUUCUGGCGUUGUGUUGUCUUUCACUUGAAUUUACCGGUAACCGGUAAAAAAAAAAGUGGAUAGUUAAAGUGAGAGAAUUGCUCUUCAUUUGGUUUGGCUGAGAAACACAUGUAAAAGACGAAAAUACCUCUCGGCAGUUACCCACCGAAUUAUAAAACCGACUGCGGUUAACUACCGAGGAAAAAAGAAAACUCGGCACUUAAGUGCCGAAGAACUCAUCUCAUUUUUUUGUUGAAAAUAUUAUGGUUACUUGCUUACGAUAUAUGGAUGGAGAUGCAUUUGUGGCAUUAAACCGAUAAAUAGCCAUGUUAUAUUAAUAGCCCUUUUGGCAUAUAAAGAUGUGUAAAUGAGCAAUGUUAUUUGAACAACAUUUUUAUGUGACAACUUGUUGGACAACUAUAUUAUAUAAAGAAAUUUAGGUAGUGACACAAAAAUCAAAGCAAUAGAAAGAAAAAGUAGAAGAACAAUGUGUAUAUGAGAGAGAAAGUUGUCACAAGUUAUCAUAAGUUGUCAAAAAGUGGUUAUUCAAAUAUUAUUUCUCUAUGUAAAUACAAAAGUACAACCAUUUUUCCGCAACGUGUUGCUUGGUGCUUUCAUAACCAAUUUCUUAGAAAGUAAACUAACAAACAAUGAAUCUAAAUUGUUUAAGUUCAUUUUCUUUUUAUAAUAAUGUUUGUUAGCCACUCAAAUUAAGAUACGUUGUUCAUAUCUUGUAUAUACAAAACGUACACUGAUUAACUUUUAUGUUUGGUGGGAGAAAGUGAUGUACUAUGAUAUAUGUAUCUCCAUCCAUAUAUCGUAAGCAACAUUUUAAACAAAAAAAAUGAUAUGAGUUCUUCGGCAGUAAACUGCCGAAGGAUAUUUUAAUAUUUUACAUGUGUUUAUCAGUCAAAUAAGAUGUGUCAACAGCAAUACUCUUAGUGAAGUGUGGAGUAAAUAUCCAAGUUCAUCCUUAAAUAUGAAGUAACUAUCAACCUAAUCUUUGAAAUAAUAAAAAAAAUUAAAAUAAUAUUAUUGCAAGAUGUUAAUCAAGUUUAUUUCUCAUAGACGACAUAGAAACGUAAAUCAGAACCAUGACCUACUUAAAAUCGUGCUGAUUUUAAUCGAAUAAGGGUGUCAAUUUUGGUUUUUUUUCUAUAUUCAUAUUCGAGGAUAGGGUGGGGAUGUAGAUAUUUGCCUUGUAUCCAUCCUUGAACACGUCACAUUAGUAAAAAAAAAGUAUGAUUUAAUUUUUUUUUCUUAUACACAAUUUUCCGUAAUAUUUGAUUAUAUAUUAUACAUUUUAAUCUCUACUAAAUAGAAAAUAUAGUUUUAAUAUGAUUAAAUUUUUAUUUUUUUAUAUGGCAAGCGAGGAAAACUGACAUUCGUUGUGAUGGGAAUGUAGAUCUAAUUUUCAACCUCAACGAGAACGAGUGCGAAGAAUUUGAAACCUUCCUCAAAGGUAACCUUAAUGACAGGAAAAAGUUCCCAUUAAAAAAAAAGUUAAGGGUUGAUGUUAUGUUAUUGACUUUGUUGAGGAUGCUUUAAUUUGGUCUCAAAACCAAAUUGGUACAUAUUCUACAAAAAGCGGCAUCAAUUGGCUUCUCACCUUCAGAGACCCGGCAGCUGAUCUCAUUCCUCACCCCUCUUGGUCUUGGAUUUGGAAUUUGCAAGUUCUGAAAAAGUACAAGUUUUUAUCUGGCUUGCUUGUCAAAAUGUUGUACCAACUCUUUCCUUGCUCCACCACAGAAACAUAGCUCCCUCUCCCUCCUGCGCUCGAUGCGGAGAAGAAGAUGAAACCUUUCUGCACUGUGUCAGGGAUUGUCAUUUUUCUAGAAGCAUAUGGCAGAACAUUGGGUUUACAGGUAAUGAUUUCUUCACAGCUACAUCAUCUCACGAUUGGAUCAAGAUCGGUAUGUCUGGCUCCCUUCCGAAUAUCUUUUUCGUUGGCCUUUGGUGGGUUUGGAGACAUCGUAACUUAAUGUGCCUUAAUAAUGAAAACAUGUCUCUCAUUCGACUGUGCAACAAUAUCGUUUCAACAGCUGUAGAUAUCAAUUCGGCCUUUAAUAGUGAGGAAAAUGUGAAUCAUUCUGACCGUUUUGUGAAAUGGAACAACAAAAAUCACAUUGACUACAUUCUUAAUGUUGAUGGCAGCUGCUUAGGUACUCCUUCCCGCACUGGUUACGGUGGUAUUCUCCGUAAUAGUGCAGGCUUGUUCAUCUCAGGUUUUUCCGGUUUCAUCCCGAAUUCGACGGACAUUUUGUAGGCCAAGCUAACAGCGAUUCACCAAGGGCUGAAUAUGAUUAUUGAUUUGAAUAUGAAUGACGUCAUGUGCUACUCGGAUUCCCUUCUUGCAGUUAAUCUUAUUAUGAAUGACACUCGAGAUACCACACCUACGUCGUCCUCAUUCAGAAUAUAAAGGAUUUGCUAAUUGUUCGGAACAUCUCUCUCCAUCACACAUUAAGAUAGAGGAACCAAUGCGCGGAUUUCUUUGCUAAGUUGGGUGUUAAUUCAGAUGCUCAUCUUGUCGUCCACCAAUCGCCUCCAGCUGACCUCCUCCCUCUGCUUAGAACUGAUGCCAUAGACACUGUUUUUAUUAGGAGAUUGCUGCUUGUUUUGGUUUUUCUUUUGUUUCUUUUUUUUUUCUUCUGUUUUUCUUGCUCCUGUCAACCCUUUGUAACCAAAAAAAAAAAAAAAAACCUUAAGAAUAGUCUAUCGAGUUGCACGCAUAAUAUACUCGGUUAAAAAAAAAUGAUUUAACUUUAUAUUUUCAAAAUAGUUUUUAAUGAAAAUUUUGUAGAAACUAUUAUAAACUCAUUUAUUAUAAAUGAAAACAGUAAUUUUAACAUUUAAUAACUUUUUCUGACAAAUGACAUUUAAUAACUUAGAUAUUCAUUUUAAAUCUUUAAAACUUAAGGAUAUAAAAAAUGAAAUUAAUUUGUAUGUACCGAUGGUGUAACUUUUGUAACAUGUAUAAAAUCAUGUUUAAGACCUCUAAAAACAGAUAAUUUAAGAAUUAUCCUAAAAUCAUAUCAGGUAGAUAUUUAUAAAGAUAAUUUAAGACCCUCUAAAAAAAAGAUAAUUUAAGAACUAUCCUAAAAAGGUACCCUUGGUUUUAUUAAAUGUAGUUGGAACAAGAUACAUAUAAAUUAAAUCCAUUAAAAAUAAAGUAUUUUUUAAAAGAAGAUACUAUCUCUUGAAAAUGAUUUUUUUGUAAAAAAAAAAAAAAAAAAAUCUUGAAAAUGAUUUUUAUGAGAAGUUACUAAAAAUGUCUUCUCAUUUUAAUUUUGAUUUUUAAAUUUUUAUUAAAAAAUAAUCAUAACAAAUGAUGAAAUAUUUAAUAUGACUUUUUGUGAUAAGCUAUUUAAACAAACUUCUUAAUCAAAGUUUUCUUUGAAAAUUUCUCUUAAAAAAGUUAUAGCAAAAAGAUGGAACACUCUAAAAAUCAUUUAAAAAUUAUUAUAAACCAACUCAUAGUUUUUAUUAUGUUAAUCCUCUGGCUCCUAAGAAAAUGUGAAAAUGAAAAUUAACUCAUAGUUUAACAACAGUAAUAUAUCUCAUGGAUUAAUGUGUUAGAACGACUAAUUUUACAAUAAAUUAGAUACAAAUUAGCAGAAAAGUAUUUUUUUCAACAUAAUGCAAAACUCUCUUGAUUGGUAAAUGUCCAAGUUCAAAUUCUCUGUCAAAACAAUUAACAUACUUUUCAUUUUAUGGUUAAAAAACAAUUAACCGGUAAGCGGUGACCUUAGCGAAUACGGAGAGUUUAAAGUGAAGUGCGGUUAGUUAGUUUAGUUGUUACAGUUAGAAAGAAAUGAAGGCGGUAGGUAUUGUUGUUGGUGGUGUUCCACCGCUUUGUUCUAAUGGAAUUCGUAAACGUCAGUUCUGCGUUUCAGCCUCUUCAUCGUCGGGACCCAAAACGGUUUGCAUAUUUUGCUAUUGUUUUUCGUGUGCGAUUAUGAAAUUUUGUGUGUGUGUGUGUGUUGAUUGAAUUUGAAUUAGGUGGGAGUUGCAGCAGCUCCAAAGAGUGAAUACAAGCCAGGGGUUAUUGAUGAUUUGUUCCUCAAUUUGUUUCGCACCAAAUUGGUUCAGGUAACCAAACAAACACAAACAAGCCCCUUCUAGUUAACUUAUUUAUAGCUUUUAGAAAGAAAUGGCGUGUGAUUAUGAAUACUAUAACAGGAAGUGGGAUGGGAAUCGAAGAAACCUGGAUAUGACGGACUAAUUGAAGUUGCUAACCGUCUAAUGAUGAAAGGCACUACAAACUCCGAUACCAUAGAAGCUACGGUAAUUUUCUCUUUCAAAAUCUCGAUAACAUGUAAUAAUAAUAAUAUUUCACUUCAGAAGUGUUCCUUACAAACCAAAAUCAUGGUUUCAAAAGGUUUAUAUUCAAGUCCGUUAAUGCAAUGCACGUUUAGAUUGCAUUAUUUGAGCUUAUCGACUGACUUAAAUUUUGUGUGACUGUCUGUUUAUGAGAAGUUAUGAAAACAGAUUAUCAAAUUGUUCAUAAGGUGUUUUCAACUUAUUUUCAUAAGUUCUCUAGAGAGCUUAUGAAAACAACUUAUAUUUUAUACAAAGACAAUUUAGCGUUAUUUAUCUUUUGCUAUAGAAAUAGCUUAUGUACAAGCACUUACCAUAAUAAGCACUUGUGAGUAGUGUAUGUGUAUCCAAACAGGGCCUUAGAAAGAGAAAGUAAAUCUUUUGGUUCAAGUUAAUAAAAAAAUCAUUAGAUGAUAUAAAUGGAAACUUAUUUCGUGUAGACUUUUAUUUGAAAAAAUGAUGAGAUAAGAAUUUGAUGUUUUGGGGGAUGGAUGGCGAAGAACUCCACCAUUUUGGUUUUAAGAGUUUGGUAUAGACCAGGUAUGUUUGGGUUGGUGGCUAGAGUGGAAUGGAAUAAGCUAGUUAUCUUUGUGAAAAAAUGGACUUUACUUCAUUCAAUUCUAUUCCGUUUUAUUCCAAUCCACUCCAUUGAUUCAACUCUAUACCACAAUUCCAGACAUACCGUAAUACAAUGUUACUUAUUCUGGUCAUACAUGUACGUGUUUCAACUUUUCACAUCACUGCAAAGUAAGUCAUAACAUUUGUGAUAUAGUAAUUCACCUUAUAUGAUUGUUCUAAAUUUUGAAUGGUCAUUUGUCCAGAGCAAGUUUGUUAGCCCUUAUGUCUUGUUACAGGUACGAAUUUUGAGGUCUUUGUUUCCUCCAUUCCUUUUGGAGCUCUAUAAAAUGCUCAUAGCUCCUAUAGGCGGAGGCAAAGUUGCCGCUAUAAUGGUUGGUGAGUCUGAUAGGAUUAUGUCUCAUUUUACAAUUCUUCAAGAUGAUGUUUCCCUGAACGUAACAAGGUAGUGAGAAACUUUUUUGAGAUAUCCUAAAAUUUUUAUUUAAGUUUUGAAGCAAGGGUUACUGCACUUACUUGUCAAUGGCUCAUGGGACCCUGCAAAGUCAAUUCUGUAGAGCUACCAAAUGGAACCUCAUGGAAUAGUGGGGUGAUCACUUAUACCUUUCCUUGCGUGUUUAUGACUAAAUAAUAAUACCAUCUUGUAUUAUUGAAAGUGGUUUAUGUACUAUAAAAUGUUGUAGGUGCAUGUUGAAAGAUGCAAGUAUCUGGAGGAAAGCAAGUGUGUUGGUAUCUGCCUCAACACCUGUAAGUUUCCAACACAGGUUAGUGAUUCUUCAAACUACUAUCAUUUUUUCUUCAUGUCUUUUUGUGUCUUCACCUGCCAGUUCUCAUGGGAAGGGAUUCUAGUAAUCUAGAGUUUGACCAACGGUAACAAAAUUAUGGCCAGUGAUUGUUUCAGUCAGGAUUUGAACUCGGAUUCAACCAAACGAUUCGUCUUUAACUGAAAUGCAUUAAACAUUUGAGUCCGAUCCCUUGGUUUUUUCAUGUUAGUAUAAGAGUUAAAAAUUUGAAGUUGUUGCAUUUUAUGGAUGGUUCGAUCUGACUCUGUUUUAAAUUUAGACCUUCUUCAAGGAUCAUAUGGGAGUUCCAUUACUCAUGAAGCCCAACUUUGCUGAUUAUAGCUGUCAGGUAAUAUUACGUAAUCUCUUUUGGAGUCCAAAUUUAUAUGAUGAGGUCGCUAAUGUCACUAUUUUCUUGAACUUUUAAAUUUGCAGUUCAAAUUUGGAGUUCUUCCCCCACUUCCUGAAGAUGACACCGUCCUGAAGGAGCCUUGCUUGGAAGCAUGUCCAAAUGCUUCCCUACGAAGAAUGGCUUCCAGAAACAAAGGUGUUACUGCCUGCCCAAAGACAUGAACAUAUUUUUCUUGGGCAUAGAGCAUUGAGAACGUUGAUGUACACUUUCCAUGGCUUUUUGCACAUUCUAGCUCCAACUUAUCUUCGAAGAUGGAACUGAAGGCUCGGGUAAUGGGUCUUCCAUAACGAUAAUUCAUCUUUGACAUAGCUCGUAUUUGAAAUUAUUAAUUAAUACAACCCAUCGCUGUAAAUAUAUUGUUAAUUCAUUGGACUUCAUUGUAUAUUAUGAAUGUAUUCCCCGAAUGAAUUCAUUGAAAACAUUUUUAUCAAAACAAGAAUAUGAAUCUAUGUCAAAGUUGAUGAGGUUUAUCUUAGACACCGAAUGAGUAGCUUAGCGAUUUUUGAGUUAAGAUAUCGAAGGAGUUCUAUGUUGAAUGUCGCGUUGGAUCCCAGCUGCUAACAGUUUACCAUCCAUUAACAAUUUAAGCAUUACUUUUCCGACCUUAUGUCUUUCCUCGCGCGCCCUAUUUUUUUCCAAAAUUACCUUCGGAGCAUUCCGGAUUAUAUAAUCCGGAAUGGUGUUUUCUUUUGUUAAAGGGUGAAAAAAUGAGUAACAGAUUUUUCCGGAUUACACUUAAAAAAAGAGGGCGUGUUACAUGAUGUUUCAGAUUACAUAAUCCGGAAACCCCUUAAACACCCUUUUUCAAGGUAAAACAUUUCGGAUUAUAUAAUCCGAACUGUAUCAGCACAAAUUCUAAACAUGUGUCAUUUUAAGGACAAUAUUAAUUUUCCUAACUCUCAUCCUUCUGUUUUGGGUCAUUGUUACUUGUUCUUAGUUAAAAAUUGGGUUUUCGGGCUACUUGAUCGGAUUGCUCCGAAACUUUCCCAAAAAAUAAAAAAAAAUUCAAGCACCAUAACUCUCCUGGAAGGGACUUCUUAUGGGACUCCGCCCCUCAAAAUUCAAAAUUCCAUCGUUUAGACCCAUUUUUCAUUUUUAUUUUUCAUAUUCUCAGAAAAAUCCGAAAAAAUUUGCAUUAGUUUUAUUUGAUUUUUAGAAUUUUUUGGUGCUAUUUUUAUAUUUGUAUGAUUUUAUUUGACAGGUUUUUAGCAUUUUUUUACUUAGUCUUUUUGUUGUUUUUAAAAGCAAAACUCAAAACUGCUUAAAUAUGAGAGUUUGAUGACUGAUUAUACAUAAGAAUUGUCCGGAUUAUAAAACCCCAAAUAGUAAACAUGAAUCUGGAUUUUAAAAUCGAGAAUGCACAAGGACAAUUUUAAAAAUUUUACAGGGCGCGGCGCGGGAGAAGGUCAUAGAUGGGAAAAGUAAUAAUCUAACGAUUUAACCAUCAACCUUUGUCUAUCCAAAACAAAAACUUGGCAAUGUUGUUGUUAUUAUUUUCUGUCGGAUUCUACUUGUAAAAGCGGUAUUUGUUUCCUUUGCAUGCCCGUUAAUUCAGAUAAGCUGCUUUGAUCUGUGUUGAGUAAUCUCUCCCCUUCUGUCUCGACGCCUGUUUAUCACCGAAGGAGAAAUGCAUGUUAAUCCUGCAGCUGAAAAGAAAAUUCCAAAAGUUGGGAAAACAUUCUAUAGUUGUUUCCAUUGAGCAAGAAUAGAAGGACGAUGAAAUAACAUUGAAAAAUUAAAUUUCUCUUUCCUAAAAGAAUGACUUUUGAGAAUUGAAAAACUAGAGGUCUAAAAUAUAAUACUAUUAAAUUUGCUAAAUAUAUAAUUUGGUGGUGAUAUUCAUUCAUUCUCACACACAAAAAUACAAUACUUUUUUUUUUUUGUUAGAUAGACGAAAUGGCAAAGCCAUUAUAAAUUCACACACACAAGUGGAGGGGCGGGGGUUCGACCCCCCGUCAAGGCGUCUGGCCUAACAAUUUCGGUAUUUUACCAGUUGAGCUAGGACUUAUUGACAAAAAAAAAAGUAAUACUAUUCAUUUAAAAUUAAUAGUUGCUUUUCUUUUUAAUGACAAAGGAAAAAAGAAGAAAAAAUUUACAAACAAGGCUCGACUUCGGGCAUCAAGCCCCAACAUUGUCUCCUGUAACGCCCUUUUUUAAUAUUUAUUUAUUUUAUUGAGUUUAGAUGUCUUUUUAUAAUUUAGUCGAUUUAUUUUGAUGAGUGAUAUUUUGUUAUGUUAUAUGUUGGUAUUUAUUAGUAUAAUAUAUAUGUUAUUUGGUGUAGAAAUAUAAAUGUUAUCUGGUGUAGAAAUAUAUAUUUAUUUGGUGUAGAAAUAUAUUUGUUAUAGAGAUAUUUUUGUUAUUUGUUAUAGAAAUAUUUUAUAUUAUAUUAUAUAUAUAUAUAUAUAUAUAUAUAUAUAUAUAUAUUAGAAUAGAAAAUAAGUAGGUUAAUGAUUUAUAUAAAAGGGAGAGUUAGAAUUAGAAAAUAACAAUACGUGAAAACAGUUUUUGGGAGAAAAGGGAGAAACCAAGAUAAGAGAAGAGUCGAGAAGAGAAAGCGGUAGAAACUUGUGAUCAUCUAACCUAAGGUAAGGGUGAAACUAACCUUCUUUAAUCAUAAGUAUGUAAUCCUGAAAAAGGGUUUAAUCUUGUAGUUGUUAAUAGGUUUUGAUGUUGUAGAAUUAGGGUUUGAAACUAAAAGUGAUCGUAGAAAGAGUAGAUAAACUGAUGAAUUAGGUUGAUAAUUGGUGAAUUUCUAAAAUAAUGUUUUGGGUCAAGUUUUAUAUGGUUUGAGUGCCUUAUCAUGUAUAGAAAUGGUUGGACAAGUUUUGGAAUCAAAUUUGGGCAUUGGGAAGUCAAAAUUGGGAUUUUGGGGUGAAAAAUGGGUUUUUCCCGAGAGCUGCACAUUGACAGCAUCUUCUGUUUCAUGUUCUUGCGUCUUUUUCACACGUUUUUGUUUUGAAUUGGCCUUUAGUGUAAACAUGAAAGUUGUAGAUAAUUUUGUUAGCUUUCGAAUGGCUUUGGUUUGAUUUGAAAAUGAUUUUUGAUUUUUGAGGUAUGAUGAAAAUACUCCAAAGAGGUCUUAGUGAAAUUUUAUGAAAAUUCAGCAUAACCGUUUCUAAGUCAAUCCAAAACUUAGAGAAUAAUUACAAAACUCAAAACUAGAAGUACUAGGAGUUUAAUUAAGGGGGUUUAAGAGUAUUUAACCUAUGUUGUGAUGGAUCUAAUUGGUUUGACGUGGAUAUCUUUGUUGGAUAAGUUGAAAUACAUAUAUUAUAUGAAUGUUGUUGUUGAAUAAUUUGAAAUACAUAUAUUAUAUGAAUGUUGUUGUUGAAUAAUUUGAGGUACAUAUAUUAUGUGAAUAUUGUAUGAUAUAGAAAUAAUGUUGUUAUACCAUCCAAGUGGUUAUUAUUAAUGUUGCUAUGAUUCAAGUUGUUGUAUGUUGCUGUUUCUGCUGUUAUUGAUUAUUAAAUCAUUAAGUUGCAUAUGUUGGUCAAAGUUGUAAGUUGUUAUUCCAAGAUAUUGGAGUCAUAUGAGUUGUUGAAGUUGUCUAAGUUGUAAGUUGUUGAGUCCAUGCAUACUCAUUUGAAGUUGAGGGUUUGAUGUUCUGUGAGCUUUUGCUCUUACGUUGAGGACUUGAUGCUCUGUGAGCUUUUGCUCUUAUGUUGAGGGCUUGAUGCCUUGUGAGUGUAUUUAUGCUCUUUAUGUUGAGGGCUUGACGCCCUGGUUGGUACCACAUGCAUGAUUAAGAAGUUGAAGUUGCAUAUGUUGAGUUUAAGUUGUAGAAGUCGCAUUGUCGUUGUCGUUAAGUUGUCAUUUAUCAAUGAGUUGUUAAUAAAGAACUAUGUGAAGUAUUAAUAUUUAUUAAUCGUUGUUGUUUAUGUUGUUAUAUGAUGAUGUGAAGUAUAUGAUGUUAUAAGAUGAUGUUAUGAUGUGAAGUAUAUGAUGUUAUAAAAUGAUGUUUAUGAUGUGAUGAUUAUGUUGUUAUAUGAUGAUGUUUAUGAUUUGAUUAUUAUGUGCUAUAUGAUGUUGUAUAUAAUGUGAUGAAUAUGAAGUUAAUGAUGAUUUUUUUUGAACAAGAAGUUAAUGAUGAUUAGAAGUUGAUUGAGUUAUUAAUGAAGUCUUAUAUGAAGAGUUAAUGUUAUUAAUUGAUGAAGUUUAAGUUGUUAAAUGCAUUUGAUGAAUUAUAUGCUUAUUAUUAUUGAAUGUGAAAUCUCACCCCAUUCUGCUUGGAAAUGUUGCCCUCACGAUUGGGUAACUUGCAGGUAACCAAAAAUAGUUGCGGUCGUGAGUGGAUUCUCUCACGUGUGUCUUAGGUGCUCUGAUACUUAACGAGAUGAUAAUUUUGUUGUUGCUUUCUGUUCCUUACGUAUAAUUUUAUGAAGUUUUAUGAACAUGUUGUUGGAAUAAUUUUAUGAGAUUUUACCUUGAGGCCUUUGUGUCAAGGUUGUUUUAAACGUUGAAAUAAUUUCUGCUGCAAUAAAAUUUAAUUUGAUGAUUGAGAUAAUUAGUAAUUUUACUAUAUUCAGAUUUGAAAGAAGUGUAGCAUCCUGUUUGAGUUGUUUUACUCUGAUUUAUGCAAAAAAAUUCAAGUUGCGAAAACGGGGUGUUACCAACUCCGACUGGAAAGUCUGUCAAAAGGUCACACCUGGCCUUGAAGAGCGCUUGAGUUUGGCCAAGAAAUCCACGCAACAAUUGUCCUCUCUAAACAUAUGUUGAAAAGAAAUGUUAGGAAUAAGCUCCUUUAAAUAAAAUAAAAAGUUUUGCUAACGAAUGCACUAAGGACCUUGAUUAAAGAAUCUCUUAUUAGAAACUUUGUCUUGGAAAUCCAAGGCUUUACUUUUGUCUCAGCAAUAAUUAUACCACUUUUCAAUGUAAACCUGCCUAUUACAGAACUUUGAAUGGGCACUCGUUAACAUUCUCCAUUAAAAAUUAUCACUAGCAAGAACCGUAUAUGCGAGUGAUUUGGAUGUUGAAGAAGAUUGAAGACUUUUAAAGAAUAUGUCUUGCAAAUAACCUGCUAAAUAAAGUUGUUAUCAACAUUAAAUCAUGAUAAACCACAAAUGACUUAGUAAAAAGCGCAUCCCACAACUCCUCGUUAGAAAAGAAGCCAACCAUCCAAUCUCCCUUGUUGUCACGAAGAAAACCACCAAAACUAAUGUUACGGGAAGUAUCAUAACUUCCACUAAUAUUCAACUUAACACAUUUUUCACAACUUUCAUCAAUAUUCAACUUAACACAUUUAUCUUGAGAGGAGUCCAUUUUACGAUAUGACGAUUAAUUUGGUGCUAGAAGAAGUGAAAUAUCAAAAAAAGUUAGAUCGUUAUAUUAGUCUAUAAAAUGAAGGACAUUUUAGGUUUUCCACCAAGAAGUCUUAUUCAAAUGUGACCACAAUGGUCAAAAUUUUCAAACAUGAUGACACUUUCACACUCUAGCAAUGACACAAAACUAAACCACUAAAUCCUUUCCAAUCCUUUCCCAAAGCAAAACCCAGAAAAAGAAAGAAUAAACACACAAGACACACAGGGAUAGUUGUAAACAGUACCAAACUCUCCCACUGAUUCAACUUCCUCAUGCAAGCACACACUUCACUUCCCCAAUUCAAAAUCCCCCCUUUUCCUUUUUGAAUCCAAUCCAAAUUCCCUUAGAUCCAUCUCAUCCCAAAAAUCCCCCCUUUUUCUUCAAUGGGUAAUUAUACUUUUCAUUACAACAAUAACCAAUCUUAAUUUAAUGCCUCAUCAUACUAUAUGAUAUAUAUUUACGCUGAUUCAGUAUUUUUCACAAUUGAUGCAGGUGGGUUUGAAAUGGGUCAAUGCAUAUUGCUGAAAAGAGUGUUUGUGUUCUUAUUUAGUACAGUGUUUAUAGUUGAAUGUGGUGCAUAUGAUACAACACUAGAAGCUUCUCAUUUAUCUAUUUCCCCUAUGCAUGCAAUUCCUUCUGUUAUGGCUCAUCCACCAUUGUCCCCUUAUCUUUCCAGUAAGCCAUUACACUCUUUUGCAAUAAAAAGAAAAUUAUGGGUCUGUUUACUUUCUAUAAAUAUUUUCAAUUUUCAUUCUCAAAAAUACUAAUUUGUUUUAGGGUUAAAUACGGAUCUGCCGUGUCAGCUUCCGUUAAUGGGAGUUAAUUAGUUGGGAUUAAUUUUGAAGGCGGAAAAGUUUAUAGGGAUCAUCAUUCAAUGAAAUUUUUUAGAGGGACUAAAAAUGAAAAUUGAUGUAUUUAGAAGGAUCAAAAAGAUAUUUAACCGUUUAUUUUAAAUUGCUAACAAUAAGAUGAUGGACUCCGUUGUGAGUUGUGACAUAGAAAAGAUGGAAGCCUUUGUAGGAAGACUGCAUUUUUGGAAAUAAUGGAAACUUUUGAAAAUGGUUAGCAUUUUCUUUUACAAUUUUUUAUUUGGUAAAAGAAAAUGCUGGGAAAAAUACUGAAUCUUGUUUUUUGUAAUCUUUUUUUAAGUUUAAGUGAAAAUGAAAAAUCAAAGAAUGCUAGUAAAGGGAUUUUUUUUUUCCCGAUUUCUAAUGCUGCUUUCCAUUAAUUAGAAUAUGUUGUUGUAAAUUUGUUUUGCUAUAUGACUUAGUAUGAUUUUUUUAUUCGACCAGAUUGUUGUCAAAAAGACAUGGUGUUGAAACGAGGUAGUGAAGGCUGCCAUUGUGUUUUUCCUAUAAAGUUAGACCUGCUACUUUUGAAUGUCUCGGAAAACCCCGACUGGAAUCUUUUUCUUGAUGAAUUGGCCGCACAAUUGGAGAUGCGUGCUACAGAAAUUGAGCUGAUAAACUUUUAUGUGCACAGCUUAUCGACUUGGAAUAUAUCAAUGUAUAUCACUCCGCGAAAAGAGAUCAGUUUCUCUGCCAAGGAAGCAUCUAAAAUAAACUCCUCCCUUUUAUUUCAUAAGGUUCGACUAGACAGUAGAUUCGUGGGUGAUUACAGGGUUCUCAAUUUGACCUGGUUUAAACCUCCAACUCCUUCUAAAGGUAAAUUGGUCUGAAUUUCUGAAAUAUGUCACCACAGAUUGUGAUCUUUUGGUGUUCAUAAUAUUUGAAAAGUACUUGCAAUGAGAUCAUCAUUGUACAAAAAAUAUAUAGUCAAUUUUUUUCUCACUUGGUAUUGAAACCUUUGUUAUGUAUGUAAUCUUGCUGUUUUAAAAACUUAGACUGUAUUAUUUUCAUGUAUAUGGAUUACUUGUCCAUUUGUUUUGUUUCAUUGUUACUUCACUUCUAUGCGGUUAGGAAAGAAAGAAAAAUAUAUUUACUCACCAUGGCUUCUUGACUUAUUCUGAUUUUUCCUGCUAGCCCAAAUCUUGUAAUUCUGAUGCUCAUGAAAAUCUUAUGCUGCAUUGUUCUUUAUCAAACUUAAAUCUGGAUUUUUGACUGUACAUAGUUAAAUAUUUAUGUCAUAGCAAUGCUUAGAAGAUUUUAGCCAUCAUAGAUUUGCACCUUGUAUACGUUCACCGUUAAAAGAUGUUACUGCCUCUCAGUCUUCCUUGUUCCCGAAUUUUAUAUAACUCAUUUAGUUAGUCAUGUUUAAUUUUAUAGCAACAUUACUGAAUACUGUUAGGUUUUUUGCUCAUUCAAAGCUUUAGACCAUUUAAGCAACUGCAUCUAUUUUGCAUAGUACCGGAGACUUUUCUGUGACUACCGAUAGAAGUUGAAUAGCAAUCAUGUGCCUCCUUCUGGGGGUGGAUCCCUGGAUAGUGGGUCUAAGAAUAAAUACCUAUGCAUUUAUGUAUUAUAAUGUAUCUUUGCAUUCUACUGCAGCUCCUACUUUUGCUGCAUCAACUGUGAAAACUCCUGAGAGACGAGUACCUACAGCUACAUCAUCGAGUACUUCAGACAGGGGAAGGCAUUCAAAUUUGCUUGUUAUCCUUGGAAUUGUUACUGGGAUACUCAUCAUGUCCAUUAUCUGUGUACUUAUACUUUGUUUAUGCACGCUGAGGCCAAAAACAAAAAGACCUACAGAAACUGGCAAGUUUUCUAGUUGUGAUUGUUAUUGUAUUUAUUUUUCAUUUUUGCAUUUCUAUAACAGCAUUCUAUUGGUGAAAACUGCUAUAAGUUAUACACUUGGUCACCUUUCUUGAUUUGGAUAUCAUAAAGGCAGUGAGUGUAACAGUUAAAUCGAGGCAAAUUGGGUUCCUUUCAAAGAAAAACUACUUCAUGACACAAGCAGUUUAUGGAUAGAAAGUUUUCUGGACUGAAGCAAAUUCAUUGCUUUUAUUUAGCACAAGUAUUUUCAAAGAAGUUUGUAGACUAGAGAAAUUUUUAUUAGAUUUGAAUUUGAACCUGUAUGAAUUUUUUGUGAUUGAUCAAGAAACUUGAUUAAGUGUACAAUUUUAUCUAUUGAAUUGGGACUAGAAAAUUGAUGCACACUUACAAACAAUAUUAUUUCUAUUAUCGUCUGUAAAAUGUGUGGUAUAUACUUUGAUGCCUGCUACUGACACUUUGCUUUAUUUCCUGCAGAAAAGCCAAGGAUAGAACAUGUAGUUUCAUCUGUUGCAUCACAUCGCCACCCAACCAGUACACGAUUUAUUUCUUAUGAAGAUCUUAGAGAAGCAACAAAUAAUUUUGAACCAGCAAGUGUACUUGGAGAAGGAGGUUUUGGUAGAGUUUUUAAAGGUGUUUUGAAUGAUGGAACUGCUGUUGCGAUUAAGAGGCUUACUAAUGGAGGGCAGCAGGGUGACAAAGAGCUUUUGGUUGAGGUUGAGAUGCUUAGCCGGCUGCAUCACCGUAACCUUGUAAAACUAGUUGGAUACUAUAGCAAUCGUGACUCAUCACAAAACCUACUUUGCUAUGAGCUUGUCCCAAAUGGAAGUUUGGAGGCCUGGCUUCACGGUAUUGUAAUUUCUCGAAUAAUGGGUUCAGUUUUUUAAUCUUGAAUGACCUGUUACAUUGAUAGUUAUUUUCAGAAAUAAUUUCAUUAUGCUUAAUUGAAAUUUUCCCUGAUUUCCCUAGGUCCCUUGGGAAUAAAUUGCUCUCUGGAUUGGGACACCAGGAUGAAGAUUGCACUUGAUGCUGCAAGAGGACUUGCUUACCUGCAUGAAGAUUCACAGCCAUGUGUCAUACACAGAGAUUUCAAGGCAUCUAAUAUAUUGCUUGAGAACAACUUUCAUGCUAAAGUUGCUGAUUUUGGUCUAGCUAAACUAGCACCUGAAGGCAGAGUUAAUUAUCUGUCUACUCGAGUUAUGGGCACAUUUGGGUUAGUUUCAUUCUUUUCUUUCUUUCACUUUUAUUUCCGUUUGAUCUAUAGUGAAGAUUUAAGAUGAAAUGAAACUAUUAUGUAGGUAUGUAGCACCUGAGUAUGCUAUGACUGGACACCUACUCGUUAAAAGCGAUGUUUAUAGCUAUGGGGUUGUCUUGUUAGAAUUGUUGACCGGAAGGAAACCUGUGGAAAUGUCACAGCCAACUGGACAAGAGAAUCUUGUAACUUGGGUUAGAUUCAUAACUCAACAUUUCCUCAUUAUUCUCAUUCAGUUCAAACUCGAAAGCAUUUCCACCUGGUUUCUGUUGGAAAUGAUUGGAAUAUGAAACUAAAUUCGUCCUUUGUAGUUUACACUUGAUAGGUCAUAGAAAAUAAUUUACCAAACUAUACUUUCAGGCAAGGCCAAUUCUUAGAGUUAAGGAGCAGUUAGAAGAACUUGCUGAUCCAAGGCUUGGGGGAAGGUAUCCAAAGGAAGAUUUUUUCCGUGUUUGCACUAUUGCUGCAGCCUGUGUUGCACCUGAAGCAAAUCAACGACCUACAAUGGGGGAAGUGGUACAGUCACUUAAAAUGGUUCAGCGCAUCACAGAAAAUUAUGAUCCUGCAUUACCGUCAUCCAACACAAGGCCCAACCUGAGACAGUCCUCUGCCACUUAUGACUCUGAUGGGGCAUCUUCAAUGUUUUCUUCUGGUCCUUAUUCUGGUCUAAGUGCCUUUGACUAUGAUAACAUUUCUAGGACAGCUGUUUUCUCUGAAGAUCUUCAUGAAGGACGAUGAAUGUAGUUUGAAAUGCAAGCUAACCAUGAACCGGCAAACAAUCCAAAUGUUUUUACAUCUUAAUUUAGAGAUCUGUUAUUUAUCAUGGCUGAAGGUGGAUGGAACCAUACCCGAUGGGCAAUGAAGGUUUAUAUGUGUUGUUGCUGGUUCGCUAGGAAGGGGAUUCUUCUGUUGUCGUUUUCGCCAUCCUCCACGGUAAACCACAGUCCUGUUCUCCCUUAAGUGACAGUAGUUCCAAGUGGAUAAAAUUUUGUACAUAUGUGCAUUGUAGUAUGUUACUUUGUUUUUCAGAUCUAUAUACUAAUAAGAAAGUAAAUGUCCAUUGAAUUUACCAUUUUGCCCCUAUAAGGGGCAAUUUGGUAAUCUACUUAUUGGUUAAGUUUUUUUUUUUAAAAUGGCCUAUGAAUUUCCCUUUUUGCCCCUAACCAAUUUUUUUUAAUUAUUUUCUAAUUUUUAUAUUUUUAAUAACUUUUAAUUAUUUUCCAAUUUUUAUAUUUUUAACUUUUUCAAUUUUUUAUCCCAAAUUCAGUUGUUUCUACAUUGCCGUUGUGGGAGAUUAAGGUAUCGUUUGACCCGACAUUUUUCAAACUUCUCUACAGUUUUAAAGAGAAGUUAGGUCAAACACAAUAUCAAUUAAGUACUUACUAAAAAAAAUACUUUUUUUGAACGCAUAAAAUUGAAUGGAAUGAGCUUUGACCAGAAGGUGUUGAAUGUUACUUUAAAAAACUACUUCUCGACAAUUUAUUUCACAAACAUCUCUUUUCAACUUACGCCGAGAACCUUUUCUUUAUUUUUUAAUAUUAUAUAUUUUUUUUAACAAUGGCCUAUGAAUUUUCUAACCAAUUUUUUUUAAUUAUUUUAUAAUUUUUAUAUUUUUAAUAACUUUUAAUUAUUUUCCAAUUUUUAUAUUUUUAACUCUUUCAAUUUUUUCUCCCAAAUUCAGUUGUUUCUACAUUUCCGUUGUGGAAGAUUAAGGUAUCGUUUGACCCGACAUUUUUCAAACUUCUCUACAUUUUUAAGAAGUUAGGUCAAACACAAUAUCAAUUAAGUACUUACUAAAAAAAGUACUUUUAAAACAAAUAGGUUAAAUCUAGGGUUAAUAUUGCAUCACCGGUUAACAUUUAGAAAUAAGAGAUGACAUUUUGCAUAAAUUAAAUAUAGGGUUAAUAUAGUAAAGUCACACGAAAAAAUUAGGUUAAAUCUAGGGUUAAUAUUGCGUCACGGGUUAACUUUUAUAAAUAAGAGAUGACAUUUUGCAUAAAUUAAAUCUAGGGUUAAUAUAAUUUGUUUAGUAAAAUUAAGGAGAAAAAUUAGAAGCGAUUUGUUCAUUUUGAUUUCCCUAACAAUUAACGUUAACAUUUUGAUUAAAUUAAAUAGUGUUAAUACAAUAAAAUUAAGUAAAGAAGUUAGGUUAAUUCUAGGGCAAAAUUUUGCGUCUGGGUUAACUUUAAGAAAUAAAAUAAAAUAGGUUAAGUAUAACAAGACGGGUUAACAUUUAUAAGUAAGAGAUUAAGUUAAGUAUAGUUAGACGGGUUAACGGUUAUUCCUUUCCAAAAAAAACAUCAUAUAAUUGGGAACAUAUAUACUUUUAUUUUACUUUAGAUAAACAUUAAAUGCAAAAGUGUGGAGGGAAAAAUUAGGUUAAAAUUAGAGAUGACAUUUUGCAUAAAUUAAACCUAGGGUUAAUAUAGUAAAGUCGCACGAAAAAAUAGGUUAAAUCUAGGGUUAAUAUUGCAUCACGGAUUAACAUUUAGAAAUAAGAGAUGACAUUUUACAUAAAUUAAAUAUAGGGUUAAUAUAGUAAAGUCACACAAAAAAAUUAGGUUAAAUCUAGGGUUAAUAUUGCGUCACGGGUUAACAUUUAAAAUUAAGAUAUGACAUUUUGCAUAAAUUAAAUCUAGGGUUAAUAUAGUAAAGUCACACGAAAAAAUUAGUUUAAAUCUAGGGUUAAUAUUGCAUCACGGGUUAACGUUUAUAAAUAAGAGAUGACAUUUUGCAUAAAUUAAAUCUAGGAUUAAUAUAAUUUGUUUAGUAAAAUUAAGGAGAAAAAUUAGAAGCGAUUUGUUUAUUUUGAUUUCCCUAACAAUUAACGUUAACAUUUUGAUUAAAUUAAAUAGGGUUAAUACAGUAAAAUUAAGCAAAGAAGUUAGGUUAAAUCUUGGGCAAAAUUUUGCGUUCGAGUUAAUUUUAAGGAAUAAGAUAUUAUAAUAGUUGUUAUGUUAUUUUUCAUGUAGUUUUUAGGCUCUAUGUUGCAAAAUUUUGGUUUACGCAGCUUUGAUUUUCACAUUUAUAAAUGACAACAAUUUUCUGUAAUUUAUAAGAUUUUUUCCUUCGAAACUAAAUUUUAAAAAAAUACGUUAUUCAACCCGUGCGAAGCACGGGUUUGUAACUAGUUGACUUUAGAAAAAAUAAUCUUAAUUAAAAAGAAAAAUCCGUAUUGUUUCAAUAUCAUUUUUGGCUUCCUCAAUUUAUCCAUAUUAUCAUCAUAACCAGAUAUAUGCCCUUUAGGUGGUAUAUUAUUCAGGCUCAGUAGGAAAUAUGUGGUCUAUAUUAAGGCCUAAAAUUAUCAUACUUUAAAGAAUUGUAAAAUUUAUUAUUGAUUUAAAUUAUUAAAAAUAAUUUCUAUGAAUACAAUAAUGAUUUUUUUGAAGAAUAUGAAUACAAUAAUGACGUUGAUUGGUUUCAAAUUUUUAUCUGAAUAUAUAAUAUUUUAUUCUUUAUUUUUGUAUUAUUGAUCGCUUAUAUAUUAUAUAUUCCAAUUUUUUGUUCUAUAUAUGCUGAUAAAUUAUCAUUCCCCUUAUCUCCUAAUUUUGUAUUACUAAAUUACACAGUCUAUCAUGCAAUGAGAGGAAUGUUAGUUAGAAUUAUAAAACUUGAAUCGUAAAUUUAGAAAAAUUAAAUAAAGGUGAAUUAGUUUGUUGUAUUAAAUUUCAAUUUUAGAUCAUUUAGUUUACCAAGCCAACCUGUCUCUCUAUUUUAUAAUAUUUUUCAAACUUUGUGUUUUUACCUCUCCAAAUGAAAUAAAUGAAGGUAAUUAUAAAUGGAGUGGAUACUAACUAUGUGUAAGGUUCUAUGUAUUUGUACGGACGACAAUUAAUGUCAAGAGUACCGGCCUUUUUUUUUUUGUUUUGACAGAAAGAAUACCAACCUUUUAGGUUGCUAUUAUUAUGCAGAAUCUAAUGAGAGCCUAUAAUCAAAAACUGCAAAGGUGCCAAAAUUUGUGUGGAAAUUCUCUUUCCACCUACAACAAUAAAACCCAACCCUUACAACCUGAGUUUCACCGUCUCUCUUUGUCUCUGCUCUUUGAAUAUUUUUUGAAGAGAAGAGACAAUGGAUUCUAGGUUCAAUAAAAGCCUCCUUGUCAUCCUAUCCUUCUCUUCUCUUCUUCUAUCUUCCAAUGCCGUCCCAUCAACUCACAUUUCCACAAGUGUCCCAGCCCCAGCCCCUUCAAUCCACUAUGUUGAUUACAUUCUCCCGAAAAGAAAACCGAACGCUGGUAUUGGUCUGUUUGAGAAUUCUGUCCCGCUUAAAAAACAGAACUCUGCUUCCGUUUCUCCAGAUGAUUCCGAUUUUCAGUUUGAAGAUCCAAACUUGCUAGGAUCCAUUGCAGCAGACGUUGCCAAGAAUGCUGAUCCUGAGAUCGUAAAAUUAUGUGUCAACGGAGAAAAUCCAGCUCUUUGUGCUGCAACCAUUUCAUCACUCUUGAAAGGUCCUUUUGACCCCCUCAAGGCACUUGAGAUUGAGGUUGAUUUCACCCUCAAACAAGCCAAGAGUGUAGCUGCUAUCAUUACAGCGUUGCUUAAUGACCCUAACACCGACAAAAAAGCCAUGAAAGCUCUUCAGAUAUGCCAAAUACAAUACAAUUCAAUGCUGGAUGCAAUCAAUGAGACAGUUGAGUUACUUGGACAACACAAUGUCGUGGACUCUUUUUACAAGUUCAGUUCUGUGAUAUCAUACAAAACUACAUGUGAGGAUGCUUUUGUGAAAUCUCCUGGAGUUGAAAUACCAUUUUCUCAGGAUUCACGUACUCUAUUUGAUUUGGGUGGUAAUUGUUUGGGCAUCAUGAACACUUUAGUUAAUAACCACAAGUUUUAAAUUAAUUGGUUCAUGAAAUGGGAGAUCAUGACAUGGGAGGGAGAAGAAGGUGAUGACUGGUGAGGUUGUAUGAUUGUUAACACUAUGUUUUGUACCAUUUUCAUAUUGUUAUAUAUGCAAUGAUACUAUUAUCAUAAUAUAUAUUGAUGACUAAUAUACAUGCUUAUACUAUGAUUGCAAGUUCAUUAGAGACAAGCUUAACGUGUAAUUGGCACGUCUGUCCUAAGAAUAGAUCAAUAUAAUCAUUUUACCAAUUGCGUGCGUUUGAAGGAAUCUUGUUUCUCCUAACCACUUCAAUGCAAUUGCUAGGCUUAGGCUAUAUAUAAAUAUCCUAAUUCUUUACAAGCAAACAAUAAGGAGGCUUACUACCUUUCAAAAAAAAUAAUAAUAAGGAGGCUUGGUAGCAAAAAAAAUGAUAUUUUUUGGUGAUAAAAAAAAAUGAAAUAACAAUAUGGAUAUAUAUGAUCUUUCGUCAUAUAAAUAUAUAUUUUAGAGAGAGAUUCUUCAUGUUCUCUCUAAAUUCUAUUUUUCCUUCCCUCAUCUAAGAAGAUGGUUUUAUGUCAUUUUUUAAUUUAGAAUCAAUCAAUCAUAUGCAUUUUUUGGUCAUAAAAAUCCGUAUAGUUUAUCAUUUUCAGCUUCCUCAUUUUAUCCAUAUCUUGAUAUAUAUGCCCUUGGGACUGAAAUUGGCCUAAAAGUCAUUUUGGCUCCUCUUUAGGUGGUCUAUAAUUCAGGCUCAAUAGGAAAUAUGUACAUUUAGGCCCAAAAAUAUCAUACUUUAAAGAAUUAUAAAAUUUAUUUCUUAUUGAUUUAAAUUAUUAAAAAUAAUUUCUAUGAAUACAAUAAUGGUGAUGACUGGUUUCUAAUUUUUUCUUAUUGGUCGCUAUAUCUUCCAAUAUUCCGUUCUAUAUAUAUUGAUAAAUUAUUAGUCUCCUUAUCUCCUAAUUUUGUAUUCCUAAAUUACGCAGGCAAAUCAUGCAAUGAGAGUGGAAUGUUAGAAUUAUUUGAUUUUAAAACUUCAAUUAUAAUCCAAAAAAUUCAGGGAAAAAGUAAAUAAAAGUGAAUUAGUUUCAUUAUAUUAAAUUUCAAUUAUAGUUCAAUAGUUUACCAAGUCAACCUGUCUCUUUCUAUAUAUGCAUGUAACCUUGUGUAAGGUUCUAAGUAUGUGUACGGACGACAAUUACUGAUAAGAAUACCAACCUUUUAGGUUACUAUUAUUAUGCAAAAUAUAAUGAGAGCCUAUGAUUAAUAACUGAAAAAAGUGUCAAAAUUUGUGUGGAAAUUCUGUUUCCACCUACAAAAAUUAAACUCGACCCUUAUAAACAAGAGUCAUAUGUUACAACCUGAGUUUUACGGUCUCCAUUUGUCUCUCCUCUUUGAAUAUUUUUCGAAGAGAAGAGAUGAUGGAUUUCAAUAAAAGCCUCCUUAUCAUCCUAUCCUUCUCUUCUCUUCUUAUAUUUUCCAAUGCCGUCCCAUCAACUCGCAUUGAUGAUUCCAUUUCCACAACUGUCCCAACCCCAACCCCUUCAAGCGAAGUUAUUGAUUACAUUGUCCCAGAGCAAACAGACUUUGGUCUCAAUAUGCCAGAGAAUUCCGCUUCUCCAGAUGAUUUCGUUUUUCGAUUAGAGGAUCCAAACUUGCUAGGAACUGUUUCAGAAGACAUUGCCAAGAAUGCCGAUCCUGAGAUCGUAAAAUUAUGUGUCGACGGAGAAAGUCCAUCUCUUUGUGCUGCAACUAUUUCAUCACUCUUGAAAGGUCCUUUUGACCCCCUCAAGGCACUUGAGAUUGAGGUUGAUCUCACCCUCCAACAAGCCAAGAGUGUAGCUGCUAUCAUUACAGAGUUGCUUAAAGACCCUAGUACCGACAAAAAAGCAGUCAAGGCUCUCGAGAUAUGCCAAACACAAUACAAAUCAAUGCUGGAUGCAAUCAAUGAGACAGUUGAGUUACUUGGACAACACAAUGUCGUGGACUCUUUUUACAAGUUCAGUUCUGUGAUAUCAUACAAAACUACAUGUGAGGAUGCUUUUGUGAAAUCUCCUGGAGUUGAAAUGCCAUUUUCUCGGGAUUCAAGUACUCUAUUUGAUUUGGGUGGUAAUUGUUUGGGCAUCAUGAACACUUUAGUUAAUAACCACAAGAUUUAAAUAAAUUAGUUCAUGAAAUGGGAGAGCAUGGCAUGGGAGGGAGAAGGAGGUGGUGACUGGUGAGGCUAUAUCUCAUUAGUAACACUAUGUUAUGUACCCUUUUCAUAUUGUUAUGCAAUACGAUGAUAUUAUCAUAAUAUGUAUAUUGAUGACUAAUAUACAUCGGAAAUGAUAAAGUUCCCGAAAAAAUUAAUAUAGAUGCCUAUACUAUGAUUGCAAGUUCAAGGAUCUUAAUUAGGGUAGAGUAUGUAUGUUUUGCAAAAAUGGAUAACGCAUUCCCAUUAAAAUUUGGAAACAAUUUAGAUAAAUAACAUAAUUUAAAUAUGUGGUUAAUUAUGUUGAGUAAAAAGUUAAUGAAUAUUAUAUGAAUAACUAGUGUUUGAACUGGCAUUUUGUGUCCAUUUGUUUGUUUUUUUAUUAUUGCAUUAAUACAUGAACAAAUUAUAUUUAUCUUUUUCAAUACACAUAUAAUAUAAUAAAUAUAAUAUAGAUUUUUAUCUUUUUGAAUGACACAAAAAUCUAACAUUUUUAUAUGUAAAUUUGUUUAAAGGUAUAGUUGAAAGUGAAAAAGUGAACACAAAACUAUGUAUUUUUUCAAUAUAUAGUAUCAAUGACAAUGAUCAUUGAAAAAUUAUACAUAAGUGAAAAAGUUAAAUUUUGAACUCGAAUCAUGACAUCCGUCAAACAAUUUCGACAAUUAUGAUAGUUGAGCUAGUGCUUAUGGACCAACUCAUUAAAUAAUUACUCGAUACAAUUAACCACAAUAUUUAAUUUGAUUAUAAGGUAGUAGUCAUUUUGAUCCUUAAACGUGUAACGAGUAGUCACAAUAGUCCCUCAUUGUAUUGAAAUUACAAAAUAGUUCAUGAUUGUGCGCUUUAUUAGUCAAAAUAAUUCUUAAUGUCAAAAUAGUCUCUCAAUGCUGACAUUAACUUAUGAGGAUUGAUAUGACAGUAAGUAUAUUGAGAGAUUAAUAUGACAAUAUUAAUGAAACAUUUCAAUGCCAAAGACUAUUUUGAUUAACGAAAUGUACAAUAAGACUAUUUUGAAAUUUUGAUACACUUGAGUAAUUGUUAUGGCUAUUCGUUACACAUUCAGAUACCAAAUUCAUUAUUACCCUUUGAUUAUUAAUGAAUAUUAAUAUGAAAAUGCUAACAAGUUCCCUUAGACCAUCUCCGUAUAUUGAGAGUGUAUUAACUAUUUAAGACCCGGUGCCUAUUAGGUACCUCCAAUGGGGGGAAUCUUUUUCAGGGUCUUAUAAGACCCGGAAUCUUAUUUAAGACUCAUACUUUUAAGCGGGACUCGUACUCUUUUAAUAUUAAAAAAUUAAAAUAUAAUGAUAUAAAGUUAUUAAUAGUUUGAGUGAUCGAGUGCUUAUUAGGUACUACUAUUAAAAAAUUAUAAAUGAGUGAUAUGUACACGUGAGACCCAUUUAAGAACCCAAAAAUGAGUGUCUCCAUUGUGGGUGCUCUUAGGACAUUGUUUAAGCAUCUAAAAAUAAUACUUUUACAUUGAAAAUUGUGUAAUUAUGACUUUUAUAUAUGUUUGACUUGAAUUUUCAAGACAAACUUCCCUUUUUGUUGGUUCCUUAAACAAUGUCGUUAAAGGCACUCGUUAGCACGACCAAUAUUAAUAUAAUAGGUAAACAAAUUCUAACAAGUGCACUAAUAACACUUUUAAAAGUUUAAAUAAUAAGAUUUAUGAAAAAAAUAAUCUUAAUUAAAAUGUUUAAUUUUUUAAAGGCUUAAAUGUUCUUUUGGUCCCUUGACUAUUUAAUUGGAAUCGCUUUGGUCCCUUAACUAAAAAAAAGAUUGUUUAAAGAUUUUAUGUUUUUUUUAGUCUCGUUUUGGUCCCUUCUGUUAGGUUUCCGUUAGUUUUAAUAAAAAAACGUUAAGUGUGGACACGUGUCACCUUGUCAUUGGUUAACUCUGGACACGUGUCACUUUGUCAUUGGCUUUGAGAUUAUUAUUUAAAAAUAAAAAAUAAAAAAGUCAGAGCCAAUUAUAAGGUGACACGUGUCCAGGAGUUAACUUUUUUUUAAAACCCUAACGGAAACCUAACAGAAGAGACCAAAACGAGACUAAAAAAAAAACUUAAAAUCCUCAAACAAUCUUUUUUUUAGUUAAGAGACCAAGGUGAUACCAAUUAAAUAAGGUGAUACCAAUUAAAUAGUUAAGAGACCAAAAGAGCAUUUAAGCGCUUUUUUUAAAUAAAUAAAUUUCUUUAUUUGGGAUGAAUUUGAAAUAGAACAUUCUAGUCUUCUAAAGAAAAGCCCAACAGAUCUCUCUCUUUAAAACCCUAACCCUCACAUUCACAAUCGUAGAAUAGUUAGCCGCAACAUGGAUCCUAGAUAAUUCCCGGAUCGCUUUCUAGGGUUUUUCAAUCACAAUGCAAAGUUUGUUUUUUAUUUUCAUUGUUUAUGUUUUAUUUUAGUUUCUGGGUUGUUGUUUAAUCUCUAUGUUCCUUUUGUUCUAAACUUUUGAUUUUUGAUAUCUGAAACACAAAUUGGACUGUGAAGAUUUCUGUGAUAGGUCUCGUUCGUCGUAAUUGGUCUUUUUCGACCUUGCCGACCAUCCUGUUAUAUCACCACCCAUAUUCUGAGUCCUUUCUUCAUAAUCACAAUUACUUAUUUUUAUUUGAAAUUAUAAAUUUUUGUUGAUUUUUCAUUCUUAUUUUUUAACUUUUUAUAACUUUUGAUAUUGUUAUUGUUAUUGUUAUUUUUGUGUGCUACUUAUUUUUCUUAUGACGUAGUGCAUGAUUUUUAUGCCAAUUUUUGGAUCAUUUUCAUAUGGUCAUAUGAUUAUUGUCUAUGAUGAUAUCUUGAAGGCUUGUUUCUCAAAACAUUCGCAGUGGCCGCCUAAGAGCUUUCGCCUUCGCCAGGCUUGAGAGCUAGUGCUGUUUUAUCCUUCCUUGGAUGUCUGAGACAAUGUCUGUUUGAAUAUCUUGUGUUCAUAUUACACCGAUUUGUCUUGUUUCUCUUGAUUGGAGAAAUUGUUUAUUAGUAGUUAGCACAAUUUUUUGUUUUUUUUUUGGGCAAUGUUAAAAGAUCCAAUACUUGCUUAAGACUUGAAAUUGUGUCUGCAAAGUUGAUCUUGUGUCUCGUCUUGUUCAUGUAAAUUGAACAAUGACAAUUUUUGAUGUUUUGUUUAUUUGAUUAUAAAUGACCAAUGAUGAUAAAUCUAAGGCUUGUUUCUCAAAACAUUCGCAGUGGCCGCCUAAGAACUUUCGCCUUUCGCCGGGCUUGAGAGUUAAUGCUGCUAUUUCCUUCCUUGGAUGUCUGAGGUCAAAUUAUUCUCUUGUGAUUUUGUUGAUGUAUGUGUUUACUACUACAAUUGAAACAGAGAAUGUAUUUUGAAUGAGUCAGGAGUUAAUCUAAUUGUUGUUUUGAUUGAUAUAAAAAAUUUGAUGUCAUUGAUUUGAUUCCCUUUUGAUUGCAUAAACAAUCUGUGAUUCACAAUUAUGAUCAACUUUGAUGACAUGUGUUUUACCAAGUCUAUAACUCAAUGAUGAUAAAUCUAAGGCUUGUUUCUCAAAACAUUCGCAGUGGCUGCCUAAUAGCUUUCGCCUUCGCCAGGCUUGAGAGCUAAUGCAGUUACUUUCCUUCCUUGGAUGUCUGAGGUUAAUUUCUAUUUGCUUUUGGGUUGAUUUGCAAGUCUGGUGAUGUGUUCUAAUCAUCUAAUUAGCAUGUCAAUAGCAUGUAUUGCUAUGAAAGAGUGAUGGAUUGCAUUUUCUUUUUGGUAAUAGAUGCAUUACAUGUUUCAUUCUUAAUUUAUAUUUAUGUAAUGAGAUAAUUUUGUUUCGUGUCCACUUGUUUUCCACAUUUCCAAUCUUUCGGACUAUGAAACACAAUUCCUACAAUGAAAUCUUUUAUACUCUUCACACAUCUGCAAUUCAGUAUACAAGAAAAGUUUAAGUUAAAAUGAAAUAUUAUUGUUAAUCCCAACUUACUAACAGUUAUUGUCAACAUCUUUGAAAUCAUGCAUCCAAUUAAGAGUAUAACGAGAAUUUAGACAGUUUCAGGGAUGAGACAUCCAUCAAUAUUGGAAGUUGAAGAAUAUUUGAUUUCCUUGACUUGCAGCAAUUUGUUACAUUCUAAACUUUGACAUUACAACUAUGGUUUCUGUAUUGUCUAAGUACAGAAUGCCCUUGUAUGUACCCAUAAUUGGUUGAAUAGUUUUAAAGAUGUUGUACCUCUUGGCAAGUUAUAUUAGUAAGAGAAAUGUUAAAAGGGUACUCUGAUGCACUCGUUAACAAAAUCCGUUCAUUUUUACUUGCAAUUUAGUAAAGAUGUCAUUGUCUGUGCGAGAUUUAGCACUCAAUGGACUGAAUAUGGUGAUGUGUCACCAUUUUCUCAACAACUAAUUUGCAUGCAGGUCACUAAUUUGACGGUCAAACAGUUUUUUAUUCUAAUUUAAACAUAAUCAAGACGAACAAAAGAAAAUGAAAAUCCAAUACAUGCAUGUCCUUGGAACAGCCCCAAAUGAAUGUGGGCGAGAAGAAAAGAGAUGAUCACACUCUAAUCUUUACCACCAGCUUCGUAAGUAAUGAAAUUAAGGAGAAGAUUAUUUGGAUUAUGAAAUGUAGACAUGCAACUGUUUGUUGUUUUUUGUCUCCAUGAAGACAUUGAAUAUAGGCGGAACACAUAAAAAAAACUUAUAAAAACACCACACGGACGCCAUUUAACUCAUGGCUAUCACUAACAUCGAUAAAAAAAAAUUAACCGUUUAAAUCAAAUUCAACGCCUAAGUUAAAGCUAACUCUCCAACCUUUCUCAUGAAUGACCACAAAAACUAAAUCCAAUCACCUAACAACUUAUGCUCACCAAACCACUCCAAAAAACAAUCCAACCGAUCAAAAUCCUUCAAAACAGAGCCUCAUAUUCUCAUCGAGCCCAGUUAAACAUUUGGAAAUGACUUAUUUCAACACUCCUAUGGGUUCCACCACCACUUGACCCCCGAGGAAGAAGACAACAUAACAAGCCUAAAAACUUGAGAGUUAUAAUUGCAUUUGUUUGUCGUCUAUUACACUCCACCCAAUAGUUUCUAAAAUGAGAAGCAAAUAAGUUUCUUCAUGUUGAGAUGGUAUUUCUAAACUCUUGUAGCAACUACAUACGUAUUGUGGAAAACAUUUGUCGUCAUUUUGAAAUAUAGCACAAAGUCGACGUUAUCAAACUGAAAAUCACUUGGCCUUCCCAAAGCAUGAAAAAAACUUAUAAAAACCCCACACGGACGCCAUUUAACUCAUGGCUAUCACUAACAUCGAUAAAAAAAAUUAACCGUUUAAAUCAAAUUCAACGCCUAAGUUAAAGCUAACUCUCCAACCUUUCUCAUGAAUGACCACAAAAACUAAAUCCAAUCACCUAACAACUUAUGCUCACCAAACCACUCCAAAAAACAAUCCAACCGAUCAAAAUCCUUCAAAACAGAGCCUCAUAUUCUCAUCGAGCCCAGUUAAACAUUUGGAAAUGACUUAUUUCAACACUCCUAUGGGUUCCACCACCACUUGACCCCCGAGGAAGAAGACAACAUAACAAGCCUAAAAACUUGAGAGUUAUAAUUGCAUUUGUUUGUCGUCUAUUACACUCCACCCAAUAGUUUCUAAAAUGAGAAGCAAAUAAGUUUCUUCAUGUUGAGAUGAUAUUUCUAAGCUCUUGUAGCAACUACAUACGUAUUGUGGAAAACAUUUGUCGUCAUUUUGAAAUAUAGCACAAAGUCGACGUUAUCAAACUGAAAAUCACUUGGCCUUCCCAAAGCAUGAAAUAGCGUUUCACCGACAUCCACAUGAUACAAAGGAAUAAAGGAUAGAUUUUAUACCAAUGCAAAAGCCCCAUCUUUUUCAUGCAAACACACAUCCAUGCAUGUUCUAUUCAUUGACGUGAGAAAGAGGAAUCAAUGUUACAUUUGAGACGCCUACGUUGAGGGCACUGCUAUCAAGAAGAAGAUGGGAAAGAGGUUGAAGCACCGUCAUGAGUGUUUGCGUAUGUUAAUGUAGAUGACUGUCCCACGAAAGCUAUCGUGGUUGUUUGACACCUUAACAAGUUAAUGUAGAUGAGUGUAGGGUAUUUGACACCUUUUGUAACGCCCUAGUUAUUUAUUUAAUUAAUUUGAAUUAUGUGGAGUAUAUAUUUUUAUAUAUGAUGUUUAGUGAUUUAUGCGGAGUAUAUAUAUAUAUAUAUUUAUAUAUAUAUAUAUAUAUAUACAUGUGAUUUUGAGUGUUUAUGUGGUGUAUUAUUUUAUUAUAUAGUUUAUUUAAUAAUAAUUAGAAUAAGUAUGAAAUAAUAAUUAUUUUGGAGUUUGGGGAGUUAUUUAAUAUUUAUUAAAGUUAAUGGGGAGUUAAGUGAAAAUAUAGGGAGUUAAGUAAUGGGAAGUUAGGAAAAGAAAGAAUCAGAAACUGUUUUACGUGAAACCAAGCCAAGGGAGAGGAAACCAGGAACAAGAGAGAAGAACCAAGGGAAUCCAUUUUUGCUGUGCAUUUUCAUUCUGAACUAAGGUAAGGGUGAGAUUUACUUCAAUAGUGUAGAAUUUAAAGUCUGAUUUUGAGUUUAACAGGUUUUGGUAAAAAUUGGGGAUUUUGGGUUUUAUGUUGAAAUUGUGGAUUUUGGAGUUGGGAGUGUAAAUUUGAUGUUAGAAAUAGGUUCUAAGUACAUACAGAAAGUUAAUUUGCAUCUGUAAACUGAUUUGGGGAGUGAUUGGAAGGAAAAUGGGAUUUUUGGGUAAAACCAGUUUUCUGCCCGUACUGAAGUUCAUCGCUCGCCUCGCGAGUAGCUGUUCUCGCCAUGGCGAGUGAGCAACUUCAUAGCUCGCCUCGCGAGCAGUCCAACUCGCCAUGGCGAGUAGCCCAGAUCAAAACUUGAUUUUUGAAAAGUUGUUAUAAGAUGUUUUGGGGUUGGUUUAAGGUACCUAGAUGAUAAUAAAGAGGAAUGGUGAAAGUUUUAGGUUAAAAAGAUGAAUAGGGAGCUUAGAAUUGGAGUUUGAGUGAGAAAAUGUCACUUUUCCCGAGAGUACCUGAUUUUCACUCGCCUUGAGUUCGCUUUGAACUCGCCACGGCGAGCUACUGUUUUUGUGAACUCGCCAUGGCGAGCAGAUGUGCUCGCGAGGCGAGCUAGUGCAGUUUGAGUGCAGUUUUGCUUGCUUGAUUAAUAAGGUUUGAGUGUUGUUGUUUAAGCAUAAUUAUAUUUAAUUGUGCAUCAUUCUGAAUGGUUGAAUCUCUGUUGGAUGUUGAUUGAUGAUGAGUAAUGCAUUGUAUGUUUUAAUUAUUAAUCAUACAUGUCGUUUAAGUGGAGUCACAUGAAGUUGCAUUGCAUGGUCAGUUGUAUGUAGAUAUACACAAGUAGGUCCAUUGCAUAUGCAUAAAACAGCGGUGAGGGCUUCGGUCCUGGAGUACUAGUUGCUCAACAGCGGUGAGGGCUUCGGUCCUGAUGAAUGCUUUAACCAUUCAAAAGCGGUGAGGGCUUCGGUCCUGAUUGGUACCACAUGCAUAAUGCAUUUCAUUAAGAAGUUUAAGAUGGUGUCUUAGCAGUGGUCAUGUCAUUUGCAUGAGUCUUGGUUGUUGUUUCAGGUUUAUCUGAUGUUGAUGUUGAUGUUGAAUAUACAUUUACUUAUAUAUAUUCAUUGCGAUCUUGAUGUGUUGUUGAUGUUAUUGGUAAUAUGUACAUUGUAUACAUACUUGCUAAAUGGAUUAUUAUGGUGAUGUUGUUGUGACUUGUGAAUUAAAUAUUGAUAUUUGCAAGAUUAUUAUAUUUGAAGUUUUAGGGUGUUAGAUUCAUUUGAUGAUUUUAAUAUCUAUAUUUAUUGUUGUGAAUCUCACCCCUUCUGCUUGAAAACGUUGCCCUUCCUAUGGGUAACUUGCAGGUGAUCCUGAGUAGUAGGUGGUGGCUCAAAGUCGUGUCUAGGGCUCUGAUACGUGGGAUGGGAAUUAUCAUUUUUGUUAUUGUUGCUUUUCCUUUCCAUGUAUCAAAUUUUGGAACUUGUAGUGUGGAGCCUUUUUGUUGUCUUUGAACUAUGAUGUUGAAUUAUGUUAAGGCCUUUAAUGCCAUAGAUUAUUGUUGGAUGUUCAUGAGGAUAUGGAUUUUGAAAACUAUUCCGCUGCUAUGUUUUCAUAUAUAUAAGUUGAUUUGAUUAAAUAGUUUUAUUUUCUAUUUAAGAAUUUUUACAAAUGACGUGUAGCAUGCCCGUUUGUGGAAUUACUCUGAUGUAUAUAAGCUAUUUUAUUUGUUUUGGGUAACGGGGUGUUACAAAUUGGUAUCAGAGCAGGUUGGUCCGUCCGGCCAAGUAGUAGAGUCGUGUUGAGCCACCUAGGAUAGAGUGUCAACUUUAAUGUUGCUUUUUGUUGUUGUUCUGAGUUGUUGUUUGUCGUGUAGAAUCUCGAGAUGACUGGAAGUAGUGAUGCUGCUCUUGUUGCUGCGCUUGAGGCUGUAGCUCAAGCUGUUCAACAGCAACCUAAGGUUGAGACUGGUGGUGAUGGAACCAUGAUGUUAGAGACUUUCCUGAGGAAUCAUCCACCAACUUUCAAGGGUAGGUAUGAUCCUGACGGUGCUCAGAAAUGACUGAAGGAAGUUGAAAGGAUUUUCAGGGUCAUGCAGUGUUCUGAGACACAGAAGGUGCGGUUUGGGACGCAUAUGUUAGCGGAAGAGGCUGACGACUGGUGGGUGAGUUUGUUGCCUGUGCUGGAACAGGGUGAUACUGUGGUGACUUGGGCUAUGUUCAGGAAGGAGUUUCUGAGUAGGUACUUUCCGGAGGAUGUCAGAGGUAAGAAAGAAAUUGAGUUUCUGGAGCUGAAACAGGGUGAUAUGUCCGUUACGGAGUAUGCUGCUAGGUUUGUGGAACUUGCCAAGUUCUACCCUCACUAUAGUGUGGAGACAGCUGAGUUCUCUAAGUGUAUCAAAUUUGAGAAUGGGUUGAGAGCUGACAUCAAAAGAGCUAUUGGGUAUCAGCAGAUCAGAGUCUUCUCUGAGUUGGUAAACAGAUGUAGAAUUUAUGAAGAAGACACCAAAGCUCAUUACAAGAUAAUGAGUGGGAGGAGGGGUAAGGGACAACAGAAUCGUCCUAAACCUUACAGUGCUCCUGCUGACAAAGGAAAGCAGAGGAUGGGUGAUGAUAGGAGGCCCAAGAGGAGAGAUGCUCCUGUUGAGAUUGUUUGCUACAAGUGUGGUGAGAAAGGCCACAAGAGUAAUGUUUGUGGAAGAGAUGAUAGGAAGUGCUUCAGGUGUGGUCAGAAGGGUCACAGUUUAGCUGAAUGCAAGCGUGGGGACAUUGUCUGUUACAACUGCAAUGGGGAAGGUCAUAUCAGUUCACAGUGUCCUGAGCCGAAGAAGACUAGAAUUGGUGGAAAGGUUUUUGCCUUGACUGGUACGCAGACUCCUAAUGAGGACCGACUUAUCAGAGGUACUUGUUUCUUUAAUAGUACUCCUUUAAUUGCUAUUAUUGAUACUGGUGCUACUCAUUGUUUUAUUGCUAUUGAAUGUGCAUAUAAGUUGGGUUUGGAUGUAUCUGAUAUGAAAGGGAAAAUGGUUGUUGAAACUCCAGCUAAGGGUUCAGUAACCACUUCUCUUGUUUGUCUGCGGUGUCCUAUAUCUAUGUUUGGUAGAGAUUUUGUGAUUGAUUUAGUUUGUCUGCCGUUGACGGGUAUGGAUGUGAUUUUUGGUAUGAAUUGGUUAGAGUAUAAUCGAGUUCAUAUCAACUGCUAUAAUAAGACGGUGCAUUUCUCUUCUGCUGAAGAAGAAGGUGAGGUUGAGCUUCUGUCUACGAAACAGAUGAAACAGUUUGAACGUGAUGGUAUCCUGAUGUAUUCUCUAAUGGCACAAUUGUCGUUAGAAAAUCAAGCUGUGAUUGAUGGUUUACCUGUAGUGAAUGAAUUUCCAUAAGUAUUUCCUGAUGAGAUUCCUGAUGUGCCACCAGAGAGGGAGGUUGAAUUUUCAAUUGAUCUUGUUCCAGGAACUAAGCCGGUGUCGAUGGCACCGUACCGUAUGUCAGCUUCUGAGUUAGUUGAGUUGAAGAAGCAGUUGGAGGAUCUGUUAGAUAAGAAGUUUGUAAGACCCAGUGUUUCACCUUGGGGAGCACCGGUGUUGUUGGUAAAGAAGAAGGAUGGUAGUAUGAGACUGUGUAUAGAUUACCGUCAGUUGAACAAAGUUACGAUCAAGAACAGAUAUCCGCUUCCUAGAAUUGACGACUUGAUGGAUCAGUUGGUUGGUGCUAAGAUUUUCAGUAAGAUUGAUUUGAGGUCUGGUUAUCAUCAGAUAAAGGUGAAGGAUGAAGAUAUGCAGAAGACGGCCUUUAGGACACGUUAUGGACAUUACGAAUACAAGGUGAUGCCUUUCGGUGUUACUAAUGCGCCUGGUGUUUUUAUGGAGUACAUGAACCAAAUUUUCCAUGCUUUCCUGGAUAAGUUUGUUGUGGUAUUUAUUGAUGAUAUUUUAAUCUAUUCCAAGAAUGAGGAGGAGCAUGCAGAGCAUCUGAGAAUUGUAUUGCAAGUGUUGAAGGAAAAGAGGUUGUAUGCUAAGCUGUCGAAAUGUGAGUUCUGGUUAAGUGAAGUGAGCUUUCUGGGUCAUAUUAUUUCUGGUAGUGGUAUUGCAGUGGAUUCUUCAAAGGUUGAUGCGGUAUCACAAUGGGAGACUCCGAAGUCGGUAACUGAGAUCAGAAGUUUUCUGGGUUUGGCUGGUUAUUACCGCAGGUUCAUAGAAGGGUUUUCGAAGUUGGCUCUUCCGUUGACACAGUUGACCUGUAAGGGUAAGUCUUUUGUGUGGGAUGCUCAGUGUGAGAGUAGUUUCAAUGAGUUGAAGCGAAGAUUGACGACUGCUCCUGUUUUGAUUUUGCCUAAACCAGAAGAACCGUUUGUUGUAUACUGUGAUGCAUCUAAGCUGGGCUUAGGUGGUGUUUUAAUGCCAUAGAUUAUUGUUGGAUGUUCAUGAGGAUAUGGAUUUUGAAAACUAUUCCGCUGCUAUGUUUUCAUAUAUAUAAGUUGAUUUGAUUAAAUAGUUUUAUUUUCUAUUUAAGAAUUUUUACAAAUGACGUGUAGCAUGCCCGUUUGUGGAAUUACUCUGAUGUAUAUAAGCUAUUUUAUUUGUUUUGGGUAACGGGGUGUUACACCUUUAUCCUGUAAACGAAUUUGCGUAGGCCAACAACCUCAACACAUUCGUUAGACUAAACGAGCUCGCGUGAACUAUGCCUUAUAGUAGUCGUAAGGUAGCUCCCAUUUGGAAUGUGUAUUGAGCUCAUAACAAAUGAUAAACUAUAGAAGUAGGCUCAAUGUGAAACUUCCAACCUUACUUAUCCAACAUAACCAAAUUAAAAGCAGUGAGAUCUUUGAUCCAUAUAUCCCAUGAUUCUUAUAACCGACGGUUUUUCCCAUGACAACCAGUGAAUGUCACGAUGAUUGGACCGACCAUGACCCCACUAGAAAGAAUUCAUCAUUUUUUUCAAUAGUGUUAAUAAGUGUACUAGUGAGAAGAAAAAUACUCAUGGGAUACGAUGAAAUAGCUUGCAUAACCGAUUUGAUCAUGAACUCUUGACCUACUUUAGAAAGGCAUUUUCUAUUCCAAGAGUUGAUUUUUUGCCAAACACGAUCUUUUGUAAAAGCAAAAGUUGAUGUCUUGUCUCAACCAAUCAUGGAUGGUAAACCUAGAUAUUUGCCUGUACCAAGCUCCGCAUGAACACCCAAAAUUUUGAUGAUAGAAUUAUUUUAAGUGUUAUUGACAUUCCUGCUAAAAUAGAUUUAUGACUUAGGAAGACUAAUAGUUUGACCCGAGGCUGCUUCAUGUGAUGUUAUAAUGUUUUUCAUGACUUGUGUUUGGCUCUCCUCCACUUAUAAAAUGAAGCAAUCAUCUGCAAACAUGAGAAAAGUCACUGAAGGGGCACCCUUAAAAAUUGUCAUACCUCGAAUUUCUCUACGCUUUUUAGCGCACCGAAUUAGUGAGGUGACCCUCUUUGCAGAUAAUGAAGAUAUAAGGGGAGACAAGAACCCAUUGUUGCAAUCCAUGAACAUGGAUCACUAGACAUGGCGCUUCGUUGUUAACGAGAAUCGAGUAAUCAACAGACUCCACACUCAUAGUCAUCCACUUAAUUCACCUCGCUCUAAAAUACAUUUUACUCAUCACCUCUAAUAUAUACUCCCAAUCCAUCAUGUCAUAAGCUUUACUAAUGUCGAUCUUUAGGGCCAUACAAUUGUCGCUACCUUUAAUCUCUGUCUUCAUGUAAUGAAUAACCUCAAUAGCCACCAUGGCGUUUUCAAGAAUGGAGUGAUCAGGGACAAAAGUUGAUUGAUUAUCAGAUAUGCACUUUGAGAAACAUCUUUCAAUCUGUUAGCAAAUACCUUAGAAAUCAACAUAUACAUGACAUUACAAAGUUCAAUAGGGUGUUAGUUUCUCAUUGUUGUCUGAAUGUUAGCUUUGUGAAUGAGAGCUAUAUUCGUUGUGUUUAGAGUUGCCGGAAAUUGUCUCGUAUCAAGCCAAACACAAUAUUCAUUGAAAACAUCAUCACUACACAAAUUCCAAAAAUGUUGAUAGAAAUAUGAGUUAUACCCAUCAAGACUUGGGUAUUUAUUAGGAUGCAUUAAAAACAUUGCUUGAUGAAACUCUCAUUCUUAAUAAACAUCAUCUUAUAAGAGUAAUCGAAUCAUUUGCCUUCGCCAAGAUCACAUUUGAUGACAAUCAUCAAUGUUAACUCUUAAUUUAUUACAAUGCUCUUUACUCCAUACAUUAAUGUCUUGUAAAUAGGACCAAAUUCUUUUUUUUUUUUUUUUUUCGGUAGAUGACCAAAUUCAGUAUUUAUUAACCAAAUUAUGAACAUAAUUAACCAAUUUUUUUAAAGAUAAUUAACCACGUAUUAUUAAUUAAGUAAUUGAAUUUUAUUUGUGUGUGAGAAAAUAAAACAAGUAUUUCAAUUUUGUUCAUUUUGAAGGAUCAUAUCGAAGAGAAAUGAUAUCUGUACAACCACUUUCUCACAACUUUCUCUCUCAUACUUACAUUAUCAUCUUAUUCUCCCUCUUUCUUUUAUUUCUCUCUAUUAUUUUUGACCAAUGAAAAGAGAGAGAAAAUAAGUUAUCACAAAAAUUAUCUCAUACUAGACUUUCCACCCGUGCUGCCGCACGGGUCAUAUACAUUGUAGAUAUAGUAGACAAAAACAAAUCUCAAUGCAUAUCAAAGAGAAUGAAAUAUGUGGUCCCAAAUAUAUGCAGAUGUUGGAAUUCGAACCUCAGACACCACGCUUAUUCACCAAAAAAAUAUUAAUUUUUAUCAAUCGUGUGUUACUUCAUUCUUUUGUUAAAAUUAUAUGUCAAUAUUAUAUUAUUGGUAUGUAACUUCAUAUUUUUCUUCUUUUUUUUGAAAAAAUGUUACUUCAUUCUUUUGUAAAAAUUAUAUGUUAAUGUUAUAUUAUGUACCUAAAAAUAGUUCAUUCUUAACCUCAACAUGUAAAAUGUUUUAUUUAAAUAAUUUUCCUUUUAUCGAAUAUUUGGCCUUUACCGUAAAUGAUACCCUUUAACUGUUUGUUGAAAUGUUUCUUCCACCUGUUUAUAUAGAUUGCAAAAUUCAGGUGCAUUUUGUGGUAAAUAUUUAACAAAGAGAGUUCAGUUCUAAUUUGGAUGAAAAGUGUAAUAUUAACAAAAAAAAUGUUGUUAUAAUCUUUCAAAACCCUUUUAUUCCAAUAGGGCGAUUUGUUUUGUUGAAGAAAUAGGGCGAUUUGUUUUGAAGAAAUAGGGGAAAUAAAGCGAUGCCGAUUUGCUUUGUUCAUGAAAAUAGGAGAUUAGGUGUGAGCAUUAGCGUUGUUCAUGAAAAUAGAAGAUUAGGUGUGAGCAUUAGGGUUAAAACGGUAAAAUUAUGCAACAGGGUUUAGGUUAAAAUUAGGGCUCAUGAAAAUAUGAGAUUAGGUGUGAGCAUUAGGGUUGUUCAUGAAAAUAUAAGAUUAGGUGUGAGCAUUAGGGUUAAAACGGUAAAAUUAUGCAACAGGGUUUAGGUUAAAAUUAGGGCUCAUGAAAAUAUGAGAUUAGGUGUGAGCAUUAGCGGUUGUUCAUGAAAAUAUAAGAUUAGGUGUGAGCAUUAGGGUUAAAACGGUAAAAUUAUGCAAUAGGAUUUAGGUUAAAAUUAGGGCUUACGGGUUACCUUUAAUAUAUAAGAAGAUUAGGUGAGAGCAAUAGGAUUGUUCAUGAAAAUAGGAGAUUAGGUGUGAACAUUAGGGUUAAAACAGUAAAAUUAUGCAAUAGGGUUUAGGUUAAAAUUAGGGCUUACUUGUUAACUUUAAUAUAUAAGAAGAUUAGGUGAGAGCAUUAGGAUUGUUCAUGAAAAUAGGAGAUUAGGUGUGAACAUUAGGGUUAAAACAGUAAAAUUAUGCAAUAGGGUUUAGGUUUAAAUUAGGGCUUACAUGUUAACUUUAAUAUAUAAGAAGAUUGUUCAUGAAAAUAGGAGAUUAGGUGUGAACAUUAGGGUUAAAACAAUAAAAUUAUGCAAUAGGAUUUAGGUUAAAAUUAGGGCUUACUUGUUAACUUUAAUAUAUAAGAAGAUUAGGAGAGAGCAUUAAGAUUGUUCAUGAAAAUAGGAGAUUAGGUGUGAACAUUAGGGUUAAAACAGUAAAAUUAUGCAAUAGGGUUUAGGUUAAAAUUAGGGCUUACUUGUUAACUUUAAUAUAUAAGAAGAUAAGAAGAUUAGGAGAGAGCAUUAGGAAUGUUCAUGAAAAUAGGAGAUUAGGUGUGAACAUUAGGGUUAAAACAGUAAAAUUAUGCAAUAGGGUUUAGGUUAAAAUUAGGGCUUACUUGUUAACUUUAAUAUAUAAGAAGAUAAGAAGAUAGGAGAUUAGGUGUAAACAUUAGGGUUAAAACAGUAAAAUUAUGCAAUAGGGUUUAGGUUAAAAUUAGGGCUUACUUGUUAACUUUAAUAUAUAAGAAGAUGAUUGUUCAAAUAACACUACUCCAUCGAAAAAGACUUCAAGAUAUUCCUAAAAUGAAAUUUGUUGUUUUGUAAUAGUUUCCUUUGAACAAGUUUCGCAUUAACACUCCACUCACUUUCCUACAAUAUCGAAGAUUAGAGAUUAUUACAGAUAACUUCUUCUUCUUCUUCUUCCAACAAACAACAAUGUCUCAUUCUUCUCUUCUCACCCCCUCUUCCUCUCUUACACUCAACUCUCCUCUUCUUUCCCCCACCACUGGUUCUUCUUCUCACAGUCUUUCUCUUCCCUCCCACCCUUUUCUCUCCGGGUAUGUAUCUUUUUCUUUCUUUAUCUUUUCUUCAAUUUCAAUUUUUUAUAACAACCCUUGAACUUAUUCCGAACCCUUUCUUUUAACUCAAUUUUAAUUCCUCGUAAAGUUCUUAUUUUUGUUUCAUUUCUAUAAUUUCGAGAUUUUUUUCUUCUUCCAAUUUGUGGGUAUUGAGUUUUUGUUGUUUGUUUACUUGAUUCUUUGUGUUAGGUUAUUAGGUUCAUAGAAAAUUGCCCCUUUUCAUAUUUUUGCUAGUGGGGUUAGGGUGAAAUUGAAAUUUUUUGGAAUUCAUUUUUGUGUUGUACGUGUCAACUGAAAAAUGAUGCAAAUAUUAUGAUAAAUUGGAACUGGCUUAUUCUUGAGACAAAUGAAUAAUCUGGGUUGGUGUAAAAGUCUUUCAAUUUUUACUAGUUUAAGCUCAAAUUAACCAAGUGAUUAAUUAGCUCUAGUUAGGACAAAUCUUUUAUGAGAAUCCGAGUUCAAAUCGUGGUUAAAACAAUUAUUGGUCAGACUUUACUUACUUUCUGGUUAAUUACCGUGGCUUCCUCCCUCGGGGCCUGAAGGACCCCCUUCCAAUAGAAUAUUCUAUGUUAUUCUUUAUAUUUUACUUCUACCAACAGAAUAAAACCAUGCUGUGAUUUGCAGGAAAUUGAGGAAACCUGUAGAAUUUAGAAAGAUUACCCGAAAAUCUGCCGUGAAAGCGGUCUAUGGUGAUCAAUUUUGGGGACAUGAGAGGAGUUCACGUCAGGGUAUUUGGUCCAUAAGGUAGAUUUUGCUUGUUAAUUUGUUUAAUCUGUUAACUUUAGUCUUAUUUAUUGACUUGAAUUAUGUGUUCUUCUAGGGAGGAUUUGGGAGUUCCAUCUUCGCCUUAUUUUCCUACCUAUGCACAAGGACAAGGGCCACCCCCAAUGGUGCAGGAGCGUUUCCAGAGUGUUAUAAGUCAGCUUUUCCAAUAUGUAAGGAUUUUUUACGCUUGGCGUUGCUUAAUGUUGAGUGUUUAGUCCUUCGAGUAUUAAUAAUCUGUUUUGGUAUUUAGAGAAUAAUCCGUUGUGGUGGAGCAGUUGACGAUGAUAUGGCAAAUAUCAUAGUUUCUCAGCUCCUUUAUCUUGAUGCUGUUGACCCAAACAAGGUUUGUCCUUCGUUUUUUAGUUGAUCAAAGCUCGUGGUUACAUAUGCCUUCAUCUAUAUAAAGUGAUCCUUUGCAUUUCUAGAGAUGUCAUCAAACACAUACAUUUUGAUAUGGCUAUGAUUUUGAGUUUAUCUUUAUCUACUAUGUUGAACAGGAUAUUGUCAUGUAUGUAAAUUCUCCCGGAGGGUCGGUUACAGCUGGUAAUAAUUUCUUAUGCAACUAUCUUGUACUUGUUUGUAUGUUUAUUUUUAUUACAUGUACUCUAAACAUAGGCUAAGAAAAUAUCAUUUCAUUCAAAAAGUAAUACACUUUCUUUGUUUUUGUUCUUAGGUAUGGCAAUAUUUGAUACAAUGAAGCAUAUCAGACCUGAUGUGUCCACUGUCUGUGUUGGAUUGGCGGCUAGGUAAUAUUUCAUUCUUCCUCCGGUUAAUAAUACAUAAUUGCUGAUAAGUUACCACUCACUAUCAGUAAAAGGGUAAAAGUAUAUCCUAACUUUCAUGUACACACGCAAAACUUAUUCACUUUUUUUUUUUACUGAGUGCUAGGAGAAUUUAAGAUGAAUUAAGACCCUCACUUGCGCACUGUCUAUUAAGCCUAUCUUAUUUUAGAUAAAUAUUUCUUUUCUAUUUGUGUGUAUUUAUUUAGCGUGAUUGGUCGCCCUCAUACACACCCCUUUUCUCAUUUUCUGUGUUUCCUGUCACUAGUAGACUAUGAAAGCCCAACAUAGAUAGGGAUACAGGACAUUGACACAGACACAUCGAUAUGAACAAAAUUUAAAAUAUAGGACACCGGGAUUUGUUGAGACUUGAGAUCAUGAGAGGAGUUAGUCUCAACCAAUCAUGUGUGGUUAUAUGAUUAUAUAUCUUUUGGCAUGAUUAUGCAUGCACAUGCUGAAUACAUACACGUGUGAGGGCAAGGGGGAAAGAAAAAUAUUCCAAAUGAAGUGAUAUUGUUAGAGACAUAACAUUUUUUUAUAAGUGUUCUUAUUUUUAAGUGUUAAACCAUAAUUGUCAGCUAAGGGUCCGUACUUUACGCCACUAAUUGGUCCGUUUCAUAUGCAUAUUAGAUCAAACUUGACUGUAAUAGUAUAAAACCGGAUAUUUUAAUACUAUGUGGUGUUUGAUAUGACACCGUACAAGUAUAUUAUACAAGACAAUACUAUCUUACAUUUUAUAAUGACUUACACUUUUAUAACAGGAUAAAAGCAAGCAUAUUUUUACCAACAUACCCUAUAUUGAGCAUACAUUAUAUUUACAUAGAUAUACAUGUUUUAUUGUUUUUACAGAAAAAAGUCAAUAAACACUAGAUAUGAGAUCGGGUCUUCAUAUGGAAAAUAGAAGAUUUUAAUAAAAACCUAGAUUGAAUAGUAAUUGAUGAAUUUAAACAGGGUUGCGCAAGAGCAUUGAAUUGUCACCAUAGUUUAUGUACGGAAUGAGUUUCUUUUAAAUAGCCAUGUAUUAUGUAUGCAUUAUUGUAUAAUUAAGCAUUAAACUUUGAUAUGAUUUUUGUUUUAAUUUUUUUAUUUUUAUCUGCAUUACUGAUAAACUUUUAAGGAAUGUUAUUUUAUUUAGGCUAUUUGGGCUAAAUUGUUGUCUCAUAUUUUCUUUAAUUAUAUAAAAUUUUUGAUAUUUUCUUUAAAUAAGAACUUUUGAACUUAAAACCUAAGAGCUUCUUAGGCUAUAUCUUUGCAAAAUAUGCUGAACACAAGAUAUGUAAGGUCCACCAUUUGCAUUAGUCACUCAGACUAGUGCACUAUAUUUUGGCUAUUUGGUGUUUUGGACUAAAUGGCUGUCUCAUAUUGUCUUUAAUUAUUUACAAAAAUUAUAUAUUUACCCUUAACCAAGAAAGAACUUUUGAACAAAAAGCUUAAGAGCUUCUUAGGCUACGCCUUUGUAAAAUAUGCUGAACACAAGAUAUGAGAGGUCCACCAUUUGCAGCUAGAAACUCAAGAGUGCACUCUAUUUCCAAUAUAUGUCAUACCUGUUUAUGUUAUGGAUUUGUGGUCUACCGUUAGCCUAGUUCUUCUCAGUGGUUAAGCCUUAAGACAGUCUAUUUUAACUGAUACCAUUAAUAUAUAACCUUAAUUACUCUGUUAAUUUCCUUUUAAUUUAGUGCCUGAAAAUUCCAGUUCUCCUAUUUUUUGCUUGAUUUUAGUCCUAUUAUUUUAAAACAAAUGUGGUUCAUUAAACCGAGUUUCGUCCAACUGGUUAAUUCAGCUUCUUAGUCUACGCUGAUCUAACAGUAUACGGAAGUUGUGCUAACAUGGCAUCUGAUGCAUGGAGCUGUGUACCCUCUUGGUCAAGUAUUCUCAUCGACGCCAACUGAGUUUAGUUGCAUAACUGAAACAUCUCUGAGCUUUGGGUUAUGUACCUUCUCGAUUGAGAGCUGAGUUCGACAUUUCUCCGGAGCAGGGAGAUGGUACUAUUUACCUUUACCUUUCUGACCAAGUAUGGAGUUAGAAAUCAAGUUCAUUCCCUCUUUAAAGCAUGGUGGUUGGAAGGAUGAGUAGCCUCUCGACCAAUCACAGCUUCUUGUCUGAGUAUACGAAACCCCCCCAAUGCAAGUCUGGAUAAUUUCCAUCAUGUCCAACUUAACUCUAACACAUCCAUCAGAUAUCGGACCUUAAAUGAACAGAUUGACUAAGCUUGUUCAAUUUUAAGAAUAAGCGGACUGAGACCGAGAACCAAAAACUAGAGAGACCAAAAUAGCACAUCAGCUAUAUUUGAGGGAUCAAAGUUGCAAUUAAACACAAGUUUGAUACAUAUUUGUAUCUUGACAUAUCACCGGAAAUGUCCAAUAUUAUUAGUAAUUUCACACUGAAAACUAAUUGAUAGGUGAUUGUAUGCUUGUAACUUUUUAUCUUUUAAUUUGUUGAAGAAAUUUUUAAUUCCUGUACUUAUAUAUUGAUCUGUUCAUGAGCAGUAUGGGAGCUUUUCUGCUUAGCGCGGGGACCAAAGGUAAUGAUUCCUUUAACUUGCAAUGACUGUAUCCAUUUUUCUUCUUUUCUUGGUCCACAUUUGCAAAAGGGGAAAAUGACUAUGUCUAACUUUAUAUUCCCGCCUCUGUCAUUUUUGAAGGAAAACGAUUCAGCUUGCCAAACUCAAGGAUAAUGAUUCAUCAACCACUUGGUGGUUUCCAAGGAGGGCAAACUGACAUAGAUAUUCAGGUAUAUAUAGUCCCUGUUUUCUUCCCCCCUCAUUUGAUGGCACAAACCUCUUGUUUCUUCUGAUAAAAUCAUACUCCCUCCGUCCCUAAUUAUAAGACCCUUUUGAAAAAAUCAUUUGUCCCUUUUUAUACCCCUUUGGUGUUUUCAAGUACAUUAAUUAUUUCUUUACCAACAUACCCUUAUUUAUUUUGCAUUUUUCUUCAAUCAACGAUAAAUAUUAUAUUGAAAACAUAAAUUUACUCUCUCUCUUAAGGAUAAAAUUGUAAAAACAAUAGUAAUUAUAUAAAAAUUUAAUACUACAACCAACUUUCUUAAUCUCCGCAAUUUUAGCAAAAGGCUCCUAUAUUUAGGGACGGAGGGAGUAUAUCUUUUUCAUAGAAAAUUAAAGGCUAUCACAGGUAGCACUUGAAGUCUAAUGAGUUAUCCUUAAACCAUGAUAACAUUAAAUUCCCUACAAGUGUUCCAUACUCUUACAUUCCUAUUUUUCCUUUCCUAUACCGUUCUAUUGUAUUCCAUUCCAUGUCAUACUUUUUGGCUUUAGUUGGUUUUUGGAUUGGAUUUGAUUAGUUGAUUUUGAACACCUAUACAAUAAGGGAUAUCAUCCAUGUGCCAAGGAAGACAUGACAUGAUUGGUUAACUUUUACAGUUAAUUUUUUUGCACAAGUAUUAUAAAUUCAUAAUUAUGAUUCAUAAUCCUCUCAGGCUAAUGAAAUGCUGCAUCACAAGGCAAACCUGAAUGGGUAUCUGUCCUAUCAAACUGGGCAAAGUUUAGAGAAAAUUAACCAGGAUACAGACCGUGAUUUUUUCAUGAGUGCAAAAGAAGCCAAAGAAUAUGGACUCAUCGAUGGUGUCAUCAUGAAUCCUCUCAAAGCUCUUCAGCCUUUAGCAACUGCAGAGGAGGGUAAAGAUCGGGCUAUUCUUUGAACUCGACACUGUUGUACUCCUAAUUUCGUAGGUACGAAAAACAAGGAUGUUGUUUUUGGUUGGUUGCUUAGUAUAGCUGAAUUUUUCACAGAUGUUGAUAUCUGUAUAACGGUGUACCAACAAAUGAGGCCAAAAUGAUACCUAGUGAUGUUGUAUUGCCUUAGAGUUUAUACUGUUAUAAUUCAAAAAAGCUUCCUUAACGCGGAUCCUGGAUUUGCGUUUUUCCUUCUAGCAUUGUAUUCAAUAUUGUGAUAACUGAUGAUAUGGCCUCAUAUGUUGCAUCCCUUAGACAUGUGAUUCACUUCAUACUCGACGGAUGCCAUACCAAAUUGUUAUAGACCAAAAAUAUAAAGGAAUGACUGGGUGGUUCAGCAGAAAUAAAAGAAAUGUCAUUUCUUAGUUUUGAUAGUUAGGGUUGAAGAUUCUUUCAUACAUUUAUUUUGUAAUUUAUAAUAAUUUUUUUUAUGGUAUCUAUAUAAAUAAAGCGAUAGACAUUAAAUCUCAAAAAAAUUAUAUAAUGUUUUACAUAAAAGUAUAUAUUCAAUUCAUAAAUUUUAUAGAAUUUAAUUUUAACCUAUAGUAAAAUAAUUUUACACAUUUAAAUCUUACCACGUAGAUAUAUGUGUAUGUAUUUGAGAAAAUAAUAUAAUCACAUAUCUAUAUGGUGAUGUCUGAUUAGAUAUCUAUGUACAAUUUACAUCGGUUAGUACAUCAGAAAUUUUUUAGGUAACAAGUAUAUUUUGGAUCUUGUCAAAAAAAAAAAAGUAUAUUUUGGAUAUCAAAUUUUUUUAGUUUGAACACAAUUUGAUCAAUUUCAAUUUACAAGAACUUUCUACAUUUGCUUUUUUCUCACUACCAAAGUCAUUCCAAGUCUAAAUUAAUCAUUGGUAGUUAAGAUUUAAGUAUCACCUACUUUAGACAGUCACUCAUCAUCGUCAACCAUCAACUGUUACAUUUGCAUCCAUGAAAGAAAUUUGGUAAGAGGAAGAUCAUUUGGAUGUUUGAUUAUAAAUCCACUUCUGAGUUAGUUUAUUUGGCACUAUGGGGACGUUAACAUUGACAAGCAUAGCAUAACAUUUUUCUUUUGAUUUUUCAUAGGUUCCUUUCACUUGAUGUAACCUUAUUUCAUGCAUAUCAGACACUAAAUAUAGGUACAUCUUUCAUUCGAAGUACGGAUCUUGUUUGUCACAUUAUAUGACCUAUUUCGUCAGACUCUAUCUAUUAAUAAUUUUUUUUUUGUUUUUGUUAAAUAACCUAUUGAUAAUACAUUCAUCUCUUAAAGGUUUCGGAUGCCCAUAAUUAUGAACUCCAGAAUUUGCAUCCUGCAAUGUUUCUGUCAACCCUGAAUUAUGUUCACGAGACUAAUGAAACCUUUUUAUUUACCUAAGUUUAAUUAUCUUGCGCUGUUCUGAAGCCUCCAAUUUAUUUUUGUACCGAAUGGCCUAAAAUAUAUGUGUAGAUCCCCUACUUCCAACUAAACAUCUAAAUGAAAAUCUUCCUAAUCCAAUUAGAUUUAGCUACUUCAACCGCAACUAUAUCCAUAUAUAUAUAUAUAUAUAUAUAUAUAUAUAUAUAUUUAUAAUAGCAACUAUAUCUAAUUUAAGCCAAAGGAAAAGGCUAGAGUUUGAUAAUUCGUAAUUAUGUUAGGUAGCUUACGGCGUAAAGUACAAUUCAUAUGACGACGUCCAUUUUUUCAUACACAUAAUAAAAACCAAGAUAACGAUCCCACGCAUACCAGCAACAAAGACAGACAAUAUUAAAAAUUUGUUUCAUAGCAGUAUAUUAAAAAGGAUACAUUUAGUCAUGGAAAAUGUACAUUUCCAGCUCCGGUUGUAUAUAAAAAGUAAGAUUAUAAGGGUUUGAAAAAUACUCAAUACAAAUCACUCUAUUAGUAAAAGUACUUUUUUUGUGGUGUCAAGGAUUUGAACCCCACACCCUGUAUAUUUUAUGCAUUGUCCUUAUCAACUGAGAUGAGUAUUAAUAAAAGUACUCUAUUAUAACUGAAUAGUUAUACCAGUUAAAAUCAAUGACUAUUUAGCAACAAAAAUCAUACGUAAUAUGCCAAAAUGAUUGUUAUAUAGCAAUACAAACUAAGAUCCGUUCAACUCAACUUUUGGGUAAGAGAAAGAAACAACUUAAUAAUUUGGAUGAAUAAGUAAUCUUUCAAUUGUUAAAUUAAUAUUUACUUCUUCGUCCAAGUUUAAACCCAUAAUCUAAAACUCUUCUUCGUGAUAAUUAAUUGUUAAUAAGACUGGAAUUUUUUUUUGUUUAUAAGACUUGGAUUAAUUGAUGGCUAUCUAAAUCACAAACGCUAACAAGAUUUUUACAUAUCAUUCAUCAAAGAGACCUGCAUACUAGUAACAUAAAGAACUCAUGCUUUUUAUAUAUCAUGCGUUAUCUAAUUUGUGGUUAAAUAACACAAUUCAUUUUCUAAUGCAGACAAAUAAAUUCAAUGAUGUUUCGUCAACGAAGAGCGAGUGAACAGCCAAAGAGGUUUCCUCAAAAUUUCGAACUGUUUCCACUCUCAUCAAUUAAAUUUGGCACCCAAUUAAACAUCCGCAUUAUUCAAAAUUCAAACCAUGCCAAUAUAUUCUUUUUUUUCGUACCAAACCAAUGUGACAAUGGACGUUGAGAUUGAGCUAAAUUAAAUACUAUUAUUAUAGAGAUAUAAAGAAUCAACACCAUGUCCUAUAAAAUGUCAACUAAGUAACCAAUGGACGUGGUAACCACUUAUUAAAUUUCAUUUCAUAAAAAAUAGUUGUCAAGUCACAUACAUAAAGAAACACCUUUACUUAAUCUUGAACUUCCCUUAGCUUGUAAAUAAAGAACAACGUGUUUCUUCAAUUCAACACUAAUUGUUUUCAUUCUACACAAAAUGGAUUGGCAGAAAAAAUCCAAAGAGUUCUUCUUCAACUAUAUUGCUAUCUACACCCCUACAAGGAUUUUCCACCUCCUCACCAUCACAAUCCUCACCCUUCUCCUCCCUCUAUCUUUUCUUCUCUUAGCUAGUCUCUCUGGUGCAAAAUUCUACCUUCAAAUUCAUUCACAACAACCCUUACCUUAUCUUUUCUCUUUUGCUAUACACACCUCCCCAUGUAUUCUCUACGUUCUUGUCUCCAUUGUAAGUGUAGCUACUUUGAUCAAUGGUUUGAUGGGAAAAAUCAACCUUAUGAAUGAUUCAUCCAAUUCUAUUCUUCUCCAAACUCGUCUUUACAUGUCAUGGAAAUGGAUUCUUCUUUUCACUUUUCAAAUAUGUGUUGGUUUAGGAAUUGAAGCAAGCAUUGCAGCUGGAGUUUUCGACUCCGACAACGAUGUUUUUGAUGAUGGUUCUAGUAGUUUUGGUGUUGAAAGAAGCUUCAUAAGUAGAAUGAUAUUUCUUUUGGGACUACAUGAAACAACACAAAUUUGGUCAAGAGUUGUUGUGAGACCAGUGGUUGAUGACACUAUAUUUGGUGUUGGAAAAACAGAAAGAUUAUGGAUUGAGAAAGUGGUUGUGGCAGGUAGUUUAGGAACAUUGUGGUGGUGGAAGUUGAGAGAGGAAGUUGAGAAUUUAGGUGUUAUGGCUGAAACAAAGAAAGAUGAAAUGAUGGAGGUGGGAAUAGAAGAAUUUGUUGGUUGGUGGUUGUAUUAUUUAACUGUUACAAUUGGUAUGGUGAGGAUUGUGAAAGGUCUUAUGUGGAUUUUCAUGAUUUCUCUAUGUAGAAGAAGGGUAACACAGAUUAAUGAGGUGGAAUUGGAACUGAGUCAGAAUGAUGACAAGGUGUAAAUUUGACAAGUUUUGGUUUUGGUUCUUUACUUGUUUCUUACUCUAUCUUUUUUUUGUCAUUUUAUUCUAUGGUUAGGGAUAUUGCAAUAUUGUAUACUUUUGGCAGAAUUGUGAUAAACCCGUGGCCAAUAUUGUAAUGAUGAUGUAUUAUUGCUCAACUUGUUGAUAAUCACUUCUUUAAUAAGGCUUAUUGAUCUUCUUUUUUAUUUCAAGGAAAGACAAAAUGGGCUUGUUGAUAUUUUUGCUUUUUUUAUGAUGUUACUAAUAUCAAUAUAGAGGUUGCAUUGCAUGGUUUGUUUUUCUAAUUGCAACACAAUUACAACUGAAAUAAUAUCUUUGUCAUUUUACCACAAUUUAAAAUUUUGAGUAUAAUUGACUAGUUUGAUUAGAAUCUAAACUUACAGAAUGAUAUUUAUUUAGUGUUUAUUGUUUAACUAAUCUCGAUUCCAUGAUUUUUUUUUGAAGUGUAUUGUUGUGAAUUUGAUGAGAAAACACACCAAUAAUAAACUUGAUGUGUGGAGUAAGUGAUAAUCAGGCAACCAAAAAUCAAAGUGUAUGGAACAUUUAUAAACACAAGCCAAAAGUAGAAAACAAUGAGAGAAAAGAAGAGAGAACACAAAAGAAUUUGUUGACUCAGUUCGGUCCAAAUUGACCUAGUCUGGGGAGAGAGCAGCCCUCCGUUUUACUAUGAUGAGUAACGUUACAAAAGAGAUAUCAAUGGGUUACAAGAAUAAGUCUCCAGCCUAAUUCUACCCAAAGUCUCAAUCUCUUCCCGUAACCAAGAGACUCAAUCCUAAUAGUGUUUUCCAAGGUGAAUCAACCCUCAAACCCUAGUGUUUGUUCCAAAGAGACAAACUCUAUACAAACCCUAGUUUUGUUGUUGCCUUUCUGAACUCUUGUUUCAGCCCCCUCUAUCUCAAAGUUUACUCUGAUACAAGGUCUAUAUUUAUAGUAAAAGUAUCGCUUAAAAUUUGGAAUAAAUCUGCACCCAAAAAUACACUUCUGUUGUUCGCUGCCAACGCCCCAUCGUGCCACAAAAAAUCCAGUAACUUGUCUCAAAACUGAAACCUCCAAUCGUGCCACGUUGCCCAGCCAUCGUACCACGAUUUCUGCGGAACCUGAUUUUAAGUUAACUCUCAUAUGAAUUGAAAUUGGUAUUUUGGAGUUUUUAACACUCACAAAUUGUGCACCAGGCACAUGCACCUGCCGUACACUUUGUGGCAUCUUUAACUAAAAGAAAGUGAGUACAAAGAAAAUAAUCUGCGAGUUCAAUCAUAAAUGGAAAAGAAAGUGAGUGCAAAGGAUUGCGUGUUUAAUUAAUUUAAUCAAUAAUAAAAACAUGUGAGUAUAAUUAAUCUAAGACUUAAUAACAUGGUGUAACACAAGUGAUAAAUACUUGAGUCAUCUAAUUAUUUUCACAAAGGAUUCGACCCAUAUGUAUGGAUUUGACAGAAUGAGUGUGCCUCUCUAAUUUCAUAUACUUUAGAGCUUUAACAAAAUCAUGAUGUCGUAGUAAGUUCUCAAUAUAUCCGUCAACUCAAACAUGCAUUUUCCCUAAUAUGAUCAAACAACCCAUUUUGGGGAAUUUUAAAGGAAUGUAUACAUAUACAUUGUAAUUGAGUGUUUAAAAUUUCUUUUACAUAUAUUUAUCUCAAAGAAACUUCCAAGCUGAGAUUGAAUGAAUUGGAGUCCCUUUCCAUCCAAUUAUUAAACACUUCCCAUUUUUGUCUAUAGUACAAAACUUCCCACAGUCAAACUUUUUAGUAACCAAAUUAGCUUGAUAAAUUGAAGACUCACUGAAUCCAGUUUCCACCAUUCUAUACCUUGCAAAGAACCUUCUCCAAACAUCAAUCUUCACAUUCCUAACCUUCCUUUCUUCAUCUUCCAAACCAACAAUGUUUCUUAUCCCUUCAGAUAAUAUUGCUUCCAUCAUUACUCUACACUCAUAAUCCUCUUUUAUACAAGUAUCAACACAGUCAAAAAAUGCUGAGUAAAAGAACAAUGCUUCAACAAACCUAUUCGCAAACAAAGGUGAAUUAUGGUUUGCUUCAAGUUCAAGUACUAUCAUAAUAAACGGUUUCAUUUUUCUUAUCACCUUCAUCAAAUUCUCCAAGCCAUCAGAAUUUGAUACCAUAGUCCUAAGUGAACAUGGAGAGUAAAUAGCAACAGCUUCAUCAUAUUCAAUGUCAAAUUGAUCUAACUUAAUCUCCAUAGCAUCCUCAACAAAAACUAUGUUAUAUAAAAAGGGUAUGUUCAAGGAUUCAGCAAAACUCAUUAAACUUUUGCCAAUUUCUUCUAACUUAGCCUUGUUAGAAAAUCCAAUAGCUGUGAUCUUCAGAAUUUCAACCGGCUUUUCCUUGCGGUCUACUAAUGCUUGCAUGAAACAUGUACUCAUCACUCCACAUCCAAUAUUAAGAUGAAUCAAAUGGAUUUUUGUUUGUGAUGCAACAUGUUCCACUAUAGCUUGUACACCAGCAAAUUGCAUUACUUGAUUGAAAGGAAUUUUUUGAUGACAUUUAACUACUAUGUUAGUAUCUAAUUCCAUUUUAUCAAUCAAUUCCGUCUCCUUGUUUCUCUCAUUUGAUCUAUGCAGUUUCAUCUUUCCUCGUCCGGUUUCUCUGUUGAUUCUCUCUUGAAGGGCUUGAGAGAAAUGGAAAAGAAGUCUCUGAACUGUGCUUCCAAUAUUUCCACUUUCAUUCAUGAGAUGAAAAUGUGAAAGUAACAUGUUUGCACGUUCAAAUUGUUGACAACCUACUCUCUCAGCUGCUGCUAGAACAAACUGAGCUAGUUCAACUUGUUUAUUUUCUUCCUCCGACAACAAGCUUCCAAGAACAGUUCCAUAAGGAAUGUAAAGAUUAUUAUCAUGCCACUGUGAUGAGUUCUGGAUAUACUUCGUUCCUGCAAGUGUUAUUAUAUCUUCUGUUGACAACUUUUGAGGACUUGCACAAGUUUCAACAUUGCUUUUGUUUUUUUGCUUAUUGAACUUGCUUCCAUAAUUUUUCAAUAGCUCAAGUGAUGCUAAUGAAGAUGGUGGUGGCUUUUGCACCUGCUUAAGAGUUGGAAUUGAUAUUAUAGCUUGAUUUUCUUGCUCCAUUGUUGUUAUUGCAAAGAAACUGUGUUCUACGUGGAAGAUUAUAUAGUAAAAUUCUCUUGUAUAACCGUCUUGGAAUAUAUUGAUAUUGAAAGGUGUGAGAGAAAAAGAAUGGUUCAGCAUGUUUACGGUAUGGAAUCUUAACAUUGGAGGAAUCAUGGGAUGAUAUAUGUUUCGAUGUUUUUCUUAAAAUGUAGCCGUAAUUCCAUAAUUUGUUUGUCGUUGUUGAAACAAAUGGGAGAGUCGAAACAAACAAUGGUGUAGUAUAUGGAAUAUUUUACCAUAUAUAGGUGUUCUUAAGAAGUUCUGUCCAACGUGGCUAAUUAUGGCGUUGAAUGAAAAUGUUUGAUGGAAUGUUACGGAUAAGACAUUGGAAUUCCAAUUGUUCUAGAUGACUAUGCGGUGUGUGUGUGUUUUUUUUUUUUUUUUUUUUUUUUUUUUGUUACAAAUAGUAUGUUUCAUAUUUUUGACAAAAAAAAUCGUAUAUUUCAUUUGUUAGUUUCAUAUUUGAAUUUGUUAAGGAAUUAUAUAGGUGGUGGAUUCGCUAAUAGGAUGAAGUUGGUGUAUUUUUCGCAUCACAAUCGACUCACAUUAGAAUUAGUUAAUGUAAAAUUCACUAACAACUUAUGCAAAAUCGAAUGAUAGCCGAAUAAGCUGCCGAUUGAUAGAAGAGAUGACUAUCAAAUUUAAAUAGGAAUUGGAUAAUGUUUAAUUAGUCUAAAAGACUCCAACAUUGACUUGACUAAGUCAAAAGGUCAUAUUACAAUUUUCCUAUAUAUGUGGCAUGAUAAAGUAAUGGUUAUGCAAAGAGAAAAGAUAAACUGACCCCAAGGUUGAUUUUAAUGACAUAGCAUGGUUAAUUAGACAUUCAUUUCUUAAAGAUAGGAAUAAUGUGUAGAACAUAGGUAAAUGACGAUCGAGCAAUCAACCAUACACAAUUAUGCCCUCAACUCAGCCAUAUCAGCCAGAUAUUAGCUAGUUAAGUCCAGAACAUGUAUGAAGAUUUAUUCUCUUAAUAAUAAGGCGAUGAAGGAUGUGGAUGCUGAUAUGGAAGUUUAUAAUUUAGUCGACAAGGCAGCUUUGGGUUGUAACUUAGCCUACAAGAUACUCCCUCCGGUCUCAAAUGUAGGGAAAAAAAUAAAAAAAAAUUGUGGUCUCAAAUGUAAGAAAAAGUAUAGUAAAAGCAACCUAAUAAAUGCUACUAUUCCAAUUUUACCCCAUCUCCAUGAGUUCAAGAGUCACUUUCAUUAAUUAUUACUAAAACAUGACAAGGCAAAAUUGAAAAGUUGUACUUUUUUAACAUGACUUCAAUGUAAUCAAUUCAUUUUCUUAAUUGGUGUACUUUUUUUUUUCUUUUUCCCUACAUUUGAGACCGGAGGGAGUAGUAACUUACACCCCCUAUAAUAUUUGCGAACAACCGAAAAAUACUUUGAUUUUAAAUGACAUCGGAUAACUUGUAAGGACAAUUUUUUUAAUGGCAAUAGAUGAUAUAAUUAAGGACUCCGUUGCUACUGAGUGAUAUUGAUUCAAGAACUAAUUUUCUAGUAAGUGGUAAAUUUAGCGAGUAGUUUAACAUAAUAUUAGAUGCCAGUUAAUAUAAGGAUCAAGUUGUUUGACAAAAUUCUAUGUUAGAGGAUCAAUUUUGCAUAUUCGCAAAUUUUAGAGGUGUGAAUGCUCGACUCUUACAAGUUGUGGGGAUGAAUGGAUAAUUUACUAAACCAUAAAUUUGACUUAAAAAUGCUUGCGAUUAAAGUUGUGGACCUUUUUAGGAGACUAAUAAAGUACUCAAAAGGUGCUGGAGUGUUGGGGAGACUAAUAAUUCAAGGCAAAAAAACCUUUGAUACCACACUUUUAUUAAUCUAAAUUUUAAGAAAUUAGAAAUCUAUAUCACCUCUUUGACAAUUGCUUUUUUAACAUUCAAUAGUUCCUAAACACAAGUAAAAUCCUAAAAUAUCUUAACGGUAGUUAAUUGCCGUUGACUUAUAACUAUAAAACCGGCAGCAGUUACCUGCCAUUGAAUUUUUUAGUUAUUUACUUAUGUUUCUAAGAGACAUUGAAUGUCGGAACAAAAAUUAUCCACCAAUUUAAGGAACCUGUAUGAAAUUUUACACUCACACUUUAAUCCUUUCGGAAAAGAAAAACAAAAAAAAAACACCGACACUUUAACAAAUAUGGUGGAAAUUGUAUUGGGCAAGUUAUCAACGUACCAAGCUAAGUUGGUUGCUAAAAAGUUUUGGUUGUGAGAAGUUUGUACUAUUGAGAAAUAAAGUUUCCACUCAUUUGCGAGUGGGUAAUUGAGCCUCUAUCAUUUUUGGUCCUCAAAAUAUGGAUGAUUGAUCCAGUUACGUCUCAUACUAAUUAUUGGUGUCAUUUAAUUUGGGAAAGGAAAGUUCUUUUUCACCAUGGGAAAGUUGAUCAUAUCCAUUAAAUUAAAUAAGGAACAUAUUCCUAUCAUACUCUCUCAACCACUAGAUUAUUUUUUUAUACUAUCUUUCACACUCUCUCUUUCAUGUUCCCACACACCCAUACCACCACCACUAAAUCACAAAUUCAACAACCACUUUGACCACCAUUGCACCACCACACACCACCACUGCACCACCACACACCACCAUGGUUGCUGCCGGAAAGAACUCUCCUUUCCCAAAUUAAAUGGCACCAUCAUUUUAAUCAAAACUCAAGGGUACCUGCAAAUUUUCCUAUAAAGAAUCUAAAUUAACCUAACGAUGCAAUAUUAUAUUUUUUUAGAGGGAUGCAAUAUUAUUUUGUUCAUAGUUUAUUUUAGAGGGAUGCAUAAUUAUCUUGUUGUUCGAAUUCCAACCGCCAUCGCAUAAACUAUACCUGUUUGUGAUCGUGUUUUUUUUAUCCAAUUAAUCCGUUUCUCUCCGGGUAAAAUGAUUGUAUUAUAUAAUUUUGAAUUAUAUUAUUUUUCUUCUGUUUUUUUUUUUUAUAAAAAAACAAAUGGGUUCAUGGAAGCAUAAAAAAGAAAAGAAAAGAAAAAAUGUUAAAAAAGUAAGGUUUAAAUGCAUUUUUGGUCUUUCUAUUUAAAAAGAAAAUGAUGUUUUGGUCUUCCUAUUUUAAAAAUCGUACGCUAACAAGUUUUCCGGCAGCAACCAUGGUGGUGUGUGGUGGUGCAGUGGUGGUCAAAGUGGUUGUUGAAUUUGUGAUUUAGUGGUGGUGGUAUGGGUGUGUGGGGACAUGAAAGAGAGAGUGUGAAAGAUAAUAUAAAAAAAAUAAUAUAGUGGUUGAGAGAGUAUGAUAGAAAUAUGUUUCUUAUUUAAUUUAAUGGAUAUGAUCAACUUUCCCAUGGUAGAAAAGAACUCUUCUUUCCCAAAUUAAAUGGCAUCUAGUUACUAACUUCUUUAGGUGGGGUUUAGCAUGAGAAAGGGGAAUUGUUUCCCACCAUGGGAAAGUCAAUUUGAACCAUUAGAUCUACAAUCUUAUCAUACACUCUCAACACUAUAUUUUUGUCACUAUCUUCCACUACCAUCUCUCUCCUUCAUCCCCACCAACCCACCACCAGCAACACCAUGAGAACUAUAGUUUUUACCAAUCAGAUUCAAAAUUUUAACAAUCAAUAUUCCAUGAACUUACUUUUUGCAAUUCAAAGUAAUCAAUCCUUGCAGGACACUAUAUAGGAACAAAUUGUUUGAUUUGAGGAAAAUAUAUUCUCAACCUCUGGCUGACGGAACAGUUGGGUCUUGAAUAAUAGAAGGAACAUAUAAAAAUUUACACAAGUUAGCAUACAAAUUCACACACUAUUGUGAUUAAUUUCUUUUGGAAGAAAAAAAUAUGUAUUCGUGCAGUCAGGUUAGGUUAGUUGCCUCAGCACUCAACACAAAUACAAAUGCAGAGGUUAGAUUUGUGGUCUAAUAAUGGAAGGGAAGCUUAGAUUGCUCCAAAUCUGAUAUCCACUUCAUAUAUAAUAAUAAACAAUCAAAACCAUGAGAAAUGUUUUAGAUUUGGAUUAAUACAUUGCAUCAAAGAAAAUAAAAUAAGGAUGAAGGAGAGACAAGGGAAAUUAAAUAAAUUAACAAUAAAGAGUUGGGACGGUGGUUUUGAUGAGUUGCUGGUUAUGGGUUUGUGGAGGAUGAAUGAAAGAGAUGGUAGUGGAAGAUAGUGACAAAAAUAUAGUGUUGAGAGUGUAUGACAAGAUUGUAGAUCUAAUGGUUAAAAAUGACUUUCCUAUGGUGGAAAACAACUUCCUUUUCCCAUGCUAAAUGCCACCACUUCUUUAACAUAUUGCCCCGUCAAAAUAUGGUUCCAUUUUCAUAGAUGUCUAUCAUUCCAUAGAAAAAGAGUGGAAAUAAUAUCAUCAAACACGCUUACAAACGAGAUCAAAAUUUAGAAAACAUUUAAAAAAAAAUAGCAUAGUUUGCAGUUAAUUUAUUUAAAGUUUAAUAAAUAAAAAAGCAGGGCAACUAUGAUUGGCAGUUGGCACGAGACAAGUCCCUUCAGUAGUAGUAGUACUACAGCAUUUGGAAAAAUGAGGGAAGCAAAGGAAUGAGGGAUAGCCAAGAAAGAAGGAAUAAUACUGUAAAGAGAUGACCCCACUCAAAAAAGGUACAUAAUCCAAAGUGGAAGAUGCGUCCACCCAAUUUCAUUUCUAAAACCGUGCGUCCACAGUUACUCUCUCUCAAUCGUUGAUCAACUCGCUCAACUCAGCAUACAAGAUCACAACAACGAGCAUCCAUGGUUUCCGAUUCUCCUCACAAUCUCCAUCGAGUCUCUUUCAUUUCUCUCUAUUUAUUCAAUUCAACUUUCACUAUUCCCUAUCAUAAACACCAAGUUUCAUUUUAACCACAAUUUCACCUAACCGCAAUUUUAUUUGUGAUUGUCGUGUGAGCAAGGAAAAUUCGGUGUCUAUGUGAUUGUUUAUUUUAUUUUAUUAUUAUUAUUUUUAUGGCGGUAACUGUAAUAUUGACAGGAAUUAGUUGAAGAGCCGCCAAAUGAUGAUGUGGGAACCUUGUCCAACAAGAUAAAUCAGUUGAAAAAGCAAAUCCAGGCCGAGAGAAUUCAAUCCAUUAAGGUAAGUUUGUGAUUUCGUUCUUGGAAUGGGUUCAGCUUUCUGUAGUUUGUUUGUUUGUUUGUUUGCUGGCAGGAUGUUUUUGUUUUAUCAUGGCUAAUUGUGGAAACUGGCGUUAGCAUACUGACAUUUAGUGUAUGUUUGGAUUGAUAGUGUGUUUGGCCAAAUCAAAGUGUGACAUCGUGAUUAUGACCAAAGUUACACUUUAGAGCUUCAACAAAAUCAAGAUGUCACAAUUUUUUUGUCAAACUCGUCCUGAUUCCAAACAUUUAAUUAUUAUUCCUUGCAAACUUCAUUUUGUAGAAACACCAGUUCAGCCAUAUAUGUGGAUAACUGGAAUUUAAUAGCUAGAGUUAGGGUGUGUUUGUUUUGGUUUUUUUUUAUUUUUUAUUUUUUAUAAAAGUCGCUUUUGUUAUUUUAAUAGUGUUUGUUACUUUGUUUAUAAUUUUAAAAAAUUCAUUUUUAACUCUAAGAUGAAAAGCUGUUAGGGUUAACUUUCCCUAAAAUCUAUUUUUUUUUCAAACAUGAACAAGCUAAAAAUAAUCUUUUUUUUUUUUUUUUUUAAAAAAAAAGUGAAUUUUAUGGGUAGUAAACAAACAGAAAUAACUUCAGUUUUUUUUUUUUUAAAUCUCUAGAUUUUUUAUAACAGUCUUUUCUUUUUUAAAGCUGAAGGGUGCCACACAAAAUCUAGAGCAUGCUAUAAGGGUGCCACACAAAAUCUUUCGAUUUCUGUUUGCUUCUACAUUGAGCUGAACUGCUAGUUGUUCUGAUCUGUUUUGGUUAUAUGGGUGUCACUUUCGGCAAUGUUUUUUAUUUAGCCGUGUUUAUCGGUUGAACUUUAUGUUAUGACUGUUAAAGUAAACUUAAGUGUCAAUUGAAAAUUCAAGGUUGAGAUAGCUUCUUUUUACACACCAUGCUGGAUGACUUGUGAUUAAUUGUAAUUAUUUUCUGUAGGAAAAACUUCAGAGGAACCAGAAGAAGCUGCAAUGUCAUACUUCAGGAAUAAUGUCAGCAGUAUCAACCAGGGACUCUUCACAAACGGAGGAAAAUACGACACGUUCAAUUCUUUCCUCAAGAAUGGACCGUCCUUUAUGUAAAUUCUAUGGUUUUACCCAGGGUCCAGGAGACAGAAACCAGGGCAAUCAAGACAUGUCAUCUGCUACAAGCAUCAAGAUUCCACGUAUGGAAAGAUUACCACCAUAUACAUCUUGGAUAUUUUUGGACAGGUGUUUUGACUUACAAAUAUUUAAUUUCCUAUGUUGAGUUACUCACUGCUUUAUCCAUUUUAUAAGAGAAAAUGGGAUUUAAACCUUAUUGAUCAAUGAGUAUGCAAGUUCAAUAAUAUAUUUUCUUCUAUUUUAAAAUCUUUCACACGCAUCAGGAAUCAGAGAAUGGCUGACGAUCAAUCAGUCGUUGGAAGAAGACGGAUCUAUUAUGAUCAACGUGGAAGUGAGGCAUUGAUAUGUAGUGACAGUGAGGAAGAAUUAACAGAACCUGACGGAGAAAAACAUGAAUUUUGUGAUGCUGAAGACCGUAUUUUAUGGUAAGUUAGUAUGAAGAUGUAGAAAUGCUACAUUUGCGAAGAAAGAUUCAACGAAACAAGACCAAUCGAUCUGGGUUUCAAUUAUUGUGGUUAGCUAUAUGAAUCAUUGAUUAACAUGUUUAGUUAAUGAGUCAUAUAGAUGCUCUGUUGGCGCAAACACGGAUUUUCUUGCCACGCCUUUGAGAAAUAAGACUUGUAUCACGAGUCAUGACCACACAACUUUUAAUACCAGAUUUUAACUUAUAAACCAUGAAUCCCAACUUCAUUCAAACGUUCAGCAUUUCUUCUUUCUAGAAUUAAUGUCUUGACUAUUGAAUUUCUAGUAUGGCAUUUGAGGAACAUGGGUUAAAUGAGGAGGUUUUGAAUGUUGUUAGCAAGUAUGUUGGGGGCACCAGUUUAGAAAUCCAGGUAAUCCAAAAUAACUUGUGGGAAUGAAUAUAAAAAACAAUAUAUUGCACCAUGGAAAUUUCUUUAUCAGAAACCAUUUUCAUUUCUUCGAGAAAUUGCUUUCAUAAAAAACACAGGAGAGGUACAAAAGCAUCAGAGGAAGUAAUAUUGGUAGGUUGGACCAGCAUCCUAAAAGCUCAGGAGAACAUGAAUUUCCUAUGAGCAUGUAUCUAGAGAAAAACCUGAGUGAUGCAUUAGAUUCUCUUGAUAACCUUUUCUGUCGUCGGUGCCUGGUAUGUACAAAAUCAUCAUUUUUUUAACAUUGUCAUCAUUGUCUUAGUGAAUGCGUACCUUUCUGCUUUCCUGCGGCAGAUUUUUGACUGUCGACUGCAUGGCUGUUCUCAACCUUUGAUAUAUCCCGUAAGGAACAAUGCCCUAAGUUAUUUUCAAAAUUAAUCUAUGUUACUUCAUCAAUAAAUUUAAUUUGAUGUUUAUUUCAGAGUGAAAAAAAGACAGUUUGGUCUGAGCCUGUAGGUGAUAGAAAACCAUGUGGUGAUCAGUGCUACCUUCAGGUAUUCUUCUUUGUUUGAGAUUGCAAGUAUUUUUUAUAUUUGAGGUGGGCGAGAAUUUUUGGGAGAUGAAAAUGGGUUUAUUCAAAUUAUAUAUAUAUUUUUUACUCUGCUGCUAUUUUGUUUAACGUUUUCAUUGACGUUGGAACCAAUAUACAAUAUAAAUGGUGGCUUUUCUAUCUUCUGUUUAUUAAAGAUGGAAUUAAUUCUACGCAAAAAAAAAUUGUAUGAAGCAUGUAGCUUUAACAAAACUUGCUUCCACUUUUCUGUGUGUAUACUAUAUCUUUUGCACCCAGUUACAAGUUCACUUUUUCAGUGCUUCCUUCUUAUAUAUUUGAUACGAAAGUGUGUAGAGUAAAGACUGACUGCUAUUUCAUUUUCAAGCAGUUCAAGGUUGUUAAAAGUUUUUCAAAAGAUUCAACUCCCGGGUCUUUUAGGGAUAAGAAAACUACAAUUGUAGAGGAGACAGAUGGGAUAUUGUCACCAUCCAGUGCAGAAGAACCUGGCAGUCAGAGUACUACACUUCCGACAAGAACUGAUUGUCAUGGAUAUAUCAAUUUAAAUGACCCUGACUCGGAAAACUUGAGUAAACGGAAAGUCACAAAUCAGUCUGACACGGCACAAUGUGACUCAAGAUCGCUUCCUGAUUCUCAGGAUUCUUGUAAAAAGCUGAAAAGAAUCUCAGAUGUAGUUACUGUAAUUACUGAUAAUAGCCAGAGCUUACAUUUGGAUGGACCAAAAGCUGUCACAAAUGUGACAGAACUUAAAAAUUCGUUGAAUUCAAUGGAAGAACAAGUUGAUGGAAUUCUUGGUUUCUCAGAUUGGAAACCUCUAGAGAAAGAGUUAUACUUGAAGGGAGUGGAAAUGUUUGGCAGAAACAGGUAUGUAUCUUUCUGUGUUCACCUCACAGGAUUAUGUUGAGAAAUGCUAGGGUGGCAUCAAAUUUAGUUUGAACUGUGUGGCGACACUUUCUUGUUUACAGUAUAUGUUUUAUGUUUCCCAUUUUGUAAAUAAUAAGGCAGAUUGUUUUUUUUAAUUAAAGUUUUUAUUACUUCUUAUUUUGCUUUGUAUUGGAACUAAUCCUUUAUUUCUCCAUAAAUCCUACAAUUCCGUCCUCUUUUUUAGCUUCAAUUUCAAUUAGUCUUCUUGAAUGCAUGAAUAAUUAUGGGAAAAAAAGGAAAAUAUGUAAACUUUGAAAACUCUUUGUAGUAAACUAUCUGGAAUGUGACCAAUGGUUCAUAAGCGAAUGAAACAAAAGCAUAUUUCAUUUUCUUGUCAUAAAUAUUGUACUCCACGUAGAGGUCUUAAUUUGCUUAAGUGUGUGCUUAUGUCAUGUGCAACUUAUGCUCUGCAGUUGCCUCAUAGCUAGGAACUUACUUUCUGGUUCGAAGACUUGCAUGGAAAUAUCUAGUUAUAUGCACGAUGGAGGCAUGUCAAUGCCCCACAGGUCUAUUAUUUCAGCUGGUUCAAUCAUGGACGACAAAGGAAAAUUUGACACAGAGUGCACGGUAAGAUUACAAGCUUCCAUGUUCCCAUCUUUUACCCUGCAUUCUCAUGUCUUGUUGUCUUGAGUUUUUUUCUGUUAUUUUCUUUUGGGGGUUUGGGGUGAGACUUUCUGAAGACAGAAAAUAAAAUUUUCCAUAUUUUAUUAUGUACGAAAAGGCCUCACUCGGUGAUAUAACACAUAGGGAAAUUGUAUGUCAAUUGUCUGGUUAGGUAUCAAACUUUAAAAAAGAUAAAUUGUUAUUAUGCUUGGGAUGGGAUGGGAACAAUUUUAUUUAAUGGAAAACUGGAAAGAGAUACAGAGAAACGAGCAUAAUGCUCCAAGCUAUGGAGGAUCUCUCUCUUACUUCUUAGGUUAGAGAAAAGCAGAAAAAACUUGUUAAUCCCAUGUAAAUCACUCCAUCCCUUAUACAUCAGAUUCAUCUUUUAUCUUCUCAAACUAACUAACUCUAUUACAUCCCACACUUUAGUUUCUGUACUUUCCAAUCAACCGUAGGUGUAUUAGGCCUUCAAGAAUGCACUCACAAGGCCUUGGGUUAGGGCUUCGGCUAAUGCAGAGGCAUUUUGGUUCUCAAUCCCGUAAUGUUAUCUCUGAUUUUAGAUUUUCCGUCAUUUUAUAUUUAGUUGCAUAAUAAAAAGGGUGUUGUCUGGGUUUUACAUGCAUAGUGACUGAGUUGUAUAUUUGAGCCAAUGUAUAUUUUUUUCUUUUUUCUUACCUCUGGUUUUUUGUAGCAUUGGGAAGAUUCCCUAAUCCUCCUGUUUUGUACAAUGAGUUCUUCAGUUUUGUUUUAACUAUAGAACAUUAUUAUAUCUUUUGCACCCUUUUUCCUCUCAACUUCUAGCAACUUAUACUAGUACGGAGUACCCUACUCUUUACUUGCCACAAAAGUCGUUUUGAAUGUGAAUGUUUGUGCUAGGACCAAGACAUGCCAUCUAGACCGAGGUUGCUGAGAAAAAGAGGCAAAACAAGGAAGUUCAAAUAUUCUUGGAAGUCUGCUGGUCACCCAACAAUAUGGAAAAGAAUUGCUGAUGGCAAAAACCAAUCUUGCAUGCAGUAUACUCCAUGUGGGUGUCAAUCAAUGUGUGGAAAGGAUUGUUCUUGUCUUAAUGGUGGAACAUGCUGUGAAAAAUAUUGUGGGUACGUAGCUUUUCAUUUAAUCGUGUAUCUUAGCAAUGCAAUGAAGGCGAAAAUUGCAUAUUUCAUAAUUCUCAAUGGCCGUGUGUUGGUCGUUUGAAUAAUAUUGUUAGAAAAUUAUGGGCUAUGGAUGAACUUUGACAAGGUUGGUCUGGAUAAGAUGGCCAAGUAUGGUUUUACCUGUUUAGAUAAAAUUUUGAACUAACUGUAAACGAACAUUUAUUUCAAACUGUUAAAAUAAAGCUAUUGACUCAAUGCUUCUUUUCGUGUUCGCAAAGUUUCUAUAGAAUGCUUUUCCAACUUGAUUUGUGAACUAUUAUCCUGACUUAGGUUUCUACAAAACAGGUUUUACCUGUUUAGAUAAGAUUUUGAACUCAUUAAACUAUAAACGAUCAUUUAUUUCAAACUGUCAAAAUAAAGCUAUUGAUUCAAUACUUUUGUUCAUGUUUGCAAAGUUUCUAUACAAUGCUUUUCCAACGUGAUUUUUGAACUAUUAUCCUAAAUUAAGUAAUGUAAGUGUUAACGAAUUAUAAUUUAAAUAUAACAAUUUCUCCUACCUUCAGUUGUUCAAAGAGCUGCAAGAACCGGUUCAGAGGUUGCCAUUGUGCCAAGAGUCAAUGUAGAAGUCGACAAUGCCCAUGUUUUGCUGCUGGACGUGAAUGUGAUCCAGAUGUCUGUCGAAAUUGUUGGGUUAGGUAAUGUACCAAAUAUUUUUACUUUAAACCUGAUGUUAUGCCUCUUCGGUUUUUGAAUUACAUGUCAUGAUUCUAUUACAUCACCUGAUUUAGGGAUUCAUUAUUCAUUAGUAAUAUUUUUACCCCAAUAAUUGGAGAGCAUCUACUGCUUGUUUAGAUAUAUCAUGUCAAUCCUUUGUGGUUUUUCUUAUCUUGCUAACCCCAUUGAAGAUUACUGCACACAUUGCCUGUUAGCCUAUCUUUUUUAUUAAGAUUAUUUUUCAUAUUUUUUUGUUAUUACGAUAAUUUAUUUCCAUAUUUUAUUGAAAUUUGUCUUGUAUUGACUAUUAGUACAAAUAAUGAUCAACAUUUAAUAUUUUUUGUAUCAUCAAAUCAUAAAUAUCAUUAUAUCAAAUUAUAUUCAUAAUUAUAUCCACUUGGGUUGGCUUGGGACCUUGGAGUGUGCUCCUCUCAAGGUCUCUGGUUUGAUUCUCCCCAAUGUCAAUUUCGGUGGGCUAGUUUGGCUUCUUCAAAAAAAAAAAAAAUUAUAUUCGUAAUUCAGAGUCUUUAACAUUUACCUUCCGCUCUUUAUGUAAAACCCUAUAACUUCAAUAUGUUAUCAAUCUAUCAGAGCGGUACCCUCUUCCCUGACCUGUCUUGUAACUAUUUUUAUAUAGAAUUCCCCAAAGUAUGAAACUCCAUUCAGAGUUGGAACUUAAAUCAUAUUAUUAACCAUACUCAAAUUCCAACCAUUUUUCUCUUUCCUACAUUAUGUCUGUCAUCUUUUUAGCGUGUCUUGAAGCGCUCUUCCUCCUCCAUAUCAUCAUUUUGACAUGUUUUGAAGCUCUCCUCUGCCAUUUUAUCCCUGACCUGUCUUAAUUUCGGUUUUGCAUUGGUUUUGUCUCAGUUGUAACCUGACACCAGUUCUGUUUUAGAUAUGGUUUGACACUGGUUUUAUUUUGGUUGCAGUCUGACUUCAAUUUUGUCUCUAUUGCAGUUUAGCAAGACUUUUUCCCCCAAUUGCAGUAUGGCCCUAGCUUUUGUCCCGACUGCAAUUUGUCUCGAUUCAUGUUCCAUACGUGAUCCGGCUCUACCUACUUUGAAUAUCAAAUUACACUACUAGUUUUAUUUUCCCUUUCAAAUGGCAUAUUUAUAACAAGCUUAGUAAGCUUUUAUAUUGAGUGUUAGAAUAUAUAAAAAUAUUUUAUAUUAUCUUUGAUAAUAUCUUUCAUUUUUCGAAAGUAUCUUGAUGUAUUCUUAGGAUUGGUUUAUUUCCCUAAUCAAUUAGGAUAUGUGGUCUUGUAUAAGCAUAGAUAAAGGUUAGUGUUUACUCUUUUUGUAUCAAAUAAUAACUUUCGAAAUAUCAAAUUAUAUUCAUAAUUUAAAGUCUAUUUUUUCUCUUCCCUCGUUAAUCAUGAAAUGAUGAUCUCCACUUCACCUUUAUCUUGUAGUUUGACACCACUUUUGUCUAACUUUUACGAUUUUCUUGGACUUUGAAUUCCACUAUCCACGUUAAAUCAUCGCAAAUGCCUUUAAAGAUCACACUUUUUGUACAGCUGUGGGGAUGGUACACUGGGGGAGCCACAUCGGCGUGGAGAAGGUCAAUGCGGAAAUAUGAGACUUCUUUUAAGGCAACAACAGAGGGUUAGUAGUUCUGAGUUGAUUUAUAAUUAUCUGCACGCCAUCGUCAUAAAUCAAAGUGAUGAGUACCUAAUGCAUGUGAUUUGUCUCGCAUUGUUUUUAUUUUUUUGUCAGAUUAUCUUAGGGAAAUCUGAUGUUUCUGGAUGGGGAGCCUUCUUAAAGGUUAUGAUUAAUGGAUUUCUUUGUUUUCUAAUUACGUUAGCUUCUUCUGCUAACUAACUGAUGAUUACAUUUCAGAAUCCUGUUAACAAAAAUGAUUACCUAGGAGAGUACACAGGUGAACUGAUCUCGCACAGAGAAGCCGAUAAGCGUGGGAAAAUAUAUGAUCGCGCGAAUUCAUCUUUCCUUUUCGAUUUGAAUGAGCAGGUAUGUGUCUCACAUGAUCUGCAUUCUCUUAACUUGAGCUGCUCUUGGUUCGUCAUUGACUUGAGUUCCUUGUAUUUUAUGAGUCUGAUCAUACACUGUUUUGCUGUAUUUCUGUUGGGUUUCGUCAAUCUAUAGUCCCUUCCCUCACAUUUCUUUCUUGGCAAGCUAUAACAUUUGGAUUUCAAACUGAUUAUUUUAGAAUUUAAAUCUGCUUUCUGUUUCUUCACCAGUAUGUUCUUGAUGCUUAUCGUAAAGGAGACAAGUUGAAAUUUGCAAACCACUCAUCAAACCCCAACUGCUAUGCAAAGGUGAGUCCAGAAAAUCAGAUUGUUGGGAGGUUUAAAACUUGUACCCCAUUUAUGUUGUGAAAACAUUUUCUAUUUUCAUUUCCUAAAAUAUGUGUUAGUUUACCUUGUUAACAAGGAGAAAAUAGACUUUUAAAGUGAGUGAUUGCGAUAGAGAGAUGAUAAAAUGUUAGCUAAAGAUGAAGCAUUUUAUGGAAAUGCAAAACAAUUUUUCACUUCAAAGAGUCUCUCUUCCCAUUGUUAACAAGUAAAGUUAUCACAAAUUUAAAAAAAUAAUAAUAAUGUUUUCGCAAAGUAAACGGGUCCUUCCAUUUUGGACUUUGUAGCUUGAACGUGAUCUUUGAACUGUCACAAUGAUUACCCUCUUGCACUGCUGCUAUAGGUUAUGUUGGUUGCUGGAGAUCAUCGAGUUGGCAUAUUCGCCAAGGAACACAUUGAUGCCGGUGAGGAGCUCUUCUAUGAUUAUUGCUAUGGUCCAGAUCAAGCACCUCCAUGGGCUCGGAAACCUGAGGGUUCCAAGAGAGACGAAUCAGCAGUUCCACAAGGUAGAGCAAAGAAACACCAAUCCCAUUGAUGAGCCAUGGCCAAUGUCCAGCUUGUAUAAACUUGUGGCUUCUACCAGUAUAUUCUCAACAGAGACAAACUUGUGACAUCUCAUGGGAAAGACUCGAGCAACUGUCACUGAAAAGGAAACUAAUAAUUAAUUUGUAGAUGCUAAUAUGCCCUAAAUUAUGGGUAGGGUAUAGUUAGAAAAUAAAAUGGGCAAGAGAUGAAGCAGAUCAAUGUUGAGAGCAAUAAGCUAGAAAUUAGGCUAGCAGUUGGUAUCCUGAGUAGAAAAUUUCCUUUUGGAUGCCCUGCACAUAUUAUUCUACAAACAUGUUUGCUUAUUUGGCAUAAUUUUUCAUAAGAUAAAUAUUCCUAAUAGAGAAAUAGAUAAAUCUUUCUUUGAGGGAAUUCCACUCUUAUCCUUCUACAUGAGUCAAUUUUGCUCAUUGCUGAUAGAUAGAAGUAGUGAUAUGACCUCCUCUAAGGGUUUUAUUUUUCAGGAUGAAUUGGAUCAAGGACUUUCUACCGAGGAGUUUGCAAAUUUUGAAACUAGAGAACUAGAUUGGGGGGUUAAUUCCCAAUUACCAAUUCUGCCAAAAGUUGUGUGAGCAGCUACAAUACAAAUAAAAUCAGCGCUGAUUUCCCAAUUUGUUAUUAGAACUUUGAACUCUUUUUAUGAGAAUAAGCGAAAUGCUAACUAAGGGCACAUGUAUGCACUAAUAGAAAUUAUAUAUUGAAAAUUGUGUUAAUUUAUACUUCCUCCGUUCUAUUUUAUAAGCAAAAAAACAUUAAUUCACACUUAUUAAGAAAACUAACACUUAGUGAUUUGAGGUAUAAUUUUUUGUGUUCUCCUUGGAAUAAGUUUCAUGGAAAGAUGUAAAAAUAAUUUUCAUUGGUUAAAAAUUAUGGAGAAAAUAAAAAGGAGAACAAAUUGAAUGCAACUUGCAUUUAAUUUUACAUUGGAAAAAAUGAUUUGUUUGAAAAAACAUAAUAAUAGCAUAAAAGUUGAUCUUUUUUGCUUAUAUUUUGAGACAAAGAAAAUGAGAUUUUUUUGCUUAUAUUUUAGGACGGAGGGAGUAGCUCAAAAUGUUUAAUAUUAAUUCUUUUUCAGUAAGUUCUUACUAUUAAUGGAAUGACAUUAAUGCUUAACAUGUGUCUUAAGGACGCAAGUUAACAUACCCCUUUAAAUAAUAUACACGUAAGGUUUAAUUACAUUUUUUUUUUCCCUAUUUUUACCUGUUCAUAGAAUUGGUCUUCCCUUUUAAAAUCUAAAUUUUGGUUUCUUCUUCAAAUUCCUAAACUCAAAAUAUGGGGACAUAUUCUAAUCACACAGACAUAUGCUUUGACAAUGUAGAAUCAUUCGUAUGAAUUUAACAUGUCAUUAAUUAAAAAUUCAAAAAUGAAUUUUUUUUAAGUUUAAACUGAGUUCCUUAUAAAGUGUCUUUUUUUAGUUCAAACAAAAUUUGAGGGAGGGGCUAAAAUUGAGAGAUUUUAAAAUAGUUGGACUAAAAUUGGGAGAUUUUAAAAUAGACCAAUUUCAUGACUGGCUAGAGAGACAGAAACUACAACUUUUUUUUUUUUGCUGAAUCAUGAUAAAAGGAAGACAUCAGGAGGAAAUUGCAAUAUUAACUAUCAAAAUUAUUAAAAGAUAAGGUAUCAUUAUAUUGAGUGUGUUUUAAUGAUUUAAUUUAUAUGCACCGUCAAUGUAAAAAAUAAAUUAUAUUUUGUAAUUUUUAGAUCAUUAUAAACGUUUGACUUUUUUUCUUAUAUCAUAAUAAUGUUUAAAGUGGUACACAUAAUUGGUUGUGAUGUUUUACAAUGUGCAUGAAAAUUAAAUUCGAUCUAAUUUGAUAUUGUGAUUUGACUGUUUCAAUUAUUAAUUUGUUGUCUAAUUGGAAACCCUACGAUCUGAUUGAUUGAGCAAAAAGGCGAACAAGAGAGUAACGAAGAAGAUAAAUAUGGGAGAGUAAGAACCUCAUUGUUCGGAAUUGGAGCAAAAGAGAAAAUUGGUGGAGUGAUCCUACCACAAACGGAACCAUAAAGGUAAGGUCAUUGGCUUUGGUUAAAUGGGUAGUGAAUCUCUUCCAUCUAUCAAUAAUGUCUUACUUGUUGAAGGAUUAUGACAUAACCUACCAGACAUAGGUCAAUAGGUAACUUUUAUUAAUGUAGUAAUAUGUGAAGAGUGUGGAACAGACUAACAAAAUCGAAGGGAGUGGGAGGUAGUAGAUUAUUUCACGAUGAAAGAAAACAUGUUAUCCUACCAUUGACAUUGAGCAUUAUACCGACAGAGACAAAAACAAGGACUACAGCAUUUAUGAACUUACAGUUACACCAAAUUUCCACCAGAGUUUAUUCUUUCUAGAUAGUAUCAAUAAAUGCUACGAAACCAAACAUAAAAAACCAAAGGAACACCAAAUUUCAACCAAAUCUGUUUAGAUUUAUGGAAAGUGCUAUGAAUUAAAACACAGCCUCAACAAUUGCAUGCUUCUUUUUAGGGUAUCCAAUACCAACCAUAUGGUUUAGGUACACUUUCCCAUCCUUCACAGUAGCUGAUGUAGCCAAACGAUGUUUAGGCCCUGAGAAUUUUGCAACAACAGAAGCUGUAUUCCAUCCAUCUAAACUCUCCACUAAUCUCCCUGAAGGAUUUCCAGCAACUACCACCUUAUUAGGAGACAAUAACUCUAAACCAUCUCCAAAAUAAAGUGGCCCUCCAACAACAUUUAUAAUCUUCACUUCCUCUCCUUUUGUUAAAUCAAUCUUGAACAAAUUACCACUAAAAGUGUGAAUUACUAUUAAGAAUCCAUCUGGGUGGUAAACAAUUCCAUUAAGGCCAACCAAUGUUUUGUGCCACUCUUUUGGAGUGAAUAGUGGGUUUCUAAUGAUUGAUAUAAGGUUUCCACCAACCCCAACUUUCCAUAUUUUACUUGCUUUUACAUCAGUAACAUAUGCAUUGCCUUCUGCAUCAACUGCAACAUCGUCUGCUAAGGCUUUCUCAUCACCUGCAUUGAAUGGGGAACCAAUAUUAAAUAAUUGAGUCAAAAAUUGGAUAGAGUUGUUACAACUUUCAACACUAGCUAGCACAUUUCAAUAUAGCGGCAAAUUUAAUAAUCCCAACAAUAUCACCAUAAAUUAGUAAUUAAUAUCUUUGAACUUCCAAAGUUCAACCAAUAGGUACUACCUCCAAUCCUAUAGUAUAAAGUUUGGUCAACAGAAGAAGUAGAUAUCAACUUCUAUUGACUCAACUUUUUCGUAAAUAAAAUCUAGUUAAGGAUUGUCUUAGUCAGAAUUCAACUCAACUUUUUCAAACCAUAUUUUUUUAAUGUUCCAAUUGUUUUCACAUUUUACCAUAAAAUUUACUAAUUGUCUUUUCCACUACAAUGGUGCUUGAAACGAAAAAGUUACCGAGUAUCAAGAUGUGAAAACUGAGCAAUUAAGGUUGAUUGUCAAAAUUUGGUGAGCAACUCGACAUCUAGAUAUGAGGUAUAACGUGUCUACCUACAGAGUUAUCAUGAAUCAAAACGAAAAAUAAUCCAUCGAUAAAAACAAAGAGAACAAUAAACGUGCAGGUCAUGCAUGGUUGGAAUAAUUAUAUUGAAAUAUUAAAAAUUGUGAAUAAGGACACACAACAAACAUCUAACCUUUGUUCUUCGUAUCCUCGACCUUUACUACGUUCCAAACAUAACAAACCAACCAUGCAUAUACAAUAUUAAAUUUCAAAUAACAAAGAAUAGAUCAAGUGGCCAGUAUCCCAGGGUGCAAGUGAUUGGUGCAUAGAGUGUGUGAACGUUGUAUUGUAUAUCUUGGACAUUGAGCUCGAUUCCAACAAAUAAAAAAGUAAUUUUGUACUACUAUUUUUCUAGUUAACUCUUGUUACGUUGUAGGUAGGAGUAUAACAUCUUUUACUGGACUCAAUCAUGUAACAUGGUCCAUGUAUUAACAUUUUAAACAUUAUAUUAAAUGAUUAGAUCUAUAAACAAAAUUAAACCGUUGAAUGGGUUAAUUUAUUUUUUAUCUCUAUGUAAAACGAUAAUCACCACAUGCUACUUACACACACUUUAAAGUUCUGAAUGUUCAAUAUAACAAUAUUAGCAUUUAUCAAUUGAGCUAUUUAUUCUUAGAGACUUGAAUUAGUUAUUUAUUUCGGUAAGAACUUGAAUUAGUUAUUCCUAACAUAAAAUUAUUAAUAUACUCUCUCUAUCUUUCUUUUUUUUUUUUAGCAAAAUACUCUGUCUAUGUAUUAAAUUAUAAGUCAUUUGACAAUUCCAAACGUAUUAAUAAAAUAUAGUUAAUUUCUUUUUUAAAAAAUUAAUACAAAAUUUAGUGAAUUGAAAAUAAGAGAGGGUAAAAGUUAAACUAAUACAAAAUACAAAUGCAUGAUGACAUUGAAAUAUUUGAUGAUAGUUAAAUACGUAUACCAACUAAACUCUCCAUUACAUCAAGUUUGUUUUAUAAAUUGGGACGGAAGAGUAAUUAACAAACAUAUUUCCCUAAAAACAUGAAUAUAUUCGGAUUUACGCACUCACGUACACGAGUUUAUGAAUAUGAUAGAAAAUCGAAUCAAAAAAAAAAAAAAAGGAAAAAAGAACAUGAACAUGAAGAAAUAAUAAUAGUAAAAUAAAGAAGAAAAAUACUUACUAGGACCCGAGAGUUGAGUAAGAAAGAGGCGUUUCCACGUAGAAAGAUCAUAAGCAACAAGCGCACUGUAACGAUUUCCUCUAACAUCAGCGUUUACAACCAAAAUCCGAUUCCGACUCCGGUCAAUCGUCAUCCCCAACGACGCAUUACCGGCCAACUCCGUUUCUUUCAGAACAGUCGCUUCCUCAAACACUGUUCCAGCUUCUGAUUCCUUCUCCGGCACAGAAAUUUGACCGAUACCACCUUCAAAGAAAGAGUUUAUGAAACGGUGGUUAUCGGAAUCCCACUUUGCACAUUCUCUGAAAAAGCCUUUGCUGUGAUAGUGGUAAACGUGAGUUGAGGGUUGAGUUCGUUCGAGAGAUAUGAUUAUGCCGAUGGGUAUGGCUGUGAGAAGGAAGAGAAUGGCGAGGAAUUUUGGAGAACAGAGACAUGAACAAGCCAUGAGAGAGAGAGAGAGUUUGGGUUUUUGUGAAAAAAGAUUUCCAAGAGAAAAAUGAAAAUGGGUAUUCGAUCCUUGUUAGGUGGCAAUUGAGUAUGGAAUUGUUUAAAUAAAUAGACCCCACUACCCAUACAUGUUUGAAAGUCGUGAUACUCUUGUGAGCAUGUUCCUCGUGUGACAUUUACACUAUUUUUGGUUUGAGAGAAAUUGUGAAGUGAUAAAUAGGUGAGAGAGAGUAUGGAAAGAGAGAAAGAGGUGAGAAAUAGAAUAGAUUUAAGGUAUUGUUUGGUAUAAAAGAAUAAGAAGAGAAAUAGAAAAGAGAAAAGUGUAUUAAUUUUUUAAAAGUACAAGAAUACCCUUAAAUAAAAAAAGAACAGUCAAAUUUAUUUUUAUCAUUAUUCAAUUAUUUAAUUACAUAAUCAAUUAUUUUUAUCUGCAACUAGACUUAUAAAAAAAAGUUACUAACCCAUUUAUUUUCUUAAAUGCAAAAUACAUUGUAAUAUUAAGAUGAAAAAAAACGUUACAAAAAGUGAGGACUCGUGAUAAAACGAGGGUAAAAGUGAAAGUUUGAGAAAAAAGUGUGUUAUUCUUCCACUUUCUUCGCAGGCCAGAGGAGAAAUUAAAAGUAAUUGGACCCUACCAGUUUUUAUCUCUCUUUCCUUUUUCUAUGUUAAACCAAACAGGAUAACAUUGUUGUCUCUCUUUUAUUUCUCUCUCUCCUAUUUCUCUCUUUGCAAGUUCCUCUUGCUGGGAAGAAUCGAACCUGAGACCUUGAGGAGGAGCACACUCCCAAGUCAAUACCUUUAGUGUGACAUUUAGAUCUAUUUUCAACAACAAAUAAAACACAUCCAAUUUAAAGACUUGUAAUUAAAAUAAAAUUAUUUUAGACAUAUGCUCCCUCUGUUUUAAACAUAUGGUCGCUUUAGAAAAAAAAAUUGUUUUAAAAUGAAUGUCACUUUCAGUAUCCAAUGCAAUAAUAUUUUUUCUUUAAUGAAAAAAAAUCAAUGGUUAAUUAUGGUAAUUUGGUAAAAUAAUAUCUCUCUUUCUUUUAAUUAUACAUUUCUUAAUAGGUGUGUGAAAACAUUAAACGACAUUUAUUUUAAAACGGAUUGAGUACUUUUUUUAAAAAAAAAAAAUUUUUUGAAGGAAAAAAAAUAAUUAUUUUAUACAUAUAUGUCAGUUUAAUAAAUAUGGAUAUACGUUAAUUAUCAUAUUCAUUGAUUUGUGUGUAAAAUAUUUUUUUUAAAAGAAUGUGAAAUCCAAACUCUUAUACAAUUCUCUUAAAAAAAAAUCACCAUAGAUAGGCAGAACUAGCCUUACAAAUGCAUCACAAUUAAAGUUAAAUAAAUGAGAAAUAUUAGAAACAUGCAUUUUAACACACACUUUUCAAUACAUUCUUUUUUAUUAAUUAAAAUUUAUACGAGUCUCACCAAAUUAUAUGGGUCCGAUAUAAUUUUGAUGGGUUCCAUAUGAAUUCUAACAAAUCAAAGAGAGUGUGUUAAAAAGUGUGUGUUAGAAUAUGUUGCUAACAUUUCUCUAAAUAUUAUAAUAUUGCUCAAAAAGUUUUUCAUACACAAUAGAAGCUUCCUUAACCACCUUUUAUAAAGCCUUUCCCCACAUAUAACUUCCUCAUAUUUUUUUUAAGAGCAAAAAUAAGAUUUGUGAAGAACAUUUAUGAGCACAAGAAAUGUUAAAAAAAUGUCCAAAAAUAACAAGAAUGUGUUUAGAGGACAUAACCCCUUACCAACAUCAAAUACAACAACAAGAAAGCCAUAGAACUUCUAUAAGAAUAUAAAAACUCGAACACCAAUAAACCACUAAUAGCCCCCAAUUCAAACAAGAUACCAAAAUAUGCUAAGAAAUUGAAAAAAAGAGUCAUUAGGAUUUCGCUCCAAAUCAUUAUAACAUCCUCGUGUAAUAUUACCCCACAUAAAACCUAUGCAGCCACAAGCUAGAAAAAAAAAAACAGGCUAAACUUUCCUAUUAAAUACACUCCAAAGACAAAGUAAACCUGUGAAGCUCCGAUACUUUAAAAUGGAUGACGUACCGUAUCCCCUGCGUAUCCUGCACCGAUAUCUGCCCAAUACUUCUCGAUACGUAUCCGAAGAAUAUCCAAAUAUUAAAUUUUAUUUUUUUAAAAAAUAAUUAUACGAUACUUUCCGAUACAUCCCGAUACGCACGGAUACUUGUGUUUUUUAUAUUAUUUUGAUUUUUUUUUAUAAAAAAUAAGAAUAGAAACAUUAUAUUACUAUAAUAUAUAAUAUACAUACAUUUCCUUUAUCUUUCUUUGGUGCCAGUACGACCCACACCACACAACCAAUUGCAUUUUUCUCUUUCUCUUAAUCGUCAAUAUUAUAUUUAUAUUAAUGUGCUACGAGCAUGGUUUCUUGUGUUUGUUAAUAUACUUGCAUAUUAAAAAAAUGGUUAUAAUUAUAUAGUACAUUUAAUUAUAUAAUUUUUUUUUUUAUUAACGUAUCCCAGCCGUAUCGUAUCUUAAUUUUUGAAAAUUUUCCGUAUCGUACCCGUAUCGUAUCUCGUAUCUGGACUUCACAGAAGUAAAUACUUUUCAGCUUUCAAACUAUUUCAAAUACAUGUUUGAAAGUCGUUUUCGCUCCAAAUCAUUAUAACUUCCUCGUGUAAUAUUAACCCACAUAAAACUUACGCAGCCAAAGCUAGAAAAAAAAAAACAAGCUAAACUUUCCUAUUAAAUACACUCCAAAGACAAAGUAAACACUUUUCAACUUUUAAACUAUUUUAAUUACAUGUUUGAAAGUCGUGAUACUCUCUUAAGCAUUCCUCGUGUGACAUUUAGAUCUAUUUUGAAACAAAAAACACAUUUAAUUAAAAUAAAAUUAUUUUAUACAUAUAUAUGUCAUUAUUAUCGUAUUCAUUGAUUAAUGUGCAAAAUAUAUUUUUUUAAAGAAUGUGUGAAAUAAUUGUAUAUUGAAAUUUUUUUUGAAUAAAUUAUACAUUGAAGAUAAAAUUAAGAGGUAAUAGUCUUUUAAAAUAUCCUCUGUACACUACGUUAGUUAAAACAAUCUCUUGCAUUAAAAUAUUUCAUUAAUAAUUAUCAUAUUAGUUCAUGAGUGUACUUUUUUUUUUUUUAGAGUCAUGAGUGUACUUAUUUAUUAUCAUAUUAAUCUCUAUAAAUAUUACAUAUUCUCAUAUCACUCUCUAUAUAUUAGUUCAUCUUCCGGUGUUGGAACCCAAAACCAAAAGAUUGCUUAUUGCGGUAACAAUGAGGUCCGGUGCUGCUGUUUUGAUAUGGAAUGGCCUGCUACGGUUUUCUUUUUCUGCUGGAUGCCAUCUUAGUGUGGUUGGCUGUUUUGAUAGGUGGCAGCUGUGUAGAGAUUGGUUAUAAUAGUGGGCUUAGGGGAUUGUUUUGCUUUUGUUUUUGGAUGGUGUAAUAAUAAUAGGAGUAUUACUAUUUCCAUCUUAUAGCAUUCUCGCGUGCCCUACGUUUUUUACAAAAAUGUCUUUGAGGUUUCCGGAUUUUAUAAUUCGGAAUGGUAUUUUCCUUUGUUAAAAGUGAAAAAUGAGUUACGGAUUUUUCCAGAUUUUGUAAUCCAAAAAUAGGGCGCGUUACAUGAUUUUUUCAGAUUACAUAAUCCGAAAACUCCCUAAACACUCUUUUUUUCAUGGUGUUGAUGCAAUUCGGAUUACGUAAUCCAGACAGCAGCAUCACUUGUGUAAACAGAGGGUGUGAUGGCUGGAGCUAAGGCAGCUGUUGUUGCUACUGUUGCCACUGUCAUUCCAACUGUAACCACUCCUUCCAAUUGCAUUUCUUUCUAGAAGUAUUGAGUCCUUAAAAGUUCUGCAAAAAUUAAAAUGCGUCUAGAAGCCAUUAAAAUUAUACGUAAAGAAGUGUUGGAUUUAAACUUGUAUUGUCCCCUUUACCACUUUGUAGCACAUUAUUCUGUUUUUUUUUUCCUUCCUUUUUUACUGUUGUAUAUAUUCUGCUCUAAUCUUUCUUUCUCUUUGUUGCUUCCUAAAUCUUUCUUCCAAUCCCUGUUAAAUGAUCCAUGUUAUUGAUAAACAAAAGACAAAGUAAAGCAUCAUUACAUGAGCAAAACUCAUCUUUAAAAUGGUGAUAACGGUUUGUAUCUCUUGCAAUUUUUUCAUGGUGCUGAUGCAAUUCGGAUUACGUAAUCCAAACUGUAAAUGGACAUUUUUAAAAAUUUUACAGAGCGCGCGAAAAAUCAACAAGGUGGAAAAAGUAACACUCUAAUAACAGUGGGGGGCGGUUACUGUCAUGCUCUUUGGGUUCUGUUUUGUUUUGGUGGUUUUGUAAUUUUACUUCUGUGCAAGCUAUGUGUUUCUUCAAUUAUAUUCACAGGCUUAACUUAAUAAAUUUGCUGUUUAAAAAAAAAAAAGUCGCUAUAUUAAAAUAGUUAAUAUCAGCAUUGAAUGACUAUUUUAACUAAUGAAAUGCAGAUAUUAUUUUAAAAUUUUGAUACAUUGAAGAAUUAUUGCGACUACUUGUUAUUAAAUUAGAGAGCAAAAUAACUCUACAUGUUUAAAUUUUAAGAUUAUACAUGUAAUUUAGCAAAUAAAAUUAUUCAAUUGUUUUUAAUAAAAAAAAAAUUAUAAUAGAAUAAACCAGCCUUAUUACAUUUAUUUUAGUUUUUGAUAACAAAAACAAGAUUUAUAGUCUUUUAGUUUUAUCAAUUACACUGUAUUGGUACACGCAAAACUGGGGAAAAUAUUAAUACAAAAUUCAGGUUGAAUUAUUUAUUUGAUUACCAUAAUAAUGUUUUGAAUAAUAUUAAAUAAUUUUAUUUUUAUUUCAAUUAAUGACUACCAUUUAAAUUUCAUAAAAAAAUUAUUUAUACUUCUUAAUCAUACAGAUAUAUACUCUCUUUUUUUUAAAUAUAGAAAUAUACAUAUAAAAUGGUUUGAUCCAAUGUAUAUCUACGUUGCAAAUCUAUAUCAAUUCUUAAGGAAGUUUUUAUUACUAAAAAUGUUCUAAAAUAUAAUUGUUUGGAAGGGAAGUUUACUGGAUAUGUUUGGGUGGAGGAAUUUGAAGAGUUGUGUAUAAAUUUUUAUAUUUAUUUAAGAUUUUAAAAAAAAAUUAAGUAUAAAAAAACGGUUUAUUUGCUUUAGAAAAACAUUUAUAGUUUUAUUUGUACCACUCUCGAAAAUUUAAGUUAACCAAAUAUAUGGUCUAUGAAACCACAUUUUUUUCAGCUGCGUGACCACUAUUUAGAAACUGAAAAAAAUAUAGUCACGCAACUAAAAUGCGUCUGACCACUAUUUUUCUACUUAGUUAACCAAAUAAAUUUUGGAGAAAUAGUGGUCAAGCAACUAAAAAAAUAUGGUCACAUAUACCAUACAUUUUGUUAACUGAAAUUUUUCAGAGUGAUACAAAGAGGUGUAUACUUUAAGGUUGUCUAUCUAUCAUUACUCUAGAUAAAAACAAGUCAUCUUUUCUCCUUGUCCCCGUAAUUAUUAAUUCAAGCGUACAUUAAAGGUUAAAUAUUCUUCUACAAAAAUAAAAUACAAAAUUAAAGGUUAAAUAUAUUUUUAGUUACUAAAAUAUAUGUAUUGUAUAAAUUUAGUUUAUGCAAUUUUUGUCGAAGUUUGAUUUCCCACUUAUUUCUUGUUUUCAAAUAUGGCCCGUUUUUGUUUAUGCUAAAUGAAUUAUGGGUGUAAAUGGAUCGAGUAAAUUCAAUGAACGUAAUUUUUUUUUAACUAAACUGAAAUUUAUGUGUUUAUUUCUCGCGAAAACCAAUUUGUGACGCACCCAUUCUCGCAAAAAUGAAACACUAACCCAUUACUCCUAGAACACUAUAUAGGAAAAGGGGCUGAGAGAAGGGGGACUUUGCAAACCAAAAAAAAAAAUAUAUAUAUAUAUGAAAGUUGUCCAUAUAAGGUUGCACAACUAGCGAUGAUGGUGAUCUAUAUCAAAAGUUGAUAAAGAGUCGACGAUAAAAUUGGUCUUGCAAUCUAUACAAAUCUACUUUACGAAUAUCUUCCUUCUUCCCUUGGAUGAUAUUGAAAUUUUCAUGCAUUCCUUUUUGGGGGCGACAAAUCUAAUGAUAGUAAAGGCAUUAGAUGGAUGUCUUGGGAUCACAUGGAGGAAUGGGUUUUUGCAAUUUAUACACUUCCAACCUAUCUUUGUUGGGAAACCAAGGAUGGCGCAUAAUGACUCAAUCAGACACAUGUUCAUGGCUAAGAUUUUCAAUGCUCGUUACUUUCCUUAAAAAAAAUUCCAAAUGCCUCGAAGGGGUGUAAUGCAAUUAUUGUUGGGAGGAAUCUUUAUUGAAGCAUUCCGAUUAUGAGAAAACGAGUCCGCGAUAAAGUGAAAAUUUUUCACGAUUAUUUCACUCCCGAAACUAUCUUAGUUCAACCAGCCUCGUAUGCUAAUGUCAAUAGUGAGGUGACGAUGCAAGAUUGAGAACAGAAGAUGAAAUUUGAAUGUUAUCCCUAAGUUGGUGGAACCAUAGUCCAUAAUGUCAAUUAUUAAUAGACUUAUGUUGGAAGUGGUUCAGGAAGACGAUGCAUCUUGGAGAACAAACUCGUGUCGAUAGUAUACGGUCUGAUCAGCAUAUCAUUUUGAUCAUAUCAUUUAUGUUUGGAUGAAGUGUUGGAUACUAGUUAGUUGACGGUAGUUAAAUGACAUUUGAUGUGGUGUGGAUGGGGGCUAGAAAUUGUUUCCGGGUUCAAGCUCGCUUGAGUAGCAAAUGUACCGCGGUUGGUACUCAAUAUUUGUGGUGUGAGGAGCAAUCUGAGACCAUUUAUCACAUAUUUCGUUACUAGCUCAUGUGUGAUACAAUCCGAGCUUGUGAUGGUUUUAAGGGAAUCAGAUUCCUUGCUGUUACAGCAGGGUGAUGUAAAUGAUCCAGGCCAUUCAAUUUUAAAUUGAUGGCUGAGAUUAUUUUACUGUGUGAAACUGUGAUUAAAUCUGGACCGACGGAUCUCAUAUUUACGGCUGAGAUGUGCUACAGCGUGCAACUGCGUGUAAAUUUACAGCAGCAAAUCCUAAUCCCAGUUUUAAGGAGGUCAUGUUCUAUCUUUUUGAGGUUUUUUCAUCAGAGAAUGAGGAAGUGUUGCUUGUGUUUAUAUGGAGUAUUUGGAAGAGCAGAAGUGCGACAACGUGGGAAAUCAAACGGAUAGACCAGCUGAAUUUGUUCAUUGCAGCAGAAUGUUUGUUGGAGGAGUUGCUACAAGCUUGUGAUACAUGUUUGCAUUGGACUAGUUCUAGUAAGAUUGUGAUUCGAAAAACCCACCUCAUUCUAGAGUUGUUGAUCGCACUGAGCUUGGCAACAUUCUUAAUAAGUAGAUUUAUCUUUACUUCUCAUUUUAACAAUCUUAUGUGAAGUAAUUUUCACCUUUAUUAUGAUAUUCCAGCAUGUAUUAUGUUUUAAUUUUCAAUGAGAUGGAUUAGCCAUUUAUCGUGUGUCUGUCAAAUGGACCCUUUAUUUUAUUUUUUACGAUUAAAAUGGACCUACUUGAUACACCACAUUCAAUUCAAUUGUGUAAGAAAGAAAUAAAUAAAGGAAUGAAACUCGAGUACACUACCGCGAGGAACACGUUACACGCAGUAAGAGGGGAACCAACCAAAGUACUAACAAAUUUUCAUUUCCUGAGUCUAUUAACUCUAUUGUUUAUUAGUAUUUACACAUCACACCAUGCACAAAGGAAAUAAUAUACACCAUUCUCUGUACGACAUUGCAAUUACAAAUAACUUAAAAAUAAGCACAAUCACUUGCAAAACAUAGGACAUUUAUAUCUUUAAAACAAUGAAGCAAAAGAAAUGACAAUCUCCUGCUUCUACUUAGCAUUAAAAUGACAACAAUUAUGUUUGGAGCUCAACCAAGCCGGUACACAUAAAUAAAAACUCAGCUUCCCAAAAAAAAAAAAACUCAGUUUAAAAAGUUUAGUAAUCAUCAUAUACAUCUUGAUAUUUAGCUUUUUAAUUAAACUUUAUUUUAGAAUUUUAAGAUUUUAAUUAAACAUUUUUCCAACCAUAAUUUAUUUGGUUGAACAGAGAAUUUUAAAGUUGUACCAUUACCGAUACAAGCGACGAGGUGGAAAUUAAGGUGUCCAGUCUUUUCGUUUUUUUUUUUUUUGUAUAAAAAUAUUAAAGUUGUAAAGUUGAGACGUUUAAAGUAAUUUAAAGGAGUGUUAUAUAUGUUUUCGUUCCGUAUAAAUAUUUCGAUUUUUGUUUUAGCUUUUUAAAAAAAUUUCUGAGUUUUAGUCCUUCAAACGUUUUCUAUCACCAUUUUUUUUUUUUUUUUAAGUCAAUUUAUAUGUAUUAUUUGAAAUUUUAUUUGUAUUCAUGUGUAGUACAUUAUAAAAUUCUCUCUUGCAAGAAUUUAAUAUUUUUUAACAAUUGAUGAAUUAAAUUUAAAUUUUUACAUUUUGUUUUUAUGCUUAAAAAUUCAUACUUAGAUCAUAUUUUAUUAGAAAUUAUAAUUUAUGUCAGAAGAGACACUCAUAAUCUUAUAAACAUUCCUUAAAAAAUAUAAAGGAUGCAUAUACCUAAAAUAUGAGCAUAAUACUUUAUGAGAACUAAAAUUCAAAGAAAAAUGUAAGAAAGAUUAAAACGAAACAUUUAAAUAUUUAUAAAGAACGAAAACAUAUUUAACCCUUUCAAGAAUUAGACAUACCUUUGGACAACAUUGGAAAAUAUGAGAGAAAGAGGGUGUAUUAAUAAAUAUGUGUAGUGCGAAUAGAAGAAGUUUAGAGCAAACCUAUCUUAGUUUGGGCUGACGAGAAUCUUCGGCCUGUAUUUUGCAUACUAGGUGGGUGGAUUGCUGUGUCCGAAAUCCUGUCGACAGCUUCGUCUUCGUGUGUGCCUCUCUCUCUCUCUCUGGUGAGUUCUCUUCUCUCUCCUUUUUCAAUCUUAUUACGAUCUUCAAACCCUAGCAUCCUAAUACCGUUUUUAUUGUUCAUAAUGUUGAUUUCUUUGAUUUAAUUGCAAUUUUGUGAAGAAAAAAAAUGAUUAAUUAGGGUCAGAUUCGAAUUGAAUUUUUCUCUUUGAAUAGUGAAAUUUAAUUUUUAAUUACAAAACAUUAAAUACUUGACCCCAUUCACGAUUUAUAUCUAGCUUCAAAUGUUUGUCAGAUCAAGUUCUAGACAACUAUCAUGAUCGAAUCUGGUGAUGAAGAAGUCUUAGAAAUGUUUUACUCUCACGUGUUUAUAGGGAAACAAUUUUUGUGUUAGUUUUCUAUUUAGGUUUUGGGUUGUAUGUGCUGCGUCUUCUGUAAAUUUAGUAGUCUAGAAGAAUAAGAAGCUACUCACGACACCUAGACAUAUGAUUGAUUACAUUGAAUUAUGUCAUUUUCAAACUUAUUAUUGGCGUCGACGUGUCCGGGUCAUGUCUGAGUCUGCUUGAUAGCUUAAGGUUAUGUGCAGUUCUUAAGAAAAUGAUUGAGUGAACCAAUUUCUCUUAUAAACUAAGCUCAUUCUUAGCAGGCUAGAUACAAUAUAUAAGUGUAUAUGAGUGGAAAAAUUUAAUCAAUGCUUCAUUGGCAUUCUAAAAUGGCAAGUAACAUGCCACAAACAAAUAUUCCAAUCAUGACAUUUAAUAUGAGAUGGAAAGAGUAUACAGACAUUAUACUGCAUGCUUUUGAGAAUGUGUAGAGCUAAUAUUUAUCGCCCAGUUUCAUUUCAAUGAGAAUGCAACUUGUAGCAUGUUUUAUUUGUUUGGUGGGCUAACAAGAUCUGCUAAGGGUUUGUUGAGCUGAUUGGUAAAUGAAUUCACAGUGACAAUGGCUCCCUUGUGUUUUCUACCUUUUUUUGAUCCAAGAGAAUGUUUGAAAAAAUGGAAUGUCACUUCUCCUGUCUUUCCCUUUGCUUUAUGUUUCCUUUCAUUCUCUUGUGUUCAACACACUGUCAGAUCAGAUUCGUUAUUUAGAUUGUUCAGUCUAUCUUGAACUCUAUUCAUUUUUUGUAUAUUUGUUUGUAACUUGCAGUAAUUACAACCUUCAAGACAAAGAAGAAAAUGUCUGGUCCUAGGAUUGCUCACGCUACCUUGAAGGGUCCAAGUGUCGUUAAGGAGAUAAUAAUUGGAAUCACACUUGGUUUAGUUGCUGGUGGUGUAUGGAAGAUGCAUCAUUGGAAUGAACAGAGAAAAACCAGGACCUUUUACGAUUUACUCGAAAAGGGUGAGAUUAGUGUUGUUGUAGAUGAAGAGUAAAAUGAUGUUGCGAUGCUUUCCUUCUGUAGACUGAACUCUAUUCAAGCCUUUUGUUUGUUGCUAUAUUCAAUUGGCUCGUGUAAAUGAGCCGAGCUACUUAUACAUUGCAAAUAAUAAGUUCUUGCUCUGAUUUUGGAUUAUGUUGUCUUGUAGAAAUUUCAUGAAGCAAUGUUAUAUUACAUGUUUGUGUUAUUUCAGCAGUAUUGAUAUUGGUAGCUUGUUUUUUUUGCAAUUACACUAGUCGUCUCUGUGUGUCUGAAUGAUGGGAAUAUAUAUAAUAAUUACUAUUAAGACUGUUAGGAUGAGUGUGUAUUAUUAGGAUGAGUGUGUAUUAUUAGGAUGGGCUUGUUGCAGUAUUAGAAUUAAUGUGUAUUGGGUCAGCAUGUUAUAUCACCACAUGACAAAUAUUAAGAGACUGUUGCUGACAUAUAAUCUUUGGUAACCUUUUCAUCUAAUCCAUAAAUUUCAAAUUAUACAACUUUACAAGUGUAGAGUUUAGUACUAGGAGGGAAGAAUACUGCUGAGCACUGCCUGGAACAUUUGAAUAUGCAUAUGUUCGCCUGGGGUGGUGGGAUACUAGGACGGAAAAAUACUGAUAAACACUGCCUGAAAUAUUUGAACAUGCAUAUGUUCGCCCGGGAUGGUGGGAUGUCUCGCCAGGAUUAGUCGGUCCUUAGGCUGGAUACCUCACUUAGGAUGUAAAAAAAUCCUUCCCAAUUGUGGUGUAUCCUCCUUUCUUUUGGGUCAUGCUAACCAUUGUUUGUGCAAAAAGAAAAGGCAAUCGGCUGAUAGGGAUGGAAAAUAAAUAGCAGAAGGUUACCCAAAUUGUUACGAUAUUUGACCAGCUACUUCUGGGACAAUAUUUCAAUGCUUUGUUUUGGUGUUGGGGAAUAUUAAGGAUAUGAUAAAGCUAUUCCUACCCCUUCAACAAACGGUUAGGAUUUUAGGACAGUUGGGCUAUGAAAUGUUAUUAGAUUUUCCUUGAAUCAGUGAUCAAGAGUUUAUUCUUACUAUUUCCAUUUUUCUCAAGUCCAACCACCCUACCCUGACAUUGAAACAAAGUGGGAGUUUAACCACCCUUGCUACUCCCUCAUUCAAGUCUCAACUCCCAAAGUCUUCGAAUGUUUCUUUCUAUCUUCAAAAAUUCUCUAAGGUGUUGUUUGGGAGUUUGGAAGGGAGGGGCUGACUUUGAGGGGUCGGAAAUAUAAGAAAAAUGAAGAAGUCUUUCACAUUUUUUGAAAGAGUAUUUUUUUUAAAAAUGAUAAAUUACUGCUUAUGAUUAAUAUAUUUUUUAAUCUUAAUUAUAUGAUACCAGCCUAAAUUGAAUUUGAAUAAUUAAUAUAAACCAUCCAAAAUCAUCUUUUAAGCCAAUUGAGUUUCCCCCAAAUUACGAAGGUUUUGUAGUCCGAAGAAAAAUAAACCCCCUAAUUCUUCCUCUUUUAAAGUCUUCUAUUUCUUCCAUUUGAUCAUGUUUUUUUCCAAAGCACUUCCCUCAUUUUCCCGUCAACCUUCCCGCCAUAGCCUAGGGUGCUCCUUCACUCGUAUUUAUUGUGACCCCUCUCACUUAAGUUUGAUUUACUGUUUUGUGAAUGGGAUAUUUUUGCUACCUCUAUGGCAGGAAAGGUCAGCCUUAUGUCUGAUAACCCUUCAGUUUGCUUAUUUAUCAACCAAUUUAUAACCUACAUAUUAUUUAGUAGCCUUUUCUUGUUAGGAAUACAAUGAAGUACAAAAAUUGUUUCCCAUUAGUUUAUGUUUUUACAAAAAUUGUUGCCAACUUGGGGACAUGACUUUGUUCUCUACAUUUACGUAUAAUUUAACAAGGUUACAGGAGAUUGAGUUGAGGCUUUCAAUACGUGGUUCUUAAUUUGAAUGUGUAGAAAGCUUAUGAAAGGAUUGUCUGUCCUAGAAGAACCAGUGAGUAGAUAAGAACUCUCGUUUGGUUAUUUGAUGACCCUUUUCGGUUAUGUAAUUCAAGUGAGUUUUGUGGAUUAAUUCUCAAGCCGUGAGUGGUAAACUCCUGCGGCAUGCUUCUUAACAUUAGUACAGUCUCAGGCCAAUAACUUUUGCCUUGUUGCCCAAUGUUUACAGAUUGAAGUUAACGAAUAGAUACGCAACAAUUUGAGAUGAUAUAUUUUGUUUGUAUUGUAUUAUUCUAUGACAAAUAUCAGAACAUCUGGUUGGCUAAAAUAAGAGACCGUAUUAAUAGACGGCUGAUAUUUUCACUUCCAAACAAACAUUUUUCUUUAAGACUACCAAAAUAUCAAGAUUUUAUUAUGACUAUUAAACUAAUGAUACAAAAUAUACAAGAAUAUUUGCAUGACUAAAUUCAAGUGAGCUAGAAAGGUUUCUAACAAAAAUGAAAUUUCUCUUGAAAUAAUUAGAAAGUAAUAAAAAUAAUAUCUUAAGAUGGGUCCAACGUGGAAGAUAACAAGAGGUUGUGAAAAGAUAAGAAGUAUGCGUCCAGAAAUAUUCACCAACAUUGGUUAUAUAUCCCGCCAUUACAUUCCCUAACCCCAUUAAAUUAAACCUCAUCUUUAUCACACCAACAAAAAAAAAAAAAAACAAUAGCUGCAGUUAUGGCAGCAACAAUGGCUGGUGUGAGUCUUUCAAGCCCUAGAGUAAUUUUCAAGGGACCAGAGUCUCUUCAAAAGUCUCAGGCCAUCAGGUCCGGACCGGUGUUCAUGCUCAACCAAAGAUGGACCGGUGCAGUCAGUUCCGGUAGGAUGGUAAGCAUUCGACCAGUGCAAGCAUCACCGGACAUAACCGGGAAGGUGGAAGAGAGCAUAAAGAGUGCGGAAGAGGCGUGUGCAGGAGACGCCACUAGCGGUGAAUGUGUGGCGGCGUGGGAUGAGGUGGAGGAAUUGAGUGCAGCGGCAAGCCAUGCAAG